rnacentral:lncRNA from 1 species
UGCACAACCCCACAAACCACCAAGAAAUGGCCGCUCAAACUCACCUGUUUCAUCCACUCCACUCCUUAUCUCUGCCACUGAAAACCCGAUGUAAAUCACCUGACUUUAAACCCAAGCUAAAACCCUCCACAUUCAUCAUCUCCAGCAAGCUCCGGGCAGCGGUGGUAGGAGGAGGUCCAGCUGGAUCCUCUGCAGCUGAAGCACUUGCUGCUGGUGGCAUAGAGACCUUCCUCUUCGAACGCAGCCCCUCUACUGCCAAACCCUGUGGUGGAGCAAUCCCACUUUGUAUGCUAGAUGAGUUCUCCAUCCCUCCUCACCUCAUUGAUCGGAAAGUCACCCGCAUGAAGAUAAUAUCUCCGUCCAAUCUGGCCGUUGAUUUUGGUAAAACUCUGAAGCCCCAUGAGUUCAUCUCCAUGCUCCGCCGAGAAGUGCUUGAUGACUUCCUACGCCGCCGUGCUGAGUCUUGUGGCGCCGCACUUAUCAAAGGACUUGUCACAAAUGUGGAGGUUCCCCUAACAAGCAGCUCUUCAUAUGUUAUUCACUAUAAUAAGAAUAAUUCACAGAAAUCUCUUGCUGUUGAUGUUGUUAUUGGUGCUGAUGGAGCCAACAGUAAGGUGGCUAAGGCCAUAAAAGCAGGAGAUUACACUUGUGCUAUUGCUUUUCAAGAAAGGAUUAAGUUGCCUGAGGAGAAAAUGGAAUAUUAUGAAAAUUUGGCUGAAAUGUAUGUCGGAAAUGAUGUUUCACCUGAUUUUUAUGCGUGGGUUUUCCCCAAGUGCGAUCAUGUGGCAGUGGGAACGGGGACAGUAUGCUCAAAGAAGGAUAUCAAGAUGUUUCAACAUGGCAUAAGAGCAAGAGUUAGGCCAAAAACUCAUGGCGGUCAAGUAAUUAAAGUUGAGGCUCAUCCAAUCCCUGAGCAUCCACGUCCAGUUAGAGUCAGGGGACGAGUGGCUCUGGUGGGGGAUGCAGCAGGAUAUGUGACGAAAUGUUCUGGUGAGGGAAUUUACUUUGCUGCCAAGAGUGGGAGGAUGUGCGGGGAAGCAAUUGUCAAGGCAUCAGAAGGAGGUGAAAGAAUGAUUAGUGAAGAAGAUUUAAAGAGGGAGUAUUUGAAGAAGUGGGAUGAGAUGUAUUUAACUACAUUCAGGUUUUUGGAUUUGUUGCAAAGGGUGUUUUAUGGUAGCAAUGCUGCUAGGGAGGCAUUAGUGGAGUUGUGUGGGGAUGAGUACGUGCAGAGGAUGACAUUUGAGAGCUAUCUGUAUAAGAAGUUGGCCCGGGGGAACGGAUGGGAUGACAUUAAGAUGGUCAUGAAUACAAUUGGGAGUCUAAUUAGGUGUGAUAUUGUAGGCAGAGGGAUUGAAAUGUUUGACAAACGAGUUCUUGCACAGUUGUAGUGUAUCAGGGAACUAGUUAAAUGAAAGAGAAUCAAAUGAAACUUCAUCAGUACUUCCCAGAGAAGUACAGAUCCAGGAAGUUUUAGCUUUAAAUCACCUAAAAACCUUUUGGUAUGAACAAAUGGUUGUGCCAUUACUCUAUUUCAGUUCUUCAUAAAGCAGAUUCAAAUUGUUGUUUCCAAGAAAAUCUUUGCUGCGGUGGUCAAUUUAGCCUUUCAUCAUUGCCUUAAGUAUCAUCCUGUAAAGUAAUGAAUAAUUAAGAACUUGACUACAUUAUUAUAACUUCUGGGUGCAUAAAUACAGCUUUACAGUGGAAAGAAGUGAAACAUUUAAGCAAGCUAUAACUUUUCAGCAAAGCUUCAAGUUGAAUUAACAGUUUCCUACCAUACACACACUAUUUACCUUGAUCCUAACAUUAUAGCCCAGUCGAGCUAAGAGUUUCUUACCCACUUUGUACCUCGAUUCUAACAUUAGCCAGCUCCUGUUUUUGCCUCUACUGAUACCACAAUUUAUUUGUACAACUUAUUCGCUAUAUGCAUAGAGUUCAAGUGUUUCAAGAGAAAAUCAAAUCCCAUUUUCACACCAUUCUGUAUCCAUCCUUUCUUGACCCCUCCGCCCUCCGCCACAACCAAUUUCUUUCUUCAUGUAGUGCACAUUGUGUUUGAAUCUUUUGCGACAAGGUUUUGAAAAUAAAAAAAACCCAAGUGCCUAGUGAUGAAAAAGUAAUUAGAGCAGUAAAAGGGUUAAAGCUUGAUAUAUUUCCACAUAUAAUAGGACCCAAAUAACAACCUAAUAGUUGAAUAGGUGGCUAUGCAGCCACCAAUCAUCCCUCUUGGUUAAAGACAUACAAGCAUAGAGGAUAUAGGCUCUGAUUUAGUAGACGUAGUUUGCAGAACUUGGAGGAAUAUGUGCUUUGCUGCCUGUGUUAUGCAGCAUUUCUGGGACUUAAUUUAGUCAAGGGAGAAGAUUUUGAAAGCAAUGCAAGGCAGAGAUGGAGUUGAGGAUUGAAAAGAAUGAACAGGAGAAGAGCGUGCAUGAAAAACAUAGGCAGGGGGGAGGGGACUAGCCAAGGUAAGCCCCUUAAUUAUGACAGAGAAAAGACAAAUAUGCAAAGAGGAAAUUACAGAAUAUUAAGGAAAAGAAUUCACCUUAUACUUAGAAUCUCUCUUGAUGAAGUGCAUAAGAUGCCAUAUUCUAGGCCAAAGAAGUUAAUUCUUAAAAAUGCAGAGAACCAAAGCUUCAAAAUAGAAUGAAAAAAAUCAGUUUAUGAUGCUAACUAGCCUUUUUGAUUUUAAUAACUAUUAAUAUACUACGAAUAGAACUAUAUAUGUUUACACAUACAUAUACAGUACGGCCUUCAACCCGCACUUGUCUCCGAGACUCAUACCUGACUCCACUCAAAGUGCCCUUAGCUAAAGGUUUUCUCAAAAGAUUAAUGUUUCUUCUAAAUGUGUUUCAAUUUUAGGUAGCCAUGUAAAUACUAUAUGUAUGCCUCUGUGAUUUAUGUCAAUUUCACUCUAAACAUUUUAAAGCUUGGGAUCCUCCUCAAAACACCAGAGUAUCUUAAUCUAUAACUAACAUGGUCUUAAUUUGGUUGGGCAGAAAACAAUCACAAGCAUAAAAUGUAAUUAUCCUACUCAUGUUAGGGUUAGCAUUUUUGUAUUUUCAGAGACCCUAUCCAACAUUACUCCCCCAAUUCAAAGAAUUCAGACUCUCUUGCAAUUAUUCAUGCACUGUUAAGCUGCAUCUGUAUAUUAGCAUAACACCAGAGAAGCCUAAGCAGUAUGUCUCUCAUAAUAUAACAUAAAAAGGUUUGCUGAUACACAACAAAGUCACUUAAUACCUGCAAUUCACUAAAACUUUUGCACAAAGGGUACUUUAAAGUAUCAAGAUGUCACUAAUUUCACCAAUGAUCCACUUAAGGUCCUCUUUAAACCAUAUGCUUCAAAUUCUUAUUUGGCUAGAAAAGUCCAGAUAACUUGCACCUCAACUGCAAUUUCUCAUAUUAAAUCUCUAGCACAAAGUAGCUUCAUAUAACUACUUUUUUUAUAUUAACCAAAAAAAAAAAAAAAAACAGCAAUACAAGAACCCAGAAGAACCAAACCGAUGAAAUCCUUUUAUUGUUCUAUUCUUAAUAACAACAAGAUAACAUGAAAAAAGGUUGCUGCACCAUUUUUAAUAAGCAUUGCAAUCAGACCAUCAAAAUGAAGUGCAAAAGGUCGAAGUUGAAAGAAUGUGAGCUGUGAAACUAAUAGACAUGAAAAAUACAAAAUGAUCUUAAUAAAAGCUACCAUAAAUUAAGGAAUCAAAACUGUGAGCAUAAGCGAAAAGAGUUCAUGGAAGAUAAAAAGAGUUAAAAAGCAGAGGAUCUUACGGUUUUUUUUUUUAAACCUUUUGUCAUUCAGAUCAGAUAGAGCCAGCAAGAUUCUUGGAUGCUGACUUUUCCAAAUAAUUCCUUUAAGGUAAAAGCCCUUUUUUUUUGGUGGGGGGGCAUCGCAUGUCAAAGUCUCUUUCAUGUUUACAUAGAUUAUAUCGGAUAAUUAUGAUACACUAUUUCUUUGCUCCAAAGUUCUCAACGUUUUGUAGAACCUCUUCAUUCUUGACAUUGUACAAGCCUCUAUCAUGUUUACAUAGAUUAUGUCGGACAAUUAUGAUACACUAAUUCUUUGCUCCAAAGUUCUCAACUUUUUGUAGAACUUCUUCAUUCUAUCAUGUUUACAUGAUUAUAUCAUGUUCACUUGACAUUGUACAAGUCUCUAUAAUGUUUACAUAGAUUAUAUCAGAUAAUCAUGAUACACUAAUUCUUUGCUCCAGAGUUCUCACUUUUUGUAGAACUUCAUUCUUGACAUUGUACAACCACUAAAGCACUGAUACACAAGGCUGUACAAUCUUCGAAACCGUAUAGCCCUAGGCGAAGCUUAUUGGGGUAAAUUGCUUAUAGAGGAGAUAAAGGUUCUUAAUAUUCUUCCUAAAUUUUGUUAUGAGAUAACUCAACUGUGGUCCUGAUUUCUGAAGAUAAUUUUCCAUAGACAGAAUGUCAAUGAUCUUCGCUAUUUGAAAUGAAUGAGUCAAUCUUAUUGCUCAGGACAGUAACACUAAAUCCAGUGUGACAACUUUGUGAAAUGAUUAGUUUCUGCGUCACUUUGUUUUUCUUUUGUUGGUUCUUAGAGUUUUAACUGCAAAAAAUAUUCUAAAAUGCUGCUACUUCAAAGGCAUGUCCUGUGCUCUGAUUGUUUGUUUGUCAUUGUUUAACUCCUAUGUUCAACAACUUGACAGCACUUUUCCCUUUUGUUUCAGAUAUCAACUCAUGCAGGCUAUUCAGGUUUCACACAGUGGUGGAUUUGCUUUGUAUAGGUCUUGUGACAUAUUCUACGAGUUAACCCACUAUAUUGUUCCUUCACGUAUGCUCAUUUAGAUACUUACAUUGAACCGAAUGCAGUGGUUUAACAAUUCAGAGAUUUUAAUAAUGGAGUAAUUUCUAACUCUUGAGUUUUUUCCAAUAUCACAAACAGAACUUAUGUUUUGCCUGUAAAAUGCCAUUGCUUCAGGUCUAUUUCAUGCCUUAGUUUAUUUUUCAGUCAAGAUACUAUGAAAUUGGCUAUGUCUGUUGUCCUUCAUCUUCUUUUGGUUAAAGAAAUGCUUGAACAUCCUCUGAAAGUAAUGCUUGAGCCCGUUCUUAGUCAAACACAUAGUUAAUUAAUGAUUACCUGGAUACAGUUCUACAAUAAGAAAAUUGACUUAAUAAUUGAGCAGAGAUGUUGAAGUAUCAAUUUAUAUUUUGCGAACUUGAUUAUAUGAUUUCUGCUGGAAUAUGUUGUAGGUUGUCUUUGAUAAGUGAGAUACCAUAAUUGUGUUCAGCUGUUUAUUCUCUUAAGAGAUUUUUUCCUCACAGUGAUCUUCAUAUUAAAACAGUUGUGGUAUACUGGAAGGUAAAAUUAUACAGAUUUUGUAAAUCUUGUUAAAUCCCAUGGUCAUCUUUUGUUUCUCUUGGUUUUCUGCUGCUAUGUUUACCUUCUUUUUCCUUUGCAGUUUUUUGUUUCUUAAUGACUUUCCAUUUUCCGGUACAGAGUGUUUUUGUCGUUACUUGUUGUGUGGUUUUGGAUGGUCGCAAUUAUGAAACCAAAGAUUGAACUGGCCUUUCGAUCUUAAAGAAUGAUGUUUUACUUCUCAAAGAGAAUAGAGAGUGGCUCAAUAAGUUUCAGAAUUUAUCGGUACUGAACUGGGUGUAUAUCUACAAAUAACUUUAUUGAUUAUUCAAAGAUGAUCAUAUUUCCUUCUGAUCAUUAGUGGAUUUUGGCUAUGGAAUUUCAUAUUCUCUGUUAUUUCACUGUGGCAAGAAUGCAGAUCAUUUGUUAAACACCACAUACAGGGAAGAUAAGCUUUUGAGAAAUGCAAUGCAAACAAGAAUGUGUAUGCACUCCAUCUCUGUUAACAGAUGCAUAAAUAACCUAUAUCCAGUCGAUAUGGUGAUAAUUUGAAUCUGGAAAGCGGCAACUUUACACAUACCAUUUUGUUAAUGUGAUCUGACCAACAUUUUAGGCCGCUGAUAUUAUGCUGACUACUGUGUUUGAAUGUAUUUACUAUGGGAAAGUUUUAUUCAUUGAUUAUGGUCCUUCACUCGGUUUCUGAACAAAGCUGCAUGACUAUUUCUUUUUCAGGUUUCCCUUUUUCUUUUUGGUAAGGUCUUGUGGCAAAGAAUGGCUUUAUUUGUUUUGAAGGAAGUGACUUGAUCUGGCUAAAGCCUAAAAAUGUUUUGAGUGUUUGUUGCUUCCAUAAAUUAGACUGCUUUCUGUCUUGCAAAACACUGUGUGCUUUUCCAGUUUCAGCAUGAUGAAAAAAGCUAAUGAUACACUGAUAUACUCAAGAAAGAAAUCAUUGAUUAGCAGAACUCGUUGUGCAGUAACAUACUGGCCUUUUUGUCAUGAACGCUGACACAUUCUGGAAUUCUACUUGCUGCCCUGUUCAGCAACAUUGUGUGUUAAGGUCACCCUUAAAGCAACAUGAAGGUGAGAUUGUACUGAGGCAGGGCAAGCUUCUGCUGUUAGAGGUAUCUAUAGAUGUUGGAAAUUUACAUUCUCGAGUAGUUUUUUAGGAUAUUCUAGUUAAUGAUGGCUAUCAUGUUGCAGUUUGUAUGAUCUUGUACUCUACCACAAUUAAAACUUCCUUUAGGUCAAUACUCGGAAGGAGUUAGUGUACAAGCAAUAAUGCUGGGAUGGCCCUGAUUAAGUGUUCACUUGGGUCUAUGUGAUAUCACAUAUUCCUAUACAAUGGUUUUUCGUUUUCAACUUUUUUGUGAAACAGUCUUAAUUUGAGUGACAAGUGGCUUCACGCUUUGGGAGGUUCUAAACUUUGGAGUUUUUGGCAAUUGCUUGAAGUCUCUAAUUCUUUUGAAGCUGGACGAAGUACCAAUAAAGGAUGUAUUGUGAAAUGUAUUUCAUUUUAUAUAGUGUAUUAAGGGAAAGUCAGUUCUUCUGUAGCUUACAACAUCGCAUCUGAACCGAAGUUGAAACGAAUACAUGCAGGACAUUAGCGUCUUAUCCUUCCUUUUAUUUUUCUCAAUUCUAAUACUUUGCUUUCUUUUAGGUCUUUUCUAUCUGGCAGGUGUCUGAAGAACAUAGAUAUUCUGAACAUAGCAAAUUGACAAACUCUUAUUCAAAACAGGAGAUAUGUAAUGUGCUUAAUAUCCUUUUAAGGGACUCCUAUGUUGAAAGUUUGUUCAGCGAGCAGAAAAUUUUCUUAUCUUUAUUCAUUAGGAUAUUGUUUUCAUGCAAUAUUUUGUUUCGUCUAUUGCAAUUUUUGUCAUUUGUAAAAUUAGUGCAUGGUGUAGUUAAACUUUUGAGGAAAAAUAAGCAGCUACAAACUUGUAAUCAAGUCAACUACUGAAUGGUAGAUGGAGUUACAUGUAGUCUCACAACCUAUUCUUUGCUUAAUUCUAGUCUCAGGUUGCUAACCAGUAUCUGAUUACUCAUGCUAAUAAUCAGCUUUUCAUAUUUAUUGCGGACUCCUAAUAUUUUUUUUUCUCUACUUGUGUAAUUGAUGGAUCAUCAUGUAUAAAAGAAUGUCUAAAUAGUAAGGGCACUGAGUUUGUGAAGUCAGCAAGCUGGAGUAACAUGGUGCUUCAAUAAUUAGAUAUGCCCGCCAAGAUAAUUAGUAGACUAGUACUGAUUGGAAGUUUUACCUGGACUAGGUUCUUAGCUUUAUGCUUCAUGGGCGUCUUACUUGUAUGUUAUCAAGGAAAUGAAUUUGGGAAAUAUCGUCUGUUCAUUUGAGAUUAGUUGAAAAUGGUACAUCUCUGUUGUGAUCACAUUGUCUCUCAUUUUCAUAGAAAUAUUGCAGCUAAUGAUUUUGCCCAAAAUGUUUUCAUGCAUCCUAAUCAUACUGUUGAUAUUCUGUAUACAAGUUUAUAGUCUGUCAUUCUAUAUAUGGAAAUGUGUUCCUAAUGCCACAUUGCAUCUAAUCAUUAUCUUCGUUGGUGUGUGUCAUUUAGUCACGAGUAGCGCUGUGCAUGGUGGUGCAAAUUGGAUAAACUCUGUAUGUGUAUUUUGUUUUUCCAAUUUACCAGAUACUUUGAUCAAUUUGUCUCCUUGUUAGGUUCCCUGUUUCUUUAGUGUCAUCAGUGUCAAUAAAUAUCAAUAGUUUUUAGGCAAUAAAGCAUUAUGAGACUUUUUUUUUUUGUUUUUUAGGGGGGGGGGGUGGUAUAAAAAAUUGAUGACAUGUUUGUCCUGGGCCUACAUCAUCCCUUACCUUCUACAAACACCCAUAUAAUACAUAAGAUUUUUCAUUUGAAGUUAUAAUACUGUAGUAUUCCUAGUUGAAUUUCGAACCAGUUACCGCAGCCUCGCAUUGUACUUAUAUUUGCUGAGAAGGGAUAAUCAAUAUUGAACUAGUAAUUACCCAUUUACACUAAUUACAGAUGAGUCGUUUGCUUUAUGGAACCCUUUAGUUGCUUCAAUAAUAAUUUGCGGCGGCCUGCUGCUGCAUAGCAAUUGGUGGUCUUGCUGCAGGCCUUUCUUUCAUUUUGUCGUAAUGUUAUCUGUGUUAUAAAAUAGAUGCGCGCUUUUGGAAAAUUCUCUGCCCUGGAGCUAGGAUGGCUAGAGGGUCAUAAGUCGAUUUCCUCUGUGUGAAGACUUCCCACCGUUGACCAAAAUGGGCCUGCCAUUGUUCCUGCGUGGUAUAAUGAGCUAGAUAUUGUUUAACUCCAAGGUGGGCCACUGCACAGAAGUCUAAAAUUCUUUUGUUCAAAGUUAAGAAGUGUUCUAAGCCAUUAGUUCCAGCGGAUGAAGGAACUGCAUGGAAAAGGAACGCCACCAUGUAGAAAAUAUCUUCUUCUGGGAAAACAAAUGAAGUUCUGUUGUCCCACCUGUAAAAUAUGCAAAUUAUUUUAUUAAGAAAUAUGACCCUUUAAAAUUCAGUUGUUGAGUUGACGUUUGUAUGAGACUUUUACUUUGAUUUGUUAACUGGGUAGAUGAGCACAGGCCCGCUCUUCGUAUCUUUCAGAAUAUUGCCGAAAACUCCUUGAGCAAAAUAUUUUAUUUUGCUUCUGGGGAUGAGAAGAUUUAGCCAUGGGUGCGGAACAUCCCACAUUCCUUUCGAUCGUAGUUUUAACUCUGAGGUAUGAACUCUAUCCAGGAACUCGACAUAUGAGACUUCUGUCAUAAGAAGUGUUGAUUGGAUAUAGCUUAGCUUUGAUAGUAAAUUCUCAACUUCCUGCAUAGAGAAAAAGCUGUGAGACUCAUUUGGUUAACAUACUGAGAAGGUAGAAUCAAGUAGAUCAUAGUGCCACGGUAUGCUCACCUUGUUUGCUGUGUCAACCUCGUCAGGAUUGAAAUUUUUGGUUAACUCAAGGCAGAACAGUGUUCUUCCAUCUGAAACGAAUUUACUUGCUUGGGCUGGGUCUUGAGGGCUGAAGGAUGAUCUCCAGCUAUUUAAGACAUCAGUCCUGUUUAUUAUCACAAGUCCUUCAAUGUAAUCAAAUGUGUGUUCUGCAGAUAUCAAAAGCUCCUGGUCUCGGGAAAAUGUGGAGAAAUCUGAGUAGAGCACCCUGAUCCAUUUGACCUGGUGAUAAUUGAAGAAUAAUCUUUAUAAGACUGAAGCUUCCUUUAAGAUGCUUUCUUUAUAGGAUCAUUGCAUUAUAUAAUUACCAUCUUUGGUGCUGGCUCCAGGGAGAUUCUUGCUUUGGUUAUUAUCCCGAAUUGCCCAAGUCCUCCAAGAACACUGUGAAAGAGGUCAGCAUUCUGCUUCUCUGAGCAAUUGACUACUUCUCCCUUUCCUGCAAUCAGUUCCAUCCUCUUUUUAAUAAGUAUUACUUCAAACAAGAUUGUUUAAUGAUUAGAUAAUUCUUUCCAAAAAGUAAAGUUUUUUUUGAGGGAAAUAUUUGUCAAUUUGCAGCUCAUGAGACUAGGAGAAGUGGUAAGUUGCGUCUGUAGUUACCCGCUACUAGAAAAUAAGAUGGGACAAAUGAAAAGCCACCACCUAUGCGGUCUUCUUAAUUAACCUUUUGACCCCGUCUUUUGUUCUACAAACUAUAGCAUCAAAAGGUUCUUGUUUUCCCAUACAAACCUGUAACAACCUCCAGCUGGUGGACAUUACUGAUCUGGGGGCCAUGGCGAAAUGCUUGCCCGCUUAUUCCUGCAUUUGACAGCGUACCACCAACCGUGAGAUGAAGGUAGUCUGUCCAAGACUUCGGUGCUAGCCCAUGUUUUAAGCUUUCAUGCAAAAUAUUGAUCCACAGGUCACCAGCGGACACAUCCACAUAAGGCAGUUGUCCUGUAUUGAACUGCAUUACUUGUCCACCAAGGGACUCCAUGUUAAUCACGAUACCUUGGUCAGCUUGCGCCUGACCGCGGGUGGAGUGGCCAUGGCCUCUAGCUGCAACUGUCAGCUUUGAAAGGGGACCCAUAUGCCAAAUAUGCUUUAUGGUGUUUGCAAUAUCAGAAACUGAUUUCGGAUGUAGGACUGCCAAAGGCAGGAAAUGGUACUGAUUUCCGUAGUCUCUAGCUGCAAAUUCAUUUUCUGUAAAAGUGAAAUUUCCUUCAAGAGGAAGUGCUCUCAAUGAAGUUGGGACGCUAGAGAAACAGAAAUCGACUCGAAUAGUUGCACAACUCAGUAACAAAAUCAUGAGAGUUCUAAUGAACAGGAUGUUGUUGUGUUUGGCAAAGCUAACAUAUGGGAAGUUCAUUGUUUCUAUCCUUCUACAGAGACUUGAAAGGCAGGGAUUGAAGGUUUUUAAAUUUCCGUGUACGUUCUCUGGAUGUAAGAGGGAAGGUAGAGGUACACGGUUCAAAGGCCUGAGGAGGGAAUUUAAAGAGAGAUUUGGGUGGCAGAGUCAACCUAUCUUCAGUGUCAAGAAUCCGUAAGAAGACUGCCUACUUUGUUAUAGGAGGAGUUUGAUGGUUUUACUUUUAGUUCUUUAUAAUCUUGACUCUAUAGUUGCCAACUAAAAGCCAUCACACAUGCCAAGUUGAAGAGAAAAGUUAACAAGCAAGAAACAUUUCACCGGUCUUUGCCCCUUUUUUACACAAUUUCAACCAUAUUUUCACCCUUUCCAUCAAAGACAAAGAUGUCAUGGUCCUGAUCUAUCUCAUUUACCACGUUUGAGGAUCACUGUACCAUUUAUAGCAAAAGGUACUGGCCUCACCAGAAAGUGCACCCUUCUUUCCUCCGGUCCUUUUACUUCCUCCUAUGGGCUAUGGCUGGCUGAAGUUUGUGUCUUAAUUGCACUGAUUUGAUCAUUUUAUUCCUUGAAGCCAUUGUUGUUGAAAAGCAAACAUCGCGUAUCUAAUUUCAGAUUGGAUGAGAAGGACUGGGUGACCAGCCCUGGAUCAUUUUGCAGGCAUGGCCUCAACGGGUCCACGGGACACGUGAAUUUCCAAAAGAAUUUUGUGCUUGGUUGGGGGAAGAGCUGUGAUUUGCUAUGCUUGGGACCUCUUUUUGCCACUGUCCUCAGCCUAAGAAGAUGAAAACUGGACACGGAAAGGACAUCUUGGAGGAAAAUCUUAAGAUCUAUCUUUGAAGAUAUGUGUAUACUGUUGUUUUGGUGCCUUUGUUCCCAACAAAAGAACAAAAGCUGGAAUCCUUCUCUGUUCAGGACGAUAGUGUUUGAUUUGUAAUUUGAAAACCAGCUAGUGCUUAUGUAUCAUCAUUAACAAAUUUUCCUUUGUUUAUGUAUUGCGUUUUUGCAUGUUGAUAGAACCCUCUUUGUUGCUUCAAAUUAGAGUAUUUCCUGAUAGGCCCUGAAAUCAGAUUCAGUAAAUAUAAUAAGAAUUUAGAUGCUGCCUUUCACAGAGACGGUAUUUUCUUUUGUGAACACGGGUUCAGCAGCAGGGGUAGAUUCACAUAUGUGGCUCUUCUUGCUGGAGGAUCAUUUUGUCUUUGAAAGCUAGAUCGAACUGUUUCAAGGUCCAUGAUGCAUCAUUUUCAGUAUUAUAUGGAAAGCUCCGAAAUAGAUUUUCUAUUAUUUCGCUGACACCAACUCAACGAUAUCAUAGAUACGUGUGUGUAUAUAUACACGCACGUACACUUACCUUAUUUCCUUUUCUCAAUAAUAACAACAGAAAAAUGACAUGUCCCGUUACAUAUUGAGUCAUCUUUAUCACAAUUAUAUCAAUUUUCAAAGUCCUUUUGAACCGUCGAUAAUAACAACGGAAAAAUGAUAUGUCACAUUAUAUAUUGAGUCAUCUCUUUCGCAAUUAUAUCAAAGUAAAAGUUUCAAAAUUCUUUUGAACCGUCGAUAAUCGUUUCCUAAAUGCAUUAGAGAUAAAAAAAAAUGUCACUCCCUUUAUUUAUUUGUGCGUUUUCUUCCCCUAAUAUUUGGCCUUCUUGUCCUAGCGCUCUCUUCUAACAGAAGAUCAACUAGCUGCCAAAGUAUUGUUGUUGGAGCAAAAGCCAAAUGAAAAUUUCUUGUGACAUUCCUUAGAGCCUUCAUUUUCCAAACCAUUUGCGCCUGCGCCCAUGGGACCACAAAAGUAAAAUCUAUGCGGAUUCUAAUGGACAACAAAAUAUGGAAACCCAAAAGUGGCCCUCAUCAGUGUCCCAAUCAGGAUUCCAGCUUUGCAUUACCCAAGAAUAUUAAAAUAACACUGUAAUAAUUUGGAAUAGAUUAUUGCACCCACUUUCCUCAGAUUAUGGAUUCUUACUGUGAAAUGGGAACUGGCUAGAAGCAAUAGUUCUUUUCGCUUGGUGGUUCCCAACCUAAUCCUCAUGCCACAUUUAUUCUCUAGAAGGAGACCGACCAUUAGUGAACAGAUCAGCAAGGCUUAUGCCGACUUAGGGCAUAAAAUGAAAGGUUUACUAUGUAUUAAUGAUGAUUGAAGUGUUGAUUACAUGAGAAGCAGCUCAUAACACGAUUCAACGAAGCCAUAUGCUCAUGGACCUCUCUCUUUGUCUUUGACUCUUUCCCUUUACUUGUUAACCCCCCCCCCCCCCCCCCCCCCCAAAACAAAAAAACCACCAUUUUUUUAGUAAAACUUAGUCUUAACUAGUUGAAUAUUGCGAUAAAGCCCGAUCGUUGUAAAAAUCACGUGUUAUAUUUUUUUGAAAGAAAUUCGAUUCUUCGAUAAUAAACGAAGUAAAAAUUCGUAAUGCAAAAACUUUUCAAGAAAAAUGGUAAGCGAACAAAAGUUUCUUUUUAUUUUUCUUUUUAUCUUGGGGUGUGUGGAACUUAGAUUUGAUGAUUAAAGGACACGGAUGUUAUAAAGGGGGUUGGCAAUUGUCAUGAAGUAAUUUGAGAAUCUUAUUGGUCCAUUAAAAGAUCAAAGAUUAACGAAUGAUAACUAGACAAAUUGAUUGAGUUGCCACUAAGCCGGCCAUGAUAGGGUGGCUUGCCACGUCUCCACCUGGUCAACAUCCUUGUCAUCAUGCCAUUGAGGUUAAACUUUAAAGAAGAUAAAAAGUCUUAUUAUAAAAAAAAAAACAAAAAAGGAAGAAGAAGAAGAUAAAAAGUCUUACAAGUUAGUAGGACACAAACUGAUUUAUGAGCUGGUUAAGCCUAUUGAUUAGGGGAUAAUCGACAUUUUCUUAUCUUGUUCCCCAUCCCACUUUCAUUCCACUUUAAUCAGGGUCCCCUUGUCUCAUUUCUUAUCCUUUGUGUGGAGUUAAAAAGCCUAGUUGUAGCAAAUUUUUUUUAACUCGGGCAUUCUCUUUCUCAAAUUCUAUUAAAGAGGAUCCUAGAAAGAAUCAUAUAAGGUGGCAUGCCACAUGCCUUGUUUAGAUUCUCUUGGCUUGCAAUAAAGAGAUCAUGAGGAUCUGGAUGUGGUUGAAAUAACAUUGAUAGUUUGUUGAUAAGACAUUGGUCUGUUCAUGGAGAAAUGAGUUAAAAAAGCUUUGAGAUUCUGAGAUUUGAUUCUAAUCCCAUUUUAUUUUCCUUAGAACGACAAGUCACAUAAGGUUAUGAAUGCAUAGUUCUUGGUCAUGUCAGCUGCAUAAAGCUAGUUCUUGAUCAUGUCAGUUGUACGAGUCCAAUGUACGCAAACUUGAAAUUUAUUAUGUAAUCUUGAGGUUUUAAGAAUUAGUGGUUCUGGAUUCAAAUUUUUCCUUCCUUUCCCUAUUUCCUCUUAAGUUAAAUUCUCCUCUUCUACAAAAAAAAAAAAAAAAAAAACUAUGUAAUUUUGUAAUUCUUUUUCUUUAGGCAAUAUAAUGGCAUGAUUGUAGCUGAUCGGCAAACCUUCAAAGUUAUGGAUCACUUGCAAAAUAUGUUGUACCCGACCAACCCUGCUUAUGCUUUGUAAAUGAACCCGAAGAAUUACUCGUGGUGAGGAUCGAACAUCACAGAUUUCGUGCCAUUGAAGCACAUAUUUUGCUUUGCCAUCUCUAGAGUAAUUGGCCACCAACGUGAGGUUUAAAACUCUUCUUGGGUGUAGGUCAAGAGAUUUGCAUUCUUCUCUAAGAUUUUCUGAAAAAUUCACCAGCAGUAUAAAGAUAUCCGUCUAGUCUAAUGGCAAUUUAAACCCCUCCGAGCUUUCCUUUGGCCCCUUUGGAUCCAUCCCUUCCCCUUUAUACUAGGAGUAAGUGUAGAAGAAAAAAUAUCGUGUCAACAAAAACAAAAAAAAAAAGCACUUAUUUAUUUGCUAUAAUCCGUGCAUCUCUUUCAGUUGUAAUUGGAUUUUGUUCAUGCAGAUGGAACAACAAACUAAUGGUUAGCUUUUGCGAUUCCACAAGUGCAAAAGCACAAUUACUAGAAGAAAUCACCAAAACUGUUCUAGUUAAAUUACAAUGCUUGCAUCACUAGAACUAAUCAUUCAAAAUUUUUAAAAAUUAGAGGUCUUGGGUUCAAUUCCCUUGUUCUCCUUUAUCACUCCUUAAAAUCUUAUCCCUCCUUUAUUAAAAAAUUAGAAAAAACUAAUCACUUAAAACCUUUUUUUUAACUUUAACAUUAGUUGCAAAUAAACAUGUAGCACACAAAGAGCUGGAGAUUUAACCUUCAAGUUUUAUGUGAAGACAAUUUACCUCUUAAACUUGACCAAGCUUGACAGACCAAGUCAUCAAAAGCUAACCAAAGACAAGGUUAUUUCUAUUGGGAAAAUGACGGAAUUAGUCUCUCACAUUUCCAAAAAUAUCCUUUUUUGGUCAUUGACAUAUAAAAUGGUAGAAAUAGUUUCUCACACAUAAAAAACAUCCUAAUUUGGUCUACAACCUAUUUUCAACUGAAAAAAUGCACUUUCCAAUUAUGUGCGCAUACUUCUAGGUAAAAAAUAUAAAAAAGAAUAAUAUUUUCCUCGAAAAAGUACUCCUUCAUCCCCCUUCCACACUACCAACCUGCCACAUUCCUCCUUCUCCCUCUCUUCCCUACCUACCUGCAUCCUUUCCUCCAUUCACCCCAACCACCCAUAGCCCCUCUCUCCUUCUUCUCCUCUUUCCCCCUACCAAUUUGCACCUUCGCCUUUCUCUCAUCCUCUCCCCCACCCCCCAAAAAAAACAAAAAUCCUCCUCUUAGAUUGGGUCUUUGAAGACCAAUAUUAGAUCCAGUCUAAUCUUCAAAGACCAAAUGAAGGAGAGGGAUGGGUUGGUGGGGAAAAGGAGUGUGGUAAGUUGGCUGGAGGAAGAGGAAGAAAGAGGAGGGUGGCGUGUUGAUGAUGGGGAAGGGUGGGGGGAGGAGGAAGGGUUUGUGGGUGUGUUUUUUUAAGAGAAACAUUAUUCUUACUCGUAUUUUAUCCAAAGUUUAAUCACAUAACUUGGGCAUACAAUUUUUAGUUAGAAAUUUGAUCAAAAAUAGGUUUUGGAUAUCCAACGGUUAUCUAUGUAUAGUUUCAUUGUCUAUAACUAUAAAUAAAUUAUGUGACAAUUGGUUAUAAGCAAUUACAAAAUGAAAUUCAAAUAUAAGUAAAAAAAAUCAGCAUCGAAACAUGUUUUUUUAAACAGCAAACCCUAUUCACAAGGGAGGGACAUCACCCCAAGUUUUAUUAACUACCAAAAAGAAAAAUUACAAGGAGGGGGACAUAGAGUUAACCUCCAAAGCUUAUAUGGAAAGUAGACAUUAAAAGCCAAAAGGGAGAAGGGACUACUACUCCCUUACAUAAUGAAGAUAAGGAAAUUAUGUAGAAUCUAAACACGUAAUCUCUAUAAUUGGUGGCGGCAAUGAAGCAGCGUCAAAGAUGGCUGAAACUCAAGUCUAUAUUGGCCUUUUUUGCAAGGCCAUUUGCAGCGGAAUUGACUUCUCUAUAGUAAUGUGUCAAAAUGAAUACUGCCUUGAUUAAUACAUCAUAAACCCGUAUUACUUCCGCAUCAAUUCACCAAGGACACCUUUGCAGUCCUUUAACGGAGUUCAGCAAAGUUAUGGAGUACAUUUCUACAAUAAUGUUAUGUAGACCCAAGGUUAACACACAAUUGUAGUCCUCCAGAAGAGCCAUGAUUUCAGUUUUCAUAUUUGUUUGAAAUCCAUAGAAUGAUGAAAAUGCUCCUAAGGUGUGGCUGUGAGAGUCUCUGACAAUGCCUCCACCUCCUGAGUCUCUUGGAUUUCCAAAUGAAGUAAUUUCAUGAUGUUAUAUCAACUAAUUACGUGCUUCAAAAAGUUCCACUGUUUGUUGUUAUUGCAGAAGCUAUAUGAUUAUGCAAUUUGAAUUUUGCUUAUGGAAAUUAAUUAGUGAAAUUUGAUUUUACAAUGAAAAGAGUGUUAGUGAUUUCAAACUAUUUUUCAAGAAAAGUAUUUUUGGGUAAUAAAACAUAAUAAGACAUAAUUACAUUGGAUUUUGAAUCUAUAAUCAAAGUAUGCGUAUGGGUCUGGAUAGGUCAGUAUCUAGAUUUAGAAGUUCAUUAUCAAGGUGUUUUUUUAGGUAUUUAGAUAAAUUUUUAUUGUCAAAUUUGUAGAAAAACUUUUGUCUAUUUGAAAGUUUAUGAAAAUUAAGAAACUUUCUUUUUUUUCUCCUUCUUUUCUCUCUUCUUCUUCCUCUCUUGCUCACACUAUAGCCACUAUGGAGUUUCUAGUGGCAGUGCCGCCAUUGACCAAUAGUGGUUGGCCACCAGCCGCUAGCCGCUACCUCCUCUAUUGACCAAAAUUCAUCAAAAUUACACCAUUCACUCAAUUUUUUGUUUUUUCUUUUUUCAGCAACGGUAGUUUUUGUAUUGAAUAGACAAAAGGAUAUACACUUAUAUGAGCAAAGGCUCAAGCAGUACUAUACACAAGUGUUAGACACACUGAGGAUUGAUCCAUUCACUCAAUUUUUUGUGUAGAUUCCAUUUUUGGUGUUAAUUUUCAUAGAAAAUGAGCAAAAAGUGAUCACAAUGGUAAGAAUAGUCGAUGUUAGUUUUUUUCUCCCUCACUCUCUUCCUCCAUCUUCCCCCUUCUUCUCCCUCCCUCCCUUCCCCCUUUCGAUGACCCCUCUCCUUUCCCUCGCCACAAUCUAGACUAGGGGAGGGGAACGGGAGUUGCAAGAAGAGAGGGAGGGAGGAGAAGAAGGAAGAGGGAAAGAGAAAAAAAAGGAGGGAAAAAAGGGAUGGUGGGGGAAGAAGGAGGAGAGGGAAGAAGAGAGGAGAGGAGGAGGAUGGAUGUAAGGAGGCAGAAAGAGGGAGAGAGAGAGAGAGAGAAACAAAUAGAGAGGGUGAGAUGAUGACAAUGGCAUGCAGUGGUGUCAAUGGUGGUGGGUUGAGGUUGAAGAGUGGUGGCAAAAGAGAUAAAUGAGUGUGUGUUUUGGAGUGUUUUGUGGUAUAUAUUUUAAAACUUUUGGAGUGUUUUUAGAAAAUACUAUAGACAAAGUUUGAUAAAAAUUUGUCUAUUAAAAACAAACAAAAAAAGGCUUUCAAAUAGACCCUAGAUUUUAAUGUGGAUCCAGAUUUGAAAUUUAAUUAUACAAAAUCACACUCUACUUGUACUCAUAAUUUUCUUAUAAGAUAUGAAUUUGGGUUUUAAAAUUUGGAUUUAGACCCUUUACAAACUCCUUAGAGUCUAAGCAAUAAAUGCUACCUAAAUUCCAAAAUUAACUAUUUUCAACCAUUCGAAUUUUUGAAUGGAAAUAGACUUACUAUAGCUCCAAAACCCACAACCAAAUCCACCAAAUUACUUAUAUCGAAAAUCAGACUAGAACUUAAUGGGAUUAAAGAAAGAUAACCACUCCCAAACUCAUUUGAAUCUAGGUUAUAGUUUCAAAACAUUGUAGGUAAUUUUUUUUUUUUAGUGUAAGUAGAAAGUCUCGCGUUCAAGAUCUAUCACUUAUACUAUCAUCCAACCUAUUCCUCCCCCCAAAACUUUGUAGGUUAAAUGCAUGAACACUUACAAAAUUCAAAUUCGAUGUCAUUCUCAUAGAGCAUAAUUAAAUUUAGCUAACUUAGAUUUCUUAGUUACUAACUACCAUACAUGUGCAUGGUUUUUGGUUUAACAUAGACCUUUCCUCAAAUUUGUAAUUUUUUUUAGGGUUUGGAUUUAAACAGAUUUAGACAUGAAAUAAUGAACUUUGACAAACGAAAACAUCGGACACUCCUACGUGUUUUGUGUGGGGUUUCAUGCUUUGCAACACUACAACUAUGUUAUUUUACUAGGUUUGAAGUAGAGUAAUAUUAUGAGUGUGUUUGGAUAAGAGAUUAUAUGAGAUAAUUUAAAAAAAAAUACUGUAACAUUUUUUUCAUAUGAUAUAUAUAUAAGAUAAAAAGAUGGUUGAAAAAUACUAUAAUACUUUUUUGUAAUACUGCGACUAUGUUAUUUGUGUUAUGUUGAAUGCCCUUCGCGUAUUAAUGCUAUUAAUAGUAAAAUACGUAACAAAAUUGAUAAUUUCACAUGCAAUGCAUGUGUCAUGCGGUACUAGCACGCUGGGCCAUGGAGCAAAGGACGAUAGAAGUAAUGUUAUAAUCACAACAAACACAAAUUUACAACUUCUCUCUGUGAGACAAUAUUUGUAGGGUCUCCCACUAGAUCUGAUAUGUUCCCAAGUUUAUCAUAUAUAUUUGUCAGUGGUUAACUUUGAUUGACUUCUUUCCUCCACUAGGUAGACUCAAUAAAGUAAAGAAAAAGGUUGAAGUCGUGUGGGUUUUGGGUUUUGAGUAUGUUGGUAAACUUUUUAAGUAUUAGUUAAUUAAGAUUUUCUUUUUCUUUUUUUAAAGCUCAGGCUCUAGCUAAGUUCUGCGAAUCCUAGGUAGGCUUACAUUAGACAAGUCAAGUAAAAAUGCCUUUGUAAGUUGCAAAUCCCAGGCAAUCUUGCAUUGUAUAAGCCACGAAUUGAAACCAAAAUCUCAAAACAAUUAGAACCAAAGAUUAUAAAAGAGACGGGUCAAAAAACAAAAAGGGCUGCGAGAAGGUGUCUCAUUUUUUUUAUUUUCUUUGGGGGGUUUGGGGAAUGAAAAGCUCUGGAGGGCUAGAAACCCUUCAUUUGGCUGUCCAAAUAAUAUAUAGUCUUUCAACCAUAGCAAAAAUAAUUUGCAGAUGAAUAAGAAAUAAAUGCUUGGGUAGAUAAGUGUUCAAUCCUAAAAACCAAAAGCACUAGCAGAAAUUUAAAAAUUAAUGUUUUUCUUAAUUUCAAAAAAAAAAAACUUUUUGCACUAAUUGGUAUACAUUCACGCAAUGACACAUCAUUGUUGUUCACAUUUCAAAUCAAACAUUAAUACAAAACAUAAUCUUAUCUCAAGUAACAAAUAGAAGUGCCCAAGGCCAAAUCAAUUCGUGAAUUUUUGUAGUCACGUAUACUAGGAAGAGCUUUUCAUUAAUAUCAUUCUUAACUGGUUGAGAUUAGACCACGUUGAAGCCCCACCAGUUAUUUAGCCACUUCCCCGUGUCUGAUAAAAUAAUCAGCUAGCACAAGUUACCAUAAGAACAUUCCAUUUCUGAUUUGACCACAAGAGCCAAAAUCGAAAAAGGCUUAAUUAAUUGAGCCUCCCCUUUUUUUUUUAAUGGCUUUUUUGUUUGGCUUGUUGCUGAGAGUCGUCCAAUGUGCAUGGUUUUGACUCUUUGGUUUCAAAUUAUUGAAAUUGCACUGUCACAAGGCAUGAUCAUGAAGGCAGUCCUAGUACUCAUCGACUUAGUUGUCUGAGCCUAAGUAGACCCUAAUUAAAGCUUUUUGGUUGUUUAACACGAGUAAGAAUAAUUACAUCAACGACAAGGGAGAUUGAAAACAUGAUAUUUUUUUCCCCUUGUUCCCCAUAUGGUCAAAAAUGUAGGCUAGACCAUCUAUAUGCACCCCAUAUAAUUGCUCAUUAGACAAAUUUUGUCUUGCUCUCUACUAAAAAUCAUUACAAGUUUAGAAUGUAUGUAGGUCUAAAUGAUAGUGGAUGAGGGAAACUCAAUGAUCAUUGACUCAAAAAAAAAAAAAGGGAAACUCAUAACAUUAUGAAACUAGCACCGUUUAUCCAAAAUAAUCAACUUGUGUAGAAUCAGCUUCAUUUACAUCAUCCUUUCCAGGCAAAUCGAGCUUCUGCACUGAAGUGGCUAGAUGCAUGGAUAUUAACAAGGAGAUGGUUCUCGAGCUAAGAGUUAUAAUAUGAUAAACCAAAACAUUAAAUAAAAAAAAAAAGAAUUUUACAUGCCCUAAAACCUCCAUUUUGGACCCAAAAUUCGAUUUCUUUAGGCCUUCAACCGUGUGAAAUGGUUGCAAGAAUAUGUUAUACAAGCAUGCAUGGUACCAACUUCAAAUUAUACUCAAAUUAUACAAGCAUGCAUGGUACCAAAUUAUACUCAAAUAACUUCAAAUUAUACAUUACGAACAAAAUAGAACUUAACUUACUAUGAACUAACUAUAUAUAGAAGAUUAUUUUUAGGGUAAUUUUUUUAUACACUGUCAGUCUUAAUAUAUAUUAUACUGUAUAUUUUUUGUUCCUAUCAACAUUUUCUUUCCUUUUCUCUGUAUUUCCUAAUUUGACUCAUCAUUUGUAUGUAUAAAUGUCAAGGUAUGCACACUAAUUUUUGUUAAUAAAAAAACACGGCAGCCAAAAAAUGUGAUUAUGUUGUUUGUAACUAGGUUUACAAGAAUCAAUAAGAAGUUGUCUAGCCAUGCCCAGACGGAAGGAAACCCUUCCUAAACCCAAGCCAAAUAUAAAAUGGUCUAAUAAAGUUUACUAAUUGUCCAAAUUUGACUCCCUAAGGGACCAAGCGUGACAAAUUAGAACAUGGAGGGACUAGACUAGGUCAAAUCUUGGGAGACAGGAUUGAAAUUGAAUGACUAAUCUCAGGAGACAGGAUUGAAAGUGAAUGACUAUUACAACCACGGGAUUGCAUUACUCCCCUCGUAGAACACUAAACUAACAAAAGUUCUUCCUUAAUUCCAAUCUUUCCUCUUUUCAUUUCAGGAAAAUUGUAGAAAAAAUUCUUCACAUCUUAUUAUUCCCUCAAUUUUAAAUGUAAUUUUAGUCCGUCAAAUAUACAAAAUGCAAUACUUUGUUCGGUCGCAUGUUACUUAUUGGCUUGAAGAAGUCAGGUGCCCACUAAAUGAUACUUAUUUCAAGGGCAAAAAUGAUAUCAUACCUAUUUCUGACCAUAUACGAACAUAUGGUAAUGAGAUGCCUGAUCCUCUAAAAAUUUAAAAGCAAAGCCCUCGAUAGAGGGUAAUAAAGCAAAAUCAAACUCGUUAUGGUAACAAAAAUUUUGUUUGAGAAACAAAAAAAUGAAAUGCGGGUAGUUUCCAGAUUUCAAUCGAUAGUAACCAAUUGAACAAUUCCAAAGAUGAAAGAAGAAAUUAUGAUUUACCAAAUUAGAGAAUUUCUUAUCCUUGUCUUGGAUUGCUCUAGGGUUCAAUUAAUAUCAAAGUUGGACUGAAAUUAUCCUAUAUUAAUCAUGAAACCAGCCCAACUUACUUUGAAUGUACCCAGCCUGAAUCGGCUAAUUUUUUCCACUAUGGGUAGAAAUAUAGUUCCGUUUAUCCGACCCGAACUCGAACCCAUUUUUUCUUAAUAAAAAAGCAGGUUGAAUGCAGAAUAUUGCAUUUCGACCCGUAUUCGACUGAAACCUAUUUAAAUAAAUUAAUAAUCAUAAAAUAUAUAUAUUUAUUAUAAAAUUUGACCCGUAUUCGACUUGACUCGUAUCCGGGAUCCGUUGAGUCUGGAUCUAAAAAAUCAAGUAUAAGACUCGUCGGGAAUGCGGGUCGAAUCCAGAACAUUUAUACUAAAACGGGUCCGGAUUAGGAAUGUUGAAUUUGGUUCAAUACCCAACCCGUUGAAAGGUAUAUUCAAAGGUCAUAUGGUUGUUUUAUUUUCAAAUUUGCAUCACAUAGUCGGCACGUGAGAUUUUUCAAGUAAAAAAUAGUGGCCUAAAAUGGUAAGGUGUAAACUGCAUCGCCUUAAAAUUAAGGAAACAAAUAAGAACAAACACAAAAUGUGAAGUACCGAUUCCUUUUUGCUGUUUUCCCUUUCUUUUUAUAUACCCCUUGAGGAUUCUCUAUCUAGAUUUUGUAAUCUGGUAGUCGAAUGGACUGCCAAAUCAACAUGCACCAUUAAGCUUACCACCAUGCUUCGCAAAAGAGGUAGGGAGGGCCUAGGUCCAAAGUAGCACCACGUCUGCAUAUCUCUGCCAAAGGUGGAAAGAAUCUUCAACUGGACAUACGAAUAAACAAGAAAAUAUGAACUUUGUUCUUAAACGGAGAAUAUUCCUGUCAAUGGGGUGCCUUCCCUCAUCAGGGCAUGUGCUUAUUGAUCAUUACCUUUCAAUCCUUAAACACUACCACGACCAUUCAGUCAGCUGAAACUUAUCCAAUUGUCUCUCUUCCACACAAUGCGGUUUCCAUCAAGAUUCGUUCUCAUCAGAAGGCAUGUAACAUCACACAGAUAUGGUAUGCAGAAAGAUUACGAAAAGGAUAUGCAGAUUGAUAUGGAAUGCAGAAAGAUUAGGUGGAGCGUAUAUUGAGAGACUGUUGCUAUACCAUCGAAUUCGACAGGGUCAGUGCAACCGCACCAUACUAAUUGCCGAGAUGGGCCGGGAGAGCUUUGGUUGAUCUUCGCCGUAAAUUUCAAAUGGACAACCGAGAUCAGUUGCAUUUCAAAUGAACGGUCAAGAUCAAUCUGAGCACUCCUUAGUUCAUCUUGGCCGUUGUCUGUUCUCUACAGUUGCACCUGCAAACGCAGAUGACCUUGAUCCACUUUGACAUGAUCGAAAAGUAUGUCGUUGGGAAGUGCAAGUUUUAUCCCGUCACCUCUCAUUAGCUUUCGGCACUACAGAAAUUUUACUUUUUUUUUUUUUUAUAAAAAGCAAACUUCAUUAAUGAAUUAUUGGAAAUCGCUUAGCACGAUUUGAUUUAUAUUGUUGUUUUAAUGACAGAUUAAAUAUGCACUAAAAUUAACAGAUCAUAUUUGUACUUUAACAGAUAUAACAGAUCUGAAAAAUGUUACAGAUUUGAAAAAUAUAAGAAAAUUUUAAAUUGUCUUUAUAAAUCGUUGUAACUAUAUUUUGUGCAUAUUACAAUUAUCAGAUCUGCUAAUCAAUGAUUUUGAGUUCGAAUAAUGAUGAUGAGGUCUUUCGAAAGGGACCUAAAAUCCAAAAAAAAAAAAAAAAUCAGAUCUGACAACUACAACUGAAAUAAUUUGGAUCCAACAACAAAAGAAGGAAAAAACAUAAAGUGCUCAUUAAGAAUCCUUGAAGAAAUAGAAAAUUCUCACUAAAAACCCCUAAGAGAAAUAGAGAACUUUCACUAAGAAAAUUUAGAAGAGACUGUAUUAAAAAAAUAAUAAAACGAAAUCUAUGGAACAGAGACCAAGCCUCGUUAAAAGAGGAAAAAGAACAGAGAAAAAUUGGAGAAAAUGAGGAGAGGAGAGAGCAUGAGCAGAGUACAUAAACUUUACUUUCGGCGCGCAAGAAUUUACCAUAGUUAAUUAGAAUCAGUUAUCAUUUGUGAAUUUUGAAACCUUUAGUUCGUAUUACAACAGCGUGGGCAGAGCUGAUAAGCAACUGUACAUUUGUACAUCUUCGUUGGACUAGACGAAAACAAAGCAAUAGUAAUUGAAAGAAGAAAACAUUGGGAAAGCUACAAACAUUGCGAUUUUGAAGAUUACGAUAAUUUACAACCACCAAUUACCCUAUUUCCCAUCUCCAAAAAAUUAAAAAAAAUCCUAUACCCUUUCCCUUAAAUUUUAGGUACAUCCACCAUCUAUUUUUUUUUUAAAGCACUCAUAUUUUGAAUAGGUGGUCAGAGAAAAGGAUGGGUUAGAUGGUACAGAGGAAACAAAGUGUAAAUGAGAGAUAUCGGAUUCGAGAGCCUCCUACUUAUAUUUAAAAAAAUUUUAAAAAAAGGCAGUAAAAAUCAAAUUUAGGUACCUAUAUGUGUUGAAAACUCUCAAAAUCUCAAGUGCGUGUGAUGCUACCAGGAUUUAUUGAAAUACAUGUCUUACACUUGGGCAAGUCUAAUCAUAAAAAAGAAAAGAAAAAGUCUAACCAUCAACAUUUAAUAGUAGUAAAUAAACAGAUAAAAUGAAAAAUAAAAUAUUUUCAUUACGGCAUAUUCAUUUGCAACACGAUUACAAUACUGACGGAGUGCUAAUAAUUUUUUAAAAAUAUAUUUAAUUAACGGGUCGAUGAUUUAAUUGGGUCAUUUGUAAAGAUUACAGUAUUGGGAAAAGGAUUAAGUAAGUUAAGAAUCAAUAAAAGAGCCACAAACAUAAUUUUGGUACAUUAAUUUCGCUUGCAACUCAACACGCUUUUAGCGCACACAGAAAAAAGGACGCGUCAACUACCUCAUUAUGGUCUGGCGAUUACCGAGUGAGAGCCCACGUUUUCAAUUUCGGGUUGGUGUCUAGUUUUCUUCCAAAGUCGGUACAUUACAAAGACUUCGGAGCUGCCGGCCGUGACGUCUACCCCUCAAACAGUGAUCCUAAUAUGUGGCCUGUAUGGUAAAUUGACCCCCAAUAUUUUGACCAAAACAAAUUUUAUCCUUAAAAUUUCUAAUUUAAGGCAAAUUUAUGACAACUAAGUGAAUUUUACAAUACCUAACCAUGAAAAUCAAAUUAGAGUUAGACGAAGGACUUUUUAUCCCUAAAGCUGGAAGUUUUUUUUUUUUUUUUUAUCAAUAUGUGGUCUCUUAUAUUUCAAAUAGUUAUAUUCAAUAGUUUCAAAUAAAAUAAAAGGUAAAUUAAAUUAAAUGUAUAACAACUGUGUUCUCAAAUCCUUAAAAAUGCAGCUAAAAGCACUUCACAUUGAUACAACACUAUUCUUCAGCCUAAAGAGUAUCUCUUUGUUAAAUUAUUUACAAAAUAAAAUUUCAUCGUAAUACACAAAAAGAAAAAUUAUUGGAAAGAGCAGAAUCUUAAUUUUGAGAUAUAACUUUAUUCUAAAUAUUAGUACAGAAAUUGGUGCAUGACUUGUGGAUCUAGGUUUCAAUCAGUUAUGAUUAAGAUUCAUGGUUACAUUAACAAGCAAAAGUAAUUACCAACAUGAAGUACUCAUUGGAUUCUCAUAAAAGCUUCAAGUUGUUUUUUCUUGUCUUUCCUUCGCAUUUAAUCAAAUAUUUCACCAAUAAAGUUCAAAGUACUAAUAAUAUGUUCGUGUACAUUUAAAACUGUAUUCAAUAAUUCAAAUAAUUAUACAAAAUACUUGUUUCAUUUGAAAUGUAAUUGAUACCCAAUUGAAAUGCCAAAAAAAAAGAAAAAGAAAAAUUGUAGUUCAAUCAAUUUAAUUUACAUAUAGUUGUUUAUAUUUUAAAGGGAUAUUUAAUUGUCAAUAUAAGCAAAAAAAAAGUUUAUUAAGCUUUCUCUUGAUUUUUAAUAUUAAAAUUUCUAGUAUAUAUCACAUAAUUUCAACCCAAUUGACAUCUAAUUUUAUCCUACAACCCUCAACAUCACUAUUUGAAACUUAAGAGGUAUAAUGAUUCAAAUUCUAAACAUUGGAGACUAAAAGUGUAAAAUCAAACCUAUUGGCUAAUGGAAAUUUGAUUUUUGCCUGGUAAGAAUGGUUGAAUUUCCAUCAAUUAUCCUAAUCCUAAAUCCACCCAAAAUUAGAAUUUUAGGACUAUCUUUAUUUUGGUCGAACCAUUAGAGACCAAUUUGACACAGACUAAAUAUGUUCUCCCUUUCAAAUAUGUUUACUUGAAGCUAGUGUAACAAGUUUCGCAUUAGCGAAGAGAUGAAGGGGAUAACAGAGUGAGUGGUAAAGUCGGUACCCAAGGUUAGAGAUAAUUACUUUGGUAUACAAAAAACUACAGCUAAUGACAAAAUAUUUCCUAUGGGAGCUAUGUUCUGUACAAUAGCCAGCUAUAGAGGUUGAAAAAUGAAAUAAAUGUUAUGAAACAAUUAAAAGUAUGGAUGUCCCUUUGUAUUCCCAAGAGGAUUAAUUCAUGAUUUUAUGGCUACAUUAUGUAUAGAAGUUACAAUCCAUUAAUCUAUACAUGUAGUGGAGAAACCGUUUCAUAGGUUUCUUCAUAUUAUUGUAGUAGUGGAUGUUUAAUAGGAUUUAUGUACCUUUAAUCUUGUAGUACCUAUAUAUAGAGGUACAUUGAUACCCUAUGGAAGGACUUUUGUAUCUUAUUGAAAUAUAAGAAUAUCAUUCUCCCUUUCUCUACCCCUUCUUCAAUUCGUAUUGUAGUAUUUCAUUUUAUUAGUUUUAUAACACGUUAUCAGCACGAAAUCUCUACUUUUGAGCAAAAGGUGAAAACGGGGGCUCUACCUUAAACAAAGGUGAAGUAAAAUAUUUUGUCGAAAUUCUGUUCAUAUUUCUUCAAGAAAAUUCUGAGGUAAAUUUCUAACUCAAAAACUUAUUUCAAUUUCUUAUGGCUAAUAUUUGAAUUAUCGCAAAAUACAAGUAGUACCUACUGUUGAACAACCACUAAACACAAACAUAUAUUGUUUGAUAUCUUUGAGGUAAUAUUUCUCCUUUUAAUUUUACUUAUUUAUCUUUAUAAUUAUUUGUUAUAAAUAAUUAUAUUCUGAUGCAUUGAGUUUUGGAGAUGUUAUUAUAAAAAAUCAAUUAUAUUUGAGGAUCUACUUGUCCUUUGAAAUACUUAAAGAAAAAGAUUCGACCACCUGAAGAUGGUCGUUGUUUAACGAAAAUAUUUGCCACUAGAAGAUGGUCAUUAUUUCAAAAGCCUGGUAUGAUAAAUUUACCUAUGGCUACAAGAACAUAAUUUUGCAAUUUUCAGAAUUACUUCUCAGUUGAAAUUGUGUCGAGAAAAUUUUACCCAUAAGAUAUAUUGAAAAUGAUAUUCUCUACAAUUGAUUUCUCGAACAUGCUCCUAUAGUAGCAAUAUUAAGAGAAAUUUUGAGAAGUAUUUUGUACUUAUUGCAUGCUAAUUCUAGUCCAUUCCUAGAAGUGAAUGCGACUAAAUUUCAAUUUAUUAGUUAUGGUUGUUGCCAUGACUAUGAUUCUGGUAAAUAUAUAUUUUACCAUGACAAGAAAAAAAUUACCACUUAAAGUGGGAUGAUAAUGAUAAGGACAAGAAAAUAAGAAUCCUGAAUAUAAAUGUCCCGAAGUACAUUUGACGAAUCAAAAUUAUAAUCGCAUCUUCACAUGGCCAAUUUCUUUAAACACCCUGAAGGUAUAUGAUGCUUGAUUUAAUUUAUGAUAGUAAUUAGCUUUUCUUCCUGAAGAAGAAAUGAAUGUUAAAUAUUUGGGAUCAAAAAAAUUAUGGUGAUGAUAUUUGUCCCAUAAGAAUUAUGGUGACAAUGAUAUGUGUCUCAUUAAUAAGUGCUACUAUAUACACUAUAUUCCAAUGAGAGAGACAAAUACAAUCAGUUGUAGUGUAUAAGUGAUUGAAAAUUCCAGAAGAGCCACUACUAUAUUUCUCCCUAUAGGAGAAAAGUUUAUCAUGAAUAAAGUACUACUUUUUAUCAUGUCUCGGAAAAUUUAUUGAAUUUGAAUAUCCGUCGAAAUGGAUAUCAAAUUGAGACACUAAAUAAGACAAUAAUAGAGAUCAUGUUUAGAAAUCAAAUGAGAUAAAGGUUAAUUAUAUCAUAAUAACCAUUCGAGAGAGAAAUGGUUAUCGAUAUAGUUGUUUUCAUUCUCAUUUGAUUUAUUAUUUUCACUUGCAGUAAACCAGAAGUUUACUGAUCCCAAUGGAUACAUGAUUUGACGAAAGUGAAAAUAUUUGAGAGCCGACAAAUAUUUAUACAUACUCCUUUAUAUUAUAUAUGACUCCAAAAGAAAUUUAAAUUUUAUAUUGGGUAUGAAUCAGUUUUUACGAUUAAAUAUCGUAAAAUAUUGAUGGAUGAUCUAUUGAAUGAUUUAUUUAUUCUGAUGAACUACGAUUCCCAACAUUAGGGGGAGGAAAAAAUCAACCGAAAGGAAAUCAUCUGAAAAAUUGAAUUUCCUCGAUCCUCAUACAAAAUAAUGUGAACUAGAACUUCAAGAAAUUAUUCAUUUGCAGAAAACUGCAAAUCAAUUGUCAGAUAUACUUAUCGACUCCAGAAGAGUCAUUAAAUCAACUAUUCCUGCAGGAAAUAUCUUGAUUAAAAUUGAUGUCCCUGAAGGACAUGCACAAGUGCUACAUAUAAAUUUAAGGCCGACUUACCUAAAUCAGGUAUAAAUUGAUUUCCAAUAUCUCCGGAGAUUAAAUGUCAUGACAAAAUUCAACCUCUUGAAGAGGUCGCUCCUGAAGAGCCAACUCCUGAAGAGAAUGAAAUCAUAGAAAAUUUAAUUGGAGCCUAAUAAAAUGUAGCACUUGAUAUUAUAGAAGUUGAUGAGGAUCAUGAAUCUAAAUCGGUUGAUGAAUGUCGGUGUAGAAAUAAUUGUUCAAAAUGGAAAGAUGCGAUCCAAUCUGAAUUGGACUCACUGGUUAAAAGAAAAGUUUUUGGACCUGUAGUCCAAACACUUGAAGGUGUAAAAUCAAUAGAAUAUAAAUGGGUAUUUGUGAUAAAGAGAAAUGAGAAAAAGGAAAUUGUGAGGUAUAAAGCAAGACUUGUAGUCCAAGUCUUGUGAAAUGUAUUCACCUAUAGUGGAUGCUAUCACAUUUAGAUAUCUUGUGAGUUUUGCAGUACAUGAAAAAUUAGAUAUGCGUCUAAUCGACGUUGUUACUGCAUAUUUAUAUGAAAAUCUUGAAAAUGAUAUUUAUAUGAGAAUCUCCGAAGGAUUCAACAUGCCUGAAGCAUGCAAAUCAAAUCCUAAAGAUAUUUAUUCUAUUAAAUUACAAAGGUCUUUGUAUGACCUAAAACAAUCUAGACGUAUGUGGUAUAACCGCCUCAAUGAAUGUCUAACUAAAGAAGGUUAUACCAAUGAUCCAAUAUGUCCAUGUGUUUUUAUUAAGAAAAAUGGAUCAAAUUUUGUGAUAAUUGCGGUAUAUGUCGAUGAUCUAAAUUUGAUUGAAACUCUUGAAGAGAUUCAAAAUAGUGUUGAAUAUUUGAAGAAGGAAUUUGAUAUCAAAGAUUUUGAAAAAAUAAAAUUCCUUAAUUUACAAAUUGAAUAUUUGAAGAGUGAAAUUUUUGUCCACCAAACUGCAUAUACCCGGAAGGUAUUAAAGCGAUUUUAUAUAGAUAAGGCACAUAUAUUAAGUACUCCAAUGGUCGUCAGAUCAUUAGAUCCUAAUAAGGAUCCUUUUAGAUCGCAAGAGGAAGAUGAAGAGACACUUGGUCCUGAAGUACCAUAUCUCAGUGUAAUUGAAGAAUAUUGGAAUGCGACGAUUAAAAGAUCUCAAAUGAUGUUUGCAUCAGGGGGAGAAAUUAAUACACAAGAAUAGUGUACUCUUUUUCAUUCACUAGGGUUUUUGUCCCGAUGGGUUUUUCCCUAGUAAGGUUUUAACGAGGCAUAUUCUUUGUGUAAUGGACAUCCAAGGGGGAGUGUUAUGAAACAAUUAAAAGUAUGGAUGUCCCUUUGUAUUCCCAAGAGGAUUAAUUCAUGAUUUUAUGGCUACAUUAUGUAUAGAAGUUACAAUCCAUUAAUCUAUACAUGUAGUGGAGAAACCGUUUCAUAGGUUUCUUCAUAUUAUUGUAGUAGUGGAUGUUUAAUAGGAUUUAUGUACCUUUAAUCUUGUAGUACCUAUAUAUAGAGGUACAUUGAUACCCUAUGGAAGGACUUUUGUAUCUUGAAAUAUAAGAAUAUCAUUCUCCCUUUCUCUACUCCUUCUUCAAUUCCUAUUGUAGUAUUUCAUUUUAUUAGUUUUAUAACAAUAAACAAAUCUUUUUAUGUUUAUUUUUAUAUAGAAAAGGUUUUUAAAUGUUUUCUUUUUUGUUGUAAAAAAAAAGUUCUUUCUUGUUUUUACUAGUACUUGGUUUUCAGUUCCACUAUGACAUCCUUUUUAAAGUUGGUGAUAAUUGUAAACUUCAAGAACCUAAGGGGAAAGCACUAGAGCUCAUGAUGAAUAACUAAUUUCUAAACAAUAAAAAGUAACCAAACUCCAAAAAUUAAAAGAAUGAGUGAUAGCAUUUAAAAAAGCAAAUUUUUACACAGAAUAAAUAAAAAUUCCAUUAUCUAUAUUUUUAAUUUUAUCACACAUAAUUCAUAGUCUUUUGUUGAAGAGAGAGAUUAAGUGCAUCAUCUCUUUUAAUUUUUAAGGUUUGGAAAACUCUUUUAACUUGUAUAAUACAUAGCAAUUCAUGUAAUUACUCUUCAUCAAGCUAAAAAAAAAAUUGGUUUCUCUCUAUAUUGAAAAAUGACAAUUAUGACCUCAAGUGCAAUUCAAUGGGCAAGCUUUUUAUAUUAGCUAUCCUGAUCAGAGUUUUCUUUUGUUAGAGGAAAAAGUGUUUCAAAAAAUAAUAGUAUUUGUGGAAGGAAAAAAAUUCCCACCCUAAUUUGGUAUCAUCCUAUUAAUUAAACAAGAGCACCUUAAAUAUCUGGUGCAAUCUUCUUUUGUUUCACCAUAUGAUAUUCUAAUUAUACCCUUCUUCCAUUUUAAUUGCAAAUCUACUUAUUUUCCCUUUUACUUUUUUUAUUCAAAUUUCUUUGAAACAACUUUAGGGCCUGUUUGGAACCUGAGUUUUUUGGGAGUUUGUCUAAAACUUUACUGUAGUGCACUGUAGAAGUUUUUGAAAAAAUUUUGUAGAAGUUUUUGUAAGGUGAAAAACUUUUUUGUAGAAGUUUUUGAAAUGUUACUGUAGACAUUUUUUGGAUUAUUUUUAGAGGUAUUUUUAAAACAUAUUUUUGAGUAUUUUAUAAUUUAUAAUUUAUAAUUUAUAAUUUUUAUAUUUUUAAACAUUUAUGCAUUUAUAAUACAUUUAUAAAUAUUUAGAAAUAAAUAUAUUUAUAUAUUUAUAUAAAAAUAUAUAAAUGUAUUAUAUUAUAUAUAAUACGUAAUAUACAUAUAUUUAUAAAUGUAUAAAUGUAUAAAUAUAUAAUUAAUAUAAAUGUAUAAAUUAUAAAUGAAUAUUAUAUAAAUAUAUAAAUUACAAUUUAUAAAUGUAUAUGAUGAUUAUGUAUAAAUGUAUUAAUAUAAUUAAUAUAAAUGUAUAAAUGUAUUAAUAUUAUGUAUAAAUGUAUAAUUAAUAUUGUUUAUAAUUUAUAAUUUUUAUUGUUUAAAUAUUUAUAUGCAUUUAUGCAUUUAUAAUACAUUUAAAAAUAUUUAUAAAUAAAUAUAUUUAUAUAUUAUAUAAAAAUAUAUAAAUGUAUUAUAUUAUAUAUAAUACAUAAUAUACUUAUACUUAUAAAUGUAUAAAUGUAUAAUUAAUAUAAAUGUAUAUAUUAUAAAUAAAUAUUAUAUAAAUGUAUAAAUUAUAAUUUAUAAAUAUAUAUGAUGAUUAUGUAUAACUGUAUUAAUAUAAUUAAUAUAAAUGUAUAAAUGUAUAAUUUAUAUUAUUUAUAAUUUAUAAUUUUUAUUGUUUAAAUAUUUAUAUAUAUUUAUGCAUUUAUAAUACAUUUAUAAAUAAAUAUAUUUAUAUAGGUAUAUAAAAAUAUAUAAAUGUAUUAUAUUAUAUAUAAUACAUAAUAUAAAUAUAUUUACAAAUGUAAUAAUUGUAUAUUAUUAUAAAUGAAUAUUAUAUAAAUAUAUAAAUAUAUAAUAUUAUGUAUAAAUGUAUUAAUAUAAUUAAUAUAAAUGUAUAAAUGUAUUAGUAUUAUGUAUAAAUAUAUAAUUAAUAUUGUGUGUUAAUAUUAUGUAUAAAUGUAUUAUAUUAUACAUAAUACAUAAUAUAAUUGUAUAUAAAUAUACAUAAAUAUAUAUACAUAAAUGUGUAAUAUAUAUAAUAUGUAUUAUAUAUAUUAAAUAUAUAAUAUAUAAUAUUUAUAUAAAUGUAUAAUUACAUAUUUCUAUUAAUAUUAAUUUAUAUGGUAUAUUAUAUUUAUAUAAAUAUAUAAAAAUAUAUUUUAAAUAAAAUAAAAUAUUUAUAAUAUUUUAAAUAAAUAUAUAAAUAUAUAAUAUUAUAAAUAUAUAAUAUAUAUAAUAAAUUUUUGAGGGUGAGGGACUCAAAAAUUCAAAAUUUUUUUUUGAGGUUACCGGCGGCGCCGGAAUAAGUGACCGGCGCCGGGAGAGGUGGUGGAGGCGGUGUUUGGUGUGAUGGGUUGGGUGAGGGAGGAAGAAAAGUUUUUGAGAAAUUUUUUGUGUAUAGAUUUUUGAAGUGUAUAGGUAAAAAACUUUGAAAAGUUUUUUGGGAUUCCUGUAGCAAAAGUUGUUAAAAAACUAGUAGCUAAAAAACUUGGUAAAAAACUAGGGUGCCAAACAGGCCCUUAAUACUAUAGAGAAGUUUCCUUGACAAUGAAGCAAUGCGCACAUAUAGAGUUUGGAAAAUAAUAUCCUACUUUACCCUCAAAAGUAUGAUAAUAACAAUGAAAAACAAGCUAAACGCAUCCAAACAACAUUAAUUAUGGGAGAAAAUCUUAAGCAGAAACAGACAGGCACCUAAAAUAUAAUAUCCCAACCAUGGUGGCAGGAAUGUUUUAAAGACAACAUGUGUGAUUUAUGAAUGUAAAAGGAAUCGAAGUCGUGUCAGAGUAAAGAGUUUUCUAAAAUUUCUUAGGAGAAGGAUAUUAUAUACAACGUGAAUUUUCAACGUACAACAGUAAUCACGAGCUGUAAAGCCUAAAGUGCUAUUUCUUUGUAAGGCUAAUAAUUUCCAUAAGGAUUUUGUAGUUUAUUCAAGUGAAUUUAUAUUUUUCCAGUAAACAUGAAAGCACGUGCCCAACUAAUAACAACAAUGUUUGUCUAACGAUGCAUUUGUUAAAAUUGAAGUUCGAAAACUGAAAUAUGAAAUCUGAAUUUUGAAUCUAUUAAAUUAUUGAAUUGUUAAGUAUUAAAUCAAAUACAUUUGAGUAUAUAUCACAUUCAGUGAUAAGUAAAUAGCUUAUCACUUAUUUUUAGGAGCAAACUUUGCCGAAAAAAUUCAGUGGCACUUAAUUAAUUCAAUUGUUUUAUUUUUGGUCAUCAAAAGAAUUUGAAUAUAUUAAGAUCUAAAUACAUUAAGUGCUGAAUUGCGUUAUCAAACAUGGCCUAACACUUGUUCAACUACCUUAAUUUGAUCGAUAGUGGACCAUAUUCAUUUGUAUUAUGUCCACUGAAAGACUUAAUAUAUAUUAUGUCCAUCUCUGCAGAUCACAACAACAAAAUAUAUCAUGUGCUGCAAGAAUCACGUUCAGUGUUUCCUAAUUUUUCUGACUGAUAAAAGCCUUUAACAAAUUUAAGAGCCAAUUGAAUGGCCCCAACAAAAUUGGGUCAAUUCCAAUUUGCAUCAAUGUCAACUCCACAACCUCCUACUUUUUGUAGUCUAUUCGUAGCAAAUCUUAUCCUUCCAUCCCUAAUAGAUUUGAACAAUGUUGAUCCAAUUUUUUGUGUUUUCAUUUUUAGUGUAAUUGAUCGUCUAUAUGUAAACUGAGAUUCUUAAUCUCUUGUACAAACUUACUUCCAUCUCCAAUAGAUUUGAACAAUGUUGAUAGAGUUUUUUCUGUUUUCAUUUUUAAUGUAAUUGAUCUUCUAUAUGUAAUCUGAGAUUCUUAAUCUCUUGUACAAACUUACUUGUUCAUAUCAAUGAAAGCUAUCAUUUUUGCCUAAAAAAUGUAAUUGAUCGUCUGUGCUUUGAACCAAGGUUCAUUGAUCAUGUAAUUCGAUUUCAACACAUUAGGCACACUAAAUUUAUUAACAAAGUGCUGCAAUUUGUCUAUACAUAACAUUAAUUCAGCAUACGCAGACUAUGAAAGAAUAAUGCAUGUUUAAGAAGCUUAGCAAAACCACAAACAUUAAAAACAAAGGAAAUUUUUUGCCUAUCAUGGUUUGACGAAAAUCUAGAUGCAUGCAAAGUUUUAAAUAUAUCGAUGCAUGAAAAUAAUUUCAGAUAUGGUAUUAGAAGCGGGACUUGGAAGAGGAACAAUUAUCAGUAUAAUUGUUUGUAGGCAAUAUAAUACAAUUUGAACAAGUUGUAACUCAUGGUUAACUACUUUGAAUAAAUUUACAAUAACUGCAUUAUAUUCAGUAACUAUACAAAUAGAUCUUAUACAUAAUAAUCGCGUUCCUAUUGUAAGGUUUUACAAAAUAAUUAAGUGUGGAUUAUAACCUGUUGGCAACAUCCUUUAGGAAUAAUUAUCAACUGCCCCUUUUCCAUUAGAAGAGAUUCCAGACAUGUCUGAAAUUCAAGACUUCCUAUAUGCAUGCUAAAGGAAAGAGGAAUAUCUCUUAUGUUUUUUUUUUAUCAAAUGAAGCCAUACAGGGGUAUUCUCAUUGGAUGUUCAUAUACGUGUUAAUUACCUAGUAAUUCUGGUGAUCAGAAGUAGGGUAACGGCUUUGAAUGCAUGAAAAUAAGGUGUCGUCCGGACUAUCAACAAAUGCUUAGGGUUAUUUGCACGGCAAAUAGAAGUCGGGAAAGAGAUGAAAAAUUUGAACUCAAACUAUUUAUGUUUAUUACUUGUCGAGGACUAUUAAUAUUUUGGGAGGUGAUUGGCAGUCUGGGGACAUUCUAUUUUGUUACCAAACAAACAAAUAAUUUGUUACCAAACAAACAAAAUAUUAUAACUUGUCUAACUAUGAUGCCUUGGCAUGCUUUGUACUUCAUUUCUUGACCGACUUUGAAAUUAGAAUUUUGCCUUUUUUAGGUUUUCUGACCCAGCCUCUUCUGUCAGUGUCUCCUUUCUUCUAUCACGAAUUUGAGCCUCACAAGUCAUUGAUAAUGAAGAUAUAUUUGUUGCGUAUAAUCUUCAAGAAAUCCAUGUGAUAGAUUAGGUCUAUGUUCCUUGACCACCCUAUACAGAAUAUAGUAUUUAUUUGUUGAAAGUUACAUCAGUGGUGCUUAACCUUUUUCUUAAUUCUUCUUUACCCUAUACAGAAUAUAUAUUGCUUUCACUUAUGGAAGUGGUGGCCUAAUCUAGAAGUUUUUUUGUAUAAAAUUCUUUGGCUUCUAGUUUAAAGUAGAAAAUCAAUGUGCAUUACGGUGUGAACGCGAAUGUGAUUUUUCCAAAGAAAUCUAGCUUUCUUAGUGAAAUAAUUACAUGAAUGAUUCCUCAAAAUUGUAAAUUACGUGUUUUAGAUCCCUCAAAAUUGUAAAUGACCUGUUUUAGUCCCUCAUAAUUAAAAUCAUGUAUUUUGAUCCCCAACAUAAUUAGACAAAAAUUUUAAAAAAUUUGUUGUCAAUUCCCAUUACCAGCAAAAAAUUUUCAUGAAAAUGAACACCUAGAGCUAUGCAUUAAUAAGAUGAGCAUGUGUUCUUCAAAUGUUCCUUUCGAAAAGUUAGUGAAAUCGAAGUUGGAAGGAACAUGUUAUUUAGACAUGCCUUAUACUUUCUUUUUAAUUUUAUUUUAAAGAAAAAGUGGAGUAUUUUCAAUUUUCCUUAUCAAUUUUUGCAAAUGAAUGUGAUAUGACCACCUUAGAUAUUUAGAAAUAAAAACAAAAAAUGUGGUGAGGAAGAAAUUUGGGACAAAAUAUUAUACAAUCCAUAUCUUGGGACCAAAAUGCAUAAUUUUUGUGUACGGUAUAUACCCAAAGAAUGAUAUACAAAUGUAGUGAACCAUCUUUCCAAUUCUUCCAUUAAAUACAGAAUAUGCAGACAAUUCCUUUCAUGAAUUCAAACCUUGGACCACCAUCCAACCAUUUGUUGUUGGGAAAAUCUGAAUUUGUAAUGAUUCUGAUAACUAAUCAGAGUUCUCUAAGUAAAGGAUGUGUAAUUAUGACACAUGCACUAACAACAACACGGGAAAAGAAAACAACAACACUAGUGCUGUCUUCUUUCUGAGCACCUGGAAGUACAGUUGCCUGAGAUUGACAAACCAGCUGGUUAUUGACAAUGGAAUACUUUCGAUGACAAUUCAAUGAAAAUAAGCAAAAGAUCUUAGACACUGUUUUUUUUCCUUUUUUUUGGAUUUUGGCACAAAUCGGGUAUAUGGAAGUUCACAUGUUAAUAAAAUAUGGCUAUUAAUUGCUUGUCAAACGAAGCAGAGUAAUUUUCGAAUUUUUAUUCAAUCUUUUUGCGAAAGUUAGAACUCAAAUGCUUUAGAUGAAUGAAUUGCAAAUAUUGGUGUAUAUAUAUAUAUAUGUCUUAUGUAGUAUAUUUCUCGUUCGGUUAAUAAUUAAAAAUGCUCAAAAGUAAAUUCUUAAAGCAUUAAUCAGUCCAAAAUCUAUGUUUUCAGAACCGGACCGGAUAGCGACUCGGCCAAGGUCAGGGGUCAGGGGUCAAUGGGUUCGACCGGGGGUCGAUAGGGGUCGAACCGGAUGACGUCAUAAAUAAAAAUUAUUUAAAAAUUAAAAUAUUAUAUAUAUCAUAUCUAAUAAUAUAUUGAUAUUAAUAAAGGUAUAUUCAUACAUAUUUGAUGUUUCAAAUAUAUUUAACAAGAAAAUACAAAGAAAUUAGAACAAUCAAGUAGCAAUUUAUAUUAUUUAAUAAAUAUUAACAAGUUUAGAAUUAAAAUUAUGAAUUUAAUUGAAAAAUAACAUCAAAUUGUAGGACAAUAUUUAUAAAGUAUCAAAUAUUUGAGGUAUACGAAUAAGUUUUAACAAUUUAGGGGGCCAAAACAUAAUAUUAUAAAGUUUGAAUUUUUUUUUUUAAAAAUUACUGUUGAACCGGAAAAACCGGGGUUUUCCCGGUCAAACCCGGUCAAACCCGGUCAAACCCGGAUUUUGACCGGCUUUGACCGAGUUUUAAAAUUUCCGGUUUUCUAAGUUGACUCGGACCGGCUACCUGGCCGGUUCCCGGUUCGACCGGUCGACCGGCCGGUCCGGUCCGAGUUUGAAAACAGAGUCCAAAAUAUACUAUCACCAUGAUUGCAAAAGUCAAAAUCAAGGUGAGCAAUGUUAAAGAAAUUCCACUCAAGUGUGAUAAAUGACAAAUGUAAACAAGUCUUCAUUGCCGGCAAGGAUCUGCUGCACAACUUGUGGUGGCAGUACUUUUCAUACUAGAAAAUAUUUUCUACCCAAAAAAUAAAAAAAGUGAUGUGUCCCUAUAAUUUGGACCAAACUCCAAAAGCAGAAAAAAGCUUAGUGAAUGAGAUAUUUCACAAAUGUGUCGUUACAAAGAAGGAGAAGAAGUGGGGAAAAGGGCACAAAAAAUUGGUAACCAAUACCUGCCUAGCAUUAGCAAUGUAAAUUGAGACGCAAGCUAGCAGAUGGACGUAGCAUCAUAAUCAUUAGAUGAUGAGCCGUAGGACAUGUAAACUAGUCGUCUGAUGGAUCCCUGAAUUUUCCUUGGUCCAAUUCCAUCUGAUACCCAAAUGGUGCUUUGGGAUUUGAGGAUGGAUAAUUUGGGCAUCAUAGUUUAGCUUUGGAAUGUCAUUGGCCUGAUGCAGAUAGUCAGACAGGAAACUUUACGUUUUUGACAUAUUUGAUCUAUGAGAUUUCUUGAUUGGCUAACUUUUUGACGUUUUCUUGUUUGCUUGUACUCACUUUUUAGUGGUGUAUAUGUUCACUAUUUACGUUUUUGGCACAUUUUGAUCUAUGUGAUUUGCUUGAUUGUGUAACCAUUUGACGUCUGCUUGUUUGCUUGUACUUAUGAUUUAUGGUGCAGGUUCACUACUUGCUGGUGUGGUGAAUGUUACAUGUCUCGGUGUCCCGAUUGACUGAAUCAACUCACUAAUGACUUAACCUGUUUGAAAUGACCAAAGCAAUUUAGUAUUUGAACAUAGGCUAAUUCUAGACGUUUUGGAGAUCUUGGUUGCUAAUCGUUCAUAGGAAAAUGCUGUGCAGCUCAAAAAGUGGAUGUUAGAGAAGUUAAAAUGAAUCACGUAAAGCAAUAAGUGUCCUUCUUAUUGAUAUUCAAUUCAACUUUCUGAGGGUCGCUCUUUGUACUGUAUAAUUUUCUGUCGUUUAUAAAGAACUUGAAGGGAUAGGAAUUCGGAAAAUCUAUGAGGGCUCUCAUAAUUACAUCUUUAGAUGAUAGAUGUCACACUUCAGAAAUACAAAGAAACACUGAACACAUAUUACACAUUAUGUGAAGGAUUAAUCUUGUAUACACUGAUAGUGUAUAUACUAUCAUCAUUGAAUGCAUAAUAAUUAAUUUAAAUUUAAAUUUUAUAUACGUGUCAUAUAUUUUAUUAUGAUAGUAUAUAUAGUGUCAGUAUAUAUAAAAUUAAUUCUUAUGUGAAACCCCAUCUAAAUUGUCUUAGCCCUAGACCAGGCAGUACUAGAGAUGUAAUCGAGUCGAGUCGAGCUUGAGUAUCAUCACACUUGAGCUCGACUUCACCUGCAGGAAGGAUACUCGACCUCGAGAUCGAGUUCGAUACAUUGUUCAUAGAACUUGAGUUCAACUUGCAUGGGUUCAAGUCAAAGCAAGUCUUAUCGAGUUCGAUCAAGAAGAUUUCGAAAUUUCAUUUUUUUUUUUACAAUUUUUAAGCUAAAAAAAUUAUCACCAUUCAAAAAAUUUCAUACAACCUAAACAUUUAGUAAAUUCAAUAACUCUCAUGAGUACAAGGGUAAUUUCAUAAUAAUAAUAUAUUAAAAAAUUAAAAUUAAAAAACAUGAUAAGACUUGAUGAGCUUUCGAGUCUUGCUACUAGACAAUCGAACUCGACUCGUUAUGGUCUAUUGAUUUAUUCGAAUUCAACUCAAAAUCGAUCAACCCGAGUUCGAGUCAAAUUUUUGACCGAACUGCUCGCGAGCAGCUCAGUGCAAUUACAACCCUAGCGAUACUACUCGAUUAGCAUUCGCAUGUCUGGACUGCGGCCAUGUGGUAUAACAAUUACGUGAAUCAAACUUCAAGUACAUGUUCAAUGAGAAAUCUAACAAGAUCAGAUAUUUCUAGCAAUGCAAAACUAUAAGCUGAGAUUAAUUUUGACUAUUUUGAGCUAUCUAACAAGUCUCCUCUUUACUCUGCAGUCCAAAAAGUGGUUGUUAGAGAAGAUUAAAUGAAUUAUAUAAGAAACAUGUUUCCUCUUUCUUGUGAUUCAUUUUUAACUUUUCGAAAGUCAACUGUUUAUACUGCAAAAACUUCGUCCACAAACAAUUUGAACGGACAAGAACUUGGAAUCUAAAGGCAUCUGACAAUAAGUCUUUCUGAUCACAGAUGUCACAUGUCAAAAAAAAACAAGGAAAAAAGAAAAGAAAAGAAAAGAUGAAACACAUUUUACACCUUGGCUCUCCUUGACUAUACAAUAAUGUUCAUUCUUCUAAUGGUAAUACUUGUGAAACCCCUUGCAAGAUUAGCAUGUGCAUGUCUCAACAGUGGCAAUGUGGUGUAACAAUUAUGUCUAGCAAACUUCAGUUACAUGUCCAAUGAGAAAGCUAACAAGAACGCAUAUUUUUAGCCAUGCAAAACUAUAGGCUGAGAUUAAUUUUGACCAUAUUUAGCUUUAUGAAUAAAUUCAUCCUGAACUUGAAAACCACAUAAUAUUACUAAUGACCUAUGAACUUUUUUCCCUUUUUUUUGUCUUUUUUUUCCUCUAAGUGCAAAUUAGGAGGAAUGUAUUAAAGCUUGAAACUAGUUAGGUACAAGAGGUGGGAAACUAGCUCUUGAGGGAUGUAACUAUAUACACGUAGCUAAGUUAAGCAAUCUGCAGGUUGAUUUCUUUGGCUAGCUAGCUUAUGUUGUGGUCCAAUUUUCUCUUUCACCAUAAAAUAGAAAAAGAAAGGGAGGGUUCUAGGGGACGUAAGAAUCCAUUAUACCAUAAAGAAAGAAUCUAAAUAUAUCAUGAAAUCACAAUAAAUAUGUGUGGCCUAUUUAUCAUUGCAAUGACUAUAACAUCGAAAAUGGCUGUUGAGUGUUGUCUCAAUCGUGGAGAACUUGGACUUGGCCAUCUACACGCAUGGGAUUGGACAAUUAGUGGUUGAAAUUGCUCCAAUUUAAGAGUUAACUUCAGCAAUAAAUUUUGUGUACUAUUCAAAUUCCUCCUAUCAAUAAAAAUAAUUCUCUACUCAUUAUUGAAAAGGAGUGGUGUGUGAAAACGAGAAUUGUAUAUAUGUUUCACUAUUCGUGUUAAUGUCGACUAAUUGAAAUUGACAAUUAUUUUAAAUCUCAUCUCCUUUGACAAGUUGAUAAUGACAAUGACCUUUUGCUUUUUGAUCUUUUCUUUAAGGGCCCUAGUUUUUUGGGGCUUAAUUAAACAGUGACAAUUUUCUCAUUUCAUAUUUUAUUUUAAGUACAUAUACGAGUUUGAGAAUAUGAUGAUACAUGUGCUGAGAGUUUCUAAAAUUAGAUAGAUGUUGAACUAAUUAAUUUCCUUGGUGAUUGAUUUAAAAUUUAAUUAAUUGUCGAAUAAACAUUUAAAUAAAGAAACAAAAACCUUGAUUUUGCUAGGCGAUUAAGUAGAUAGGUGUUUCUCUUUUUCUUUUUCUUUUUUUCUCUUUUACUUGAUAUCAUCUUACUUCCACGUUACAAAUUUUCAGCUCUUUCUUUUGCUGAGAAUUAACUCCACAAGAAAUUUAAUUGCCCCCAUAAUGAACUUUAGAAAAAUAUCUUCAUUGACAUCUUUGAGCGUGUUUUAAUUUUACUUGUAGCGAGGUACUUGUUGGACUUUUCAUAUAAAUUGCUUGAUUUUGCAACUCAGAUUCAACUAUUAAAACCUUAUUUGAUAACCCAAUUCAGCAGUAAACCUAAUGAGUUCAGAUCUUUACAUGUUUAGAUACAUUUGAUAACCUAAAACAUCUAAAUUAAUUAAGUGGAAUUGAAUUUUUAAAUAAAACUUACUCUAAAAAAUAAGUGAUAAACUAUUCAUUUAUCACUUAAAAUAAUAUACACUAAAUUAUAUUAGAUUUAGUACUUAACAGUUCAGUAGCUUAACCGAUUCAGAAUUCGAAUUUUAGAUUUCAGUUUUCAAACUUUAAUUUUAUCAAACACAUGCACCCUAAAUCUUGUCAAUUGGCCUGCUAAAAUGAUUUUGAAAUAUACAUGAUUUAAAAUCUAAUUAUACUUUAACAAGUUCAUGUGAUACAAUAUCAAUGAUCAACAAGUGAUGGGGGGCAACUGUUAGAAUUAUUCUUUUUCUGAGCAAGAAUGUGUUCUAUUACUAGUGUUUAUGAAAACCAUCAAUGCUUACCUUGACAAAUUAUUGAUUUGCACUAUCACAAAACACAUGCAUUAUUCUGUCGUUUAACCUAUUAUUGUCUUGCAUGCGCUAAGAGUUUCUAAAAUCAGAUAGGUGUUGAACUCAUUAAUUUCCGUGGUGAUGUAUUAAAAUUCAAUUAAUUGUCAAUAGAAAAAUAUACUCAAAGUACCAAAUAGGUUGAUUUUUCUAGGAGAUUAAUUAUAAGCACUUUUUGUUAUUAAAAAAAAAACUCUAAUGUAAUAAAGAACAAUGCACUUAGGCAGUACAAAGAAGUAGUUGAUGUUUCUUUGAAAGGAAUUAUGUAGAUGUGAAACACUUAUUUCACCUUUUGAUUAUUCUACAAGGUAAAGAUCAAUUUGUACUACGUAGUAGUCUAAUUGGCUAGUUUUGAUGAAAGAUAAAGUCAUUUUUCUUUAUGAUUGUUCUUGUACUAUAUUAAGAAAUGCUUUUUCGGAGAUGAUAAUUUCAAAACAUCUCUCUCUCUAUCUCUCUUCUACCUGAUAUCAUUUUACUUACACAUUACAAAUUUUCAGCUCAUUCUUUUGCUAAGAAUUACCUCCACAAGAAAUCUAAUUGCCCCAAUAAUGAACUUUAGCAAGAUACCUUGUAUGACGUCUUUCGCUUGUUUUAUUUUUAGUGGUAGCGGGGUGCUUGUCGGGCUGCUCAUAUAAAGAUUUUGCAACUUCAAGGUUCAGCUGCAAAAUCUUGUCAAUUGGCCCACUAAUAUCAAGAUGAUUUAAAAUCGAAUUAUACUUUUUUUUUUUUUAAAGAUUUCUCACUUAUCCUCCUUGAUAACUCGAACCUUAAACUCGUGAUCUAUCAGUUACAAAUAAAACGUCUUACCAACUAGGCUGCGUUUCAUUGUCGAUCUAAUUGCACUUUAACAAGUGCAUGUAAUACAGUAUCAAUAUCAACAAUCAUCAAGUAAAAGGGGGGGGGGGUAUAUCCUAUAAUUUUUUUUGAGUAAAAAUGUGUUCUUUUACUGGCGUUUUAUAAAAACCAUCAAUGUGUACCUUGAAUUAUUUAUUGAUUUGCAUCAUCACUAAACACAUAACCUAUUAUUGUCUUACAUAUUAGUAUAUUUUUUGGGGGUCAAACAUCUUACAGAUUAAUUAGUUUAGGAAAUUUUUUCAAAAUUUUUUAAUUUUUUGUGUGUGUUCAAAGAGGUAAAGCAUGAGAACCUCCAUAACACAAGAAUGAAUAUUUUCAUCUUGGUUGUUUUUAGGGCCUCUUUCCCCUAAAACCUUUCUGGCAUGUGUGAUGGGCAAAGUAAAUUCUCAAUGCUUGGGCACGUAGUUUCCUAUUGCCACGUCCUUACUGGGCUACAACAUCAAGAAAUUGUCAGCCCAUUAUUUGGAAUCUGAACAAUUCUAGAUCUUUGAUGGGCUUCAAAGAAAAUUGUGCUUAUGGAUUAGGAAUUUCACCAAAUGAAUAGCAAUAUACUCUAUAUGAAUAGCAAUAUACUCUAUAAACACGAAAUUGGGCUAUAAAGAUUGGGUUAAUUUCACUUGAAUGUCCUUGAAUUCUUGCUUUGGUUCUAAAUUGGAGAGUGAGAUACUUUAGUCUUCAAAGUAUAAAGUCUAUUUCCCUUUAUUCUUUAAAAUAUAAAAUUUAUUUCACAUAGGUUCCAAAAGUAUAAAAUCUAUUUCACUUUAAUCUCUAAAAUAUAAAAUUUGUCAUGCAUAAGUAUGAAUUUGUCCCACCUCGAUCAAUGAUUUUACUUAAGCGAGACAAUUUUUAUAUUCUAUGGAGUAAAGUGUUCCAUUUCAAAGUUUAGAGAUUAAAGAAUAAACCCGAUAAACAUAUCAACAGAGUUCUCAACUACAAAAUGAAUACGUUUAACAUUUAUUUUAACAUGUUUUCUAUAUAGAUAAUAGACCUCUUGAAAUGUAUAACCAAGAAAAAAACAAUAAAUAGUCUUGCAAUGAAAAUUAACAUUACCAUAUGGGCACAGGACAAUACAAGAUGCUGGAGGUGGCCACUGAUUAGCUGCCAAAGAAUCAAACUGGAGGAGAGGUGAAUAGUUCACUCUUGGCCAACUCAUACUGAAAUGACUGAAAAUUUAUUAGUCUGUCUUCAAAACUAAAUUAAUUUGACAAGGCUGCCAUUUUUUCUGAACACUGUAAUCUAAAACCCUUCAUCUCAUACUUUUUUCUUCCUCGACUAUCCAUGCUUUUUGUUCCAUACUAGUGGCAAAUAAAGAUUGGUGAAGUGUGAUUUCCAAUUUGAAAUGAUUUUUGCAGUUGCUGCACUAUAUAUUUUACUAACAACAUUUUAUUACUUUGGUCAAGCUUAAAAGACAUUUUCUUUUGAUUUUCUCUCUAAUGAAUAAAAUUUACUAAUCUCCUGCAGGCCAAAGUGAUAAAACUAAAAUCAACAGUGACAGUCUCAACUGACAUCCAUUUUCCCCAUGUCAAAAUUUCAACAAAAUUUGUAGAAAGGACCAUAUGGCAAUUCAGGGGUCAUGCUAAUUAAACAUUCCCAACGUUAUCAAAAUUAGCUAAAAUACUCUUACGUGUACUGUACUGCAUGGUCAACAUUCAAGAACCAGAUAAUUGCCAAAGUAGUCCUAACAAAUUCAUAAGUUGUGAUCUUAGCCACCAAUAUUCAGAUUGCAUCAACUUAGGCAUUAACAUUUCAAACAUGUACCAUUUAUGAUUGUCCUAGCUUCAUAUCCAAUCAUUUUUUUUUGAAAAAAUAAAAUUCACUAAAGAACUUUUAACUCCCGUGCUUACCUCUUCAAGAGAAGAAAAUAGUAAAAGUUAACUUAUAUAGUUCCUUGAAAAUAUGAGCAUGUAUAACAAUGGUUUGCAACUAUGUCAUUGAAGUGCUUUAGCCUAUUUUUAGUACUAAACCACAUUUUUUUUUUCAGAUGGCAUGCCCUUAAGGAGAUAUAUCUUCUAGCAGUUACUAGUGCAACUAUGAAAAUAAAACAAAAUAAAAUUUGACAAGCUAAAUUGAACUAAGGAAAAUUUAUUUCCUACUUUUUUUCUCCUUUUGGAAUAGAUUCAAAUUGUGCUACGCUAAUAACUGUCGAGUCUAAAAUUGAAAAUAAUACUAAAUAGCUGAAGUCAUGAGCCAAUUAUUGGGCAAAUUUUAACAAUUAGAUAGCUCCCUUCCCGAAAUUCAAUGGAACUACUAACCAUAUAGCAUAAUCAACCAUUAACAUCUUUACUUUUUGAUAAUUAAGCCACUCACCUUCACAAUAAGACAAUUAGCCUUUCACAUUUUAAACAUUGCAUUUUAGAACGAGUGAAUGGCCCAAAAGAUCACUAAACUAUUAAAAAUGGCACCCUUUAAUCACCAAACUUUUUUUGUGGCCGAAAAGGUCACUAAACUCGCAAAAACUCUCCAGCGGAGCCAUUUUACCGAAUUUCAGCGGUUUCUCAUCCGGUGGCAUGGGUAACGUGGAAUGGAGGAAUAUAGUCAAGGGGCAAAAAUGUCUGAAAGGUUAUUGAAAUAGGUGAAGCCAUAGAUUGUCUCAUUCCCAAACCACUUUUGAACCCAUAUAUUGACUUCGUCUUCUCCGGCGGUAAAAAUAGAGACUGUAAUUUAAAAUGAGAAACAGGGAAUGAUUAAAGGUGGUGGCAAUAAUUUAAGAGUAUUAUCGUUGAGCAUGAAGAGAGGGGGAUGGGGAUGAGGACAGGAAGUGAAUCAGUAAAAUCUGCUGCUUUGAAAUCAAAUUGAGAUUUCUCGUAUUUUAAGAGCUUGACUGAAGCUAUUGGAAGUGACUCAGGCUAUACUCCAAAGUUGUCUGGGCUGGGUGCCUCAGCCCAAUAGUUCGCUAGGGCGGUGCUCAGAUCAACACAAAUAAAAGAAGAAAACCCGUAUGCCGUGUAACUGGCUCGCUGACUAGCAGAAGGCUUUAUUCCUUUUCUUUUCUCGAAGAAUGGGAUAGCACAGCACUCCCUUCAACGGCUGCCCUCGGCAACCCACUGGUGACGGAUGGGAGCACACGGCUGCGGAAAUACAAAAAAAAAGUAUCAUUCUGUUCUUUUCUUUUUCUGUAAAAGAAAAAAACAUUUUUCUGGGUAAACAUUUUUUUUUUUUUGGCUGGGUGUAGUCAUUGGAACUGCCAAGACUCUUUCCAACUCAGCUAGGUGGCUGGCGAAGGAAAUCGAAGACUGAGCAAAUAAUGGGUAUGGCUCGAGAGACCAAUUUGAGAAAGCAGUGAUGAAACCUAUGGGCUCAAAGGGUCAUCGUCGUCGGAGUUGGAUGUUGGGUCGGGGUUAGUGGUGGGGCGGAUAGGGAUAGUAGGGAGGUCGGAAGUGACGAGACAGAGAGGAGAGUGAAUCUCGGUCACAACCAGUAAACUUCUACGCUGGGUCAAAUUGAAAAGUGAAGUGUUCCCAACUAGUAAACUUCACCGGAGAAGAUGAAGUGAAUGUCGAUCGAUUGGUCAACUUUGAGAAUGAAACAAUCUGUGAGUUCACUUGCCCCAAUAAUUUUUUGGACAUUUUUGUCCAUAUCAGAAUAUUUAUUCAACUCAAGACCCUUGUAACCGGAUGAUUCACCGCUAAAAUUCGGUAAAAUGACUUUGCUGGUGCGUUUACGUGAGUUUAGUGACUUUUUUUGCUACAAAAAAAGUUUGAUGACCAAAGGGUGCCAUUUUAAAUAGUUAAGUGACCAUUUCGACCAUUCACUCUUUUAGAACCAAACACCGUUUCCAGUUUGGUUGUCCAAUGAAAAGUGUAUGAAUACAUAAUAUGAUUGACAUUCUAGUCAGAAAAGUGGCAAAAAGGUAGGUUUUUUCAUCAUAGCUAGAUUUGGCGUAAAUAAAUAAUGAUCUUGUGUGGAGUAAUUUCUUUUUCCCAACAAACUAUUAGUCACCAAAAAUUUAGGAGGCUGGAAAUGGAUCUUACGUUUGAAAUGUAAGGAUCCAAUGUUGUGAAGUUGUGACUGUCACUGUUGAUCAUAAUUUGGCAAUUCAGGGGCGGUCAUGUAAUUUAGCAGCCAAGGUGGGGUUUCAAAUGUCCAUGACGUGCAUGGUAGAGCUAUUUGACCCUAUUUCAUCUUGACUCCUUCAAUCGUUGAUCAUAAUUUGACUAUGAACGCUUUUAAAAGUGGGAUGAUAUCACAGUUACUAAACUUUCUGAUGUGUAGAAGCAAAAGUUUUCCACAAAAAAAAAAAAUAAAUAAAUAAAACCUGUAGUGCCCUCCUUCAACAAUCAGAUUACCAGGAAUCUACAAUACUCUUAAACCUCUAAUUUUUUUUCUCCUCCCUUUUCCAAACUCUCCCAUUUCUUAAUCCCCUUUUCCCUUUGCCUUAUCCUUCUUUCCAUCAAAUCUUGGAAAAGAUUUAAUGAAAACAUUGCAAAUGAAGUUACAAUCAUAGGGGAAAAAAAAAAGAUCGAGAUACUCAAACCUUAGUAGACAAUUUAUGAUUAAUUUUUUUUAUUUUAGAUGUUAAAAUUGUUUUUGGGCAUUUCUAUUUGUGUUUGACAUUUGGCUUCGAAAUUAUUCAUUGAUUGGCUUCGUGAUCUAGAAGGUAUAUAUAUCAAUGGAGAAGGGCUUUUACUGGUGCUGAAGAGGAGCCGGUUGUGGCACAGAGUUAGAGAUAGAUUUGAUGACUGAAUCAAUUGCAAUUUUGCAGCAACUUAAUUGGAAACGUCUUAUUAUCAAGUAAUAAUUUAGAUGGCAUUUCGAGUCAGCCAUAUCAUUACCAAAGGUCUCAAGUGCAUUUCGAAUCAGCCAUUCAAGUAGAAAGCGAAUUUUAGUGAUGCAUUUCAUUUAGAAUAAAUCUUAUAUACACGAACAGUGUAUACACUAUCACCAUUAGAUGCGUCAGAUUCAUGACGCAUGUAAAAGAUAGAUUUUAAAUUCAAAUUUUGUAUAAUUGUCAUUUAUCCAAUGCUGACGAUAUAUAUACUGUUAGUGUAGGAAAAAUUAAUCAUUUCAUUUAUUGGUAAUAUAUAUAACACUACUCAAACAAAUAUUAGGGUAGGAAGUGCAGAUUGCUCCAAAGGCUGGCGAGGGUAGUGCAUUAACACCAAAAGAAAGGGGGGGAAAAGAAAGGUCUGUGCACACACACCCUAAACUUUCUCAUCAUACCUCAGGAUUCCACGUGUCACCAUCUAAACCCCUCUCGCCUUUCUCUCUCCUACCCUUCACCUUCCUAAAACUGAAAAACAACAAAAACCAACAAAACCCCAUAAAACUACCUCCUUAAUGCUAACAACGUACUACUAGUGUGUGUUGUGCGUGUUUUCAUUGCAACACAGAAAUGGAAAGCAGGGUCAAAACCAAAAGGGUCUGCACCAUUGAACCCAAAAACGACAUCGUACCAACACGGAGCUGGGAUGCAAUGAUCCCAGAAAUAUUAUCCUUGAUAUUCACGAAAAUAGUCCCCGUGGAAGAAAUGGUGAGGGCGGUGAGCUUAGUCUGCAGAGGGUGGCUGGAGACGGUGGUGGGGCCGUACUGUUGGAAUGAGAUUGACGUGGAACAUUGGUGUCGCAGCCACUGGAACAGCUGCAACGCCGGCAAUCGCCGUGGUGGGCUCCUUAUUGACUCGGUAGUUAGGAAGCUUGUUCGCCGGAGCAAGUUUACCGCCGGAAAGUUCUGUGCUUAUCGCUUGGGUAAUGCCGGUUUCUCUUACAUCGCCAACUGGUAUGUGUACUUUUCUUAUCAAAACGUUUUGUUUCUUUUUUUUUUUUUGUUUUUUGCUUUGUUUGUUUAGUAUGUAUUUUUGUUGAAUAUUUCUUAGUUGCAAUACCGUCUAGAAGUGGUUUUGAAAAUGCCAGAAAGGUUUUUUGAAGUUUCUGUUUUGUGGAAUUUUACCUUGCAAAAAAGUUGUUUUUGUUUUGUUCUUUGGAGAUAACAAUAAUAUUUCCUGUUUUAUUGAAAUAGCACCUAGUUGAUUUUGCCUUCUCUAAUAGCUUGUUUAUGAUCAAGUGUGACAAUUCAAGCUUAAAGUGAAAAAAGAAAAGGAAAUUUUUAUAGUUGAAAAGGAAAAUGGCUUUGAGAUCUGAAUUCAUUUCUAUCUAGUUCUUGAGAAUAUGCUAGUAUUAGAUUGUCCAUUAGUGAGUUUUUCUUCAUGGAUUAGAUCUGGCUACUAUUACCUCUAUUUUGAAAUUAAUAAUUACUUUAGAAUUUUGUACAUAAUUCAUGGUUCUGUCUAGUGAUUUGAAUAAUCUGCACAUGUGACAUGUGUAUCAAUUUUUUUGUGUAAUUCUUGAUUGCCCAAUUGGCUUGGGGAUUAUCUAAAUAGGGCGAAUGUGGCCUUGGGAAUUCUGGUACUUCAAAAAACUGUACUAUAAAAGCUAUCCAUGUUUAAUUUGGAGCUGGAAAUUCAAUUUAUGCUACUAAAACAUUCAAUUUGUGCUCAGGAUUUGUGUUUGUAUCUGUAAAUCAAUGCUUUACACAAAAUGCACACUGUAAUUGAAAAUAGACUUUGUCAUCUAUUGCUAGUUGAAAUAAGAAGAUUCAUUCACUAUGGUCAUAUAUAUCAUCAAUCACAAUGACAUGAUGCUCUAUUCUGUAAUUGUUGCAGUGGAAGAUGUCUCAAGGUCCUAAAAAUUCCAGUAAGUGAGAUAACUGAUCAAGUAGUAGAAAAGCAUGCAGAAUUACUAGUGAACUUGACAGAACUGGAUAUCAGCUAUUGUCUGAAGCUCACAAGCAAAAGUCUUGAAGCAUUUGGGAAACACUGCAAUUUCUUGACUCAUUUGAAGAGGAACAUGCCACCACUGGAGCUUGGGGCAGUUGCGGCUUCAGAGACUGAUGAUGAUGAGGCAUUCGCGAUAGCCAACACCAUGGCAGGGCUUGACCAUCUCGAAUUUGGAUUUGCUCGCGUGACUGAUCAUGGCCUUUGCACGAUACUUACUGCGUGUAAGGCUCUUACAUACCUUGACAUUCAGGGAUGUUGGAAUGUAAGAUUGGAGGGAGCUCUUGAAGAAAGAUGCAAAGAGCUUUUGGUUUUCAAGACUCCCUGGACUGAUAUUGAAAGUGAAAGUGAGGGAUCUGUGGAAAAUGAUAGCAGAGGAGAUGAUCAGAGCUCUGAUUAAUCGUCUUCUUCUGCUUCAGCCUAAGUUACAAACAUUUGGUUCACUUUUUUGUGUGGCUCGCUUGAGGUGUACUUGUGGGUGGUUCAGCCAGGGUCUGUACUCUGCAGUCUUGAUUAAGGGAUAUUGAAAGCAAGUAAAUGUUGUUUGUGGUGCUCUUCUUUUAUCAAUGGACAUGAAUGACAAGCUAGCAGGACAAAUAUUGGUAAAAUAUUUGGAAAUUUGCCUUGGGUGGAUUAUUGUUCUAAUGAUUGCCUUCCUCUUCUGUAUCAGCCUAAGUUACGAACAUUUGAUCCACUGUUGUGUGGGUAGCUUGAAGUUUAAUUCUAGGUGGUUUGGCCAUGUUUCUGUAGUCUUGAUUGUGGGAUAUUCAAAGGAAAUUUUGUUUGUGGUUCUUUUUCUUGUAGCAAGGCACAUGAAUGAGAGGCAAACAUGAGAAGUACCAGGUGAGAUUUUGGAAAUUUGACAUGGCAGAUUACUGUUCUAAUUGUUGCCUGUUGCCAUAUAGUCUGAUUUUGGUGUUGUCAUCUAGGAAACAAUUAACAGAUGCAACUAGGCCUUUGAAACCUACCAGAUAAUGUGAUUUAAUUUGUUUGGUAUGGUAACUAAUUACUAUGUCAAUAACUUCCCCUUCCUUCUUUAAAUUUCAUCUUGUUUUUGCUAAUUAAUUUUUUAAUUUUGCAAACACAUCAAGUGUACCAAUACCACUGGAGAAAAUUAAAAGAUGUAGAUUUCAAUCACAGUCUCUUAUUGUAUACUACAUUAUAGCCUCACCAUAUAAUUAAUGGGAUCCUUUUAGAAAUACCAAUGAAUAACUUAUGGGUCACAUAACUGGAAUUUUUAAUCAGCAGGAAUCCUAAAGAUUCGAAUCUUGCUUGCUUCAACUUCAUUAUAUUCAUAUGGUAGGUUGAUGAUAUACAGGGCCUACCCUUUAAGAGUAAAUUAUCAUGUUACCCUUGGCCACAAGACGCAUACCUUCUCUUACAUCUAUAAAUACCCUAAUUGUGUACCAAAAUGGUAAUAAAAAACAAUUGAUCAAAUUCUUGUCUCUAGACUAGGGCUACAAAUGAAUAAGUUACUCGUGUGUGCUUGUGAGGCCACUCGACAGCUGGAGCUGACCAAGUCGAGAUCGAGUUCAAAGAUACUCAACUUAUUAGCUCGUGAGUCAACUCGAUUAUUUAUAUAUAAUUUUCAUAGUGAAAUUACAUAUAUAUCUCUAAUAUUUAUUAUUUAUUAAGAAACAAUUACUAUUUUAUUUGUAGACACCAAAUUUUUAUCAAUUUUUAAUAUUUUCCUGAAAUUUUAUCUAUUUGAUAAGUUAUUAUUAUUAUCAUUUUUUUAAUAUAUAUUAAUGUAUGAUUUUCUCAUUUUUGUAGGUUUGUUUUUGGAAAAAGAAAAAAAAAACACAAAACAAAAGAGAAAAAUCAAGAAAUAAAAAAUCACUUUCAUCAUUUUCCCUACCAAAACAACUAUUAACCCAUUCCACACUCAAUUGCCAUGGACCUUUCUUUUCAUUAGCUAAGAAAUCAUCAUUUUGGCAAAUCCAACACACAAGCUCCACUUUGGCUACAAGUCCCUCUCGGUUCUCUGCUCUCUAGACAGAGAGACAAAAAAAAAAAAAAAAAAAAAAAAAGGCACUCUAGCUCUCAGACAACUCUCGGCCCUCUCCCUCGCAGAACAAGAAAAAAACACAGAAAAAAAAAAAGAGAAGGGAGGCACUCAGCUCUCUCUAGUUUCAGGAGACCAAAAGACAAGCCACAAAAAGAAAAAAAAAAGCACUCCAAUCCCUCUGGGCUCACUUGGCAGAGGCAGAAAAAAAAAAAAAGAAACGCACGAGAGAAGAGGAAGGGAAGCUCUCGGAAUUUUGCAGCCUGCCCCCUCACUCUCCCUCUCUCGGACUUGGGCGGAGGAAAGAAACAGAACAAAAAAAAAAAUCUUCCCCAACUCCUCUCGGUUCCAUCUCAACCUCACACACACCUACAUUGAGGUAAUUUUUUUAGUUUUUGUCUAGCACAUUAAAUCAAUGCUUCAUUGUUUAGUUUUCUUUCAUUUCUGCUGGCUGCCUUGUAUUGUUGUUGUUGCAUUGCUGAAAAUUGGGAAAUGACAUGAACUAGACGAAGGAAAAGGAAAUGUUUCUCAUGCAUGCAUAUUAACCGUUUGAAAAAGUGCCAAAAUGACCAACGAAUUAAAAGGCUGAAUAUUGUGCAUGUUGUUGUCAAAACGGAUGACCGUUAGCUAGCACCAGGCCUGGAAAUGUGUGCUUAUCUAAAUUUUUUGGAGUUUUGAGCUUUAAAGGCAUUAGAAUAAUUUUCUUCAUUUUUGGGGCUGUUUUGAUUUAAUGCAUCCUUUUGUUGUUGUUUACUUGUCAAACUAAGAUUAUAGUUGUAUUGUGGAAGUUAUAAGGAGGGUUUUGGCAUAAUUUUUAUGAUUUUUGGUGAAGAUUUGAGGGUUUUAAAAAAAUAAAAACUGAACUGAUUUCUUGGCAUUUGGCCACUUUUGGGUCAUUUUCUGUAAAAACUAAGUUCAAAAAUGGAACCUACGCGAAAAAUCGAGUGAGGGGGUGUAUUUUGAGAAAUUUUUGAGAAAUUUUGGCGACCGGAGAGGUCGCCGGCGGCGGCCGCCGGUGCCACUUUUGGGUCAUUUUCUGUAAAAACUAAGUUCAAAAAUGGAACCUACGCGAAAAAUCGAGUGAGGGGGUGUAUUUUGAGAAAUUUUGGCGACCGGAGAGGUUGCCGGCGGCGGCGCCACCGGCGGCCGCCAGCUGAAGCUUCCUCAGUUGGCCGAAGAAGAAGGAAGAAGAAACGAUUGGGGAAGGAAGAAAAGAAGGAAAGAAAAGAAAGAAAAAAGAAGAAGAAAAUGGUUUGGGCUAAGUUUUGUGGGUUUGUGGUUAUUUUUGGUUGGAUUUUGAAAAUAGGUUUUGGUUUAUUUCUUUUGGGUUUCAGUUGGGCUUAAGGGAUAAAAAGGCAGGCUGGCCUGUGUGUUUGGCUUGGACUUUCGGCUGGGCUUAGGUAGUGUUCGGCCCAAAUAAAUAAAAUGAUGGCCAGUAGCCUGUUUUCUUAAGAAGAUCAGAAACCGAUUUUUUCACUUUAGCCCCUUAUCUUUGGAGUAGUUUCACUUCGGCCCAGAACAUUUUAAAUUUGUUUCACUUAGGUCCUUAAAUUAAUUGCACUUUGGUCCUUUAAUUUUAUCUUUUAUUUAAUUUUGACCUCUAAACUUUGGAAAAAUAUAAUUUUUGUCCCCAAAAGUUUUUCAAUUUUUGCAAUUCAGCCCCUGAUGAAUUUUGACUCUCUUUAUUAUGAUUGUUUCUUUUCUUUAAUAGCUAAUUAUGUUACUUUUGAGUAGGUUCAACUUGUAAUUUUUAGAUAUUCUUAAAUUUAUUUACGUUUGACAUAUUGAGGUGAAUUUUCAUUAUUAUUAGUUUUUCAAUUAAAUUGGUGCCAUGAUUCUUUUGUUCAUUUUGAGUAUAAAUAGAGCAAUUUGACUCCGUUUAGUCACCACUUCAAAAGGGAGGUACCCCAUUAUUAUUAUUUCAAUGUCAAUUACGUGCUCUUAUGUGCUUCUACGUGUUCCUAUGUGUUUAUAUAUUUUUAUAUGCUUUGUUUGUUUGAUUUGAAUGUUCAUUUAAAUUUUCUUAUGUUUGUUUAGUUAAUUUUAUAAUUAUUUGAGAGGCACUUAAAUACCUCAAAAAUAUAAUAGAUAGGAUAAUUAGAUUUGUUUUAUUUUAUUUCCCCUUUUAGAUUGUAGUUAGGCGCUCCCCGAUGUAAUAGAUAGGUUGUGUGCUUAUGUGGCUUAUGUGUUACGUGCCUUACCCGCUUUUCUUAGGAUUUUUGCAUCUAGAUAUUAUGCUUAUGUGUUACGUGCUACGUGCUCUUAUGUGUUUAUUUGUUUUAAUCUAUGUUUACUUGUCUUAUUAUAUAUUAAAAAUGCAUGACGUCACCACACUAGUCCAACGCUAGUUGUGGUUUCUCCCUCCGUUUACUUGCUAGUCCAACGUUAGUAAGGAUUUUUAGAAAUGGGCUAGUCCAACGCUAGACCAUUUAGGUUGUCUUGCGCUGGAUUCAUCUUUGUGUGCUAUUCACUACGUUUCCAUGCAUGUUUUUAUUUUUAGGAUCUUUUCUCAUUUGUAUGAUAUUCCCUAUUAUAUUAUCCCUUACCCGCUAUAGGUGCUAAUCAUGCCAUUUAGAAUUGCAUCUCAUUUAAGCUAGUUCAUUUGCUUGUUCAUGUUAGGAUAAUUUUUUUUCAAACAUGGAAAAUGGGUAAUUAUAACUUUUUAGUUUAAAUACCCUACUAAUCCAUGUAUAAGAAAAUUAUGUCACGAGUUUUUGCCUCCCGUACCUUUUAUGUUGCAUUCCCUUUUUCUUUGAUCACUUAUAUAUGUAUAUAAUUUAAUUUCUUUUCUUUUAUUUUAAUUUCAUCAUUCGCAUAUUCGUGACACAUUCAAGGAAUCAUUGUGGCCUUCGCAAUUAAUGCGAUUGGUUCGAUUAAAUCCUUGAAUGGAUAUUUUGACCCUUUCGAUAUUUUAUAAAUUUAGAUUUGCAUCCAUGUAGGAAACAUCCAAAUAUGAUAAAACUAAUGGUUAGAUUAGAAAAAAUUUUGACUAAACCUCGCAACUAGUUUCGACUAGGUUGAAAGGGUGCCUUAGGUUUGAGUCAAUUAAACCUUUGCCUUCCCUUUCUUCAACCGUGACUCCUGAACCUAUUUUCUCUUGUUUUAAAAAACCUGGAGUUGUCAAAAAGGGUUUUGAUUUAUUUUAUUUUUGUCAAAAAAAUAUUUUUUUGGCUGACUUGGUACACCAAAACUCCAUACCAAGUGGCGACUCCUAUUUUUUCUUAAAAACCCUUUUAGACUAAAUUUUGGACCCAAAUUGUCGCAUUCUUUUUAAAUCCCAUUCUAGGUCCUUUUUCAUUUAUUAUUAUUAAAUCACAUCUUUUUAUAAACUCUUUCUUUUUUCCAUCGCGAAAAAUGGGGCGCGACAACUUGGCAACUCCACUGGGGACGCUAGAGAGUCCAAGCACUUGGUUUAGUUGUCUUUUCUUUUUCUAACCAUUUCACUUAUCAUAUUUGGAUGUUUAGGUUGCAUAUUCCUUUUACUUUUUCUUUUUCCUCAUUUUUAGGUUCACAUCAUACGUGCAUGCAUUAUUUUUAUCCUAUUUUUUAUUUUUUUCUCGUGGGCGCCAUCCCACAUCUCCUUGUAGGAUUAGGAUCGAUUUCCUUAGGUAGGCGGAUGGUGUGCUCUGCGCCCAUAGCGAUGCCUAAGGGAUCACUCAAGCCACCGAUCGAAGGUUUUGGGAUUGAUGACCCCUUAGCCUUUUGGUCUGAAGGCUUAGGAGUCUGAAAGCUUAUUGAGUCUAGAUGCAUUAGUAAGCCAAACCUCAUGCAUCCAUAUUAGAAAUUACUUAAGAUAGAGUCAACCUUACCCGAUUAGAGACACUAUUCACGAGGGGAGGGAUCCAACCUCUCUUUUCUUUUUAUUGUUUUAUCUCUGUGUAUUGCUUUGCUACAAUGUGUUAUAUGUAUUUAUCUGAUUGAACUAACUUUUCUUGGUUUUUGUCUCCAUUGCAUUCAUAAGCCCUAGAAAAUAAGAGUCCUGACAUAGUACUCUCUAGGAGCCUACCCUAUUUGAUGUGACACGUUUAAAUUCAAUGUUUCGCAUUUGCAGCAUAAAUACAUUUCAUUUUAGGCUUACCCCGGUAUUUAAAUGGGGCACUUUUAGAUCAUAUGUCAAUUAUUUCAUUGCAUAUUUAACCGCUUUAAUAAACUGGCAUCAUACAUCAACUUUAGAGGGAAUGCCGCAUAGGGGAUCCCGCGUUAGGAAUAAGCCGCCUUGUGUCUCAGAUAUGUAAUCCAAUGAGACUUGCACGUUUAUAUUUUUUGUACCAUCCAAAGGGGUAGUGCACAAGGUAAGGUAGGAUUCGAUCAUUUCCGUGUGAUUACAUUGAGAAUGAUGGAACAGUUUUUACACAUUAGAAUAUGAGUCUUUAAUAAUCACUUUUUGGCCAUUUUAUUAGAAUUGAUAAAAAUUCCUUGCGUAAAGGACAUUAAGUUGAAGAAAUUCACAAAUUCCUCAUUGUUGAGAUGAUAAGUAUGUUAAGGCCAAAUCUUGAUUUUCGAAGGCAUAUAGACUAAUAAAUCACAAUGAAUUUUUUGAAACUACUAAUGGGCAGACAAUUCCAUCGAUUUUGAUAAAUCAUCAAUUUCAUUAAUUCCAUUUUUACAUCUAAGAUAAUUGAAUCGAUUUUUUCAUGGAUCAUUCAAUCCUUACAAUUUUGCUCAUUAUUUUAAUUUCAUUUUCAUUCAAUUUCAUUUUGGAUAAAUCAUCAAUUUCAUUCUGUUUAUUUGGCUAGUGAUCCAGUCGAUUUUUGAAUAAACUGUCAAUUCUAUCUAAUCCAUUUGACCAAUUUAAUCAUUUUUAGGACAAUACAAUCAAUUUUGAAUAAAUCAUCAAUUCCAUCCAAUUCAUUAUUCAUUUAGUCAAUUUUAUUUUUUUUGAAUAAAUUCUCAAUUUCAUCCAAUUCAUUGGAUCAGUUUUAUUCACUUUCAGGAUAAUCCAGUCUAUUUUUGAACUAACCAUCAAUUUCAUUCGAUUCAUUUAACCUAUUUAUUCUCUUUUAAAGUUUCGAUCUAUGGUUCACCGAAGAAACUAGUCGAAACAUUUCAAUCCUUUCAAAAGUAAGUUUUACACACUAAAUUGAUUUUGAUAUCAUUUUAUGUGUCAAUCAAAGCAAUCAAUCCAUUCGGACUUUGUCCUCAUUUUGUUAGGACAAAUUGUCUCUUGUCACUCCAAUUAUCCAGUUUUUUCAAAAUUGUCUUUUCAUUGAAUCUCAAUAAGUCGAUCGGAUCCAUCAGGUAUUGUAUGGUGCCUACCCCAGAGGAUUGCAUUUUUCAUACUAGGCCAACCCUUGGCAUAAAAGGGUUCUCCCAUAGGACAUGCAUACCGAUUUUGCAGUUUGCUUACUAACUCUGGGUGUUUUGCUUUUAUUUUUUCCCCCUCCCCUGCAUUUAUAAAAGUUGUUUCAACAAGGUAAAAAUAUUUUUCCUAUAUCUGAUAAUAUUUUUGGUCUGAUAAAUUUUGAAAAUUACAAGUGUUACUUGAUUCUUGGGCAGAUCCUACAAUGUAAAAAAAAAAAAAAUGAUGAUGAAAAAAUGAAUGAAAAAUCCAUUUGAAAACGCUAGUGUAAAGUAUCUCAAAAAUCUUUUGAUUCAUUGUUUCUAAUAUAUUUUGUCUCAAAAGAUAGAAAGAGAAAGUGUGUAUAUAUUUGAAAAUGUAUUCUUUAGAGAUUUUUAUUUGCUCACAUGUAUUAUAUUUGACAAAAAAAAUUUCAAACAUUUGAAUAAUAAAGUUUUUAUUUAGACAAUUAUUGUUUUGUAUAUAUUCAUUCUUUAUUUGCUCAUUGAGAGAUUUCAUGAUAGAUUUUAAGGAAUAAGGCUAAAUUGAAAUUUUUUGACCUUUUAUUCGAAAUUCAUGAGUGCAUGUCAAAUUCCCAAAAUUCUUUGCAUACACUAGAUUUGUGGCCUAAACUAUUCAAUGAGAGUCGGAAAUAAAAAGGGUCAUUCAAAUUUGAUAGCUUGUCAUAAAAGAUCAACCCCAACACUUUUCAUUUUCAUUUUUUGUCCACUUUUAUUGAACCUCCAAGAUCAAUCGCAUUGGCUGACUAGUUUCAAAGUGAGAUAAUUUUUUUUCGUGAAAAUGUCCGGUGGGUCUAACCAGAUUCAAUCCACAUCUAAGUGAAAGCAAAAAUGCACAUUACUUUUUGUUUUGUUUUGAAAAUUUGGAAUGAUACUUUGGGCUUUCAUCUCUCUAUCUAUACAGAUUCUAUCAUUUAUUUUCCCAUUUGAGACUUCAAAAAAUAGAGUUUCGUUUCAAAUAAAAGCCUCAAUGAUCAUGACCCUUCACGGAAAAAUUUUCGAAUGUCAAAUGGAAAUGGGUUUUUCCAACGGGUUAUUCUUUACUUUGGUUGUCAUGAGAAAUAAGAAUGAUGUUUUGGUCAUCGUUUCUACCAUCUAAACACUCUUAUCCUUUGCAUCCUCAUUUGAGAUUAAAUUGGUGGUUCGUUUCAAAAGCACUUAUGAUUGCACCCCCACACUGGGGAAGGAGAUUUCAAAAAGAAAAAAAAAAGAAGAAGAAGGGAGAAAAUGCUACAAGUUGGGGGAUUUUGACUUUAACAUUGAUAUUUGGUCUUCAACAUCAAAAAGAAAGAGGGGCCAUCUACACUCCAAAUUAGGGAGUUUUCAAUUUUAUCAUUGACCUUGGGAUAUCAGUAUUGGUAAAAAAAAUAAUAAUAAAAAUAAUUAAUUAAUUAAAAAAGAAAAGAAAAAGAGAGAAAAGAAAAAUGUGAAAAAUGAAAAAUGAUGAAAGUGAAAAAAAAGAAAAAUGCGAAGACAUCCAAUGUUGAAUUCCCUCUAGUGAUUGAUAAAAAAAAAAAAAAAAAAAAGAGUCAAAAUGGGGUCCCGGAUUUUAAAUCCAAAAUUGGGGCAAAUUUUGGGAAGAAGUGCGAUCUUAAGUGCAUUGUCCUUGAAAUUUUUAUUUUUUUUAGCUAUCGUUGUCAAGCCACAUUACAAGUUCAUAAAGUCCAUUGUUGACUUAUUUUUCAUGACAAUUUGAAGUGAAAAUAUUGUCUCUAAGGAAUUUACCAAUCACUCAUGAUCAUAAGGCCAUAACCUGUUUUUAUAUGUUUAGCUAUCGUUUCUACCCAUAUAUUACAAACUUAUAUUUCAAAAAAUAAGAGUGAUAAGUUAUUUGCUUUCACCAAGAUCUGAUAUUGAAUGUGUUGGAUACAAUUUGGUCACAAAAAAGAAAAAAAAAAUACAGAUCCUAACAUACCAUUCCCCUGAGCCAUCUCAAAAUCCUGAAUAAUAUCCAUUCGAUUGGUUCUAAAAGAUGAGCUCAUAAGAAAAGUGAUCCUUUUCCCUCAACACCAAUCCCAAAACAAGGAAGAGAUCUUUUUCAAUUUGGUCUUAUUUUGAGGGAUUUAUCAUGGAAUCUUCUACAUGAGUUUGAAUAUGAUAUUUAAAUUCUUCAUUUGAAAAAUAUAGUUUCUAUUCACAUUGUAUGUGAUUAUUUUGCAACUAAAAUAAGCCCAAAUCGGGGCAAAUUUUUUUUUUUUGUAAUAUCUGUGAGAUUUCACCAAAUAAGUUCAAAUUGAGGCAAAAUUUUAUAAUACAUUUGUAGGGUAUGUCCAAUAUCAAGUAUAUAUUUUUUAAAAUCUUGAUAAGUCAAUACUUUGCAUGAAUCUUAAUUGUUACAUCAUUGCUCAAAAAAAAAUUAAAAAAUUCAAGUGCUUUGAAAAAUUUCCCUUAUGCAGGUGUUUAUGGUUGAGAUCGAGGAAAAAGUGCAAUUCAAAACUUGCAAAUUUGGAGAUUAAUCACGAAUAAAAAUGGAGCAAUGAUGCUACAUUGAAAAAUGGAGGAUCGGCUAUUUGCUCAAAAGGAGUACAUACUUCAGCAGCCAACUUGAAAAAAAAAGAGAAGAAAAGAAAAAAAAAGAGAAAAGAAAAAGGGGGAAUGAAAAGAGAAAAAAAAAAGAGAGAAAACGAGGGAGGAAUAAAAUAAAAGAGAAAAGAAAAGAAAGGGAAAAUAAAAAAAGGAGAAAAAAAAGAAAGGGGGAAUGAAAGAAAAAAAAAAGAGAAUAAUAAAAAAAGGAGGAAAAAAUGGAAAAACGAAAAAAAAGAGAGAAUAAUUAAAAAAAAGGGAUUGAAAAAAAAAAAGAGUUUUUCCUUCGAUUUUGCAAAUUUUGCAAUUGAACUCUGGGAGCAUUUCAUUGGAGAUUACAUUUCUAAGUUGGGGCAACACCUUGCCCUCUUAUGCUGAAAUGGAAGUGGUAAUACAUGCCAAAACCGAGAUCCCGUCCUUGCACAUUUUGACAAAGGCUCAGGCAGAAGAAAUCAAAUGGAUUAAGGAGCACAAUGAGUUGCUGUCUCUGAUUGAUGAAAAAGAGGUUGAAUGUUUGUCAUGGACAAUGCUAUCAUCAAAGGAUGGUUCGUUAGUUAUGACAAGAAAGACAAAUCUUGCUUAUUUGAAGUGAGGGAUAAGAUUUUGAAGUAAAUUCUUCCGAUUCAAGAGGAGGUUAAAGAAAAGUUUGCUCCGACUUGGCAAGGGCCAUUUAUUGUUCAAAGAGUGCUAUCCGGAGGAACGUCUAUUCUUACAUAACUGGAUGGACAGGUCUUUCCUCUGCCAAUCAAUUCAGACAUGUGUAAUAAAUUCUUUAUCUGAUUAUGUGAUUUUUCUUUUUGAAAUACCAUCUAUGGCGGAUCAAAGGCGAGCCUUCUUCUUUUCUUUUUGAACAUCUUAUCCCUAGUUUUCCCCACUGAACCUCCAGAAUAAUUUAACCUUUCAUUUGAUAGCCCUCCUAAAGAUUGCAAACCCCAUACUGGGGUAAAUUUUUAUCUCCUAUUUGUCAUGAAAAAAAGAAAAAAAGAAGUCAAAAGUCAAACUGGGGCAAUUUUUUCGGUUUUAAUACCCUCAUACUGGGGCAAAUAUUGAUAGAAUGCGGUCUUAGGGUUUUUGAAACCUCUUUGAAGAUUUUGCUUUAAAGCCUUAACACUUUUUCUACACCUCACAUGACCCCAUAAUAAAAAUCAUAAAGUCUCGACCUCCGCUUUAGUGGUAUUUCUAAUAAAAAUCACUUAAUCAAAUGGCAAUUGAGGUCAGUACACCUUCACCAUUUUUACAUGGGAAGGGUUGUCGCGCUGAUGCCACCCUUUCUUUAAAUACAUUUCUGAGUUGAUAAAUGUCGUUAACAAGAUUUGUUCAUUAGGUGAAAACCUGAAAGGGUGUCUUCAAAAGAAUGAAAAAAAAAAAAAGAAAAAGGGAUUGAAAAAAAAAAGAAAAGAAAAAAAAGAGAAGGAUGAAAAAGAAAAAAAAGAAGAAAAUGAAAACAAAAUAAAAUAAAAAGGUGUGACCUUUGCGAAAAUCCGAAAGGUUAAGGUCAUCAAUGUGAGAUUUUGGAGCACAAGAGAAUCAUGAACGAAAAGCGGGUUGCUGACACUUGAGAUACUGGCCAUUCAUUCAGAUCUGGUCAUUAGAAAAGUUGAUUUGUGGUACAAAGUGAGGUAUGGCUGACUGAUGCUGGAAAAUUGAGAAGAUUCAAAACAAGUUGCAACACAACUCUUGAGGAGCAAUUUUGACAUCGAAAGAUCAUACUUGCGUGGUUCUCAGGGCCAAAAGGAGCACAAGGAAUCACAUGGUGUUGGUAUCAUAUGAUCACUCGUUUUUCUUUUUCAAAAGCAUGAAAAAUGUGGCUAAUUGAUUGAAAUAUUGAUGCUUCCCAAAAUUAGCCGUCAAAUGUGGUUCUUGAGCUGGGUGGUAUAAUUGUAUGCCCGUCGCUCCUACAUGGCGCGACGGGCAGCCAAAUUUUUUUUUUUAAAGUUCUUCUGGCCGUCGCGCCAUGUUGGAGCGACGGUCAGAGGUGUCAGAAAUUUCUGGCUGUCGCGCCAUGUUGGAGCGACGGUCAGAGGUGUCAGACAUUUCUGACCGUCGCUCCAACAUGGCGCGACGGUCGGGAAUUUUUUUUUUUUUUAAAUCCUCUGACCGUCGGUCCAACGUGGCGCGACGGUCAGAAAUGUUUUUUUUUUAAAAAAAUCCUCUCAGUAAAAAAAGAAAAUUUUUUGUUAGGGUUACACUUACGGUAAGGGUUAGGGUUAGGGUUUACGUUACAAAUAAUUUAGAAUUUGUUUUAAUAAAAAAUCCUUCAACUCAGUGAUUUAGAAAUGUUUUUUUUUUAAAUCUUUGUCCAAUUCAUUUGGAAAUUUCUCAAAAAUUUUUCUGUAAAAAUUAUUUAAAAUGAAAAGUUUUAAAACAAUGCUUUAGUUUGACAAAAUUUUAAAAACAAGUAUUUUAAAGGAGAUUAGAUUUAAAAAUUUUGAUCCAUUUGUUAAAGGAUUUAGGCAAUUCUUAAAGAAUUAAUGUUUACCAUUUUAUCAAGUUUAAAUUAUAUAACAUGCGUAACUGUUAUGAUUUGUUAAAUUUAAAAAUUAAUUUAAUAAUAUGAUUUAAAUUGAAGUGAUUGCGUAAUGGAUAAAAGUAUUGCUUAAUAUUAUUAUGAUUUGUUAAUUUUAACUUUAUUAUGUAUCAUGCACACAGAAUGUUAAAGGAACCAUAAUUGUAUAAAAAAAUGAAAAAUUAUAAUAUGAAUUACGAUUUAUAUAUUUGAAUUUUCAUAUAAAAUGUAAUGGUAUAAAAAUAUUAAUAACAUAUUUGUAGAAAUGAAGAAUUUUUUGCGUUUCAUUAUUUGAUAUACGAUAAUUAGUUUUAAUAAUUUAAUCUAUUAAAAUAGCUAUAAAAUGACUAGUAUUUAUUUGUUUUGUAGGUAUUAUCGUAUAGGGACCCUUCUAUCCAAUUAUAGGGUUUAAUAAAAUAACUUGUACUUCUUUAUUUUGAAAAUAUUUAACGUUAUUCAAAUUAAAAGUGAUUGGAUUAAACAGAAAAAGUAGACAACAAAAUUAAAUUAAAUGUCAUGUGAAAUGCAUUAAAUUAAAUGGAUGAGAUAUAAAAUAUCGUCGAAGACAAAAUAAUAUCAAUGCCUCGCAGUUUUCUUGCCUUUACCUUUAGCCUUGCCCUUAGCCUUGCCCUUAUCCUUCUCCUGAGAUAUCGUCGGGGGACAACAAUAUCUAGUAGCAAGCCUUCUCUGACGAUUACGUUGCACUCGUUCUCCGAUAACUAGAGUAGGAACUUGUGGAACAGCAGUAGAUGGGCCAUAAUCUUCAUCUGCGUUAUCAGAGACAAGGGUAUCCUCGCCUGUCGACUCAGCUGUCCCAUCACUGUCAUCAGUGUCUUUGGAACGAUAGUCGUUAAAAUUUCCUGGAACAGUAUGUCCUGACAUGCCCAUUGGUUGGGUAUGAGUAGGCAUGAACAUAGUCUGACCAAGAGUGCAAUAAUCCGGAAGAUCUACAGUAGUAGAACCACCUCCCGUGGCACCAAGCAAAUCAUUUAUUUGGCUAAAGUCUGCAUCUAAGGAACCCCCAGAUGUAGUGGCAUCGUACCCAAAUACAGGUAUAUAUGGCGAAGGCGUGAAUGGUGAACCAAACGCAGGUAUGUGUGGGGAAGGAGUGAAUUGUGUACCAUAAAUAGGAAAGUGAGUGAAUGGUGUAAACUGUGGCAAAGUCGAAACCGGUGUAUGUAGUGAUGUAGAAAAAUGUGUACCGGUCGACCUAGUGCAAUUUUGAGGGUCCACUUCAGGGUCACGAUGCUCUGUCUCGUUGUUGUCCUCAUCAUGCAAGCCAUGCCUAUGUCGUCUAACUCCACUGGUAGAUGCUCGAGCUUGACGAGGGACAUGUCCAAUUGGCCUCUCAUAAGGAACGUGCUGACACUGUGUUUGGGUCUUAAAUGGGUCCCAAUCACCAAUUUUCAUACGAUCGUAUUGUUGAAGGUGCUGCAUAGACCCAAAUGCACCAUCCAUGAUCGUCAAAAGACGCGGAUCAAGAGCAUAUCGUUGCUCUUCAACAUUGAGGGCUUCAUGCGAUUGAUGUCCAAUGCGCUGCAUGGUAUCCAUCUGAUAUAAAGAAAAUAGACAAAUUAAUAUAGUGUACAAGAUUGACUAAGAAAUGAUAGCACAAAACAUACAUAGUGACGGAGUAAAAAUUGUAGGAGUAGUAAUUACCAGAAAUUCAAGUUGUCCUGAUACCCCGUAGAGCAUGUGCCCGGACUGCGUCUGCUGAUGGAUAGGAGAGGUAAUGUACAAGAUGGUGUGACGGUGGUACCAUCUGAGAUACUCUUCUGAAGGUCGAAAUGUAUCUGUAGGCUGUCCCGGGACCACAGCUUCGUAGCGUCGAUCCCAAUAAGUGCAGUAAUUCCUAUGAAACUGAGCCCAAUUUCUUCCAGGAAAACCAGCUAGACCAAGUUGGUGCAAACCCUUUUGAUCAGUGUCAAUUUCUUCAGGAAUUUUUUGUAACAUGCCGAACUGACGCAUCACCCGUUCUGGACAAUGAAACUCAACUAUGUGCCAAAAUAUCAACGGGACCUUUGCUCGCCAUAUACGCUCUCCCCGUCUGCAAUACGCGGGUAGAGAUGGCAGUAUGUCACCACUAUAUGGCAUCCAGAUGAACUGAUAGAACAGGAAAAAGAUAUACUCAAUCCUCAUUUGCUUUGAAUAGAAAUUCAAAAAAAUGUAAAUAAUAAUUAUCCACAAAAUAAUUACAUACCUGAUCCAUUCUUAGUAACCCUAUCUGCUCUCGAUAAUACAAAACAGGCCGACCAGGAGGCUCAUAAUCUAAACGAUCAUCUGCCCAUCUCCCACCUCUUGGGUAAUCUCCAACCUCAUAUCGAGGAUAUAUAUCAGGACGAAUAAGUGGGAUUCGCUCCCACGCCCAAAGCUACUCAAUAUCAAGGUAAUUUUCAGUGAAUAAGAUGUGUGUUUAAGCAAAAAUAAUGUAUGUAAUAUAUUUUUAUUUACCUGUAGUAAUAAGUAAGGCCCACCAGUACUCUUAGUUUCUGCUCGAGAAGCAAUACACAUCCGCGAGUAUAAACAGGCCAACACCGCACUUCCCCAACUGUAUUCGCCCAUGGCCUCCAAGUCUUGUACAUAAUCGAGCCAAUUUGUACUAACAACAUUGCCCGUGGUAUCUGCAAAUAGUAGGCCUCCCAAUAGAAUCAGUAUGUACAUCCGAGCAUAUUGACGAACUAUCUCCUCAGAGGCAUCGGGCUCCAAUGCUACCCGUAAUCGUGCCUUUAUGAAUGACAUCUUCAGUCGGCCAUCUCGAAAAUGCCUAUUCUCUGGCCAAAUUCCUAAAAGAUCAGAAACCAUUUGUUGGCGUUGUAAGGGACUCCGUCUAAUAUGAUUUAAUGUAACAGGAAGGCCAUCAACACGCAGGCCCCACAACACCUCAACAUCCUGCAAGGUGAUGGUAGCCUCGCUCAUAAUAGGGAGAUGAAAAGUGUGUGUCUCUUGUCUCCAACGCUCAACAAGUGCAGUAAUCAAUCCAUGAUCCACAUGAACGUAACCGGCUCUACGUACCCCGCCAAAUCCAGCCCUAUCGAUGUAAUCAGAUACUCGAGGGUCUAUAUGCAUAAAGGGUUUAAAAAAUUCUUUGUCACAUCUUCUGACAUCUAGGUCACAAUAUGCGCCAUGAAAUACAGCAGCAGACCUGUGGUGUGGCUGUAAAUAUAAUAUAGAAGGGUCAAUCGGCCCUUGACUCGGGGGUUGCACACUUGUCCAAUUAUCCAUGGACAAUUCUGCCUGCAACUAAAUUAUUAUUAGUCGAAUUAAGCGUGCAUUCUUAAAAAUAUAUUCCAAAAUACAUAAAUGCCACUAAAAAACAACAAGAGAAAAAUAGCAUAUACAACAUAACAGAAAAAAGCAACAAGAGAAAAAUAGCAUAUACAACAUAACAGAACAUUAAUAUUCAUAACAGAAGAAUGCAUUUCAUUUAAAUGUUCAGAAAGUACACAAAUAUGGGUGGGUUUAUUUCACGACAAAUUAAUCCUAAUAUUCUAUUGAUGAAAGUAACCAGAAUAUGGGUAGUUAGGUGCAGUGUGUCCAGGUUGUAAACAGUUACUACACCGACGUGGAGCAUCAGGACACCUUCGAUCCAUUUCAUUCAGGAUUCUAGCCGUUCUCAAAGGCCCCGGAGUCUUUUGUUUCAAACGAUCAUCUAGGAUAUGCAAUCGUAAAUCUGCUGUCGACCAAUAUUUUGUGUCCCUAAGCGGAUAAAAAUGGCCUGCAAAUGUAGACUGGUAUGCAGAAAAUGUGUAUUCCGGCGCCACAAGAGUCAUCGGAUUAAUUCUGGACCUAAAGCAAGCUGCGAACACAUGCGAACACGGAAAUCGUAAUUCCCUCCAUUUUCCACACGUGCACGUUUGAUUUGUAAGGUCAACAGUUUUCGCGUUGCCACCCCGAUGACUUUGUCGAUGAGCAGUAGUAAUACAAAACACUCCCCUAACGGGAUCAUACACUCUAACGGAGUGUGCUCGCCCAUUUUCUUCAUUAGCCAAAUAUUUUUUCCAACUUUUUUUUGGGAGUGGGUACACCUGAUCCUUUGUGAUCUUUAGGUUCUCGACAAAUAGAUCAACUGUCUGAUUCAGUGUAAACCGAAUACAAGCUGUGCUCGGCAAUAUCCGAGCAUCCCUCAUUAAGUUGUUAAAACAUUCGGCCAUAUUUGUAGAUGUGUGUCCCCACCGAUAGCCCCCAUCUUUGCAUAAGGCCCACUGUACGGGUCUAACUGAACCUCCUGUCAACCAUGCAUAUGCCUCUGCAUUUAAUGUGAAUAUUUGUUGCAUGUAUUCCUCGUACUUUCGAGGUUGAUUUGCUGAUCCAGCAGCCCACACAAGCUCUUUAAGCCUACGCAUUGGUGAUUAUAAAAAGCGUUAAAAGUAUUUCAUUUCCUAUGAACAAAAUUAAGCCCUAAACAAGUUGAAAAAUAAUGUUACCUUUGAUUCUUGAAUUUCUGGGUAAAAUUGCUCCGCACAUGAACCAAGCAAAAUCGAUGAACUGCUAGUGGUUCUUUCCAUUCUGGGAGCGUCCUCAUUGCGUUAAUUAUUCCGUGGUGGCGAUCUGAAAUUACGCAUAUAUUUUGAAUAUCACCACACACCUGAAUACGCAAUAGUCUCAUGAACCAACUCCAACUGCGAUUAUUCUCCUCAUCUACUAAUGCGAAAGCCAGAGGAAAUAAAUGAUUGUCAGCAUCGAAAGCAACAGCAGUUAGUAUCUUUCCACGGUACGGGCCUUUAAGAAAUGUACCAUCCACACAAAUGACGGGUUUUAAAUGACGAAAUCCUUCAAUGGCAGGAGCAAAUGCCCAAAAGAUAUAGUCAAAUAUCGGACUGCUCGAAAUACUCAGUGGAUGAUGAUCCCACACAACCACCGUACCCGGAUUGGUAUAUUGUAAUUCCUGGACAUACGUUGGGAGCUGUGCAACGGACGUAGGCCAAUCGCCAUAAACAAUAUCGAUAGCCCUACGCCUGCCAUACCAGGUUUUCUUGUAUGAAAUGUCAACGUGAAAUUCUUUUUUCACUGAUGUUUGUAUUUCUUUGAUCCUAUACACUGGCCCAUUCAUUAUGUGGGGGAUAAUGUGCUCAACUAUUAUGUCGCCACUCAGUUGCCUAUGAUCGUUGUUACCACAUACACGGACACAUGUAUGCUUUUCAGCAAGUGUAACGAUCAUCCACAUCUUGUGAGAUUUCCGUAGGGUUGUCCUAAGUUGCCAAUUGCAUGAAGGUACAGAGGUGCGAGCCCGACAUCUGACAUACCAAGUUGUGGGAGUGCUUUCACGGACUUUAAACUCCAUAUUUUCCUUUAUAGACCACAAUUUAACUGCUCGUUUUACAUGGUCUUUGGUUUCAAAUAGCUGGCCAAGCUCUAACUCUUUCGUGCGUUCAUUCCACAAUUUUAGCUUCUCAACCCCACAUGCAUCCAGUGGAUCAAACGUUAAUGCAGCAUCAACACCGGCUUUAUAUCGCAGUUGUGGUCCUUCAUCAAAGGUCCAUUGAGUAUUAUGAUCCUGAUGAUCCCCUGUAUGGGGAAAUGAACCAUACACAGGGUUGUCAUCAUCGGAAUCAUCAUCUGGUUCGGGUUCGGAGUCAACAUCAACAUCAGCAUCAACAUCAACAAAUUCAAUGUCGUUAUUUUCCCCGAAUCCCCUAACUGUACACGUAUCAAUGUCCACACCAUAACUUAUAAUGGGUUCCGUGUCCAUUACUGGGUGACUACUACUGGGACGAUUAGCCUCCAUGCGGCGUCCAUUACCCUUUCUCCUAGAUCUUCGAGCCGAUCGAACAUUUUCACAAUCUACUUAGGUCAAUUGACUCUCAUAUAAGCCAAUUGUCCCUACCACAUCCAUAUGUUCCGAUCCAUAUAUGCUUGGAUCUUGAUUACCAUGCAAACUUGUAAUAGGCAAAUUUUGCAUAUCAUCAUGUUUGAAAUUUAGAAUCGAUUCAACCUCGAUAUAUAUCUCUGUCCCAUGAUCACUAUUAGCUUUCAAAAAAUACAUUCCAUCAACUCCAUUAUCAUCUACCAAGGGCGUGGCACCGAACACACCAUUUUGCAUGCAAUUCCGAAAUAUCAAGUUAAUUUUAUGAGUAUUUCGGUUUAACUCCAUCAUAUUAUAUACAAUGUCCACCAAUCCAUCAAAAUUCACCCUUUCUGUGAGGAACAUGACCUUUUUGGGCAACGGUGGAUCAUAUGAUAUUGACCCGCCAGCAUACACAAUUUUUCCUCCCCAAUAGAAUUGCAUCAUCAGACAAUUACCGCUUGACAUGUUUCACCUAAUCUACUAAAGACGUUAAUAUAAUAUAUGGAGUAAAUUAUAUAAUAAAAAUGGAGUAAAUUAUAUAAUUUAAUAUUAUUUUAACAUAAUUAUUAUACCUAAUCAGUGCAUAGAAUUUACAACUUUUUGUAUUUUUAUUUAAAUUACGUAAGCAGUCGAGUGAUAUAUCUAUGUUAAGUUCAACCCUAAUUAACAUAUUUAUGUUAAGUUAAUUACGUUUAAAACUAAUUAAUAUAUUUGUAUUACGAACCAGUUCAACAGCAUGUAUUUAACAUGCUACAACACUAAUAUGGAGUCUAAAAGUUUAUUGAUAAAUUAAUCAUAAAAAAUUUCUCUCCAAAUAAUUUAAAAUAUUAAGAUAUAUUUGUAACUAUAAAUAGUUUUGUAAAAUAUCUACACUAAUUACCUUUAAUUCGAUAUACAUGUAAUAUUAAAAAAAUUAAUAGCAUCUAUUAACAUAUCCAUAUGUCUGCACCUAUUGUUUAAAGUAUUAAUCACGUGAUAAAACUAUAUUAAUUUAUUGUUAACUUUAAUCAUGUGUUAAAAGUAUAUUAAUUGGUAACAACACUUAAAUUUAUCCUUUUUUAAUAGGAUGAUUAGUGAUAUGGUUAAUUAAUAUCUAAUCAAAUAAUUUACCUUACUAAUUAAUUAAACUAAUCACUAACUAACUACUCUACUGGGUUAUCACAUAUUCUUCCACAUAACUAGUAUUAUACAAUUCAUUAAUACUACAUUCAUUAAUUUCAACUAAUCACCAUGCUACAACAAAAAAAAUACUCUAAUUUACCAUGUCAAUUAAAAAAAACUAAUACGAAAUAAAAUAUAAACAAUGUCAUGUCAUAUUUAGAUUUCACAAAUAAUAUAUAAUAUAACACAAAAAUAGAAUUCACAUUAAAACAUAACAAACAAUAUUAUACAAUUAAUAAUCAUGAAUGAUAUGUUCCAAAUUAUAGUAAACAAUAUUUAUGAAUAAUAAUUAAAAAAAUAGAUAAGUAUUUUACUUACUUGAUUAUUGUUGUUUUUCCCUAGUCAAUGAUGGAGUUUCUGCGAGAAUUUCGUCUGUCGAGACUUGCAAACACGACUGUUCAAAUCAAACGCCCUCUACUGACCGAAUCCCAAGCUCUCUAUCUCCGUUCAAAUAUUAUAGCUUCAGACUUCACUGGAGGAGCUCCUUCAGAAUUCCUUCAGAAUGUAGCUAAGUUUCAAGGAUCUCUCUCUCCGUCCAAAUAUUGUUUGUAACUUCAAACAAUAUUUAUUUCACUUCACACACCCAAGCUUGAACAGAAUGCAGAGGCUUUACCGACAUGAGAAAUGGAGAUGCGGAGCUCCGUUUAUGAUUAGAGGGAAGAGGGAGAAACGAAAGUCUCAGCAAAAAAAAGAUACGACUGAAGUUGUGCUUAUGGAAAUGGAAUUGGGAGUUGCUCUGAAGAACAAUUUAUAAGCGAAGGAAUUGUGCAUUUCUCUAGCCCGUUGCUCCAUGUUGAAGUGACUAAAGUGUCAUUGAGAAAUAAAACAAAAGCUGUCUACGCCUGUUCCUGACACAAAACAAGCCAAAAAAAUAAAGCUGCAGUCCCAAGCGGUCAAAGGCUGCAGGCUUCUGCCCAAUAAAUUUUGUAUACGUCUGGCAGAUGUCCUGCAGGACAUGUCUACAAGGAGAGGCCAUACUAAAUGAGGACAAUCAAUAAUCGAGUCCAUUUGUUUGUUUAUUGCAUGCAUCAACCUAACAAUGAUGAACGAAUGGCAACUUACACAGGUUUCACGGAAAGGUUUCACGUGAAAAAAGCUAUCAAUAAAGCCACGGUCAAAGGUUAUAGAUGCUUGAGAAAAUUUGUUUUUUCAAAAUAAGGAGGAGGAUUUAAAAAAAUAAAUAAAUAAAUUCCCGACCGUCGCGCCAUGUUGGAGCGACGGUCAGAAAUUUCUGACACCUCUGACCGUCGUUCCAACAUGGCGCGACGGCCAGAAGAACUUUAAAAAAAAAAAAUUUGGCUGCCCGUCGCGCCAUGUAGGAGCGACGGGCAUACAAUUAUACCACCCAGCUCAAGAACCACAUUUGACGGCUAAUUUUGGGAAGCAUCAAUAUUUCAAUCAAUUCGCCGAAAAAUGUGGCCUUCGUUAAAUAUGAUUUACACUGGGGCAAAUAUCAAAAGGAGUGAGCUCCAAUUUUGGUAAUGCAUUCUAAAUCGGUUUUAUGAAAGGAAAAAGUUAAAAAAAAAAGAAAAAGAAAAAGAGUCUUUUAAAAUCGAGAUGAUAGUGACAUAUGUAUAUACCUCUCGAAUCUCUUGAAGGGAGAACUGUCAUUGGUAUUCUUCUAGUUUUAAAAUUCGUCACUUUGGAUUUUUUCAAAAACAAAAAAAAAAAACAAAAAACAAAAACAAAAAAAAAAAGUGUGUUUCUUUCAUUUCUUCUAAAGGUAUAAAAAAAAAAAAAGAUAGCAAAUCCACCAACUUGAGCAACAUGCAUUUUAAUCUUUUAGUUUGAUAGUAUUGGACUUGCGUUUUCAUUUCUUUCAGUAUUUCAUUGGACCCCGGUCUAUCCCACCAAUCUGUUAUUUCAAAAAGAAAAAUUCAAAAAAACAAAAAAACAAAAAAAUCAAAUAAAAAAAAUUCAAUUAAAAAAAAAUAAAAAAAAUCAGAAGAUCAAAUUUAAUUUCCUGUUGGUGAGUCUCAGCGUCCACCGCGCACCCUUCUAUCCCCUUAUUGACAAUUUAAAUUUCUGUUGGUGAGUCUCAGCGUCCACCGCGCACCCUUCUACCUCCCCUUCUUGACAAUUUAAUUUCCUGUUGGAGCGUAAUCGCUUCCCUCCGCGCAUCUUUUUCUAAAAGACCAAUUAAAUUUUCUGUUGGAGUGUAAUCGCGUCCCUCCGCGCAUCAAUUUAAUUUCCUGUUGGUGAGUCUCAGCGGCCAUCGCGCACCCUUCUAUCUCCCAUUCUUGACAAAUUUAAAUUCCUGUUGGAGCGUAAUCGCGUCCCUUCGCGCAUCAAUUUAAUUUUCUGUUGGAGCGUAAUCGCGUCCCUCUGCGCAUCAAUUUAAUUUCCUGUUGGUGAGUCUCAGCGUCCACCGCGCACCCUUCUACCUCCCCUUCUUGACAAUUUAAUUUCCUGUUUGUGAGUCUCAGCGUCCACCGCGCACCCUUCUACCUCCCAUUAUUGACAAAUUUAAUUUUCUGUUGGAGUGUAAUCGCGUCCCUCCGCGCAUCAAUUUAAUUUCCUAUUGAUGAGUCUCAGCGUCCACCGCGCACCCUUCUAUCCCCCUUCAUGACAAAUUUAAUUUCCUGUUGGUGAGUCUCAGCGUCCACCGCGCACCCUUCUAUCUCUCCUUCUUGACAAUUUAAUUUUCUGUUGGAGCGUAAUCUCGUCCCUCCGCGCAUCUUUUUCUAAAAGACAAAUUUAAUUUUCUGUUGGAACGUAACCGCGUCCCUCCGCGCAUCUUUUUCUAGUUAUGACAAGUUACUUUUCUUGACUGUUUUGACUAAUAAUUGUGCUUUUUCAUUCAUUUUGUGUUUCAUGUUUAGAAGUUCUGAGAGUUCAGACUUUUUCGACUUUGCAAAGACCACAGUUGGUCAAUGCACUUGUUUCAUUGUGGUUCAUUUGCAUUGGAACUACGUUUGACCUGAUUCCCAUGGUGGGAUACGUAGGCAACUCUACAUGGGUUCGGUCACAUUUUCUGCAAUGUUAUUGCAUCAUUUUGUUCAAUAAUUUCAACCAAGUGUUGGCUUGUUUAUUUUAGCUCAGGAGCAGCUAGAAGAGACAGGUAAGUAAUUUGGAGUCUACAUCUUUGUCUUAAGUUUCUUUGAAACUCUAGACAAAGAGGGGCAAGCUGUAGACACCAAAUUUUUGUCAAUUUUUAAUAUUUUUCUGAAAUUUUAUCUAUUUGAUAAGUUAUUAUUAUUAUCAUUUUUUUAAUACAUAUUAAUGUAUGAUUUUCUCAUUUUUGUAGGUUUGUUUUUGGAAAAAGAAAAAAAAACACAAAACAAAAGAGAAAAAUCAAGAAAUAAAAAAUCACUUUCAUCAUUUUCCCUACCAAAACAACUAUUAACCUAUUCCACACUCAAUUGCCAUGGACCUUUCUUUUCAUUAGCUAAGAAAUCAUCAUUUUGGCAAAUCCAACACACAAGCUCCACUUUGGCUACAAGUCCCUCUCGGUUCUCUGCUCUCUAGACAGAGAGACAAGAAAAAAAUAAAGGCACUCUAGCUCCCAGACAACUCUCGGCCCUCUCCCUCGCAGAACAAGAAAAAAACACACAGAAAAAAAAAGAGAAGGGAGGCACUCGGCUCUCUCUAGUUUCAGGAGACCAAAAAGACAAGCCACAAAAAGAAAAAAAAAAAGCACUCCAAUCCCUCUGGGCUCACUUGGCAGAGACAGAAAAAAAAAAAAGAAACGCACGAGAGAAGAGGAAGGGAAGCUCUCGGAAUUUUGCAGCCUGCCCCCUCACUCUCCCUCUCUCGGACUUGGGCGGAGGAAAGAAACAGAACAAAAAAAAAAAUCUUCCCCAACUCCUCUCGGUUCCAUCUCAACCUCACACACACCUACAUUGAGGUAAUUUUUUUAGUUUUUGUCUAGCACAUUAAAUCAAUGCUUCAUUGUUUAGUUUUCUUUCAUUUCUGCUGGCUGCCUUGUAUUGUUGUUGUUGCAAUGCUGAAAAUUGGGAAAUGGCAUGAACUAGACGAAGGAAAAGGAAAUGUUUCUCAUGCAUGCAUAUUAACCGUUUGAAAAAAUGCCAAAAUGACCAACGAAUUAAAAGGCUGAAUAUUGUGCAUGUUGUUGUCAAAACGGAUGACCUUUAGCUAGCACCAGGCCUGGAAAUGUGUGCUUAUCUAAAUUUUUUUGGAGUUUUGAGCUUUAAAGGCAUUAGAAUAAUUUUCUUCAUUUUUGGGGCUAUUUUGAUUUAAUGCAUCCUUUUGUUGUUGUUUACUUGUCAAACUAAGAUUAUAGUUGUAUUGUGAAAGUUAUAAGGAGGGUUUUGGCAUAAUUUUUAUGAUUUUUGGUGAAGAUUUGAGGGUUUUAAAAAAAUAAAAACUGAACUGAUUUCUUGGCAUUUGGCCACUUUUGGGUCAUUUUCUAUAAAAACUAAGUUCAAAAAUGGAACCUACGUGAAAAAUCGAGUGAGGGGGUGUAUUUUGAGAAAUUUUGGCGACCGGAAAGGUCGCCGGCGGCGGCGCCACCGGCGGCCGCCAGCUGAAGCUUCCUCAGUUGGCCGAAGAAGAAGGAAGAAGAAACGAUUGGGGAAGGAAGAAAAGAAGGAAAGAAAAGAAAGAAAAAAGAAGAAGAAAAUGGUUUGGGCUAAGUUUUGUGGGUUUGUGGUUAUUUUUGGUUGGAUUUUGAAAAUGGGUUUUGGUUUAUUUCUUUUGGGUUUCGGUUGGGCUUGAGGGAUAAAAAGGCAGGCUGGCCUGUGUGUUUGGCUUGGACUUUCGGCUGGGCUUAGGUAGUGUUCGGCCCAAAUAAAUAAAAUGAUGGCCCAGUAGCCUGUUUUCUUAAGAAGAUCAGAAACCGAUUUUUUCACUUUAGCCCCUUAUCUUUGGAGUAGUUUCACUUCGGCCCAGAACAUUUUAAAUUUGUUUCACUUAGGUCCUUAAAUUAAUUUCACUUUGGUCCUUAAAUUUUAUCUUUCAUUUAAUUUUGACCUCUAAACUUUGGAAAAUUAUAAUUUUUGUCCCCAAAAGUUUUUCAAUUUUUACAAUUCAGCCCCUGAUGAAUUUUGACUCUCUUUAUUAUGAUUGUUUCUUUUCUUUAAUAGCUAAUUAUGUUACUUUUGAAUAUGUUCAACUUGUAAUUUUUAGAUAUUCUUAAAUUUAUUUACGUUUGACAUAUUGAGGUGAAUUUUCAUUAUUAUUAGUUUUUCAAUUAAAUUGGUGCCAUGAUUCUUUUGUUCAUUUUGAGUAUAAAUAGGGCAAUUUGACUCCGUUUAGUCACCACUUCAAAAGGGAGGUACCCCAUUAUUAUUAUUUCAAUGUCAAUUACGUACUCUUAUGUGCUCCUACGUGUUCUUAUGUGUUUAUAUAUUUUUAUAUGCUUUGUUUGUUUGAUUUGAAUGUUCAUUUAAAUUUUCUUAUGUUUGUUUAGUUAAUUUUAUAAUUAUUUGAGAGGCACUUAAAUACCUCAAAAAUAUAAUAGAUAAGAUAAUUAGAUUUGUUUUAUUUUAUUUCCCCUUUUAGAUUGUAGUUAGGCGCUCCCCGAUAUAAUAGAUAGGUUGUGUGCUUAUGUGGCUUAUGUGUUACGUGCCUUACCCGCUUUUCUUAGGAUUUUUGCAUCUAGAUAUUAUGCUUAUGUGUUUACGUGCUACGUGCUCUUAUGUGUUUAUUUGUUUUAAUCUAUGUUUACUUGUCUUAUUAUAUAUUAAAAAUGCAUGACGUCACCACACUAGUCCAACGCUAGUUGUGGUUUCUCCCUCCGUUUAUUUGCUAGUCCAACGUUAGUAAGGAUUUUUAGAAAUGGGCUAGUCCAACGCUAGACCAUUUAGGUUGUCUUGCGCUGGAUUCAUCUUUGUGUGCUAUUCACUACGUUUCCAUGCAUGUUUUUAUUUUUAGGAUCUUUUCUCAUUUGUAUGAUAUUCCCUAUUAUAUUAUCCCUUACCCGCUAUAGGUGCUAAUCAUGCCAUUUAGAAUUGCAUCUCAUUUAAGCUAGUUCAUUUGCUUGUUCAUGUUAGGAUAAUUUUUUUUCAAACAUGGAAAAUGGGUAAUUAUAACUUUUUAGUUUAAAUACCCUACUAAUCCAUGUAUAAGAAAAUUAUGUCACGAGUUUUUGCCUCCCGUAUCUUUUAUGUUGCAUUCCCUUUUUCUUUGAUCACUUAUAUAUGUAUAUAAUUUAAUUUCUUUUCUUUUAUUUUAAUUUCAUCAUUCGCAUAUUCGUGACACAUUCAAGGAAUCAUUGUGGCCUUCGCAAUUAAUGCCAUUGGUUCGAUUAAAUCCUUGAAUGGAUAUUUUGACCCUUUCGAUAUUUUAUAAAUUUAGAUUUGCAUCCAUGUAGGAAACAUCCAAAUAUGAUAAAACUAAUGGUUAGAUUAGAAAAAAUUUUGACUAAACCUCGCAACUAGUUUCGACUAGGUUGAAAGGGUGCCUUAGGUUUGAGUCAAUUAAACCUUUGCCUUCCCUUUCUUCAACCGUGACUCCUGAACCUAUUUUCUUUUGUUUUAAAAAACCUGGGGUUGUCAAAAAGGGUUUUGAUUUAUUUUAUUUUUGUCAAAAAAAUAUUUUUUUGGCUGACUUGGUACACCAAAAUUCCAUACUAAGUGGCGACUCCUAUUUUUUCUUAAAAACCCUUUUAGACUAAAUUUUGGACCCAAAUUGUCGCAUUCUUUUUAAGUCCCAUUCUAGGUCCUUUUUCAUUUAUUAUUAUUAAAUCACAUCUUUUUAUAAACUCUUUCUUUUUUCCAUCGCGAAAAAUGGGGCGCGACAUUAUUCAUUUUUAAAAUAAUUAUUUUUUUUUAUUUUUUAGACUCGAGCUCAAGUUCGACUCAACUCAAAUUUGAUGUUGAAUUCGAAUUCGAGUCUUAUAUUGAGAGUUCAUCGAAUUCGAGUUUGAACUCGAGUUUGGUAAAAUUGAAUUGAGAUUCAACUCAACUAACCCAAAAUGUAACUUGAAUCAAUUCGUUUGUAACCCUACUUUGGACUCUCAACAACUAUCUCUUGGAUGGUGUACUCACUUAAGCAUCGAAAUGGCUUCAAAAUUUGAUCCAUUCCCUCCUUUAUUUCUUUCCACUGUAUGAGAUUUGUGUGAUAAUUGGACCUUGAGUAUGAACGCUCAGCAUAACUCGCUAUUACAAAAUUCUUGUAAGAAAGGAUGUUAAAAAUCAUGGUGGUAAAUUAGAAUGACAUUCCAAGGAUUUCAUCAUAAUUAUAAAGCCAUUUCUUCUACCUAUUGAAACUACAAUAUGACACCCUAAAAUUUCACAUCAUACCACGGAAGCCUUUAACCCCUUGCUAAUUUUAGGCAAAUAUGUACUCUUAAUUCCAGUGCUUUAGGGUGUUCUUCAAAGCAAAGUUGGGGUUUCCAAUAAAUCUUAAAGAUCUUUAUCUUACUUAAUUGAACGAACCAUAAACUUUUGAAAUUGAUUCCAUUGUAAAAGGCUUAAUUUUUAGUAACCUAUUUUGUCAAUGGUAAAUGAGGAGGGUAUUCCCGGCUCGGCUAGAAAUAGGGUCCCGCCCUGUUUCUCUUCGUUCCGACCGCCUCGGCCUUUCGCCAUCGGGAAUUGGCUUCGGCCAGGCUAUUGCCUCGGCCAAGGCUCCCCCUCGUCAGGCCGAGGUCAAGAAUAAUGACCUGGCAACCGGAGUGGCGGAACAUGGUCUCUGACACCUCUGACACUUCUGAUAAAGCUGCUCUGACAUGCGCCGUCUGACACAACUGUCCCUGCGCACCUUUCCGCAGAGUCCAUUAAGCCACCUUGAUACACUGAUCCUGCCGGAUCUCUAGGGACCUGUGCAAGCAGUCCCUCUCUCCUAUCUGACUCCUAUAAAUACCCAACACUUCUACUGAGAAGGGGGACGACCAAAUUUCUGGUAAAGGCAUACUAGUCUUCUCUAUACUUAUCACUCCUUCUCUCCCGAACUGACUUAAGCUUCGGAGUUACACCGGAGACUUUAGUCCCUCCUAUAAUUUAAGCAGGUAACCUCAUUUGAGAUAACCACCAGGAUAAGAGGCCUUCUCCAGCUCGGGUGACCCACUCCAGCAGGACAAAAACGACCUCUUCAGUAAAACUUAAGCAUUUGUAGGUGAAAUAUCGACAUAUAUCCUAAUCCGUUCGGUGUUAAUACUAAGGCACUACCCAAGUUAAUCAUAUGGUCCUAUUCCACUUUGAUCUUAUUCAGCAAUAGAAAUCCAGAUUCAAGGAAUAACCAAUGCUCAUGUAGGAUCAAAAUUCUUGUAAUUUGAAUCUUACGUCAUUUGUAUCGAUAAUUAGUGUCAAGAAACAGAAGUAAACUGUGACAAUGCUUUAGAAAUUGAUCCUUCUUGAGUUUUGUGGGACACAUGAUGCCCGCUCCGGCUCGGCUUUGUAUCCGAGGCUGGUGUCCCCGGUGUGGAUACUAAGAUGGCAGCUUGGGAAGUUCGAUCCGUUACCUUAACCCUUAUGAAAUGAUUGAUGUGAUCCCACCGCCUGACAUCAAUCCCUACAAGGCUAUCUAACACUCCAAUUGCUAACAUAGCCAGCCUACGACCGUCUUCAACAAGGAUAGCAAUUGGAACUGGUACUCACGGACACUCAUUCCAUGGAGGGUGGGAUGGGACGGGGUGGGGCGGGGGUAAAAUUUUUCCCCAAUAAAAUAUGGGGCAAGGGACGGGGACUAUACCCUCGUCUCAUCCCCAGUUUAACUAGAAUAAUAUAUAUAUAUAUAUAUAUAUAUAUAUAUAUAUAUAUAUGUGUGUGUGUGAUAUAAUUAAUAUUAUUAGUUAUAUUAUUAUAUUUAUAAUAAAUUACUAAUUACACGUUUGACUAAUUAUACAUUUUAUAUUUAAUUAUUAAUUAAAUUUCUUAUUAAUUAUAAACAUUUUCACCUAUGAGUUGGGGCGGGGCAAGGGAUGAGGGUGACGGGGAUUGGGGCGGGGACGAGGAGUUUGUUUGGGCAAUGGUCCCUUGCUCCGUUGUCAUUCCUUAUUUCCAACACCUUAAAGACAGGUCAGACACCUCAUCGAUAAAUCUGCAUACUUUAUUACCAUUACAAAUAUGCAUCUUAGAGGUAACAAAUUCCAUUCAUACUCUUCAUUUUUCAUUUCUCGAUAUCUUAUACUUGCUAACUUAAACAUCAAAGUCACAUUGAGAAGAAGCCCUAAUCUGCGUCUUUUUUGUGUUGUAGGUGACGUGCAUUUUCCCGAGGCUCUUCGACCUCUACGGGAGAUCCGUCUUCUCCUCACACAAGUUUCUAUCAGAAAUUCCAAGUCAUUUGUACAAGUUUACUUCCUAAGGCUUACUUCUAUGCUCAAAUUGCAGCAUCCGACUCAAUUUUCUGCCUAGAAUUGGUUUUGUAUGAUCGCGCAUAUGAUGGGAAACAGUCAGUUGGUCUAGACAUUCCGAAUUCUCUUAAAUAUGAGGAACUUCCCAGCUUAUUUGAUGCUCCAUCUGGACCAUCUCCUUUCGUUUCUAACUUCCACUACAUAUUAACCUUUCAUCUUCUUGUGGAUUUGUAAUCACAUAAUUUUAUUAUGAAAAAGGUUUUGAUCAUUCGAGAUUUUGUGUGCCAAUUGCAUUCAAAUUUGUUGAACGUUUAUCUAUCGCCAUUGUUUGUAAAACCGAACAUAGAUCAUGGCAUGUGAUGGGUGUCUAAAUCACAUUCAGUUUAAUGGACUCAACCCAAAAGGUAAUUGGGUUGGGUUCAAAUUAAUGUCCUAAUCCAAAGCCCAUAGGCACAUUAAAGCCCACUUUAAGUCAUCAGAAACUGAAGGUUUAUAAACCUUUUCUCCAUGCAUUAUUGACUUCGAAAAAGUUUGAGAAUUUGAGACAUGAAACUGUUAAUAUCACUCCACUUUUUAUUAACAGCACUCCCACUAUUAUUUUUAUCAUAUAGUUUUCACUUAUUAGUUUAUAUGAUAAAACAAAUUGUAAGAGUGUCCUUAACACAAAAAAAAAAAAAAAUGAUGUGCCAUUAGCAUUUUUAUCACAUUAAUUUUUAUUAAUUUUUUUUUUUUUUUACUUAAACUGCACUAAUUAUGCCUCCUCAAAGGUCAACGGCUUUGCAUUGCUCCUUUUCUUUUCUUUGUUUUUCUUUUUUACAGUAUAUAUUGCCCCCUAUUUCCUCUUGAUACAAAUUUCUAUAAUAACCAAAGUCCCAAUACAAAGCAGAUAUAGCAAUUAAUGAUUAAAUAAAAUAGAAUGAAAAGGAAACAAAAGAUUCUAAGACGAACCACCCCAUUUAAAUUUUAUUUCUACUACAUCAAAUUAAAAACUCUACCGGUAUUAACCAACGUAAUUUAACACACAAAACCAGACCAACAUUUGUGUCUUUGUAGUUGUUUUCAAGUAUCGACUCUUCUCCAUUUCUCCAAACUAAGGCUUUUUUCGUUUAGAAUAUAUUCAAUUUUAUUUUAUAUCUUACUUAUUAGUUAUAUUAACAAUUAUUCUUGUUUAGAAGUAAGAGGUACAACUAUAGAAGACCUAAAGAAAAUUAUUCAUUUUUAUCUAAUUAGCUUUUUAUUCAUAUGGUUUUGUUAGAUUCCAUUUUGAUUUGGGUAUCAUUGUUAAGUUUUUACCUAAUUGUUCAUUGCCAUUACUUAACUUCCUAGAAUAUUUAAUUUUUAGUAUUCCAUUUUUUUGCAUUGUCUAUUAUUGUUUAAGCAUUUAAAUGCUACUUAUUUUUCACAUGAAUUUUAACCUCAAAUUUGUCAUACUUUAUUCAUUACAAUGUUUUAUAUUUUUUUGUAUUUGAUUGUUUGCUUCAUCUAAACUAAAGUCUUAAUUUUGUCCCUCAUCCUAGCGUGUGAGUCAUCCAUAGUUGUUAGUAUGAAAAAAAAAAUCGCUAUACUAUUAUUGCAUAAAAUAUUAAUCUUAUUACUAUUUAACUAACAUGUGAGUCAUUGUAUAUAGAUCUUCCAAAAGUUGUACAUACUCUCUUGUCAUCAUCUCUUUCAGUUAGGGAUAGCAAUAGGGUUUGAUGGGGAGGGGGGAAAUGCUUGGCGGAGGUGGGGGCAGGGGAGGAAAUCUCCCCCAACUUUAAACAAGGUGGAGAUGGAUACCCCACCCUGCCUCUCGUCUUAAUUUAAUAUUAUAUAUAUAUAUAUGAAUAUAUAAUACAUAAUAUAAAUAAUUAUAUAUAUAUAUGAAUGUGAAAUGGAUGAUAUGAAAUUUUCUUGUGCUAACAUAAUAUAAUUUUUGUGAUAAAAAUGAUAAUUUUGCUAUGUUAGUUUACCUUUUUUUUGUUAUGGCAUGUUGUUUGUAAAAAAUAAUGAUAAUUGAUUUAGAAUUUAUGUAAUAUCAAAUAUAGAGAAACAGAUUCACAAGGUCAAAAUAAUUUUUUAAUUUUAUCUCAUCAUCAAUUUUUCGUUAAAAAUUUAAAAGAACAAUUAAUAAAUUUAUUAUUAGUAUUGUACGUAUAUAAAAAUAAAGCCACAUAAAAAAAAUAAAAAUAGUAACAGGGCAGGACGAGGGCACCUACAGGAACAGCGGGCACGGGACGAGGGAUGGAGCAGGUUCCCUGCCCCAAACCCACACCAUUGCCAACCAGCUUUCAGUUUCUAUCAAAUUACAGACAAAUUGUUCAACAAAGCUCCCAUGUUUUUCUUGUAUUUUUUACCGCGUACAAAUUUCUUUAGGAUAAAUGUACAUGGUGGGCAGCAUUAGGACCCUCAACAGCUGUCUUUCCCAUCUUCAUCACACGCAUAUGCUUUGUUUUGUCUUGACAUUCCCUGUUGUCUUCCAUAUGAGCACUUCCCCACGUCCAAUAAUGUAUCUCAUCUCUCUCGCUUUCACUGUAUUUUCUAUCAUCCCUCACUCUCACCGUUUUAAGCCUAGACGAUACAAGUCUAGAACAAUUUCUAGACGUGAAAAUUUCUUUGUACGUGUAAUUUGUACAUCAAGUGCACAUGAAUAUCACUUGGAGCACUACUUUCUUGCAUCAAAAUGUGCUACAAAUUUUUAAAGCACAUAUAAUUUUCCAAUAGAUUCUUUCCCACCCCACUUAUAAUUUCCACAUAUUGUAGUCCAUGUGCAAUUUCUACAUUAGUAUUCAUGUGACAUGUGCUUAAGAUAGAUGGAUUUUCUCACCGGAGAAAAUGUAACACAUAACAAAAGACUUGCAUCAAUAAGUGUCAUGGUAUACUUUAUAUAACUGAUUGAGCCGUUGGUCAAAUACUGUAAUGCUUAAUUUAUUAAUAAAAUUAUCUAUCGUUUUCGGAAAAAAAAAAAAAAAAAAAGCCAAGCUGCCCUGCUAUCCUUUCUGCAGUACUAGUACCUCAUAAUAUGAUCAAUAAAAUCAUGGACACUGAUCCACAUGCCUCUCUGUUAAGUAGGUGUAUAUAGGUGUCAGUCAAAUGUAUGUGUUUAUGGUUUGAUAUGGGCCCAUUCUUGGGAAAUUAUAGAGUCAGAUGAAUGCCAACUGAAAUGGGAGCUGUGGGAUUUGAAGUCUUUUGAGUGUUGUGGUUAUGAAGAUAUUGACCAAUCAAAGCCAAUAGAAGGCCACACCAUACUCUUUACAAUUUUGAGGCACAAACGAAGCCAUGUUAUCAUUGUUGUAGUUAAGUAUAACUUGUGUACGUGUCAGAAAGCUUGUGAAUAAUACACCAACUAAUAUUAAUGUGCACAUAUGCAAAAGUUGAAAAUUAUGAAGUCUUGUUUAUUAGAAAUUUAAUGACUUGGCCUAGUUGAGCCUUGGAUGGCGAGCACCUGUGACUUGGCACUACUUUGUUGGUGAAUCGCUAAUAACACUACAUAAUAAUAAAUAGGCACUAAAUCACCAAAAUACAAACACCAGAUUAGAAGUUCGUAUAUCGUUUAUCAGUGUUUAGAUAUGUUAUUUUUUAGUGUCUAUAUCUAUUACGUUAAUGCGUGCACUUUACCGUGCGUUACCAUUACUAAAUCGGUUGAGUUUCGGUAUAUAUGUUGAGAGGGAUAUAUACACAGCGAGAGGAGGAAAAUAGAAGAGGGAAAAAGGGCACAGAUGCACAGUGGCUUUAAGGUCACAAAACUCAACCCAACUGCUGAGACUAGAAAUGAAGGCCAAUAACUUGUAUUGAAUGAUCUAUCCGAGAGCAGUCUGUUAGUUGCUCAGUAAAAAUCUAUGUACUUUUAAGGUAACAUCUCUUUUUUGGAGUAUAUGUCACAGUCGCCAUGAAACUAAUUACUAUAAAGAAAGAGACUAGAUUCAAUCAGCUAAGGUUGAUCCAAUAAAUAUGUCAGGGUCCAGUCUAAACUGAUAGGAGUGUAGUUUUCAGGUUUCCAACAAACAUAUGAACAUGUCAUUUAUUGGGUUGAGAAAAAUGAAAGGUGGAAAGGUGCAACAAGCCAUAAUAAAAGAUUCCCUUAUAUAGAACAGGUUUCCCUCCAUAAAUACAAAAUACACUACCUCUCUGCCAACAGCUUAUGACUCAAGGCCCUACUGGUUGAAUGGAUGAAACUCAUCAUACAUGGGGAAGAAGGCAAAUGUACAUCAUUGGAGUGAAGAAAAGAUGAAAGAAUAUGAAUCUUAGUCUUGGUCCAUUAUUUUAUUCCUUCAAGAAAAUCUACUUUACCUGCAUUUGUUUGCACCAGAUUUCCUGGUGAUCCAGUCUUUGGUGUCAUAAAAAAUACAAAGUUUUCUCUAAAUUCAAGGUUGAUCUUUGCUGUAUUUGUGCAACGUUUACCAAGUCCCAAUAAGCUUCUUCGUGAAAAUAUUACUUGCUACUAUUGCUAGAUUCAGUCUAGGAAGUAUAAUUCUUAAAUCAAAUCGCUAGUUGAAGUCACUGAGAUUCAUGAUUUCAUGUAAAACGAGUGGUAUUUCAUGGCAAAGAAGAAGAAGAGCUGGUUCAAUCUACUGAGGAGAAUUUUCAUUGCAGAUACAAAAUCAAGAAAGGUAAAUAAUGAGUUCAACUGCUUCUUUUAUUUGCAGAAUGUUGCAUACAUCUCAGAAGGUGCUUAAUUACAAUAUUCACAGAAGGAUGAAAAAAAAGGAUGGGCAUUUGGAGGAUUUAAGAGCAAAAGAUUAGCCUCUCUAUCAGCACCACCACCUCCAAAGAAGAGCAUACUAGGUGCACCUGAAGAAGAGAAGCAGAAUUAUGCAGAAAAUGGAACCAUUAACACUACGGCUGCAGAAAUCUCUCGUACUAAUACUCGAGAUUUCAGGCCCGGUGUCAGCCCUCGAUUGUCCACUCAAGACAAGAAAGAAUCCCAUGAAGUUUCAGCAACCAAUGUCUUUAGCCCUGCUUCACAAUCUCAUCAAUGCCAAUUGCAGAUCCAACAUCUUGCAGCUAUCAAAAUUCAAUCAGCAUUUCGCGGAUAUCUAGUGAGUUUUGUCAAACUUCUCUUUUCAAACUUCUCCACUCUGUUUCUGUAUCUGCAAAUCCAACUGCAGCACUCUUAUCAAACUUCCCAUAUCAAAAGUGAAAUCACAAGGAACCUGCAAAUUACUAGUGAAACACCAAAUUAAAUUGGGCAACAAGAAUUAUCCGAGUAUCAGUUGAAACAUUUGAACUCAUUUUAGAUGGAUGAUCAUUUUCUUUCUUUCUGACAUAACUGUUUGGAUUUUGCAGGCUAGAAAAGCUUUACGUGCACUGAAGGGACUAGUAAGGCUUCAGGCGAUAAUUCGCGGUUGGGCAGUUCGACGCCAAGCCAUUAAUACCCUCAAGUGUUUGCAAAGCAUAGUGAACAUUCAGUCAGAGUUUCGUGCCAAGAGAUGUGAUAUGGUGAAGACCACUCAGCAUAAUCAAGAAAACCAGGUGCAGGACAUGACAGAGAAGGACAUAAGGGUAAGUUAACGGUGAAUUUAGCUCUUCUUAUGUUUCAUUCCUUCGUGUUGACAAAUAAUCCAAAAGCCAAUUGGCCUUCCUCCUUUCAUUUUCUCCUACUGUACUUUUGACAAUACUGGGGCUUUAUCUCAUUAAUAACGUAAAGGUUCAAACUUUUGCCUGAUUUGCUGUAAUUUAUAGUUAACAGUGGAUCCAAUUUGAUGGAAAUGUUCUUUUGGUGUAAAAUCAAUCAAUAACCUCGCCAAAGUGAUACUGUGCUUGACUGGGUAUCAGCAGAAACUUAAGAGUCAAAAAGAAAUUUCUCUAGGUUUCACAAUAUAUAUGAACUGUUGAACAUAUAGUUGAGUAAAUCCACAAAGUUCCAUAACAUUUAGUUUGCUUUCAAUAGUUCACUAGAUCAAGUAUCAUCGUCCUUAGCAUUUCCUCAUCCAUCUACUUACGCUACUCAACCUGAACUAGAAAAAUGAAAGAACAGAUUUAUCUAUUGAGUUUGAGUUUUAAUUUAUCCUAAGAAACUUUCUUCUUGUUCCAAGUAACUAAAUUAUUUUCGUCCCCAAAUCUUAGUUAUUUUCUUGAUAUCUGCAGAUUGAUACAAAUAGCCAGAGAACGUGGGAUGAUAGUACUUUGUCGAGGGAUGAAGCAAAUGCAUCGUCCAUGAACAAGAGGGUGGCUUCAAUCAGGAGAGAAAGAAUAAAGGAAUACUGGUUAAAUCAUCGGGUUAGUUACUAAAACUUUGAAUCCUGAAAUCUUAAAAGUGUAGCUUAAUUCUACCGGCACCAGAUAGCAUAGCAUCACUGACAUGAUACUGUCUAUAUUCAGAGGUCCACUGAGUCAGAACAAAGCAAGCAAAAUGUAAAACAGAGAUACUGGCUAGAACAAUGGAUGGAUUCCCAGUUAGCUAAAAGAGAAGAUCUUCGCAAUAUAGGAACAGCGUUCCCGGUAAAUGCAAAGGCCAAAGAGGAACUAGCUGGCAGAAGACUCAGACUAAGAAUUCAGAAACAAUAUCAGAUUGAAGGAUUGGAUUCUCCUCUAAAUGUUCCAAGAAGAUCAUUUCACAGGAGGCAACGUUCCAACGGAGAUGAGGACUCUUUUGUAGGCUCUCCUUCUGUUCCAACAUACAUGGCAGCCACAGAAUCUGCUAAGGCAAAAGUUAGAUCAAUGAGCUCACCCAGGCUAAGACCAAUCUGUUUUGAUGCUUACUCUGAGAUCAAUUCUCCAUAUAAGCAUAAACUCUCUCCCAUAUCUUCCAUUAAUAGUGAGGCUACAAGCUGCAGUCAGAUCAGCAAACACUAUGGUUUCUCCCAAAGAUCUCCAUGCUUGAAAGGUAUACCUGGUCCAAUCAAGUCACAUAGAAGUCUGAAGGAGUUCAACUUGAUUGUAGAGAGUAAUAAAGAUCAACUGAAUGCCUAUGGAUGAUUCAAUUAUGCCAUCCAACUCUAUGCUAGAAGUCUAAGAACCUCAGCUUUAUUGCAGAGAGCUUAUUGCGGGUUUCAGCUCUUUUGCUUUGACAAGGAAUUGAGCUUGUAUUGCAGAUGUACUUGAAUGCCAAAAUGACACAUGAAAGGAGAUAGGAAUAUUCGAAUGAAACUCCAUAGUUUUUAAGUUGUAUUCAAUUAAAACCAAUGUUACAUGAUUACCAGAUUCCCUAUUCACAUACUAUUUCCAAUCUCGAAUUGUUAUCCACAGAAACACAGGAAUCAGGCCAGUUGUGUCACUCUUUUCCAGCUCACCCAUACCUAAAGCCUGGUCCUUAGCACGGGAGAAAUUUGAUCUUUGGGAAAAGUAAAUGUCAUUGGUGACCAUUUGGAGCCUUUAUCUCGUUACUUUAUGCACCAAAAAUUGAAAUAGAUUCAGGUCUUUAAAAUUUCUGUAGAAAAUGGCAAAUGUUAGAUUAUAGAAUCAAAUAAAAGAAUAAUAAGACUAUUUUUUUAUGGUCAUGAAACUAUCUAGUGUAACCAUUGGAAUACGAUCGAAUUAAGAAUUUGCAAGAAUAGGCGAAAUCAUGGAUAUGGAUCUCAUGAUUGAUAGGCAGAAAAACUCCUGAGGCAGCAGACACAACCCACGUAUGAAACAGAACACAGGAAUAGUUUUCUGGCUUCAGCAUUAUUAUAAGCCUGUAAAUAUAAAAUUAAGUCAUUCUGUCGCUCAUGGCCUGGUGAAUGAGAAACCAACGUGCUCUGCUGAUAUGCUCUCUGCCAGACACAAAAUACUCCUGGUUCAAAGAAGAAUUUCCUGUGCCUAUUACGGAUGAGAUUCUGAUAUAUGCCAAAUAGUACGAAAGACAUUCUUGACUCUCAACAGACUUCUUUCUUUUGGCCCAUAUAGAUAACUUUACUCCAUAUCCAGGAUAAGAAAGCACCACCAUCUACAAAUUCACAAGUCCAGAUAAAGGAUGUAUGACAAUCUACAGAUUUGUAAUAAUAUUGAAAAGAGCAGUACAACCUGUCUUUCAUCAAUUUCAAAAUACUAAACAUCAAGCUACAACUUCCUGAACUUCCUGAACUAAACAUCGAGCUACAACUUACACCCCUAGGAAAUUUUGCUUACCGUGGUUACAGUUCAGCAAAUAAUUGCCAUUUCCAGUUCCAGCUGCAAUUAGCUCAAUCACUUCCUGAGCACCUAUAAGUUAAUUUGUAUCUGAUAAUUCUACAAAAUUACAACCUUUAGCAAGCUAUAUUGAAGGCAAAACAGUUGAACUAUUACACCAAAUGGAUGCUUGAUUUUGUGUCAAAAUUCAUCUUCUUCACAAGCUUCUGCUGCAGCUAUCUCGGAAUCCAACUUAUUUAUCAGCUGCUCACUUAAAUGUUUAGAAACAGAGAUCAUGUCAAGUAUGACAGAUGGAUUUAGGCCUGCACCCCCUCGCUUUGUCAGCCCACAUAUGCGCCCUUGCCUAUUCACAGAAACAGAGACAGCUGAGCUCAUCUGAGAUUCUUCUUCCGAAGUUCCAUCCACGAUGUAGUGCUUACCAACCUGCAAAAUUUACCGUGGAAGAUAUUUGAAUUACAGAUAAUGUUAUAAUUUGGAUAACUAGUACCUGAAAAUAUUAUUCUUUCACCUUUGUCAGAGUUAUAAUGGCAGGAAUUCCACUGGUGUCAAAUUGCAAAAAUUCUUCAUCACUCAAAUCAACCUCUGGCUGCUCAUCAGAGGCAGCUGAAGCCACUUGGACUUUUGGAAGAGCUGUAUUGCUCAGAGCAGCCUAAAAAUCAAUUAUUUUAAUGAAAAUCAAACUUCAUGAAAAGAUGUAGUCAUCAAACAGGUCUAAUCGAUUUAAUCUAGGAUUUCAAAAGCAGUGUCUAAGCUUCUUUCUUGCCACCAAGCAUUGAUUAAUCCGCAUUGGUAAACAAAGUCAAAAGCUGCAGUCACCAGUCAAUUCAUCAUUGCCAAAAAACUAUAUAUAUAUAUAGACCUUUGAACUGCAGUUCAUUAAUCAAAUAAAUCAAAUGUAUAAAUGCACCUUGACUGCAGCGCCCAAGGCAUCUAACAGAUUCCCAUCUGAACUUACAACAAGACCUUCUAUAUAAAGAUCCCAACAGAUUUUCCCCUCAACGAUAGAAAGAGAUGAGAGAUCUAUUCCAGCCCCUGAAAAAGCAAAGAAAAUUAAGAGCCCCAUAUUAAUUAAACAAGACAGAGUACCUCAGCAAAUUGCAUCCCUUGAUGGACUGAUCUUGCUUCUUAGCAUGUUUACCUGCUCCACUUUUACCACCCAAGAGACAGCGCUGAAGAGCAACUGAGAGUUCUGACGACAGCUCUUCCCCUCCUCUACCCUACAUGAAAGAAGAUCAUAAAGAAAACUGCUAACAAUCCAAAUGGAGGAUAAAUUAAGUAUCUACCAUAUGGCAUUCAGCACAGCUAUUAUGUUAAUGCAAAGAAAUUCCAGUGUUUCUGCUCACUAUCGAAAGACACAGUCACCUACUUAAACUAGUAAACCUAGCUGUGCAUUGCUUACAAGCAGGCAAGUAAACACACAAAUAGAUGGCAUCACUACCAUUCAUUGUCAAUUUAAACAUACAAAGGAAGUAAACCAGGGCUUCACUACCCUUCAUUGUUAACCGCAAGAUUCAUAGAACAAGAAGAAAUACCUAGUAGUGUUAAAUGCAAUCAUAAGCUCAAAAACAGGAAAUGAAGUUUCAGUUACAUCCAAGAGUUUCAAGACAAGAUAACCAACCUAAAGAUUCAUGAUACAAUAACAAAAUGCGAAAAAAUUUUAUGUUUGCACAAAAAGCUAAAAAAAAAAACAUUUUGUUUCAACUUUCUGCAGGAUCUCCAUGUUGCUUUUAUAGUGCUCAUAGUUAUUAUCCGCUAUAUUUGUCAUAUCUGUCUGUUAUUAAAAAGAAAAAAUGUUUACUCAGAACUACAAAGAAUACAUGAAUAUCACCUCAAAUGCUGGCUCAGCCGUGGGACUGCAAUCCACGUUGAUUAAUACCUUCCCUUUAUCCGGAUAAGAUGGGCUCGGCUUUCCAAGUUCAGCCUAGAAUUACACAUUGACAACUCACAUAAAAUCCCAACAUCACCACCCAAAAUGUACAAUUCAAAAAUCCCAAACACAUACAAAACAGAACCAGUACUUAAACCCAAAAAAAAAAAAAAAAAAAAUAUUCCACCUUAGCACUCGCGAUAACAUCGGUGGCACCAAGCUUAACUCUAGCUGAACCAUUAGCCUAUAGUAAAAGAAAACCCAAACUUAAAACACAAAAUUUAGCUCCAAAAAAGAAUUUCUAAGAUUAUGUUAGGGAAAAAAAACAAAGUAAAAUGAAUGGAAAAACCCUUACCUGAGGGAUGACACCUGUUUCAAUGUAAAUGGGCCGAUAAGUGUAGCGUUUUCGGCCGUCAGUACGGAGGUCCUGUUCAAUGCCUCCCUUGAUAAAAUGCUUUUCUCCAACGGAAAGUCCCACCAUUGCUGCAAAAACAUGUUAAAAAUGAGAAUAUUACGGAUAAAGAAGCUUAAUUUGGUAGAGGGGCGUGGAAAUUGUACCGUCAAUGGCCGGAGGAGUGGUGAAGAGGGCUUUUGCCGGUGACCGGAGAGUGAGAGACAGAGGAUUGUAGAGAUUUUGGGAAAUUAGGGCUCCCUGGGGUUUUUGGGUUAUAUUUGUAAAAUUGCAUGGACCGGGCACCGGGUCUAUUAUGUGGGGCAAAAUUGAACCGGUCGAGUUGAGUGGAGCAAUAUUUAAUAAGGGAAAUGGCAUAUUUAGUCCUUUUACUUUUCAAUUAAAGGCACGUUUAGUCCUCAAACUACUUACUCGACCUUAAUCGGUUCUUACACCCAUAAUUUGGUGAAAGUUAAGCCCUUCUGUGGCUUUUCACUAGAGGUGGCAAAAUGGGUGAUUUGGGCGGGUUUGGGUUGGGUAAAAUGGGUAAUGGGUAUAAGUGAGUCAACCCAUUUAUAUCCAUUUAAUUAGAUGGGUAUAAAUGGGUAAGUCAAAAAAUGAGUUGGGUAACCCAAUUAUCCAUUUAUAACCCAUUUAUUCUAAUUGUUUACAAGCUCAUAUAAAUUCAUUUUGUAAACUAAAUUAUCAAUUUAUACCAUUUUACACCCAUCAUUAAUUUUAAAUAUUUACUUAUUAUGCCAAAUAAGUCUAAUUAUAAAUUUUUUUUCCUUCCGCGUGCCAUGUUGCAAAAUUACAUAUUAUUUAAUAAUUAAACAAUGAGAAUCUAAAAAUUUGGACUAAAUAAUAUGAAAGUUAACAAAACAAUUUAAUCCAAAACUUUGAACCCCUAGUCUUUUUUCGUUUAUAAAUUUAAAAUUUCAUUUGAAAAGGUAAGAAAGGAAGCUAAAAUUUGUCAUAAAUUGAUGAUGCUAAAAAAUGAUCAAAUUAAUAAAUUACAAGGAAAUAAAGCGAUAAGAUAAAACCAACAAAUAAAACAAAAAUACUUAACAUAAAAAAUAGUUAAAAAUCCUUAUGAAGACUAGCAAUCACUUCAUUUAGCAUACAAAUAAAGACAAAUUUUCAAUAAAUACGAAAUUUAGAAGUAUCUUACCAAAUAGAGAAGAAACUGAAAAUCAAAACCGGUAAACAUACGGAGCUUCGUAAGAGAAUUGCGCAACUAAAAUUUCGUCGCAUUUGUUUCACCAGCUGAUCAUGAUUUCAAAGUCUCAAGUUCUCCUCUCUCUUAUUAGCUCUCUGCUUCCUUCUUAAAAGAAGGGGGAAUGUAAGUUAAAUGGGUUAAAUGGGUUAGAUGGGUUACCCAAUUAAACCCAUUUAAUAAAUGGAUAUAAUUGGGUAACCCAUUUAUAUCCAUAUAUAAAAAUUUAAUGCACCCAUAUCCAAUUAUUAAUGGACGGGUAUGGGUAAAAUUAAUUAAAUGGUUUUAUUUGACACCUCUACUUUCCACUAAAAAAAAUGUGCCAAUGGCAAAUCUUUAGAUUGCAAUUUUCUUUUCUUUUUCUAGAAGUUUAUGAAUUGUUUUUGAUUUAAAGUGUUUAUGGUGAAAUGUAUUUGUCUUUUUCGAGGUUGCAAGUAAUUUGUAAGAUUGAGAUACGAACACUAAAUGCCCUCAGGCGAGAUCCCUUCUUGUUAUGAGAACCUAGAGUUCAUAGAAAUAAGUGUGAUAAAUAAUUAACGAUUUAUAUCAGGUCACGUCUCAAGUAGCAUGAUCUAAACUGUCUUUAAAUUGUAAAGAAGAAAAGCAAAUUAACUCCAAAAUUUGAGAUGCAAUCCAUUUGGACAGCAAGACUUGCCUCUAGGGGUUACAGUUAAGGCAUCAAAUCUAGAUAAUUAGCAGUUUAGAUUAGGUGAUUUCUUAUGCGGUAUGACUAGAACUGUUGCUUUAAAAUAUUAGAGUAAAAGGGGUAAAGCUCUAAAAUGAGACGAUCCUGAGCCCGAGCAGAGAAUUGCCUCCUGAAGUUGCAGUUAAGGUAUCGAAUCUUGCGUCAGUAGCUAAUCUGAGUAACAGUUAGGAAUAGUUAAAUUGAUUAUUGACCUCCACAUAGGUUAGUCACUAUUAUAGGACCUCCCUUGAUAUUUAGAAAGUAGAUGUCCUAUCAAUUCAAAUACUUUGUGAUUUUGCAGCUUUUUGGACUCAACAGUAACUAGAGGAGAAGAGGGAUUACCUCCUGUAAACUCAUUCCCACGUGCAGUAAUUGACUGUAUCUAUGGGGUAAAAUUGUACAUUAAUUACAACGAUGCGUACACUCGUUAAUCACAAUUGGACACUUGACUUUCCUUUUCACCUUUAUGUAACAAGUUUAUUUUGAAUUUUGAAAUUUUGGGCCAAUCUUAGCCCCGAAUCAAUAUCUGAUUUUUCAAAGAUGCUUAUUUUUUUGGGCCAAUCUUGGCCCAUUCAUUAUUAUUUUAACUAAGGUGGCAAAAGAAAGAUUGACAACUGCAGACCGGGUAUAUCAAUGGAUCGGAUCUUAUCCAAAUCCAACCCAGAUUCAAUAUACUUGAGUAGGGUUUGGAUUUAAUUUCUUAAAUUCAAACUCUACCCAGACCCUAUAAGAGAGUCAAGGAUUUGGGUAGGAUCUGAUUUUCUAUGAUCCAUAUCCAAAUUCAAAUUCAUACCAGACAUAUCCAAACUCAUGUGUGUGUGUAUAUAUAUACAUACAUAAAAUUUAGCUUGUGCAUUAACACAAUAUAAAUUUUAUUUGUGAUUAUUUAUGAAUUGAUGCAAGCCAUAAAUAAUUAAUUAAUAUGUUAAUGUAUUAUUCAUGUUUACAUGCAUAUUAGUCUUUAGGAACUUUUAUUCGUAAACUUAUUACAAUGUUAUAAUAUUUAUUAAUUAAUAUAAAACAUAGAAAAAAGAAAUAAUAGGUUUGGUGUUCUUUGAGAUGAUAAUUGAACUUUACAAUAAUUAUAUACCUACUCAUAUUCAUUUUCAGUUAAAGACAAAAAUAUUUAGCAAUCUAUUGUCUCAUGACUGAAUUAUUAGUUUUUAUCAAAAUUAGUAAAUUUAUGAAUUUAGUAAUUAAAUUCACACUAAGCAGGUUCACUGUGUAUGGAUGAAAGGAAUAAAUCAAAUUUAUUAAAGAGAUAAAAGUUAUAAGAAGAUAGAGAAAUUAUAAGCAAAAUUGAUUAUACGUAUAAUAUAUGUGUGUGUGUGUGUGUGAAAUUUAGUUUUGCAUUUAGUACAAUUGUUUUCUUUCGUUUAGUUCUUAUUAAUUUUAUAAAGUGAAUAUAAUAUAGGCUUAAAUACAUUUUCCUUAAUUAGAGAACGGUUUCAGUUCAUCCCUUGUAUUCACGAAAUAGAUAAAAUACCCCCUAAAGUGCAAAGUUUUUUCUGUUACCCUCACUUCUUUUCAUAAUUUCUGAUCUCUUUUUUCUUUUUAAAAUUUUCUUUCAUUUUUAAUCAUCAAAAUAAUUUUUGGAAAUAAAUUAUUUAUUACCUGCAAAUCAGGUGUGCCUUGAGCACUAGUGUUUUAUAAAUUUUUUUCCCUCUUUAAUUCAUGCUAAUGAAAUAACAAAAAUGCCAAAAGAGUCUUCUAAACAUUAAUAUAACUUCGAAAGGGUUGAAAAACAUUAAUUAAGAUGUGGGAUUAUCCAUCAAGCAUAAAUGGUCUGAUAAAUAAGAAAAAAAUCAAAUGCCCACAACCGUUGGAUAAAGGUACUUGAUGAGGGAAGAAAAUAAGUGUAUUUGAAUAGAGUAUUAUUUGAAAUAUUAUUUGGAAUAAUUACUAUAACACUUUUGUGAUGUGAUGUAUGUGAAAUAAAAAGAUAGUUAAAAAUAUAAAAAUGUAGAUUGAGAAAUGUAUUUAUGAUACAAGUUUCAACUAUUGGAAAAUUGAGCAUUUAACUUGUUCUCGUUGACUCGUUACAGGUUGCAAGUUUGGUCGUCUUGUUAAAGAGUCUGGUCUUUGUAAACUAUUAAUGCAGCAGGGCGGUAUAAUAAUGUUGAAAACGAAAGAAUUAACACAUUCAGUGAACCAACCGUCAAGAUUUAAGAAAUAGUUUAUUGACUUAAAAAUUUGAGAGAAAUGCAGUUUUGAUCCUCAAUGUUUAGGUCGUGUGCCAAAUUGAUCCUUAAUAUUUCGAUCAAGACAAGUCUGGUCCCUAAAAUUUGUGAUUUUAAAUAGAUUUAGCACAACAGACGGAAAUAAAAUAAUAACUAACUGUCACCAUCAAAUUGUCAUUAGUUAAGAACUUUGACUUUGCACUUUUGUACAUAAUCCACACUACAAACUAGACGUUUCUUGGGUCAAAUUAAGACCGAACCAAAAAUUUAGCUGGUCAAAAUGUAAUUUUAAAAGCUUGAUAUUUUUCGCUCACACAAUUUCAGACUUGCAAAUUGUUGGCAGUGUUCUCUCCGAUUCCAACCAAAGACCACAGUUGCAACUAAAAUAGAAAGAAAAUUUUUUGUUUGUUUUACUAAACAUAUAUCGGUCUACAAUAGAACAGUAACUUCAAAAUUGGCAGUGACGGAACAGAAUUAAAAAUCCAGGUAUUGAGACAAAAUUUGCAUGAAAUGGAUAUUGUCAGUCAAUUGCUUGGUUGGGAACAAAAUUUCAUAUGGAUGUAGCAGGACAAUCUUCAAUAAUUUGAGCGGUUUUAUGUUGGUUGACAAGUGCAAUCAUAGAGACGAUUUAGUAAUUAAGCACAUACUAGGUGUCAUUUCAAACUGUCAAGAAACUUUGCUCGCCUUGCUCAAAUUAUAAUGUAUUAUUUUUGCCAACAAAUACGAAGCAAAAUUUGUUAAGUUGCAAUUUUUAGGUUCAGACUUCAAGGAUGGUAAUCAAAAGUAUAAUUAACUUUGGCUAGAGAUAGCAAAUCUUGAGUGCCAAAUACAAUACAAUACAAAAUAUGUUGAGGUAAAAUUUGUAGAUCCGACCUUCAAGAAUGGCAUUAAAAUGAUUAAUUUUUGGCUAGAGAUGUUAUCUUGAACUUCCUUUUAUACACUAAUAAAGGGCACACCCCCUUUUUUUUGCCACUUUUUAUUAAUUAUACUCUUCACAUGCAAAGUAUUCAUAAAUUAUGGUAGUAUUGAGUUAGUUUUUUCUUGAUUUUGGCACAUGAAGACGCUGUUAUAUGGGUAGUAAUAUUGUAUGCAUGAUAAUAAGACCAGCGAAAGGAAUAAGCACAUGAUAAAAUGGGGUAUAGUUGAUUGCUACAUUAGAAUAGUAGAGAAAGUAAUUAAAUGGGGUAUUUUAGGGUGUGCGAAAGUAAAUGAUAAGCACACGGUAAAUUUAGAGAGAAUCACAGUCAACAAAGUUUGUAUCAUGAAUAUAUGGAAUUAUUGUCAUAUAGUUUACACGUACCACUCUUCAUAUGCUUACGUUCACCAAAGCUUUUAGCUAUGAUUUUGGCCUAUUAUUUCUAAAUGCAUUUUGGUCUAGCAGUUGUUCAUCUAAAUGACUUAAAGAUUCUUUAGUUUACCAAAAAUAAUAUUGUGGAUAUUACUUGCUUAGAUGCUAAAUUAAGUUAUGAAUUGAGCACAACCAAAAUUUACACACAAGACAGUUUAGACGGUUAAAAGUUAGAGGCUUUUUUUUUUUGUAUUCUAAAUUUUCUUUUCCCUUCUUUUCUUCCUCCUCCAUUGGAGAUGGCUUUUUAUUGUUUGUUGGAUGGAUUUGGUUUUUGGUCUAAUCUCACCAAACAAAUCAAACACAAGCAACUUAGUCUCCUUUGCACUAUGGACACUUGAUCGUUCUCUUUGAUAUUGUUUGAGUUGCCUUUUCAGCUAUUUGAUUAAUUUGUUUAUUUACUUUAAGUCAUUAAUUAUUGGUUUUCAAUUUUAGGGUUUUUUGUUUUUCAAUUUGUUUGCUUGCCCUUAAUGAUGGAUUUUAAUUAUUUUAUUAUGCUAUUUUAGUUACAAAUAACUUUUGUAACGGUUAACAUGAUUGAUAUUCAUUCAUUUAUCAUUAUUGGAAUGCAUUACCAUUGUUCAGCGGAGGAUAAUUUAAGUAUUUAAAAAAAAGGUAUGACAAAAUUCUACUUACACUUCUAGACUCACAAUACCUUUAUAAAGAGUAUAGAUGGAUAGGUGUAAGGAUUCGAAAACCCCAUUUUAACUAUAGGUGUGGGGAUCCUAUUGCCCGAUUUACAGCUUAAGGGAAUUUGAAAUCUCUUCUUGGUAGCUAACUUACCAAAUGCAAAUUGGUUUGUGAAAUUUGUAUAUCGCAAGAUAGAGACUCGAGAAGCCAAGAUGUUGCCCUACCAGCGCCAGAUCCAAACUAGGUGUCUAAUUGGCCUCUACACUCGCAAGAUAGUUAGAUAGAGUGUAGAGGCACCGCCCGGAUCCAUUUCCCACCAUUAUCAAUCAUCAACCGAAUUCUUUAAGAAAAAAAAAUUGCCUAUAAUAGACGCCUUGAACAUCACCAUCCCUGUUCUCAUAAAAUAAAACCUUAAAAAAAAUUGAAUACAUGCCUCCAAGUCUUUCAAUCAUCAUUAUCCCUGUUCUCAUAUUGUGUUUGUCAACAUAUCAUCAACAGAUAAAUCGUUGUCAUGGUGCUACUAUCUUUACCUCUCUGGACAUAUGUAUCUUUUCGCAUUAUUAUUUCACAUCCGAACUGUCUUGUAUAGUAUACAUACCUUGAAUAUGCAAUUAUUACCCAAGCCAUCUGCUGUUUGGUAAGAGGGGAUUGGAAUUAGAAAUUGAAAAAAAAAUCCAAUAUAAGUUGUUUGGGCUACAGGUAUUGGAUUCAAAAUUUUGGAAUGAAUUACUAAAAUUUGGGAGUUCUUAGUUCCUAAUAAAUUGGGAAGCUUUGGUGGAUUCCCAAAUUUAAUCCAUGUGCAUGAUUUAAAAAUUAAUAUUUUGCACUUUCCACACCCUUUCCCUCACGUCAUUCUCUCUCCCUCCAUCUUUUCUUCCCUUGGUCCCUCGCAGCUUUCUCCCAUGUCCAUGACUCAUCUUUCUUCUUCCUUCUCUCUCUUUCCCUCGUACCUCAAUGGUGACCCCUCUAUUUUCCCUUCCCUCUUUCCAUAGUAGUCCUUCUCUCUCCCAUUCCACCUUUCUCCCCCUCUAUAUAGUCCAUUUUUUUCCUUCCAUAACAGGCAGCAAACACUUUGACUCCUCUUCCUUUAACUGACUCAACUUGGUUUUUUUUUAUGGGUCAAGUGUAUUAUUUCGAUGAAUUAAUCUCAAAUCUGUAUAUUUCUAAUUCCAUUGAGUUUGGAAGGAAAAAAUUUUUCUUUCCAUCACAUUCUUUUCAUUCUAACAAGAGAUUUGGUGACGGAGGUUUGCUGGGUAGUGUUUUAGUAAGAGAUAUGGUGGUGGGGUGAGUACGAAAGAGUUAGACAUAGAAGAAAAAGAUGAUGAAUUGAUGAAAAGGGGAAAAAGAGGACAAAAUAUAGGUAAAAAAUGAUAUUAAAUUAUGAUACCUAUUCCUUACAGAUAUUUGCCAAACACUAGUUAUUUGAAUGACAUCCUCACGAAGAACUCGUACCAAUUUUUUAGAAAUGAUUCCAAUUACAAUUCGGAUUCCUUAGCUUGAACCAAAUGCCUACUAAAUCUGUAAUUUUAGAACUCAAUAUCAAAAUAGCCAUGAAAAAUAUUUACUACUACUUGCUUCUUGGAUACUUUUUGUCAAGUUACCUGUCAGCUUGCUCAGCCAGGGCCACCACUACCAACAUCACCACAGAUCAAUCAGCCCUUCUUUCUUUGAGGGCUCAAAUCACUUCAGACCCUCAUCAAUUCUUAGAAAACUGGUCUCCUACAUCCUCAGUUUGUGAAUGGGUAGGAUUCGUUUGCCGAUCUCGUCAUCGUAGGGUAACUGCCUUCAACAUUGCCAACAUGAGUCUUACUGGCACCAUUCCUCCACAACUAGGAAAUCAAUCCUUUCUUGUUUACCUCAACAUGAGUCGAAACAAUUUCCAUGGAGAACUGCCCCAUGAGUUAUCUCAACUGUGCCGAUUACAAGUUCUUGACUUUGGAGUCAAUGAUCUUGGUGGAGAGCUUCCUUCCUCCAUUGGUUCCUUGCAUAAACUCCAAUGCCUGUCCCUCAGAAAUAAUAGCUUUACAGGUUCUAUCCCACCUGGUAUCUCUAACAUGUCAAACUUGGAGAUGUUAUGGUUGUUGUAUAAUUCUCUUGAAGGGACAAUACCAAAGGAGAUUGGAAAUCUACCAAACCUGAAGAACUUGUACAUGUUCUAUAAUCAACUUUCUGGUCCUAUGCCUGCUGAGAUCUUCAACAUUUCCUCUUUGGAAAGGGUUAUUGUUUCAAGUAAUAGACUAACCGGCGGAGCUUCCGAUUGAGAUUUGUCGCCAACUUCAGAAGCUGACAUGGCUUGAUCUAUCAGACGACAGGCUAAGUGGUGGAAAACCAUCAAUAUUGUCUCAAUGUUCAAAGCUUCAAGUACUCAGAUUGUCUAUCAACAACUUCACUGCAUCCAUACCCAAGGAAAUUGGUAGCUUGACGGAGCUUGAGGAACUAUAUUUGGACAAUAACAACUUAACAGGUAGGAUUCGUUCACAUGCUUGCGCAAAUCAAAUUUUGAAGAUGACAAUUUUCUUUUAAAGAUUUGUCUACGAGGGUACAACAAUUUAUAUGUAUAAUUCCAAUGAAAAAGCAAGCACACUAAUAUUUCCAGUUUUCCACCAUGCUUAGAAUAAUCCUACUUAGAUUUAAAUUUCCAAAGCUAUAGACUUUCUAAUAUAGAGAAUUCGUUAUCUUUAAGUAGUGACUUUAAACUUGUUAGGGGUGGCAAUUUCCGACACGACCUGAAAACACAACACGAAUCUAACACGAAAUUAAUGGGUUUGGGUUGAGGUUUCGGGAGUUCGGGUCGAACCCGAAAAGAAAACAGAUCGAUUUCGGAUCAACACGUGGGUGACCCGAUAUGACCCGUUUACGAAUUAAAAAUUAUUUAAUAAACAUAAAAAUUAUUUUAUCUAACUAAGCUAAGUUAUUCUUUUUUGUCAAAGGCAUUAAUUACUUAAUCCUAAAUGAAUUUAUUUAACUUGUGUAAAGUUAAAAUUAUUAUAUUUGGACAAAUAAUAUAUUAUAUUAUUUUUUAAUUUUAUACUGUUUUAAUUUAUUUUAAAUUUGGUUUUGGGAUAAAACACUUUUACGGUGUUUAAUUUAUUUUGGAUUUAGUUUGGAAUUAUUUAUUUAAAUUUUUAUUACUUGAUUAUGUAAUUAGUUUUGUGAGAAAUUAAUUUUAUUAGAAAUUACAGUACUAAAUUAAUAAAUUAAAAUUAAGUUUCGGGUCAUUUCGGGUUCACCCGCCAACCUGCCAACCCGAAAUUUUCGGGUUCAUGUCAGGUAUCUUGACCCGUUUUGGGUUGGCGGGUCAGCGGGUUUUCUGUUAUACUUGGGUCUCAAUCCGACCCGUCAACUCGAAUUCGACCCGAUUGCCACCCCUAAAACUUGCUACUUGAGAUGCCCAAUCUCUGCCCUUUGAAAUUUUUUCAUAAAAAUAAUUAAGUGGGAUUUUGUUCAUUAUAUUAUAUUCCAUUUUAAAGUUGGACUUCCUCGGUGAAUUUUACUCAAAAAAAUUAUACUCUAAACGAUAUAGGACUAAUACAAUACAUACAGAUCAAAAAUAAAUAACCCACCUCCUGAUUUUUAGGAGUUCCUAUGUCUAAGCAUAUCAUGUUUUUAAAAUCGAUUAGUGUAAGUGAACUCUUUUACUUAAACGCCUCUCAUGAGACACUUAAAUUUCUAUUGCAUAUUUUAUGUCUAUUCACUUCAUUUUUAUGGGUUUCUGAUGGCAUCAGUAGAUGCAAAAGGAGAGAUGAGUUUCCUUCUUUAGGAAAAGAAGAAUUUACUUGAAAAUUUGGAACUAAAAUAUGUGCCUGUGGUUGGCAUUUCAUAAAACUAUUAAAGUUAUGUGUCCUUUCCAAUCGCAUUUGUAGUUUAAUAAACCUGUCAUAUGUUUCCUUUUCAUUUGCUGAGGACCAUUUCACUCCAAAGAUUUAACAAACAUAUUAUAGAGAGGCAACUUCCAAAUUGCUAAUUAAUGCAAAAAAUCUGUAGUUUUGGACAUGUUGGAUUAGUUUGGUAAUAUGAAAAGAAAUGAUAUUAUAUUGGUAAUUCAAUAAACACAUGCAAGAGCUUGGGCGGUCACAUUAAUAAACAUGUGCUAGGCUUAGGGUAUUCUUGGCUGGCAACAUGCUUUGAAAAGCAUGCGGCGGCCGCCCUCUCAAUGUUCACAAUAGGUCAUUGACAACAUAAAGUCAUACCUACCUACGUUCCAAAUCAAAAUAACUUUGUCCAAAUUUUCACUUGAAAAAUAAGGUUUAGUAUAAAAAAAAUGAGCCAAUUACUUAGAACACAAUUCAAAAGUUACGACACAAUCUAUUGCAAAAAUUUGUUAACAAUUAAUGUUAAAUUCUUAAUCUAUCGAUGGCAAAAAUUCUUGUUACGAUCAUUUGCCUUAGAUUUUGUUACGUAACUUAGUGUUUUGUGUGUGUGUGUGUUUUUUUUCUAUAACUAAUAACUUAAGAUAGCAAAGUGUUAGAUUUGAAGCUUUGGAAACUAAAAUGAGGUUAUUAAGUAAUCAUUAAUUGUUAUCGUUAGGAAAAAAAAAAGUAAUCAUUAGAGUUGACUCAAUAAUCAAGAAAGGGUUCUUAGAAUUUUUUUCGCUGUCAGAUUCAGAAUUCGAAUCAUAAUUUUAACAGUUGAAGAUAGAAAGGAUAAGAGAAAAGGUGUAUGAUAAAAGGAAAACAAAAAAAAAAGUAUUCAAAUAUAUACUCCCGUCCCACAAAAUUCAUCACUUUUUAAAAAAACCAACUUAAUGUGAAUAGUCUCUAAGAUUGAUAGCUGUAUGCUUGAACUCCCCUUUUGGACCUCGUUUUUCAGUUUGAGUUAACCUUGGAUGUCCUUAAAACAAAAACAAAAAAAAUAAAAAUAAAAAUUGGGAUGGUGGUACCUUAUAUAGUCAUGUGGGACUCACCACCUGAAAUGACACAACACUUUGUUGUUGUUCGAACGCCACGCUGCUCCUUUGGCCGGGCGUAUGUCACAUGCACGAGAUUACACAAGUCAAAGUGGUUUAUGGGCCUUUAUACAAAAUUGUCAUUGACUUCUCAUGUAAUGGUAUUCAAUGGAAAUGCAUGAAAUUCUUUUUACUAGUUUAGGUAAAUGAAAAAAGUUUUGGGACAUUAUAGCAUGAUACUUUCAGUAGGAUAGAAGAAGUAUUAAAAGUUAAAUAAAGAAAGGUUAAACUACGAUUAGGUGAUCAAACUUGUACUAUGUCUUUUCUUUGAUAAAGGGGUGGCACCAAUUAGUUUUUUGAAAAAUGCAAGCUAUUUUCCUUCUUGUUUGCUAAUAAAUAUUCAAAGCCACAUGUUGGUUGAAGAUUGCCGAAACUUAUGACUUUUGUGUCCCAAAAUUAUGACUUGAAAAUUCAACCAUCAUGGCUUGAUUGUGUUGACCAAAAUAAUGGCUCCAUACCGUGUACAAUUGUAUUUUGUAUCUAGCUAGAUACAAACAAAAGUCAUAAGUUUCGACAAUCUUCAACACGGUAAGGAGCCAUAAUUGUUGAAUCUUCAACACCAUCCAACUUUAUAUUUUGCUAGAGACUAAUCAGUACUACUUUUUUUUCUGUCAAAGAUAAGCAAUUAAAUUAGAUUAGAACGCUCAUAGAGUUAACGAAAAGACUGGCCUAAGCAAUCUAAGAAGACCCACCAAACUAAUCAGUACUACUAGUUACCAACUUUUUAUAUUAAAAAUUUUAAAACCACCAUUGACAGUGAAUCGAGAACCUCUAGAAUUAACAGUGAUAAUUGCAUUAUGCAACAUAAACAUUAGGAGAUUAGAUGAAGUUGAUAAAAUAAUAAGUGUAGAAAGUAACACAAUAAACUUUUUUUCCUGAAAUUUGUGUACUAAAAUUAUAUUAGUAUUUAUAUUUGUUAUUUUAGAAUUUAUAUUUGUCUUUUUUGUGUCUGCAUUACACGGUGCAUUUGUCACUAACAAUUAUAGAGGAGUAUGAUUUGAAGACAUUAGCCUUUUCCGUUAAAUGUUUUAGGAUCCUACAAUUGACAAUUAAAAUGUAAGAGCUAUUUAUUCAACUAAGCAACUGACAGACAAGUCUUUCGAACGAAGAUAAAGGAUUAUUUAGUUACUUGCCCCAUUGUUUUUUUUUUCAUCUUUUCAAUUCAAAGACAUCGAUUUACCUGCAAUAUUUUUAAUUGGAAAUAUGGAAAGUUAAGUGAUUCUGAUCUUAUAAAAAAUUCUCAACCAUCAAUUCUCCUAAACUUAUAGUUAUUCUAUUUUUCUUAUCCCUAAAAUUUGAAUUUAUCCAUCCUAAUUUUUUUACACUUACACUGUUUUCUAGUAUCCAAGCGAUAAAGAGUAAUAUAUUGAAUAUUCAUAUGUAUAUAUAACUCUCAAAAUUACAGUGCCUAUAAUACUCUCAAGUAUAUUUCGAAUAUCUCAAGCAAUGAAGGGUAACAUUUUAAAUAUUUGCAUGUAUGUGUAACUGUAAAAAAUACAUUGCCUAUGAUGCUACUAGGAUUUUAUUUAAUUUUAUUGCUAUACAUUUUCUAGAUGUAGAUUUAAGAGUUCAAGUGUAUUUUGCAGGUGUGAUUCCCCAAGAGGUGUAUUUAUAGCUUGGCUAUAACCAGUCGAUUGGUGAGAUCCUUUUCUUUUGUACACGUCUAAUUUUCCUUUGCACAUUUCAUAUUUUCAUCACUCUAUUUAUUGUCACUUGGGACCUCAAAUUUUUGAUUUUACCACUUCACAUUUUAAAGUUAUAAACUCAGCCCAAUUCACCCCAAUCCAGCAACUUGUCCAAGAAACUAGGCAAACGAUAUGUUGAUUCCAUUAUAAAAAUGUGAGAGCACUGUGCUUUAGUCUACUUACGUUAGCAACCUGAGCAGUUUGGGCGAUUUGAAGGUUUCAUAAUUGAAGUGCGGAAAUAUAUGCAACUAAUUAACAGUUAAUCACAGAAGAAGAAGGUACUAAUUAAGCCAGGAUCACUAGCUAAUGCCAAUCUAAUAGAUUAGAAAAGAGCUGUAUGUUUUGUACAAUGGAGGUGUAAAGUCAGAAUUAGCCUAAUCAUCAUGUUGCAAAAUCGAUUUAGUCCUUGUAAAAAGGCAAACUAGUCUCAAAAAGAACGCUAUAUAAUUGAUUGAACAUGUUUAAACCUGCUUAUUCUGCAGGUACAAUACCACAACAGCUUGGCAAUCUGCAGAAUCUAGAAGGGCUAAGUCUGACGUUCAAUAAGCUUGCAGGAUCCAUACCUGUUCAACUGUUCAACAUCUCAACGCUGCAAAUAUUGUUACUUCCGGGCAAUAAUCUUUCUGGAAAUCUUCCAUCAACAGUGGGUUCUGGAUUAAUCAAUCUGGAAAAGCUUUAUCUCGAUGGGAAUGACUUUGAAGGAGUGAUACCGGCCUCGAUAUCAAAUGCAUCCAACCUAGUAUGUUUAAGCUUGGCUGCCAACAGAUUCAGUGGUCCAAUUCCUAAUUCUCUUGGGGAUCUAAGACUUCUAAGAGAACUUAGUCUCUUCCAAAACAAUUUCACAAAUGAUCCUUCGUCACCAGAGUUGAGCUUUAUUAGUUACUUGACAAAUUGCAAGAACCUAACAAUCUUAAUAUUCGGUGACAAAUUGACAAUCCGUUGCACGGCAUUCUUCCGACAUCUGUUGGAAACCUUUCUACUUCACUUGAAGAACUUUACGGAUAUCAUUGUAUUAUCAAGGGAAACAUUCCUGAAGCUAUUGGUAAUCUGUGCAAUUUAUGGGUUUUAAGUCUAUUUGGAAAUCAACUGAGUGGACCUAUUCCGGCCUCAGUGAAAGACCUGCAGAAACUUCAAGUUCUAGAUUUGAAUGAUAACUAACUUGGUGGAUAUCUGCCAGACACUCUUUGUGGCUUAAACAGCUUAUAUGGUAUGAAUCUAGGCCAAAAUUGAAUCCAAGGAUCGAUCCCCUCAUGCUUAAGUAGCAUUACAACUUUGAGGGAGAUUAGAUUUGGUGGAAACUUAUUAAACUCUACCAUACCAGCAAGCUUGUGGAGCCUCAACUAUCUCUUGCAUUUGUAUCUGUCCUCUAAUUCCUUGAGCGGCUCACUACCUCGAGAAAUUGAAAACUUGAAGGUAGUGGUGAAUUUAGAUUUGUCAGUAAAUCACAUUUCUAGAAGUAUUCCAAGCUCAAUGGGGGGUUUGCAAAGUUUAUCUGGACUUUCUCUGGCACAAAAUAGACUUGAAGGAUCUAUUCGAGACUCACUGUGGUCUGUAUUAUAUAGGCUUGGAAUUGCUGGACCUAUUUAGUAACAAUCUCUCCGGUUCAAUCCCAAAAUCCUUGGAAAAACUUGCACACCUGAAUUCCCUUAAUCUUUCUUUCAACAAUUUAACAGGUGAGAUUCCUUCUGUUGCUCCUUUGAAGAACUUCACAAGUCAAUCUUUCAUAUCUAAUUGUUGAGCCGCAAGGUUUGACUUUGGUGGUAAAAUUUUUCAUCCCACGUCGAAGACCAGCAAUGGAAGCCUUCCCUCUUGAUACCUAUAAAUAAGGCUUCCUAUGAAGGAAUCAAUUGCACCACUCAAGAGAGCAUUAUAUAGGCUAUUAGUUUCUUGGGUCAUCUAUCCCAUUUAGUCAAAUAUUUUAGGCUCUCUUGUUUUGAGUUUAGGAAUAUUUUCCAAACUCUUUUAUAAGUGCCAUUUUGGCCUAGGAACCACUUUCCUACGGCUUUUGUAUUUCUUCUUCAUAGUAGAAAUAUUGCUCCUCCUCCGCCCGUGAACGUAGGUCAAUUUGAUCGAAUCACGUAAAUUUUUGUGUCUUUUAUUUGUUUUGUUAUUUGUCUUUAUUGGGUUGCCACAACCCUUUUUAUAUGGUCGGUUUUACCGCCUAAUUAUUAUAUGGCUGGUGUUUACCGCCUAACCAUUAUAUGGUCGGUUAUACCGCCUAUUUUGUUCUAAUUUUAAUUUGUUUAUUCCUAGAUCAGUCCUAACAAGUUGGUAUCAGAGUUAGUUGAUAUAUUUUGCAAGACAGGUUCAUUUGGUGGGGCCCGUUCAUCCGGUGGGGUCCGUUUUACUUGGGCCCGCUCACCUUGUGGGGCCGGUUCAUCCGAUUGGGCCCGCUUAUCUCGUGGGGCCCACUCACCCUGUGGGACCCGCUUAUCUCGUGGGGCCCGCUCACCCUGUGGGACCCGCUCACGAGACUUGCAUAUCUGUUUGACUAGUUUUUUUGAGACAAGUUUCAUGUUAUAGAUUUUGUGGCAACAAUAACGAUAACAGAAACGGUUAUCGAAUAAUUCGACAGGAAUGUCAACUUCGGCAUGUGGCAGCUCAAGAUGAAGGCCAUUCUUGUUCAAGACGGAGUUGAUUUGGCAAUUCAAGGAAUUGAGAAAAAGCCAGAAGAUGUAAAGGAUGCAGAUUUCGCCGAUAUGAAUAAGAAGGCUAGAUCCAGCAUAAUUUUGAAUCUCUCCGAUGAAGUUUUACGGGAGGUAGCAAUGGAGACUUCUGCCAAGGCUAUGUGGGAUAAAUUGAAAGUCUUGUAUAUGAAGAAGACAGUCGAGAAUCGGCUAUAUUUGAAGCAGAGUUUGUAUAUGUUUCGGAUGUCUGAAGGUACAUCUAUACUCUCCCAUCUUUGAUAAAUUUGAUUCUAUUAUUAUGGAUUUGGAGAAUAUUGAUUCGAAAAUUGAUGAUGAAGAUCAGACCAGACAUAAAAAUGUGGUGUGCAACUAUUGUAAAAAGAAGGGUCAUGUUAUCUCUGAUUGCUUUAAAUUGAAAAAUAAAGAAAAGCAAAAGGAGAAAAAGAGUGAGACCACCGAGGCUAGUAUUGCAGUUGAUGAGAAUGACUGAGCCAUUUUCUGUGCAACGAAAAAUAAUUUUAGGUCUAACAAUGAGUGGAUUAUAGAUUCGGGUUGUUCAUAUCAUAUGUGUCUCAAUAGGGAUUGGUUUUCAACUUAUGAAUCAACUGAAGGUGAAGUUGUCUUAAUGGGUAACAACGCCGUUUGUAAAGUUAUUGGCAAAGGCACAAUCCGGAUUAAAAUAUACGAUGGUAUUGUGAGGACGCACACAAAUGUUAGACAUGUUCUAGAUUUGAAGAAAAAUCUCAUCUCUUUGAGCACUCUUGAGUCUAUUGGGUGCAGGUAUUCUGGUGGAGGUGGAGUUCUCAAAAUCAAUCGAAGUGCUCUUGUUGUUAUGAAGGCACACAAAUCUGGUACUUUAUAUAUUUUGCAGGGAUAUACUGUUAUAAGUGCUGCUGCUGUUUCAACAUCAUCUUUAUCAGAUACAGACAUUACCAGAUUAUGGCAUAUGCGUUUAGGGCACAUGAGCGAAAAAGGCUUGGGUAUACUGAGCAAAAGAGAACUUCUUUGUGGACAAAAUACCGGACCAUUGGAAUUCUGUGAACAUUGUAUUUUUGAGGAGCAGAAAAGAGUCAGCUUCAGUUCACCAGCAAUUCACAAGACAAAAGGUACUCUUGAUUACAUUCAUUCAGAUCUAUGGGGUCCUUCUCGUGCUCCUUCUAAAGGUAGAGCCAGGUACAGGUUGACUUUCAUUGAUGAUUAUUCAAGGAAAGUUUGGGUCUAUUUUCUUAAGUAUAAAAAUGAUGUUUUCCUAACUUUUAACCAAUGGAAAGUUUUGAUUGAGAAACAAACAGGAAAACUUAUUAAGCGGUUGAGAACAGAUAAUGGCAUGAAAUUUUGUAAAGGUGAAUUUGAUAGAUUCUACAAAAAUGAAGAAAUUGUUCGGCAUCGCACUGUUAGAAUGACGCCUCAACAAAAUGGUGUAACCAAACAUAUGAACAGAACGCUUUUGGAGAGAGCAAAAUGUAUGAUCUCCAAUGCAGGAUUGACAAACGAUUUUUGGGCAGAGGCAAUCAAUAUGGCCUGUUAUAUUGUCAACCAUUCUCCUUCUGCAUCUCUUGAUUUAAAAACUCCUGAGGAAGUUUGGUCAGGUAUUCCUGCUGAUUACUCCAAUUUAAAAGUUUUUGGGUGUCCAAUAUACAUGCAUGUGAAUAAUGAAAAAUUGGAGUUUAGGGUUAAAAAGUGCAUUUUUCUUGGGUAUGCUUUUGGGGUGAAAUGAUACAGAUUAUGGUGUUCUGAUCCCAAAUCUCCAAAAUUUGUAAUCAGUAGAGAUGUUACUUUUGAUGAAUUGUCUAUGUUAUCUUCCAAAAAGGAGUCUUCUAGUCCUUGUACUACUGAUAGUACACAGAAGCAGGUGGAGCUUGAUAUUGGCAGUUCUGGUCCUUCUCAGACAAAAUUUUCUUUUCAUCAAAUGCCAGUAGAUGCACCUGAAUCUACUGUUGAAGAUAAUUCAGAUGAAAAGGAGUAUUCCAUAACCAGAGAUAGACCAAGGAGAGACAUUCGACCACCACAAAGAUAUGCAAAUUUAGUUGCAUAUGCUUUGUCUGUUGCAGAAAAAAUUGAUGCAGUUGGUGAGCCUUCCACCUAUUCAGAGCCUUUCACCUAUUCAGAGCAAGAAACUGCUUCUGAAUAGGUGGAAGAAUCACCAACUGCAUCAGUUUCUUCUGCAACAGACAAAGUAUAUGCAACUAAAUUUGCAUAUCUUUGUGGUGGUCGAAUGUCUCUCCUUGAUCUAUCUCUGGCUAUGAAAUACUCCUCUUCAUCUGAACUAUCUUCAACAGUAGAUUCAAGUGCAUCUACUGGCAUUUGAUGAAAAGAAAAUUUGGUCUGAGAAGGACCAGAACUGCCAAUAUCAAGCUCCAUCUGCUUCUGUGUACUAUCAGUAGUACAAGGACUAGAAAACUCCUUCUUGGAAGAUAAUAUAGACAAUUCAUCAAAAGUAACAUCUCUACUGAUUACAAAUUUUGAAGAUUUGGGAUCAGGACACCAUAAUCUGUAUCUUUUCACCCCAGAAGCAUACCCAAGAAAAAUGCACCUUUUAACCCUAAACUCCAAUUUUUCAUCAUUCACAUGCAUGUAUGCUGGACACCCAAAAACUUUUAAAUUGGAGUAAUCAGCAGGAAUACCUGACCAAACUUCCUCAGGAGUUUUGAAAUCAAGAGAUGCAGAAGGAGAAUGGUUAACAAUAUAACAGGCCAUAUUGAUUGCCUCUGCCCAAAAGUCGUUUGUCAAUCUUGCAUUGGAGAUCAUACAUUUUGCUCUCUCCAAAAGCGUUAUGUUCAUACGUUCGGUCAUACCAUUUUAUUGAGACGUCAUUCUGACAGUGCGAUGCCAAAUAAUUCCUUCAUUUUUGCAGAAUCUAUCAAAUUCACCUUCACAAAAUUUCAUGUCAUUAUCUGUUCUCAACCGCUUAAUAUGUUUUCCUGUUUGUUUUUCAAUCAAAACUUUUCAUUGCUUGAAAGUUAGGAAAACAUCAUUUUUAUGCUUAAGAAAAUAGAUCCAAACUUUUCUUGAAUAAUUAUCAAUGAAAGUCAACAUGUACCUGGCACUACCUUUAGAAAGAGUACGAGAAUGACCCCAUAGAUCUGAAUGAAUGUAAUCAAGAGUACCUUUUGUCUUGUGAAUUGUUGAUGAAGUGAAACUGACUCUUUUCUGCUUCCUAAAAAUACAAUGUUCACAGAAUUCCAAUGGCUCGGUACUUUGUCCACAAAAAAGUCCUCUUUUGCUCAGUAUGCCCAAGCCUUUUUCGCUCAUAUGCCCCAAACGCAUAUGCCAUAAUCUGGUGAUGUCUGUAUCUGAUAAAGAUGAUGUUGAAACAGCAACAACACCUGUAACAGUAGAUCCCUGUAAAAUAUAUAAAGUAACAGAUCUGUGUGCCUUCAUAACAACAAGAGUACUUCGAGUGAUUUUGAAAACUCCACCUCCACCAGAAUACCUGCACCUAAUAGACUCAAAAGUGCCCAAAGAGAUGAGAUUUUUCUUCUAAUCUGGAACAUGUCUAACAUCUGUGAGUGUUCUCACAAUACCAUCGUACAUUUUAAUCCAGAUUAUGCCUUUGCCAAUAACUUUACAAACGGCAUUGUUACCUAUUAAGACAACUCCACCUUCAGUUGAUUCAUAUGUUGAAAACCAGUCCCUAUUGGGACACAUAUGAUAUGAACAAUCUGAAUCUAUAAUCCACUCAUUGUUAGAUCUAAAAUUAUUUUUCGUUGCACAGAAAAUGGUUCAUCAUUCUCAUCAACUGCAAUACUAGCCUCGGUGGUCUCACUCUUUUUCUCCUUUUGCUCUUCUUUAUUUUUCAAUUUAAAGCAAUCAGAAAUAACAUGGCCACUCUUUUUACAAUAGUUGCAUACCACAUUUUUAUGUCUGAAUUUGGAUCUACUUCUACUUUCUGUAUUUCUCUUUUCAGAUCUACCCCUAACAAACAAGCCAUCGGCUUGACUCCUACUAGUUUUUUCAGUAAUAUCCCUAUCUAUCUGCUCUUUAGAUUUUAAUACAGAUUUAAUUUUCCGAUACGAAAUUGUUUCCUUUCCAUAAAUCAUAGUAUUACGGAAAUACUUAAAGGAUUGGGGAAGGGAAUAUAAAAGUAAUAGGGCCUGAUCUUCAUCAUCAAUUUUCGAAUCUAUAUUCUUCAAAUCCAUAAUAAUUGAAUCAAAUUUAUCAAGAUGGGAGAGUAUAGAUGUACCUUCAGACAUCCGAAGCAUAUACAAACUCUGCUUCAAAUAUAGCCGAUUCUCGACUGUCUUCUUCAUAUACAAGACUUUCAAUUUAUCCCACAUAGCCUUGACAGAAGUUUCCGUUGCUACAUCUCGUAAAACUUCGAGAUUCAAAAUUAUGCUGGAUCUAGCGUUCUUAUCCAUAUCAGCGAAAUUUGCAUCCUUUACAUCUUCUGGCUUUUUCUCAAUUCCCUGAAUUGCAAAGUCAACUCCGUCUUGAACAAGAAUGACCUCUAUCUUGAGCUACCACAUGCCGAAGUUGACAUUCCUGUCGAAUUAUUCGAUAACCGUUUCUGUUAUCGUCAUUGUUGCCACAAAAUCUAUAACCUGAAGUUUGUCUCAAAAAAAUUGGUAUCAGAACUGGUUGAUAUAUUUUGCAAGACAGGUUCAUCUGGUGGGACCCGUUCAUCUGGUAGGGCCCGUUCAUCUUAUGGGGUCUGUUUAUCCUUGGGCCCGCUCACCUUGUGGGGCCCGUUCAUCCGGUGGGGCCCGCUUAUCUCAUGGGGCCCGCUCACCCUGUGGGACUCGUUCACGAGACUUGCAUAUAUGUUUGACUAGUUUUUUUGAGACAAGUUUCAGGUUAUAGAUUUUGUGGCAAUAAUGACGAUAACAAAAAUGGUAGUCGAGAAAUUCGGCAAGGUUAUGUCAAGGUCGAGAUUUGUUGAGCCGCAAGGUUUGACUUUGGUGGCAAAAUUUUUCAUCCCACAUUGAAGACCAGCAACGGAAGCCUUCCCUCUUAAUACCUAUAAAUAAAGGCUUCCUAUGAAGGAAUCAAUUGCACCACUCAAGAGAGUAUUAUAUGGGUUAUUAGUUUCUUGGGUCAUCUAACCCAUUUAGUCAAAUAUUUUAGACUCACUUGUUUUGAGUUUAGAAAUAUUUUCUAAAAUAUUUUGUAAGUGCCAUUUUGGCCUAGGAACCACUUUCCUAUGGUUUUUGUAUUUCUUGUUCAUAGUAGAAAUAUUGCUCCUCUUCUGUCCAUGGACGUAGGUCAAUUUGACCGAACCACGUAAAUUUCUGUGUCUUUUAUUUUGCUUUGUUAUUUAUCUUUAUUGGGUUGCCACAACCCUUUUAUAUGGUCGGUUUUACCGUCUAAUUAUUAUAUGACUGGUGUUUACCACCUAACCAUUAUAUGGUCGGUUAUACCGUCUAUUUUGUUCUAACUUUAGUUUGUUUAUUCCUGAGCCAGUCCUAACACUAAUCCUAUGCUGUGUGGUGCUCCAAGAUUUCUUGUCCCUCCAUGCACUACUUCUCCUUUUCACACAUCAAGUAGGAAGAAGAUAUUAUUAGUCAUAUGCAUGUUGUCAGGUACUUUUGUAACAAUGAUUGCUCCUACCUCAGCAAUUUUGUUUGUGCGAUAUAGAAGGAAGAAUGUGGUUCCAGCAACAAUUGAUUUAUCGCCCAAGAGGACACCAGAAAGAAUCUCGUAUUAUGAGCUGUUACAAGCAACAACGGUUAUGACGAAAGCAAAAUGGAGUGCUUGUGGCUGUGAAAGUGUUCAGUUUGCAUAUGGAGGAAACAUUUAAGAGUUUUGAUGCAGAAUGUGGAGUUUUAACAACAUUCGCCAUAGAAACCUAACCAAAGUGAUUGGUUGUUGCUCUAACCUCAACUUCAAAGCCUUAUUGCUUGAAUACAUCUCCAAUGGGAGCCUUAAGAAGUGGUUGUACUCCAACAACCAUUACUUAGAUUUAAUGCAAAGGUUAGAGGCCCUUAAUUCAACAUUGUAGAGUAUGGACUUGAAGGUCUAGUGUCAACAAGAAGUGACGUGUAUAGUUUUGGCAUAGUUUUGAUGGAAACAUUCACAAGAAUGAAGCCAGGUGAUGACGUGUUUUCCGAAGAUAUGAGCCUAAAGCGCUGCUGGAUUGAAGAUUCUCUGCCUGACACAACAUUUCAGGUCAUAGAUACCAACUUACUCGGGCCAGAAGAUGAGUAUUUCACGAAGAAGCUGGAGUGCAUUUCCUUGGUUUUUGAAUUGGCUUUGAACUGCUGCGCUGUAACUCCAAGAGAUAGGAUUAACAUGAUCGACGUCGUCACAUCACUGAAGAAGAUAAAACAUAACCUCAAAGAUUUUGCUAGGGAAACUUGAACAAAGAAAGUAUAUUCAAAUUGAUUUCAAGUACCCGUAGAACAUAAGCCACGAAUUCUACUACUCACAACUGAUGCUCGAAACAUCAUCUUUUGCAGGACGAUGCCAAAUUUUGAGAUAUAAGCUAGAGUAUUGUCUUAUCCUCUCAAUACACCAAUGAGUUUUUUCCAUGCCAUUGCCAGGUUAUAGUUAUGCAAAUGACUUCUUUGCUCAACAUAAAACUCAAUAAGCAUGCUGUAGCUUUCUUAGGUUAAUUCUUUUGCCUACAUUCGGUUGAAAAAACUCUAGAGCAUCAGCUUGUGAUGUUUUCUUUAACCUGAAAUUUAGCUAAAACUCGAUAAAGGAAGCUAGGAUUUUUUUUCCAAGUUUUCAGGUUGACGUUUCAAAAAAGGAAACAAAGCAACACAUCAUAUGCCGGAAAUGUUGAUGCUAAAUUGCAAAUAUAUCUCGUCGGCCUGUAAUGGACUUGCCAAAUUGUGAGAAUAGUUCAAAACUAAUGUCAUGUCAGAGUUUAAACUAUGGCAAAUAUUUCACCUGAAUAAAUUAUUGACUAUCAAUACCAUAUUAAAGCACAAAUAUGAUUUGGUGAUUUAGCGAUAUAAUUUUUUCUUUUCUAAAAUGUCCUUAGCAGUAAUAUUAAUGAUUUUAAUCAUUAAUUUUAGGGAUUAGAACGAAUCCCCUAUUGCUUUUUCUCUCAAAAUCUCUCAAAUUGCGAGAGGCAAGUACUAGAGUUUAGAACUGGCAACCAUGUUUGAUUAAAUAAUCCUCAAUUAGGAGAUAAAAUCUGAUGAUUAGAGGUGGAUCUCUAAGGAUGGAGAAAGCACAAAGCGUGCUGAUGACAUAGAGAAAAAUUGUAUUGAGAAUUUGAGGAGAGAGUUGUUUUGGCAUAGAUAGUUAAGUAAAUGCGUAUGACAACCUUGAUGUUUAUUCGGUAUGCUUCAAAUUUUACUAUUCUCAGUGAUUACAUUACCGGAAACUCUAUGUAUAUGUGCUGCUGCAUUAAAUUGCAUGUUGCUUAUUUGAGUUAAUUCUGCUGCCUGUUACUACAGUCUAAUUACAUCCAAAUUGUAAAUAAUGGUAUGCAUAUGAGGGUAAUGGUCAACACUGGAAAGGUGAAAUUAGGUGCAUCAGGGGCGGAGCCAAAAAAAAAUUUUAGUGGGGGCAAAAAUAACAUCAAAAUUUUUAUCUACUCUUUUUCUAAUUUUUUAAGCAAAAAAAUAAUAAAUUCACCAACAAGUACAAAUGGGGGAAGAAAGAAGAGCCGUCGGUUGUGAAGGGAAAAUGGGGACCAGAGGAGGAAAGGGAAUUGGGGAGUGGGGACCAAAAGAAAAGACUGAUAUAAUUGGUACUUGGCUCUGUUGGGGGAAAAAAUGGGAGACCAGGGGAGGAAAGUGAAUGAUAUAAAAUUUGUGACCUAUUUUUUCACAUUUGUUCUAAAAAAACUCUGGGGGCACCUUUACGAUUAUAUCAAAAUUGUAUAACUAUUAUACAAAUUUGAGGGGAGGCAGUGGGGGCCCAUGCCCCCAGUGCCCCCACCUUAAAUCCGCCCCUGAGGUGCAUGUCACUUGCCCGGCUCAGCUCAGUUCUUGGUUUUUAGCGUAUAAUUUACUGCACUACCUAGUUCCAUACGCGGUUCAAUUGUAGCGCAGGCCCUUGGAGUUUGUUAACUAACUAGGGGUCGAAUAGUAAGGUGAUGCUUUACAAUUUUUCUUGAGUAUCUAACGCUGGGAACUUGGUGGAUAGUAUUUCUUCUUGAGAGUGUAAAUGAAGUUAGGCCUAAAGGUUUCUUAUCUGUCUCUUAUUAUUUUCAUGAAAUUUCAAGAGAUUAAAUUGCUUGCAGGGAACCAGGGAUUCUAGCAUGAUGUUACCGAUUUGUGCUCAAGAACUACAUCUUGUUGAGUUAUGCUUAGAUACCAAAAGAAUAUGGUGAUUUGAGUCUGGAUUUCUGAACAGCUUACUAGUGGCAUUCGGAUUGCGUUGUGGAGCAGAAGUUUUAAUUUGGUUACAUAUCAAGUGUAGAAUCAUUUUAAUUGCAAUUUUUUUUUAAUUAUCAAGUAUUUAUAACAAAAUGUAUUUGUAACUCUUGUAAGAGUAAGAUGGGAAGUUAACACACUGAAUGCCCUUAAGGAAGUAAUAUACUCCCUCUGUCCUAAUAUUAGAGUCGUUUUUUGGGAAUCUAAUUUUUUAUGCAAACAUGGUAAUCAUUAUGUUUAGAAGAGAUGGCAUUAGUAAAUUGACAAAAGUGUUCUUUGAAUUCAAAAUAUUCUCUUAUAGAUGUGCAUUGGGAUUUUAAAAAGAAAAUUAAAAAGCUUGUGUUAAAUUUGAAAUAGUAACUCUUAUUUUAGGACAUUAAUAAAGUGAAAACAUGAUAAUAAUAAUAGGACGGAGGGAGUACUAGUUACUUCAUCAAUCUGGUGCAUCGUAUACCUUCAACAGGUUGAGUUUGCUGGAGUUGCAGGAUCAUCGCAUGAGACAAGUAGGGUCUAGAUCCAAUGGUACUGUCUUAUGUGGCAUGAUUUGGACUGUGAUUUUAAAUUUAAAUUAAAAAGAAAAAAAAAUUGCAAAAUUUGAUAUGCAACUGGUUCUGGUUCCCUAUUUGCCUGGUAAAGUUGCAGCUGACUGCACCAGCAGCUAUUUAUUAUUAACUUCUGGGAACAGUUAAUUACAUUGACCUCUAAAAGGGUUUAUUAUGACUAAUGAACACAUCCCUAGAUUUUAGAAAGUAAAAAGACCUCCCUAUUUAUUGGGAUUUGUUUGAUUUUGGAGCUUGAAGCAUGAACUAUCACUAGUUUAACCACUAGUCGUGAGGACUAGUGGCCAGGGAGUUAAAUUCCCGCCUGGUAGAUCAGAGUUCAAUUUUUGACUAACAAGUUUAUGACGGGGAGGGAAUAAAGGAGUGGGGGAGGUGAAAAAAAAAAACAACUAUCACUCGUUUGCAAUAGGGAUUGUGUUGUGUAGAGUAAACUCAUUCCCACAAGUCAGAGAUUUUAAUAAACAGAGAAAAACAAGUGAAACUAUUUGGUAAGACCUGUGUAUAGCACACAUAAAAACAUGUACAUUAGUAAUUGAAUAUUGAAAUUUUGGACCAAUCUUGGUCCUGAACCAUCAUGUGUAUUUUGCAAAUUUUCUGACUAUUCCCCAUCUUUAUUUACAGUACUAAAAAAAAAAGAAAAAACAAGGCUAGAGGAACAUUUUUACAAACUUGGGGAUCUUGCUAAGAUCAUGACAAAAACUCAGGCGAAUUUACUAUGAUAACAUUAUCUUUUUCAGUUUUGAAGGAUUAUGAGAUCAUCUAUUAAAGAUAAGUCUGAAUUUGCGCCCACUUCAUGGGAAAUGGUCAAUCUCUACCAACUUUCUAGAAUAGUGGCAGUUUCAAAGGUCAAAGGAAAAGACGGACUGUUUUGCAGUACAAUAAUACCCAAAUCUCAAGUAAAUGAGACUGAUAUAGUACAAUGGAGGGCAUUCAGACAAAAGAGGAGUACAUGGCUGUACUAAACCAAACCCUGAAUUCUUUUGGUCUAUGUUAUAACAGGAGCAAGGCAGUACCAAACAUUGGCUCCUACAUGUAUCACAUCAGGCAUCAUGGUUGUUAUCCUUGUGCUGUCAUGUCCAAAAAUGCUUCAAUCUUAGUCAUGUCUAUGCAUUCUUAAUUUCUUGUGUUAGAUAUAUGGUGUCAUGAGAAAGGAUAAAAUGUGGAAGGAUCCAACAGGGGGCAAUAUAAGAAUACAGUUGUCACGACAUUGCUAUUGUCAAGAAAAAUCUCUAAUUUGUGUCCCAUAUGCUCUCAGGUCAGCCCCUGCAGGAUCUGUGUUCAUUAGGGAAGAUUUUGCAAGAAUAUUCUCAAGUGUUGGAUGAGUGGUAAACUUCAAGUUUACCGCACCACUGCUUGAUUUUUUUCAGUCGUACUACAAAAUGUAUAAAUUCUCAAGAAACAAUUUUAGAAACUUUCCUUGAAGUUUCUGACUGACUAUUUUACUGACGUUCCUAUAAAUUUCAUUGAUCUCCCCGUUACAAUCUUGAGGCCCAAUGCUUAUAUCAUUUAUAGUGAAAGGAUUUUACUAGCCUCACAACUUUUCAAAAUAUUAUGCAAUUAUGCUAAGAUGAUCAAUUAAAUUGUCCUUAAACAUUAUUAAAUGAAUUUAACCAUAAUUAUGAAACAUAGAAUUUUUUGACAUACAACCAAAAAAGGCACCAAUUGUAGGCACCCUUUUCUGAUUGACAAACCCGACAACUUGUGUGAAUGUUUUCACUCUACAAAAUAUUGAUUAUUGCCUUGCAAUUAUGUUUGUAAAAUCUAUUCUUGAUGCUAAAUGUUGUUGGUGAAUUCCAUGAUUCGCCUUUAAGGCUUGAAGAGGCCAUAAUUUUUCUUUCCAAUUCUUGAACUUACUCUCGCAAAUUCCAGCACUACUUAAUUGACUACACCUCAAUUGUUGAAUGUUAACCAACGAAAUUUCCUGUCAAAUUCUAUGUUCCUGCUGUUACAUUCAAUCUCAAGGAAAUGGCCGCAAACACUUUGAGUUGUUUCUUACUUUGCGGUUGCCUUGCAAUUUCAACAAAUUGCGCUUGCGCACUCCUUCAAGCUUUUAUUUGAAAAAAAAAUAAGUAUUUACUUUUCAUACGAGAUUAACUAAUGUAGGGCCCAAACUAAUGUAGGAUCUGCUCUCCAAACUAAACUAGGAGAGGAGUGAAUUAGGCUGUUUACAAAUUAAGUAAAUAAGGGUUAUUAUCAUUUUACCUCCUUAAACUAUAUCACCGCUUCCAGUUUAUUCCCUAACAUUAUCUUUUAAUUACUUUACCUCCAUAAGUAAUUCAACUUAAUAUGUUAAGAAAUUUUGGACAAAAAUACCCUUUUAUUUUAUAGCAUUACUACAUUGUUAUUAUCACUUUAUUCGUUUAGAUUAUAGUGAUACAAUCACUUUAGUUCUUAAUAUUAUUUUCUAAGCAUUUUAGAUCAUCGUUAAUCUAACUAGUAUGGUAAAAUUUUUUUAAAUAUAUUUACCCUUUUUAUGUAUAAUUAAAAAUAAAAAAGUUGGAAUGGUUAUUCUUCCUUUUUUUCACUUUAGGAGAUCAAAAAACAUAAAAAUAAAAGGGUUUUCUCAAACUUCCUUUUUUCACACUUAUUAAUACUAGGAAAAGAAAAAGAGAUAGAAAAGAAGAUGAAAGAAAAUUAGAUUUUGUAAAGAAAGAAAAUAAAGAAAAGUCUAACAUUAUUGUAUUACAUUAAGGUUGUCGGGAUUAGGAUUGAAAUUUGGUAGUAAACAGAAAAGUGAAAUAAUUUUAAAAUAAUAAAAGUAUUUAAUUCUUUCUUAUUUGUAAUUUUUUUUUUUAAAAAAAAAUUUGAGCUCUCUCCCUCUCCAUCUUUCUAUUCUUUUUUUGAUAUUAAUAAGAUUGCCAAAAAGAAAGAAAUUAAUACUUUGACUUUUUUCCUUGAUACUAAAAAGGGAGAAGAGCCUUUCUAAACUUUUUAUUAUUUUUAUUAUACAAAGAGGAGGGUAUUUUUUUCUAAAGUUUUUUAACUUGCUAAGUUGGUUUAAUAGUAGGAUAAAUUGCCUAAAAAAUAACUUUAGGGGGUCAAUUGAUAAUGGGACUAUAGUUUACGGGGGUAAAGUGAUUAUAAUUUUAAGGGUUAAACAUGUUUUUUCACUUUAAUUAACAAAGGCAAUUGUUAAAAAGAUUCGAAGAAAAAAAUUCCUCGAGGGACGUGCGUUGCGAUAUUUGCAAACUUUGGGAUCUUGCUGAAAUGAUGACAAAAACGCAGACGAGAUUACCAUGAUUUACUCUUUAUCAUUUUCAGUUUUCAAAGAUUAUGAGACCAUCUAUGAAAGGUUAAGUCUUAAUUUUGCACCCACCUUCUGGGAAAGAAGGUCCAUCUGGAGAAGAGAUUGAUUCCAACUUUCUGGAAUCGUAGUAAUAUUAUAAAUUGACACUUUCUAAGGCAAAGAUGGACUCUUUUGUAGUACAACAAUGCCCAGAUCUCACAAAAUUGACACUGACAUAGUACAAUGGACUUAUUCAUAGUUAGAGAUAAAAGAGGAGUACAUGGUUGUACUAACCUUGAAUUCUCUUGUCUGUGUUAACAGUACAACCAAGGCAGUACACAAUUUUGCUCGUGUGUACAUAUAUAUAUAUAUAACAUCAAGCUUCAUCAUUUCCAUCCUAUUUCUAUUAUGUCCAAAAAUUCUUCAACUUGGCAAAGAAAAGAUAAAAAGUGGAAGGAUCCAACAGGGGCAACAUGAGAACACAUAUGCCACAAAAUUGCUGUUGUCAAGAUAAAAUCCUUGAUUUGUGUUCAAUGUGUUCUCAGGUCGCCCCUGCAGGAUCUCUUCACUGGCAAAGUUCUGGCAAGAAAACAUGCAUGCAAUCAGUGUUGGAUGAGUGGUAAAGUUCUGAUUUACCACAUUACUGCUUGAUUUUUCAGUAGUACUAAUCACUCUAUAAAUUCUCAAGUCAGUUUUGGAAUAAUGUGAUUAGUUUGUUUUGUUGUACUUUUCUAUUAACCACCACUACUUACAGAUUUUGGUGACCUAAUUCAAAUAUUUCCCAUGGAUUUUAAGAUUUAUGAUUAAUCUUGUUUUCAACCACGAACUCCUUUGCACUUUUCUUCUUAGAUUUAACAUUGUGCAACUCAUUCCGAUUUGGACCAUCAACAGCUCAGACUGGGUAGGCAACCUAUAAAUUAAGCGUCAGACUGGUCAGCUAUGUCCUUCACUACCUUCAACACAUGUAUAUGUAUGUAUGUAUUUAUGUAUAUGAACAUAUAUAUCCUUCACAAUCUACAAUACACAUUGGGGGGGUAUUUCAACAGCCUACAUAUUAAUCAUGUCAGGUGAACUAUCCUUCUUUCCUUGACCCUAGAAAUCAAGGUUACUAGUUUGUAUUGGACAUCACAAAGUGCUUUCACCCCAGAGCAAAAACUUCAAUAUGACCCGGUCUACUAAUCAUUUUGAUAUUGUUACAGAGGGCAUCACUUCAGGAUACAUUAUUGUCAUUUUGUCACCCUCAUUUCUUGAUACAUCUCAUGCUACUCCAGUUCUUCACUCUCAGGCCAGUUCAAUACCGAAAUGUUUUGAUUUGAUCUAUGAAAAAGAAACUCAAAUCAUACGGGUUUUCAGAUAGGGCCAAAAUCAGGAUGGAAUAACUUUGCUUGUAGCCUUCAUAUCUACAACAUUACAAUGGCAUACAAACAGAAAGAAAAGCCAUAGCAGAGCAACGACAAGUAACAACCACCAAGAUGAAAGAAUACAACAUUAGUAAAUAUAAAACAACAGAAAGGUGCAAGGGACAGACCAGGAAUCAGAUUUCUUGAAGUUGAAAACUAAGGAUCAAAAUUGCUGUUCCGUGACUUCCGUCUCCGACAAAAACCACUAGAGUUGCUCUAAACUAAAAUCCUUACAGCUGAUGCAAUGGCAAGUAGUUCUUCCUCACUAGCUUUCUUCCAUACUCCACCUAUCAUCAUAUGCCCCUUGAUAUCUUCGGAAGUAAGAUUUUCCUGGUCAUCUAUUUCACAACCCUCUAUUGUCUUUCUUAUUUUCUUUACAUUCAUCUUAUCUAAAUCAUCGGCAACAGAAUGAGGUUCUCUCUUCUUAGAGCAUUGGUUUGGAUCCCACUGAUCUUUCCUAAUUGCUAAUGUUGGGAUUUCAGGAGCUUCAAAGUUGCAGUCAAGAACUGGAAAUCGGCCAGCAGAACCAAGGGACUGAGGCAACAUACCAAUGGGACAUGGAUUCCAAGAUUUUACGAUCACCCAUCUUGUAUUUUUCUCAUUGUUGUUUGUUGACAUCAAAUUCUCAGUCUUCCUCCGACGAAGUUUGAUUAACUCGAGGCUUCUGGCAGCAAAAUCAAUAGAUUCUUGUUCAUGGGAAAGGAAGUUCUCAGAGACACUAUCAUUGGAAGGGAAAGCUUCACUAACAUCCAGAUCCGGUCCAGUCAGCUGUAAAAGUUUCUCAAGUUUAGAAAUCAAAGAUCUAUCUCCCAGGAUACGGGCAAGAAAAAGAGCAGAAGUCCUCAGCUGAAGGUUGCCAUGAGAGCAGGUGACAAGACAUUUAUGUAGAAGCUCAAAAAUAGUUGCUUUAGGAUGAUUCUUCUCUAUAAGAAAAUCUUCGCAUUCGGCACCAGAAUUUUUGAGCUCCAAAGGCUUCACUGCACUAAGAUUUCUGACAAGCCACUCAAAUAGAGUAGCAAGUUGUUCAAUUUGGUGAGACUCAUCAAUAUGGGCUGAGGAGAGGUGCUCAUCUGAUGAGGGAUCAAAUUAUUUAUCAUCAGGUCACAAACAUAAUAUGUUAUCAUUUGAAAUUAACACAAGGGAUAUAAAGACAAACUUUGCAUGAUGACAAACUGUGAAUUGUAUUUAGUUCUUAUCGGCUUUCAAAAGAGUAUCUAUUUAUUUGUCUAAUGGGAAAAGGCAUCUUAAAGAGUCUAGCCUCCAAAUAUCCAUAAGUAUUCUUUAAUCUGAUAUAUGACUACUCGGGAAACCAGCAGAACAGGUAUAACAGUGUGAUUGGGUUUCCAGUAUUGCAUACGAUUUUAGGUGCUAUUCACUGAAACCAAAGCUUUUUAUUGGUGACGAUGUGAAAAAUCUAAACCUAUAAGGUUACACAACAAUAUCAGUGCAGUUUAACAAGACAUCUAAUGUGUAUGUAUCUGUGCAUGUAGAAAUGCCAAAAUCUCAGUAGGUACUUACCUACCUAUUUCAUUGUUGUUGCCUCCCUUGGUCUCAAUCUUUAUAAGCACAGCCUUCAGAAGACUCCAAAGCAGUUCUGGUUCCUUCUUGAACAAUUUUAUGACAACAGGUUUCCAUGCAUUGAACACAGUUGGUGUAGUCUCAGAUCUAUGACUGGUUUCUUGAUUCUCACAGAGCUCCACCAUGUUUGACAAAUCCAUUGCCUUCAGCAAGAGUUCCAGUAGAACAUCUACUACUUCUCCAGAGAAGGAAGAAUAUAACCGUCGAACAUUCUUUAACAGCUUGUUUACCUGUUUCUUAGAAACUAAUAACAGCCAGCAAACAUGAAAUGAGGAUUUCUGCCAAUUUGAUAACUUCUUUCAGUAAAAGAAAUUAAUGGAAAAAUGCUCAAAAAUUUCAUCCAUAUAAUAAAAACUACAUGUCCCAUAGACAACUUUCACUAUCUUACUGUUUUCUAUUUAACCGCAGGGCUUGCGAAACUCAAAAUCUCAUACUCACCACAAAUACAAUAAAACUGACAUUAACCUCAAGUGUAACCUCAAGUUUAAUGCAUGUCUUAUCCAAGACUUAGGGCCAAAUUUACUUAACGGUAAAGAGCUUCCUACAAAGAACAUUUACACAAUUAAAAAAAAAAAGAACCUUUCUUUUCCCACUUUUUGGUAUGGAUGAAUUCGAAAAAUAUGACAUAACUAUGAUUGCAAUAAAAUAGCCAUCUUGAAAGCAAUGGUAAAGAAACAUUCUUAUUGUAUUUCCUAUUGUUACCUUAUGCCCAUUGCCUUUGCUACUAUGAUAGCCGACAAUACAAAUAACACAAUAGAACUAAAGAAAUAGAAUCAGAGUAACUGUAACCACAGAAGCAGUAACAUUCUCAAUAAGGUAAGACUAAUUUUAGUAAUGAAAGUCGGAGAUCAGAGGUUUCCAUCAGUGGUAACUAGCAAAAGUAGGAGAUAUACUGACUAGUAAGCAAGCAAAUGGAAUCCUAGCAUAGUUAGCUUAAUUUUUCAUGUCAGGGUGUUAAUUAAGGGAGGGAAAUCAAAUUGUAACUAGAAGCAGUUGAAAGAGGAGAACACAUUGUUCUAUUCAUGAAGGUGAGGAUUUAAUGGGUGUGGAAAACUGUUGGUGAUGAGGGCCAUAUGAAGACAGGAUGUCUACAGCUAGUCAAUAGUCAAAUGACGUGUGCUAACAGAAGCUGAAAGUGAGUCCAAAGAAAAAUAUGUUUUUCAUACCAGGCAUUUUGUCAUUCAGCCAAAUUUCGUAAAUACUCUUCAAAGAUAUCAUGGAAUAGACCAAAGAAAAUUUACCUUCUGAACUCACACAUCUCCUAGCUCUAAUGUAAUUUUCCAAUCAGUUAUGAUUUUGGUGCGAACUUAUUCCAAUUUUGCCUUAGAGAUACAUAAACAGUUCAAGAAUAGUACAGGAAAUACUUCAUAUUGACAACUAUUGUUUGAUGAACACUUAGAAAAUAGAAAUAUUUUUUCCAGUAAACACAAAUCAUAAAAAAUUACAGCAUUUUGUUGGAGACAUGAUCGGGAAGCUUUCAAGAAAAAAUGGACCAUAUGCACUUAUGCAUGACAGAGGAAAUACCAGCUUAUCCACUUUCUGACCUAGCAAGCUAUUUUGUCUCCUGGUAUCUGAGCAAUCAUUUUCUGGAAUAUAAACUUUUCUGUUUGGUAGGCCAUAUAGAAUAAGGCAUGCCUUCCAAAAUUUUGAUUAAAACAACUAAGUUGACAUCUAAUCUUCUUCAGCAUGCAUUGAGUUUAGAUAUGGAAAACUCAAAUAAUUUUCCAAACCAUGGAUUGUCAAGUGUUCAUUUACAGUUAACAGAUUUACUCACCAGAAGAUUUAGAAUUGGUAUGCUUCAUGGCCAUUAAAGAGAGAAAUUUGUUAGGCCCAUGAAGACAUUCUAAAUGCUUAAAUCCUGAAAAAGCAUCAAUGUAAAUUAUAUAAGAAUAUAAUCAUUGACAAAGAAUAAUCCAACAAGGGAAGGCUAAGAUUACAGUCUUUAUUCUCAACAGUAACAAUUCUCUUCCUCUAUGUCUAUCUCUCUAAGUCACAUGAUAUUGAAUAUUUGAAUGUUCAAGACGAAGGAGAUCUUUUUUAAAAUGGUAAAGACUAGAAUUGAGGGAUGCGUCAUAGCAGAAGUAACAAAGUGCCCUGGUACCAUUAAUUUAUUAAAGACUGGAAGUUCUAACAAGUAGUCUAUUGUGCUGCCAAAGCAAGGUGAAAACUUUGAAUUUCAUCUAAGGGUUAAGCAUAUAAAGGAACUAAUCAGGCGAAAAUCAUUGGACAAAAGAGAGCAUUCUGUCAUCUAUUUUCAAAUAGAGAAAGUUCGACAUGAAAAGAGUAUUAUGAACUAACAUAGUGAAGAAUGAAGGUAUCCACUCACGUUUCCCUUUAACUAGUGAAGAGCCUGAUCUCAAGCCGCACUUUGCUCUCAAACAAGAUGCCAGUUCAUAUAACCUAUGCUUAAUUUCCACUCUAGCAUUGCUAAUUACGUCUGCUUGAUUUGGAAUAGCAUUCUUCUGAGGUUCCCAGUAAUAUUCUUUCAACCAAUCAAGUGCCUGAACGUCAAAAUCAUGUUAAAAAAGCUGUGAUCUUCAAUUUCAUACAAAGAAUUGAAAUGAUUAAGAAGUAUGUUAAGUCAAUUAUGGUUCUAACACAAAGCUUGCAUGUGCAACUUCAAAUGAAUUUCCAUUACUGUGCUCUCUUAGCCAAGCAAAAAGUUCAUGCAUGACAAAUUCCAGUAAGCACUACAGUUGAUAGAUAUAUAGAUCAAGGACAAAAUGCUACCUUCAUGGAGGCAAGACGAACCAGGUGAAGAGAAGGGAGAUCACGAUGAGAGCCCUCUACAAAUAAAGAACAACCAACUCAGAAGAAAACUUAUCCAUAAGUCAAGCCAUUCCACAUCAUUUAUUACUAAUUUUCGUAUUAGGAAUUGAACUCAAAAAAUAUGCAUUGGUAAAUAAUCAAGGGAACAGAUGAAUACCCAUUUUUCCUUUUUCUUUUGGAAGUACAGGAAAACAAGGAAGCUUAACCAAUAUUAUGCAUCUUAUAUGCUGACAAUCAGCUACUACAACAUCAAAUGGUGAUCUGCGUAAUCUAAAACUUUGUCGCUACAUUUCUUAGAAGAACUAUGUGAGUAAAAUAAGAAAUGAAGAAACAGGAUGUAAAGUUGUUUACCAUGACGAAUAUCUAUGAGCAUACGUGGAAUACCAAUAGCACCAGCAGCCUCUGCUAUUGAGACCUCUGUCUUCUUGCGAGUUUUCUCAAUGACACCAUUGACAAGCCUUAGAAGACAAGAAGCAAAAUUUUUAGCACGAGUUUAAGGAUAGAAUAAAGCAUGCAAGGAAGAUACAUGAAGCAGGUUCUUAAUUAGGCAUACUUUUGCAGGGGUCACAUAAGUACUUGGGCCACUACUCAAUGACUGUAGUUUUAAGUAUACACGCACUCAUGGCCCUCACACCCCGUUUUGACAAACAUUUUCUUUCCAUCACACAGCCAAUGAGGUAGGCAAUGAAGAGUGAAGAAAAAUGAAAAAUGACAUUAAUUGGAUGCCUUGGAAAACAAUGAAUGCAAGAGAAAGGCAUAGACAAGAGCUGCUUAUACUAUAACAUAGCACUACAGAAAUUUUAAAAGAUUUUCUUACUGUCUGCCUUUUAUUUAAUAAGUCACUUCAAUUUUCUUCUGAAAAUUUUGUAUUCAUUCAUGCCAAUCACAACAAAAUAAAGAACUGGCACAAUAACACUCUAAAAACCAAAAGUUUUUAAAAUCUCCAGGGGUAAAUAACUCCCCGAGAACUGAACCAUUAUUCCUUCAUGUACUUAACCAUCAGAGCUUAGCAAAAUGUUUUCAUCACCUCAUUGAUGCUUUUUAAACAACACACAAGUAUACCAAUUGAAUCUUCACCAUUGACACCACAAUUACUUGUCAAUAUUGAAAAACCCAGUCUUCUUGGAGCACUUUCAUUUUAGUUUAAAUAAGCAAGCCAUAUUUGAUGAGAUAGCUCAAUUGAUCCCAGAGGUAAAAACACAUUAAAUUUGCUAAGUAAUGAAGAACUACCUCAUGAUUGCCAUACAAUACAACAUGGCCAGCAUUUCCUCUGAGUCCACAGCUUCUCCAGGUAAGUCAUGCCUAAACAGUAAAAAUUCAUACCUCCAAUCAGCACAAAAUUCACAGAUUGCAAUGUUCACGAAGGGCAUGAAUCGAACAUCAUGUAAGUACAUUCUAAACAAAAAAUAAUAAUAAUAAAUAUUCCAAAUAAAUUAUACAUUUUGAUGAUUCAUGGCCUUACAAACAGGUAAAUACAUAAAAACUGUGUCCUAUUUAUGAACGUUCAUUUCAAAAGCAUCAGACAACAGACCAUUUCACUUUUAGCCACCUUAAACUAAUCAAAUUUGUAAAUCAGGGUUACCUAAAAAAAGGAUCUUUCUGCUGAAUUUCUACAAUUGACGCAGUGACUUCAACCACUACAGGCAGGCAUCCCCUGCUCCGCCAAGCCGUAAUCUGAAGAAACCCCCAAAAAAAUCAUUCUUUAACAUAAUAAUAAAUGAGAAAAAAAUAAUAAAUUGAUGAAUUUAAAUUUGGCCUUCAAUUACUCGUUGGAGAGCUGAGGCAACGGAUGGUGGAGAAGAAGAGAAGAGGGAGAUUCUGACAAAGUCCCACUCGUCCCAGCUAAUCCAUGGUACCAAUUUGAAGCUGUGUGAUUGGUCCAGAACGACGUCGUUAGCAGGUGGUUCAGUAAACCCUAGCAGAGGCUCCAUUGUUGAAGGGUUUUAGCUUCUAUAAUCUCUGUGCAAAGUAAUCUAAAAUGAAGUUUUCAAUUUGCCCCGACCCGAAAUAUUAUUGCUCCUAAUUAAAAUUGGAUAAGAAGAACCGGACCCGAUGACCCAUCAGAUUCUAAUAACUACUAAAGAGUUUUUUUUUUUUUUUUUGUCGGAGGACCAAUAACUACUAAAAAGUAAAUAUGCAUAUUAGAGAACUAAAGUAAUUUAGAAUUCAUUUUGAUCUAGCUGAGAUUUUAUUUUAUUUUAUUUUAUUUUUAAUUUUUUUAAUAUAGGGAGGGACGAAAUUUAAGAAGUGAAGAGAGUGCAGCAGAAUUUAUUAAAGUACGGAUUAUGCACAUGAAUAUUAGAUAUAACCCGGGUUUGGAUUGUCUUUUUUUUCCAAAAACUGUUUUUGUCUUUGAGAAACAGCAUAUACUGUUAUGUAGAUCUACAGUGAAAGAAUAAUAAAACUGCAGCGUUUUUGGCAAAAUACUCAAUUGUCUUGUUUUCGGCUUUCCUUGCCAACACUACCGAAAAUCACUUUCCCAAAUUGCUGAGAUUGAACGCAAAGAAAGAUUCAGAACAGGGACUUGGUCAGGAGCUUGUGCAAAGUACUCCUCUGAAGCACCAUUGCCGGCCAUCGAGAGGGAAAUUUGUCAGUAAUCGAAGCAGAUUUCAGCUCGCGACUUCAAAUCCAAACCUUCUCUGAGCUCUAACCCCCUCUUCACUCUUCGAUCCAUCUUGCUAGUACGCCCCUCUUUGAGAGCGACCUUGUCUACAAGAGCCCACCCUCGCGCUUCAAUCCAUCAUGAUCUUAACCCCCUUCCACAGCGAAUAGCACAUCUCGAACCCCCACAGCUCCGACCCCUCUCGCGCUUCAAUUUACUGUUAAGGUUAUGUUUCUAGCAUUUUGCAGCUUUCAAUUUACUGUUUCUGCUGCUUAUUGUAAAGAAUAAUGUGUGGGUUGCUCAAAAUUUGCUGUCCGGAAGGUUAAAAAUUUUAGACAUUGAGGUCAAAAUUUGCUUGCUGCUUUCACUUUUUGUUUUAGCCGUUUAGAGAUGUUGGACAGUAGAUGUAGAGAUUAUUUGUGCAGAGUAUUGUGAUGGAUGAACCAUUUCUCGCCAAUGCUGAGAAUGAACCACGAAAAAUUGAGCUGGUGUGAUGAUUGAGACGAUAAACUAGUUUGCUCCAAAUUCGAUGUCAGAUUUGUUUUAUAUAUGUUGAGAAAAUGGAUGAUCACAAUACGGCAUUGACUUCAAUUCAUAUCAGGUCUAAAAUUUUGUAGUCCAACCGAAAACAACUUUUGGUUAACUAAAAACUGCCUAUUUCUUCCUUUCUAUUCAAAACAUGACUUGAAGUAGUUUGUUCCCGCAAUUAUGUAUAUCAAUUCAUUUAGAAAUACCAUUCUGUGCAUGCUGUUCAUCUUCGAUGUGCAGCUGGGAUCAAAUUGAAAGGGAAUACCUGUCCUUCUUUCUGUGUUGGCAAAUUUUGAGCUGUUAAGCUUUCCCUAUGCCAGUGAGAUUUCUGAAUGACACCAGAAACCUUAGUAAAAUCUUGAGUGUGUCCGUUUUAAGGUUAUUUAAAAGUGAAACUGUACAGGAGGGAAAAGCUGUUGAACGAAUAGUAAUAUGAGUGGUUCUUACUGUAGUUUGUGUUUUAAAAGUUAAUGGAGAAUGAUGUGUAGUCGAAAUUCCUGUUCUUCAAUGCUUGUCGGGUGCUGUUUUGCCGGAGUUGGUGGAUGCAUUCGAUAGUCCUUAUGUGCGAUUAACCAAAAUGCCUUACUUGCUUGAGAUUCAUUAGAAUUGCCUAAAUUCAGUGAAAGAAGCGUAUGUUUCUGCUUCUGAUGGAAAUUAUUGGCUUGGAGCUACUUCUGAUUGUGCUUUGGCAUAUUAUUCCCCUCCAUGAGUGUGUCCAGCUUUGCUAAUGCGACUGCAGUCAUGUUUUCGUAUUAUUGUAGCACUAAUUCUUGUGUUUUUCCCAAAAUGAAUUGUCUGAUGCUAUUUUUGUGAUUUUAAAUUGUCUUCUCCGACUAUUACUGAGAUUGGUAUCUGCAGUCUAACUUCAUACUGCUGUUUGGUGCUAUAAAACAGGGUUGGUUGGUGUUUUCAUUGCUGUUGUCUAAGGUUACAUGCCCCCUAUUACUCGCCGUGCUUCCAAAGGUAUAGUUUGCGUGGUUCUGACUUUGUUCACUGCCUUGUUUAGUGUGACUAAUUUUAUUCCUCAAUGAACACAGCAUUGAAGACGAAAAAUUGUGAGAAUUGUUGUGCAUCCAACUCAGCUUGAGGGGAAAACGAUUUACAAAAGUGCAUUUCUAACUACUACAAGGUAAUACCUGCUAGUCCUCUACUUUCGCUACUUAUUAUUUCAUCUCUGUCUUGCCUCGAGGUAUAAUUACCAACGUGUCUGAUUGCCUUUGUUUAUGGGUUAAUAAGAUGAGAAAACAAAGGCGCAAUCCAGGUGGGUAGAAAUUUUAUUUCACUAGGCAGCAUGAAAUAGAAAUUGCCAACUGCCUUGUCAGCAUGCAUAGAGCUAAUGAAAUUAAGGACAAUAAUAUUGGUAGCUACAUGGUUCCCGAAAUUCAGCAGCGGUUGAACGGCCAAUAUGGCACAUCGUUCACUUCGGACAGUAUAAGAGCCAAAUACUAUGCCUUGCGAGAACUGGCCAAACUGUACAUUGCCUUCAAGAGGCGGGAAACGGGACUAGGUUGGAAUAGCCAGAACUUUACCUGGCUCAUGGACGAUAGCAAGUGGGCCGAGCUUGCACGGGUAUAUUUUGUCAAGUAAACUAUUUUUAUAUCAAUUUAUGGCUGUUAAAAGUUAAUCAGAUUAUACCUGCUGCUCCCUCAAAUAACCUUUUGGCUGUGUUUUUUUUUUUUUUGUCACGUGAACCCAAAAUUUUUAAAAUUUCAAGAUGACUGCACCGUCUACCACUUGCUUGAGGAAGUUUUUGUCAACUAAGGAGCAACGGGAGAUUUCAGCGCUGGCUUUGAGAACGAGCCUCGUACUUCAGCCGAGGAGAGAUACAUGGAGAACGUUGCACGAUCCUCACGGGGAAAGGGAAGGUCGGACUAUGCGCACGAGGGUCUUGAAUUAAAAUUGGCGGUUUCAUUAAUCAAAGUUAUGUCUUUUAGCAAAAUGGUAUGUCAGGGAUUUGACACUUUAUGUAUUAUUGUUUAAAUAAAUCUUAUAUACACUAAUAAUUCAUACAGUAUUAUCGAUUAGAUUCAUGACAUAUGAGCAAAUUUUGAACUUUAAAUUUUAAAUCAGUAGUGAUAAUUGUGUAUAUACUAUUAAUAUAUAAAAGAUUAAUUCAUGUUAUUUUCCUCCUAAAUGUCAACUGAUAGCAUGCAAAUGUUGAGCAUAAAUACACAGCUGCACAUGGUUAUACAAUAUUCUAUGCCUAAAAGCACGCAAUUGCAAAGAAUUUCUUUGUCAAAUUAAACUCACUACUCCUUGCGGCCCAAUCAAAAUGUCAAUACUUUCUAUUUUGAAAUGUCCUAAAACUUUUUAUUCUCUCCUUUCAAUACAAUCCCCCCUUUAAUUAUAUAUAUGUUAUUAUUUAAAUUCAAAUUUUGAAUUUACUGAAACAAUAUAAAAAAAAAUACAAAUAUUAUAAUCAGACCAUUAUUCAUAAAAAGUUAGACUCCCUUUGAUCAUACGAGACGGAUGAAGUAUUAUAUUCCAAUUCCCGAGGCCUUUAUCCUCUCUUCCUCUUGGAUUUGUACAACCAAGGAGCUGAUAGAUUAAUUUAACUUUUUUUUGUGGGGUAAGAAUAGACUAAUUUAACUAAAUCCAAAGAACAAAGCACCAUUAGUACAUAUUUUAUUCACUAAUGGCACAACUUUACAUAAUAAUCAAAGAUUCCCAUCAAUUUUAAACAAAACCCUGUUGCAUUCACCAUACCAUAUGCACUUUCACCGGUGGGAUUCCAUAUACUAACGACCUUAAGAACGCUGGUUAUUGCACAACCCCACAAACCACCAAGAAAUGGCCGCUCAAACUCACCUGUUUCAUCCACUCCACUCCUUAUCUCUGCCACUGAAAACCCGAUGUAAAUCACCUGACUUUAAACCCAAGCUAAAACCCUCCACAUUCAUCAUCUCCAGCAAGCUCCGGGCAGCGGUGGUAGGAGGAGGUCCAGCUGGAUCCUCUGCAGCUGAAGCACUUGCUGCUGGUGGCAUAGAGACCUUCCUCUUCGAACGCAGCCCCUCUACUGCCAAACCCUGUGGUGGAGCAAUCCCACUUUGUAUGCUAGAUGAGUUCUCCAUCCCUCCUCACCUCAUUGAUCGGAAAGUCACCCGCAUGAAGAUAAUAUCUCCGUCCAAUCUGGCCGUUGAUUUUGGUAAAACUCUGAAGCCCCAUGAGUUCAUCUCCAUGCUCCGCCGAGAAGUGCUUGAUGACUUCCUACGCCGCCGUGCUGAGUCUUGUGGCGCCGCACUUAUCAAAGGACUUGUCACAAAUGUGGAGGUUCCCCUAACAAGCAGCUCUUCAUAUGUUAUUCACUAUAAUAAGAAUAAUUCACAGAAAUCUCUUGCUGUUGAUGUUGUUAUUGGUGCUGAUGGAGCCAACAGCAAGGUGGCUAAGGCCAUAAAAGCAGGAGAUUACACUUGUGCUAUUGCUUUUCAAGAAAGGAUUAAGUUGCCUGAGGAGAAAAUGGAAUAUUAUGAAAAUUUGGCUGAAAUGUAUGUCGGAAAUGAUGUUUCACCUGAUUUUUAUGCGUGGGUUUUCCCCAAGUGCGAUCAUGUGGCAGUGGGAACGGGGACAGUAUGCUCAAAGAAGGAUAUCAAGAUGUUUCAACAUGGCAUAAGAGCAAGAGUUAGGCCAAAAACUCAUGGCGGUCAAGUAAUUAAAGUUGAGGCUCAUCCAAUCCCUGAGCAUCCACGUCCAGUUAGAGUCAGGGGACGAGUGGCUCUGGUGGGGGAUGCAGCAGGAUAUGUGACGAAAUGUUCUGGUGAGGGAAUUUACUUUGCUGCCAAGAGUGGGAGGAUGUGCGGGGAAGCAAUUGUCAAGGCAUCAGAAGGAGGUGAAAGAAUGAUUAGUGAAGAAGAUUUAAAGAGGGAGUAUUUGAAGAAGUGGGAUGAGAUGUAUUUAACUACAUUCAGGUUUUUGGAUUUGUUGCAAAGGGUGUUUUAUGGUAGCAAUGCUGCUAGGGAGGCAUUAGUGGAGUUGUGUGGGGAUGAGUACGUGCAGAGGAUGACAUUUGAGAGCUAUCUGUAUAAGAAGUUGGCCCGGGGGAACGGAUGGGAUGACAUUAAGAUGGUCAUGAAUACAAUUGGGAGUCUAAUUAGGUGUGAUAUUGUAGGCAGAGGGAUUGAAAUGUUUGACAAACGAGUUCUUGCACAGUUGUAGUGUAUCAGGGAACUAGUUAAAUGAAAGAGAAUCAAAUGAAACUUCAUCAGUACUUCCCAGAGAAGUACAGAUCCAGGAAGUUUUAGCUUUAAAUCACCUAAAAACCUUUUGGUAUGAACAAAUGGUUGUGCCAUUACUCUAUUUCAGUUCUUCAUAAAGCAGAUUCAAAUUGUUGUUUCCAAGAAAAUCUUUGCUGCGGUGGUCAAUUUAGCCUUUCAUCAUUGCCUUAAGUAUCAUCCUGUAAAGUAAUGAAUAAUUAAGAACUUGACUACAUUAUUAUAACUUCUGGGUGCAUAAAUACAGCUUUACAGUGGAAAGAAGUGAAACAUUUAAGCAAGCUAUAACUUUUCAGCAAAGCUUCAAGUUGAAUUAACAGUUUCCUACCAUACACACACUAUUUACCUUGAUCCUAACAUUAUAGCCCAGUCGAGCUAAGAGUUUCUUACCCACUUUGUACCUCGAUUCUAACAUUAGCCAGCUCCUGUUUUUGCCUCUACUGAUACCACAAUUUAUUUGUACAACUUAUUCGCUAUAUGCAUAGAGUUCAAGUGUUUCAAGAGAAAAUCAAAUCCCAUUUUCACACCAUUCUGUAUCCAUCCUUUCUUGACCCCUCCGCCCUCCGCCACAACCAAUUUCUUUCUUCAUGUAGUGCACAUUGUGUUUGAAUCUUUUGCGACAAGGUUUUGAAAAUAAAAAAAACCCAAGUGCCUAGUGAUGAAAAAGUAAUUAGAGCAGUAAAAGGGUUAAAGCUUGAUAUAUUUCCACAUAUAAUAGGACCCAAAUAACAACCUAAUAGUUGAAUAGGUGGCUAUGCAGCCACCAAUCAUCCCUCUUGGUUAAAGACAUACAAGCAUAGAGGAUAUAGGCUCUGAUUUAGUAGACGUAGUUUGCAGAACUUGGAGGAAUAUGUGCUUUGCUGCCUGUGUUAUGCAGCAUUUCUGGGACUUAAUUUAGUCAAGGGAGAAGAUUUUGAAAGCAAUGCAAGGCAGAGAUGGAGUUGAGGAUUGAAAAGAAUGAACAGGAGAAGAGCGUGCAUGAAAAACAUAGGCAGGGGGGAGGGGACUAGCCAAGGUAAGCCCCUUAAUUAUGACAGAGAAAAGACAAAUAUGCAAAGAGGAAAUUACAGAAUAUUAAGGAAAAGAAUUCACCUUAUACUUAGAAUCUCUCUUGAUGAAGUGCAUAAGAUGCCAUAUUCUAGGCCAAAGAAGUUAAUUCUUAAAAAUGCAGAGAACCAAAGCUUCAAAAUAGAAUGAAAAAAAUCAGUUUAUGAUGCUAACUAGCCUUUUUGAUUUUAAUAACUAUUAAUAUACUACGAAUAGAACUAUAUAUGUUUACACAUACAUAUACAGUACGGCCUUCAACCCGCACUUGUCUCCGAGACUCAUACCUGACUCCACUCAAAGUGCCCUUAGCUAAAGGUUUUCUCAAAAGAUUAAUGUUUCUUCUAAAUGUGUUUCAAUUUUAGGUAGCCAUGUAAAUACUAUAUGUAUGCCUCUGUGAUUUAUGUCAAUUUCACUCUAAACAUUUUAAAGCUUGGGAUCCUCCUCAAAACACCAGAGUAUCUUAAUCUAUAACUAACAUGGUCUUAAUUUGGUUGGGCAGAAAACAAUCACAAGCAUAAAAUGUAAUUAUCCUACUCAUGUUAGGGUUAGCAUUUUUGUAUUUUCAGAGACCCUAUCCAACAUUACUCCCCCAAUUCAAAGAAUUCAGACUCUCUUGCAAUUAUUCAUGCACUGUUAAGCUGCAUCUGUAUAUUAGCAUAACACCAGAGAAGCCUAAGCAGUAUGUCUCUCAUAAUAUAACAUAAAAAGGUUUGCUGAUACACAACAAAGUCACUUAAUACCUGCAAUUCACUAAAACUUUUGCACAAAGGGUACUUUAAAGUAUCAAGAUGUCACUAAUUUCACCAAUGAUCCACUUAAGGUCCUCUUUAAACCAUAUGCUUCAAAUUCUUAUUUGGCUAGAAAAGUCCAGAUAACUUGCACCUCAACUGCAAUUUCUCAUAUUAAAUCUCUAGCACAAAGUAGCUUCAUAUAACUACUUUUUUUAUAUUAACCAAAAAAAAAAAAAAAAACAGCAAUACAAGAACCCAGAAGAACCAAACCGAUGAAAUCCUUUUAUUGUUCUAUUCUUAAUAACAACAAGAUAACAUGAAAAAAGGUUGCUGCACCAUUUUUAAUAAGCAUUGCAAUCAGACCAUCAAAAUGAAGUGCAAAAGGUCGAAGUUGAAAGAAUGUGAGCUGUGAAACUAAUAGACAUGAAAAAUACAAAAUGAUCUUAAUAAAAGCUACCAUAAAUUAAGGAAUCAAAACUGUGAGCAUAAGCGAAAAGAGUUCAUGGAAGAUAAAAAGAGUUAAAAAGCAGAGGAUCUUACGGUUUUUUUUUUUAAACCUUUUGUCAUUCAGAUCAGAUAGAGCCAGCAAUUAUAUUCUUGUAACAAACAUAACCAGAACACAAACUUUGAAAUUUCCCCAAAUAACCAAGACAGGGAGGUUCCUUGCUUGUCGGCAAGUGGACAGAAAACAGAAAUACCUACAAAAAAGGAAAAAAAAAACUAAAAUGGAACAAAAAAGUAAGCCCGAUACUCCGGUAUUUGAUGCUGGAGAUGGAUAGUUUGCAUCCACCUGUUGAUUUUGCAGGAGAUGAAUAGGUUUACUUGGGGCUGAUACCGCUGAAAAUAUAAGGUUGGAAUUGAAGGAAUUUUGUGAUGGUUGAAGAUGAUACAAACAUUCAAUUGGAAAUUCCCUGGGAGAAAGAGAUGAAAUUGAGGUGGAACAAUGAGGUGGAGAAGGAGUUUUGAGGGUUGGAUUUUUGGGAGAAGAUGGAUUCCGGCGUUCAUGAAGCAGUGGCGGCCCUGGAGGACGACGCCUGGAGGGAGGAGGAGGAGAACCACCCGUACUAAAGGACUGGACGGCCCCCUUUUUUCUGACGAGGACGACACGUGGCAGAUUGUAAUGUCCUGCUUAGUGACGUGUCUGUACAGUCAUCAUACACGUAAGCAUCAUGAAUGACAUGGCAUCCAUGUCAUCAUCACACGAUUUGUAUGACUCGCUGUACGUGGUCUGCAAUUUCCUUCACUUUCUUCAUAGUUAGGUCAAGUUAGGGUUUGUUUUUAUUUCUGACAAGGUUUUUUGUAAUUAAUUUGUUAGUUCAAUUUAUGGAUUCAUUCUUUAAUUCAUGUAGAACACAUAUUGCCUUUUUGGUUAGUGAUUUAAAGAUUUUUUAAUUACCUUUGACAAUUUAUUAAUUGUCUUCGACAAUGUAUUAAUUUUUUUUUUAAAUUUUCUAGGUUUCUGGGAUUAGAAAAUUUUUGUGCAGUUUUCAAUUUUUUCUUUUAGACUUUGGUAGAAAGCAAUAUACAUCACACUAUUUAGAUUUUUUCAUGUUUUUGACUUAAGAGCAAAAUACAUCUGUUCUUUUUUUUUUUUCCCAACAACGAUACAUUGUAUAACCUACUCUAUCCUAAUUUAGAGAGAGGAGGAGCCUAAAAAGGCUUGUGUUAAAAGCUAGUGGGUAUACUGUGGCGACCCCACUUCCCCCUGAGGCGAACCAAAGGAUUGGCGGGCCGUCUGCCCAACUCUCGCCAGGACUCACGCGAGCAAUCUAACCCGAACCCUUUCGAAGAAUAAACUAAUCUAUUACAAAAUCAUCUUCCCCGAAUAGAAUCAUAUCUAAAGCCACAUUACCUUCGGAGAUAGCAAUGAUAAAAUUUCCAGUCGAGACCCUUAAACGACCUACGUGCUACUUACCAAAGUACAAAGUCAUAACAAACCGGAUAGAUAAAAUGCAUAAAUCCAUAAUACAACUUACAAGCCAAGUAAUCGAACUAAGGUUUACACAUUUUCCAGCUUCAAGUGGCAAUCCAAAAAGGAAAAUACAUUAUCCCCAAAUAACACAUUACAGCCCACAGGAUAAGAUAUAGUGUUCAAAUGCAGUCCAAAAGAAAAACAUAAAUUAAGUAAGCAUCCAACUUUCAGUUUCCAGAACCUGUAAAGGAAAACAAUAAACGUGGGGUGAGCUAAAACUCAGUGGUGCCCCAAAACAUACAAGCACAUAAUUUCAAACAGCGAUUAAUAACUGCACAAAUUUAAACAGUUAGGAAAGCGUAUAACAGCACAAGGUAGGAUACAUGGGCUCUCAGGAGCCAUUUCCCUCGCUUGAGCACCAAUUAUCGUAGUUGACCCUCCGUCAACUCUCACUACUUAUAAGCCAUGUAGAUCCACUUAUUUUAAUCCUAACCCGUCACCAUUCAUACCUCUGCUUCGGGCCCGGACUUCGCCUACCGACGCAGUAUACUCGAGAUAUACCCGUAUAAAAUUAGUCGAGGGAUUCACCCAAUGACGUGAUUGCAAUCAGAUACAUGCGUCGAGAAAUUUACCCAAUGACGUGAUUGCAAUCAGAUACAUGCGUCAAGAGAUUCACCCAAUGACUUAUUGUAGUUAGAUUCAAGCGUCAAGGAAUUCACCAAAGACGUGAUUGCAAUCAGAUACAUGCGUCGAGAGAUUCACCCAAAGACGUGAUUGCAAUCAGAUACAUGCGUCGAGGGAUUCAACAAUGAUGUAACUACAUUUAGUUUCAUGGUAGUUAGAUUCAUGCGUCGAGGGAUUCACCCAACGACGUAGCUACAUAUAGAUUUAGGAGAAAAAUGUUUUGCACAAGUCACCACUCGAACGGCUAGUGCGAUAAAGUACACACAGCUCACUUCGAUGGAUCAGAAACCAAUUUUUUUCAAAUUAUCACAUAUCCAGUCAAGAAGGUACUUUAAGCAGGUAAGCAUAGAACAGGCAGGGACACUCACCAAGAGUGGAGUUCAGAUAUCAAGUUGGGGAUCGAAUUCCGCGUCCUCGAAAAACCCUAAAAACCAAAAUUUGAAACUAUAAGUUUCUACUUAGUUUUUAAGCUUAUAGUCAUUAAAGUAUAUUUAAUAUACUACUAGUUCACUUUCCCUUAGAAAUAUCAAGAGUUCCUUAGAUUAAAACUUGACAAAAGUAGAAAAGAUAUUUCCUAUGGUUUUCCUUGAGGUACUUUUCUAGAAUGAAGUAACUAGUAUUAUUUUAUUGAAAUAAGUCGAUAAACCUCUGAAUAUCAAAGCUAAAAAGUUACUUUGAACAUUUCUCUAAAGAUACGGCUUUUGCAAGAUUUAUUUCCAAAAACUAUUUUUCCUAAAAUAGGGUUUCUUGCCGAGCAAGUUUUCCAGGCUUUUAACUAAAAUUUGUAAACUCGUAUUUUGAAAUUUUUUUUUUCCUAAAGUUAGCUAUCCAAAUGUAAAGCUUAAGGAAAGAAAAGAAAUCGAAAUAAGACCUAGAAUUUUCAAAAGCUAUAGAAUUAAAAUACUAUAGCUAUCAAGACUAGUUUGAGCUAAAGGAACUUAUCGGUUUCGAAAAGUUUUAGGUGAAACACUAGAUAUUGAGUUUUUAUAUUAUAAUACUAGCUGGGAAAUAUUUUUGCUUGAUUUGAUAACAGCUACUCGAGUUCACAAAGUCGAAACGACUUGCACAGCUCCGGUUCCGUGAAUAUAAUCGAAGUAUAAGAUAUAGUGCUAAAAAAAUGGGGAGAACAAGGACAGAACAUAAUUAUGAAUCCCUUUCUCGAACACAAGGGCAUCUAUGAGGCAUUUACCCCUAUUAAGAAAUUUGAAAAUCCCGAACUAGUGGGAUUCCUCCCUUUUGAAGGGAGUUUUGAUAAAUUUGGGGAGUUGUUUUUGGUAAAAAUUCAUGAAAAUCAUUCAUAUGUAUGUCUUUUGUUUAACUAUGUUUUUGUAAAUAGUUUUGAAUCAAGUGAUUUUUGAAGACACGUCUUGUUUAACAAGUAACAUGCUAUUAAAAUUGAUCUUUAUCUUGAAAUUCAAUAAAAUGUACAAUUUUAUAUAUACUGUGUUACUUACACAUUCUUUUCAGAUGGCCAAGAAUAGAAUCCUCUGAUCCUUUAGAUAUAUCUCGAUAUCUCACGAAUGUGAAUUUGGAUUUUAAAAUGAGAGGAGUAGCGAAAUGACAUCCGAAAAUAUUUCAAAGAGACCCGAAUGGUAUAAAGAGAAACUCAAACCGAAUUGGGAUUAAGAUUAAGGAAAUAAAAAUCAAUGGUCACUUGAUAAAAAAUAGUUAAAUGCAGUCUGUCAUGGUCAAUAUUAUUAAAAGGAUUAGCUCGUGCUUACCAUAAAAUAGUCAAAUCAUGACUAUUCAGACUAGGAGACAAAGCGUUGAGGGAGAUUUUGUCGGUGGAAGAUGAGGCCAAAUGAAGAGUUUGUCCCAAAUUGACAAGAUUCUUUUAUUGUCAAAAAGGUAUUGCAGGGCGGAGCACUUAUUUUCACUGAUAUGGAUUAACAAGAGUUUCCCUUAAUCGAUUAAUUUAGAUAUAGGUAAAAUUUUACAUUAAUGAAAGUUUCCUUUCAGAAUUAAUGCAGGGAACAGAAUUAAAGUCCAGCCCUCUUUCUUUCCCAUUGAGACAUUUUAUCCCUAGUGGUCUCUUUUGAUCUUGUAGAAUGAAUGAUUUCGCUUGUCAACCUGAUGAGCAACCCUAGGGGAAGACCCUCCUAGACCCUCCCAACCUUGUAAUUAUCAGAGUUGGACCUUUCUCCCAAUGGAAAUUGAACUCGAAUUGUUCUCAUGGACUCAAGACCUCUGACACACAAAGGCAAUCAGCAACCUUAAGCAAAUAAUGCUGGAUGAAAAGACACCACGAUUAGGGAACAAGCUAAUCGAUAAAGUCAGAUUUGAAUCCUAAGCAAUGAACUCAAGAAUUCAAGAGUAAGUUCGAUUAAGAACUUGAAGGAAAAAAUCCUCACGAUUUCUGGUUGUAAUAUUCCGUCUUUUCACUCAUACAAUAGGUGCCUUUUAUAGGCUAAAACUAGGGCAAAUCCGGCCCACAUAAACCUGAAAUAGGAAUUCGGUCCGCAUAAAGAGCUAGCUCUUUAAGACUUCUCGAUAAGGCCCAAUAAGUAAUAAAAUACUCAACGACCAACAACUACUAGACUAGGCAGUCUUAAAAUAACUACCAACUAAGCUAACAAGUAUGAGAUCAUUCUUUCACUUCAAACAUACAAGUGAACAAGGUAACUUCAUGGUCCAUCAAAUCUUCAAACUUAACUUGCUCCUUGCUUGUAUGGUGAAUGAUCAAGGCUCAUAAAGCUUCCCUCACCUUCUUGGUUCUUGAUCUUGUCAUCGGACCACCAAUGUUGAUCAAAGGGUCCUUGACCCAAGGUUGAAGGUGUUGCACACCCGUAUCCACAUCAUUCCCUCCCUCCUCGAAAGGAUUCGUCCUCGAAUCGUCAAAGUCUGUAUCAAAGGCAAAUGGGGAUAGGUCAGACACAUUAAAAGAUACGCUUAUGCCAUACUCAUUUGGAAGUUCCAAUUUGUAGGCAUUGUCAUUUAUCCUUUCUAGGACACGAAAAGGUCCAUCUUCUCUUGGAUGUAACUUGGUCCGUCGAGAUGCUAGAAACCUUUCCUUCCUCAUGUGUACCCAAGCCCAAUCACCAGGUUCGAAUACAACAUGCUUUCUACCCUUAUUCGCAUGUUGUGCAUAUUGCGCAUUUUUCUUCUCAAUUUGAGCUCUAACUCUCUCAUGCAAGGUCUGAAUAGCCUCUGUCUUUUUGAUACCAUGUGCGCUUAAACACUCAUCAACAGGAAUAGGUGAUAAAUCUAGAGGGGUUAGCGGCUGAAACCCAUAAACAAUUUCAAAAGGAGAAUGAUUAGUAGAAGAAUGAGUGGUUCGAUUAUAUGCAAAUUCGGCAAUAGGCAAACAUUCUUCCCACUUUUUCAAGUUCUUUUGAACAAUGGCUCGAAGUAAAGCACCAAGGGUUCGAUUGGUUACCUCAGUCUAACCAUCCGUUUGAGGAUGACUAGAAGUAGAAAACAGCAACUUAGUUCCCAACUUUCCCCAAAGUGAUUUCCAGAAAUAGCUUAAGAAUUUCACAUCCCUAUCACUUACAAUAGUACGCGGUACCCCAUGCAAUCUAACCACGUCCUUGAAGAAUAAAUCAGCAACAUGGCGCGUAUCAUUGGUUUUCCUACAAGGGAUAAAAUGAGCGAUUUUAGAAAAUCUGUCCACUACAACAAAGAUACUAUCCAUACCUCUAGAAGAUCUUGGUAAACCAAGCACAAAAUCCAUGGAUAAGUCUGUCCAAGGAGCAUGAGGUACGGGUAGAGGAGUGUACAAUCCAUGAGAAUUACCCCUUACCUUUGCUUGCUUACACUUUAAACACUUAUCACAAAUGUUAGCAACGUCACGCCUCAUUUGAGGCCAAUAGAAGUGUUCAUGCAAAAUGUCAAGAGUUUUAUCAAUGGCAAAAUGUCCCAUCAACCCUCCGCCAUGGGCUUCUCUAACAAGUAAUUCCCUAAGUGAACAGUUGAGAAUACAUAGGCGAUUCUCUUCGAACAAGAAGCCUUCAUGCCUAUAGAACUUUUGAAAUGCAGCAUGUUCACAGGCUUGAAACAUAUUAGAAAAAUUGUCAUCAUGUGCAUACAAGUCUUUAAUGUGCUCAAAACCAAGCAACUUAGUGCUCAUGUUAGUGAUCAAGAUAUAUCUCCUAGACAAUGCAUCCGCAACGACAUUAUCUUUCCCCUUCUUAUACUUAAUGAUAUAUGGAAAGGAAUCAAUAAAUGCAAUCCAAUUCGCAUGUCUUUUAUGCAACUUACACUGACCCUUAAGGAAUUUAAUUGAUUCAUGAUCAGUAUGUAUCACAAAUUUCUUAGGCAUAAGAUAAUGCUGCCACACUUCAAGAGCACGCACAACAGCGUACAAUUCUUUAUCAUAAGUAGGGUAAUUAAGAGCUCCCCCACUCAACUUCUCACUGGAAUAUGCCAAGGGUCUACUAUUUUGAUGUAAGAUAGCCCCUAUGUCGAUUCCACUAACAUCACAUUCAACUUCAAACAUCAAAUCAAAAUUAGGCAAGGCAAGAAUAGGUGCUGAAGUCAACAAAUUCUUAAACUUAUGAAAUGACUCUUCUUGCUCCUUUUCCCAUUGAAACCCCACAUUUUUUUUAAUUAUCUCAUUCAAAGGUGCUGCAAUAGUACUAAAGUCUUUAACAAAUCUCCUAUAGAAACUUGCAAGACCAUGAAAAGACCUUACCUGAGACACAUUGGUUGGAGUCGGCCACUCCAAGAUGGCAUUUACCUUGGCGGGAUCAACACUUAUGCCAUUUGCACCAACAAUAUACCCAAGAAAGUUAACUUCAGGAGUGCAAAAGACACAUUUUUUCAUGUUAACAAAUAGCAUAUUUUCACGCAAGAUACUUAAAACAAGUCGCAAAUGUUCAACAUGCUCAUCUAAAGACUUGCUAAAGAUCAAUAUAUCAUCGAAAUUAAUGACAACAAAUUUCCCAAGAAAAUGCCUUAAAACAUGGUUCAUUAAUCUCAUGAAAGUACUUGGAGCGUUUGUUAAGCCAAAGGGCAUUACAAGCCACUCAUAAAGACCAUACUUUGUUUUAAAAGCAGUUUUUCAUUCGUCUCCUUCCUUUAUCCUUAUUUGAUGAUAACCAGAUCUUAAAUCAAUUUUAGUGAAAAUGAUUGCUCCAUGUAAUUCUUCUAACAUAUCAUCUAACCUAGGAAUAGGAUGACGAUACUUAACAGUAAUUUUAUUAAUUACACGAUAAUCUGUGCACAUUCUCCAAGUCCCUUCUUUCUUAGGCACUAGAAUAACUGGAACUGCACAAGGAGUAAGAGAUUCACGAACCUGUUCUUUUGCAAGGAGGGAAUCGACUUGUCUUUGAAUUUCCUUUGUUUCCUCCGGAUUUGCUCUAUAGGCUAGUUGAUUUGGUAGAAUUGCUCUAGGAAUAGAGUCGAUUUGGUGUUCAAUGCCUCGAAUUGGAGGUAAUCCUUUCGGUAGUUCCUCUGGAAACACAUCCUUGAAUUCUUGCAAAAGAGAGUAAAUUGCACUAGGAAGAGAAUCGGUUAGGCCUAGUGUGUAAAAAGAAAAAUAAUCAGCUUCCCUGUACAGAAGUACUAUGAGAAGAUUUUGUGCAUUCAAAGCCCUAUCUACCUCACGUACACUUGCAUAGAAGCUCUUUUUUAUUUUCACUUUCAAGCUCUCAGUCUCACUGAGUUUUUUUUCACUCGAAUUUUCUUUUUCACUCAACUCGGCCUCUACUUUCUUUUUCCCCUCAUUCUCUCUCACAUUCAACUGUUCCUUUGCCUCUCUCGGUUGCCUUUUCUCUCUCUCUUUUCUUAAAUGCAAUUAUUCUUCAUACACUUGUGUAGGUGUCAAGGGUGAAAGAGUGAUUUUGAGGUUGUCCAUAAUGAACUUAUACUUAUUGGUGAGUCCAAUAUGAUCAGCGUGUCUAUUAUACUCCUAAGGACGCCCCAACAAGAUAUGACUAGCAUGCAUAGGAAUUACAUCACAUAAAACUUGGUCCUUGUAUCGACCAAUAGAAAAAGCAAUUAAAGUCUGUUUGGUCACCUUGACUUCCCCCCCAUCAUUUAACCAAGACAAUCUAUAUGGUUUAGGGUGGUAAGUCCAGGGAAUGUGUUUUUGCUCAACAAAAUCAGCGGCUACACAAUUAGUACAAGAGUCACUAUCAAUGAUCAUAAGACAUACCUCAUCUCCAAUUUUGUAUCUCGUAUGAAAGAUAUUGGUUCGUUGGAGAUCAUCUUCUUGAGUUUGUGCAUUGAGCACUCUCAUGGUCACCAUAGUUCGAGUUACGGGGUCCUUUUCUAUCUCAACCAUGUCAUCAUCCUUCUCUUUUUCUUCCAGCGGUGACAUGUCCGCAUAUUCCUCCUCUCCUUCGCUUUGCCACAAUUUCUCUUCAUUCAUGUACAUGAUGCUUCGGUUAGGGCAUUGAGCCAUGAGGUGGGCAAUUCCCUUGCAUUUGAAGCAUGCCUUUGGCUGGUUGGUAGAUGUAUUUGCUCCUGGAAGAGUCGGCUGCGGGGUUGGUUUAGAAGAAGUUGCACUCGGAGGGAACGGUUGUUCUUUCCGCUUGUUUUCCCUCUCUCGAUUACCUUGCCUUGGCCAAACAUUGGAUGUUGGUAAUUGGUUCCUUCUCCAAGGAGUGAAAGAGGAUGUAGUGGUUCAGCCACUAGGUGUCUUUAGAGGUAAGGCUUGCUUUUCCACUUUCUCUACAUAAGACACCAUUUGUUGAUGCUCAAAAUGGUCUUGAAACUCAACCUUCUUCCUAAUUUCAGGAUUUAAUCCAUUAAGGAACCUCGCCAUGGUUGCUUCCGGAUCCUCUUGUACAUUAGCCCUUAUCAUCGCUACUUCCAUUUGUUUGUGGUACUCAUCAAUCGAGUUAGAACCUUGAGUAAGUCGUUGGAGCCGAUUGUACAAGUCCGUGGUAUAAUGGAAGGGUACAAAUUGUUUCCUCAUCACUUGCUUCAUUUCAGUCCAAGUGUCAAUCGGUUGUUCCCUAUUUCUCCUCCUCGUGGCACAUACUUGCUCCCACCAAAUAGAUGCAUAAUCUUGAAAUUCAAUAACUGCAAGUUUCAUCUUUUUCUCUUCAGAGUAAUUGUGGACUUAAAACACUUGCUCAACUCACCUAACCCAAUCCAAGUAAGUUUCAGGAUCAUUUUUCCCAUGAAAGGUAGGCAUCUUGAUCUUGAUGGAACCAAGAUUGUCAUCGGUUCUCCUAGAUUGGUCUCGACCUUCCCUCGCUCCUCUUUGGAUUUUCCUUGAUCGAAAGGAGGUGUGAUAUCCCUCAUCAUCCGUAUCAUGAUCAACACUCUGAACACUCGAAACCCUAUUGUGUGUAUCUCCGGUACCUCACAUCUCAAUGGCAGCCAAUCGGUCGAAUAAUUGUGUCAUCACCAAUUCAUGUCCCUCCGUUUGUUUUCAAAGAGCUUGGAGCACCAGUUUGAGUGACACGUCGGUCUCAGACGGCUCGGGCAUGUUCCCCUCUUGAGACAUAUUGUCCAACCUGCAAAACAAGUGUAUCCCAGUCUACCUUGCAAGCACUCGUGUAUCACUCAAGGAAACACACUCACUCUCAAUUUUCCUUCUCGAAAUUCUUAAAGCAACUCAAACUCUCAAAAAUUUCAGAAUUAAUUACCUUGUAAGCAAGUAACAAGACACAAAGCAGAAUUUUGUAAAUCUUAGAAAAAAACUCUCUACCCGAAGCUAGAAUUUUUUUUUGAGCUGCUAUUUUUGCUGAGUUUCUGGUCAGUAUUUUGGAGGUAAGUGGUGCUUUUGGGGUGCUCAAAUAAUGUAUGAACCAGUUCUCAAAUUUCAGUUAAAUCGGCUCGCAAAGACAAAACAGAAUUGAAAACCAAUCAAGAUUUAGAGACUCAAGUUUUGGGAAACCAAUCAAGAUUUGAAAACUAAUCAAGAAUUGGAAACCAAGCAAGAAUUGAAAACUCAAGAUUUGGAAAACUUGAUUUCCUUUGUGUGAGAGCCGAUUCCUUCUCUUCUUCCUUUAUUUUCGUUCUCUCUCUCUUUUUUUUUAUUUUUUUUGCUUCGGCUCUUCAAGGAACACAAAUUCAGGUCACACCAACAAGUUCAAGAAAAUGGAUGAAAAGUUAUGCAAAUUUCAAGAAGAUCCUAGUUCUUGAUUUAUUGUUCAAGAACUUUCAAAAUAAGACUUGGUGGUCCAAGAACUUCAAGAAUUUGUUCAAGAAGUUCAAGAACUUCCCCAAAUUACGUUGUGGUGUUUAGGGUUUGCAAGAACAAUAACCAAUACUCAAGAAAUAGGCAAAACAAAAUUUCAACAAUACUCAAAAGAAAAUUCCAGCAAUACUCUAGCAAGUUGGAUACUAAAACAACAUAAGGUAUAUGACUCUUUUUUUUUUAUCUUUAAACCCUAACAACCCAAACACAAGUAUAAUAGACCCAAGAACUUGGACAGAAAACACAAAAAAAGACAACACCCAUACAGAUUUUGUUUUCUCGGAUGAACAGUAACGUGAACAGUACGCUACAGUACGAUAAACAGUAUUCGGUACAGUAACGAUGAACAGUAAUCGCUAUAGUAACGAUGAACAGUAAUCGCUACAGUUUUUUUUUUUUUGACAAAAGACACAAACUAACAAGAUAUGAACAAUUUCAAUUAAAAGAGAAUUAACCUGAUGCUCUGAUUACCAAUUGAUGAGCAACCCUAGGGGAAGACCCUCCUAGACCCUCCCAACCUUGUAAUUACCAGAGUUGGACCUUUUCUCCCAAUGGAUAUUGAACUCGAAUUGUUCUCAUGGACUCAAGACCUCUGACACACAAAGGCAAUCAACAAGCUUAAGCAAAUAAUGAUGGAUGAAGAGACACCACGAUUAGGGAACAAACUAAUCGAUAAAGUCAGAUUUGAAUUCUAAGCAAUGAACUCAAGAAUUCAAGAGUAAGUUCGAUUAAGAACUUGAAAGAAAAAAUCCUCAUGAUUUCUGGUUGUAAUAUUCCGUCUUUUCACUUAUACAAUAGGUGCCUUUUAUAGGCUAAAACUAGGGCAAAUCCGGCCCACAUAAACCUGGAAUAGGAAUUCGGUCCGCAUAAAGAGCUAGCUCUUUAAGGCUUCUCGAUAAGGCCCAAUAAGUAAUAAAAUACUCAACGACUAACAACUACUAAACUAGGCAGUCUUAAAAUAACUACCAACUAAGUUAACAAGUAUGAGAUCAUUCUUUCACUUCAAACAUACAAGUGAACAAGGUAACUUCAUGGUCCAUCAAAUCUACAAACUUAGCUUGCUCCUUGCUUGUAUGGUGAAUGAUCAAGACUCGUAAAACUUCUCUCACCUUCUUGGUUCUUGAUCUUGUCAUCGGACCACCAAUGUUGAUCAAAGGGUCCUUGACCCAAGGUUGAAGGUGUUGUACACCCGUAUCCACAUCACAACCCCUGAAAAUCGCAAACCCUACAUUGGGGCAAAUUUAGUUUUGAAAAAAAAAAGAAAAAAAAUCCCACACUGGAACAAAUUUAAUUUUUAAAGGAAGGCCGAAAGAAAAGAAAAUAAACAAAAGAAAACCUCAAUUAAAAAUAAACUUGAGCAAAUUUUGAAAAAUUUCAAAAGAUGAAUAGAAUGACAGAAGACAAAAAAAAAAGAAAAAAUGAAAGAAAAGAGAACUUUAGUUGAGAAUAAACUAGUGUAAGUUUUGAUUUAACCUUAAAAUAAGGUUGGCACAAUAAUGCGAUUUUAGAUCAUUUAAACCACUUUUGAAAUCCGCCUUCAAACCUUAACUUUUUUAAGCGCCCCACCAGACCCCAUUACAAAAGUCGAAAGUUCUGACUUCUGUUCUUUGCCAUAUCUUUGUCAAGAAAUUUUCUAAUUAACUGGUACAUGAUGUUCAUAUACUGAUGCGAGAAAAAUUUUUAGAUAUGUUUCUGAAUUGAUUAGGUUUGAGAUUGACACUACUCAUCAGGUGAAAAUUCACAAGGACACCUUCAAAAAGGAAAAGAGAUCAUUAUAAAAAAAUAACAAAAAAGGGAAAAAGAAGAAGAAAGAAAAUAAAAGUCAAGAAAAAAAAAGAGAAGAGAGAAAGAAGAAGGAAAGAAAAUAAAAAGGUGGGGGUAAUCUUAGUGCAAACCCGAAAGGGCACUAAGAUAUGGUUUCCCAAGGAAAGCAAAGAAUGUAAUAACUGGCAAUUCAGUUCAUUUGGAUUCCUAUUCACAUUGAAAUUUUUCUGCCAGCAUUGAAUUCCCGACGGACGAUAUCUAAAAGGUCAAACAGGACAAUUUGUUUGAGGUCAAAGUAUUUUGGUUAUCAAAUAUAGAUUGUUGAGUUUAUGAUUCAUCACUCUAAGAUUAUUUUUCCUUCAAUACAAGUUGAUGGUUAUUUUUGGCAUUACAUUGACUUUUAUUAUUUUGUAUAAAAGAAAAUUUUUAGGUGUUGUAGGGUUUCAUUUGUCUCAUUGGAUUUUAUCAAAUAACAAUCUCCACGGUUUAUCGAAAGUGCAUAUGUAUAAAUUUUCAUAUUGAGUUAGCAUUGGAAGCUAAGACAGCCUGGAUAUGAUUUGCAGCACAAGGCUGGAUUUUGCAGCAUCGAGGACAAAACAUUAAAAUAUUCAUGUUUACACGUUUCUUAAAAGCUAGACAGGUCGAAUUGUGGUGACAUUAUUUGUUCUUUCUUUUGCAGGUCCUUACGUGUUUUAAAUAACAAAAUUUGGGCAAAUUUUUUAUAUAAUCGUGGAAUGUCGUUCAAGAAUUGAAUAUUUAUGGUUCAGACCGAGGAAGAGGUGUGAAUGAAAUUCUUAAGGAGGAACAAAAAUGCCAUAAUGCAAAGUGAAUGAUCGGUUGCACAACAAUUGGUUGAAACUGGGGCAAAUUUUUCAAAAAAAUUCUCCAAGUGAGUAUUCAAAAACUUUUUCAUGCACUAACGCUUCUUUCUUGGCAAUUUAAUUUCCUGUUGGUGAGUCUCAGCGUCUGCCACACACCCUUCUACCCUCUUUCUUAGCAAUUUAAUUUCCUGUUAGUGAGUCUCAACUUCCGCCGCGCACCCUUUUACCCUCUUCUUGGCAAUGUAAUUACCUAUUGGUGAGUCUCAGCGUCCACCGCGCACCUUUCUACCUUCUUCUUAGCAAUGUAAUUUCCUGUUGGUGAGUCUCAGCGUCCGCCACAUGCCCUUCUACCUCCCUUCUAUCCCAUUUCUUGGAGCGUAAUCGCGUCUCUCCGCACAUAUUUUUCUAAUUAUGUCAAUUUAAUUUGCUUGACCGUUUUGACUAAAAAUUGUGCUUUCUCAUGAUUAGAAGUUCUGAGAGUUCAGACUCCUUCGAUUCUGCAAAGAUCAUAAGUGGUCAAUGCACUUGUUUCAUUAUUGUUCACUGGUAUUUGAACUACAUUUGACCUGAUUCCCAUAACGGGAUACGUAGGUAACUUUACACGAGUUCGGUCGUGUCUCUUGUAAUAUUAUUGCAUUAUUCUCGCCCAAUAAUUUUAGCUAAGUGUUGGUUUGUUAUUUUAGCUUAGGUGCAGUUAGAAGAGACAAAUAAGUAUUUUGACGUCUACGUUUUUGUCUCUAAUUUCUUUGAAACUCAGACAAAGAGGGGCAAGUUGUAGAUACCAAAAUUUCAAUGCUAUUUAAUUUAAUUUAAUUUUAUUUUAUUUUCAUUAAUCAAAAAUUGCAAAGUGAUAGUUAGCUAUUUUUAUUGAAUUAGGGUUCAUUUUCUAUUAAAUAAUUUUCGAAAAAAGAAAAGUCUCACAAAAAUUUGUUUUUAAGUUUUUCAAAUUCAAUUUCUUCCAAAUAAAGUGGAAAUUUACAAAGCAAUUUCAAUUAGUAGUCUAACAUUUUAUUUACCCUAAAUUUAUUUUUAAAAAAAUAAAAAGAAAAACAAAAAUAGGUGGAAUGCAUGUAAUAUGGUUAGGUGGAGUGCAUGUAAAUGAUCCAUGUGAUUUUGACAUUUUGCACAUCACAACAUUCAAAGGAUAGGUGGCAAGACAGGUGGAAGAUGGAGAAAGAUCUGGAAACAAAAGGGAAAAAUCAGGAAAACAAGGCAAAAGGGAGCGAGCAAGAGAAAGCAAAGGGAAGAAAAAAGAAGGAGAAAGGAAAAAAAAGAAGAGGGUUUUCGCUGAGAAAGAAAGAAAAGGGAGAAAGAAAGAAAAACUGAGGAGGGAAACAAGGGAACCUAGGGAAAAUCUGGGAGAGAGGUUCAGGCCAAACAAGAGAGAAUAGGAAGAAAGGAAAAAAGAAGAAAAAGAGAAGAAGGAAGAGAAGGCUUCGAGCGAGGGGAGUUUUGGGAAGAAAGGGUGGAGGAGGGGAAUCUGCUGGAGCAAGAAAGGAAGAGAGAAACUGGGAGGAAAAGAAGAAAAAGGGUUUCGGGAAAAGAGAGGAAAAAGAGAAGAAAGGAAAUAAAAAGGAGAAAACCAGAAAAAGAGAGGAAAAAGGGAGGAAGUUUGGGGAGGAUUAGGGAGAAAAACAGAAAGGCAAACGAAAGGAAAAGAAAGACAAACAAAGAGAAAAGAGGGAAGAGAGAAUUUCUGCAAAUUUUUUUUCAGAAUCAGGUUGGAUUUUCAUCACCUUGAGAUGCAAUUUUCACAAUUGAAUCGAUCUCUUCUUGGAUGUUUUAAGCAAUCUAGGAUAUUGAUGAAGUGAGGGGAGCAAUUUUUAUUUAGACAUUGUGGAGAAAAAGCGUCAGGAAAGCCUCCAAAUUUGCCUUCCAAAGUCGUGGAUCGGUUUGACUGAUGCAUCUACAAAUCUGCAAAAAUUCUUCAAAAAGUGUCUCUGUUCGUUCCUUUGGCUCUCAUCACAUCUAGGAUUCAUCUUUAGGUAAAUCUUACGCGUUUUCCUCAUUCAUUCCAGUUCACAUGCAAAGAUUAAACUCAUCAAAAAGGAAUUUUUCUUUAGAUUAUUGCCUCGCAAGUCCAUAGUGUUGGUUGUAUGAUUUGGUUGGGUUUGAUGCAUCUUAUUUGACUAACAAAUAAUGAGGUUUAGAAGUUGAUGAGAAACUUAUCUAUCUUGAAUGUGUGUCCUUGUUGCUUUUGCACGUCUUGUGGCUCAUAAUCAAAGCUUUGUUUUGAGAAUUUUUGUUGGAAACUUAUGAAUAAAAAAGCCGUCAGCUUUCUUGCUUUCUUUCCUCCGUGAAACUGAAUGGAUGUGAUCCAUGGGUUGUGGGUUCUUUUCCUAGUAUCUUGUUUGUUUUUCAUGAUUUGGGUUUUAGGCUGUUUUCUUGAAGGGUUGGGUUUGAAGUUUUAGCCAAUGUUCAUCUCACUUUGCUGCAUUUUUAUGUCCAGUUACCUUGUUAGAUUUCUGGGGAUAGAUAAUUGUGUUUAGGUGAUGUUAAUAACGAUGGGGUAGAAGUUCUUGCAUUUGGUUUUAGUUGUCGAAUUAGUAGACGUUGCUUGAGUUAUUUCGCACAAACAUAUCUAGGCGAAUGAGGAAAGAUUGCUGAAGUCUCAAAGCAACGAAAGUUGCAGAAAGCUUCUUCGUAAGAUUGCAUGAAAAUUUCAGAAAAAUUGCAUUUUAGACCUUCAAGUCUUAAGUAAUGCUAUGGGCUAAGAAUAUGGAAAACUCAAUCAAUUUUACCCUUUUUGAAAUUCAAUCAAUCCUUUUAUAUUUUAACCAUGUUUUAGACCUAUUGCUGCUAUGGCCCAAGAAUAUGGAAAACUCAAUCAUUAAUUUGCAUUUUGUUUGAUAAAGUUGAAUCAACUACUUGGUUUGAAUUAACUAUUAAUUUGCAUUUUGUUUGAAUUAACUAUUUGUUUAGUUUAAAUGGCAUUUAAUUUGAAAAUUUUAGGAACCUUGAGUUGACUUCAAAUGAUUUGUUUUGUGUUUAUCAAAGAAAUUGGUACCUUGACCAUUUCCUUUGUUUUGAGGAUAAAAAAGAGAAUUUUCAUUUUAUUAGGUCACCAAUUCAAGGGAGGUACACUCUACUGCUUAUUUUUUAUUUUAAUUGAUCCUAUGAGAAUUUAUGUGUGUAAUUGCAUGUUUUUAUGUUUUUUAUUAUUUAUUUUGUUUUGUUUAUUUAUUCACUUUAUUUGUUUCUUUUAAUUUCAUAUAUUCAUUUUAAUUUAAUUUUUGAUUAUUUAAGAGUCAAUUAAAUGUUAAAUUGUAAUAGUUAGAUUAUUAUUUUAUUUUGUUUCGUUCUUUCCCUCUUAGAUUGUAGUUAGGGUCCCCAAAUGUAAUAGUUAGGCCUUUAUUUGCUCUUAUUUGCUUUGUAUGUGCUUGCAUGUUUACGUGUUUACUCACUUUCUUAGGGUUUUUGCAUCUAUAUAUCAUGCUCAUGUGCUAUGUGCUCUAUGUGAUCUAUGUGUUUACUUGCUUUUAUCAUAUUUUAUAUGAUUUAUUAAUUAUAAUAAAUGCAUGAUAUCACCACACUAGUCCAAUGCUAGUUGUGGGUCUUUAUUCCAAUUUCUCACUAGUCUACUGCUAGUUAGAGCUUAUAGACAUGUGUUAGUCUAACACUAGAUCCUUAGGAACCGUUCACGCAUUAGAUCAUGUUUGUGCGGUAAAAUCACUACAUUUCAUGCACAUUUUCUACUUUUAGGAUCCUUACCAUUUUGUAUGAUAUUUUCCUUAUAUAUAUCCUUUAUCCCUAUAUGUAAAAUAUGACAUUUAGACGUGCAUUUCAUUUAAGAAAAUUAGAACUAGGAUAUUUUUUUUUUGGCUAACUCCGUCCAUGAGGGGGGGAUGCCACCCCCGCUUUUAUUCAUAAAUCACAAAAUACAAUGUUUCUUGCAUUAAGGGGUUCGCACCCUCCUAACAGAAGGAGCUCUCAUGCUAUCUAGGCUAAUUCCUCCACGAGCCAGCCUCAGCCAUUCAUUCCAAUGCUCAUAGAGCUUAACAACAUGGUGGGGGUGUGCUACCUCAACAUUAGCCAGAAUAUCUGUCACAUUAUUUGCCUUUCUGAAACAAUGGACAAGUCUCGACGGAUCUCCUGCCAGCUUCCAUAUUUGCUGGACCUCCCAGCGGAUAUGCCAAUGACAGUGAAGCUGGAGUUGAAGAAUCCCCACCAAAACUAGAAAAUCCAGUUGAAUGCUAACAUUCAUGAACCCCUUUUGAGCAUAUAUCUGAAGCCCCGUUAGAAGUGCCAGCGUUUCUGCCUGGACGCUAGAUGUCACUCCAAAAAAAGCCGAGAACCCUACCAUGGGGUGUCCCGAUGGAUCCCGUAGCACUCCUCCGCCACCACAUGGCCCAGGAUUACCCUUGGAGCAGCCAUCCGUGUUCAGGGUAAGUGCUCCCAUUGCAGCUGGCUCCCAACAAACAAGUUUGAGCUCGAAACGCCGCUCCGACUGAGACGACCAAUCACACAACUGCAAGAAUGAUCGAGCCCCAACAUGUUGCUUGAACUGCCCUUCAAGAAGUAAUUUGGUCUCCAAAAAAAUAUCUUGGCAAAUAGAAGGAGGAUGCAGUUGAAUGCCCUCAAAAACUGCUCUAUUCCUAGCCUUCCAAAUGUGCCAACAAAGUAUGCUCGGGAGAGUAUGAUUGAUAAGUGGAUAUUUAACGUACAUUUUGUAUGAAUUUGGCAUUAAUUUUUGGUAUGAUCUGAGAAGAUUAAGCCAUAUUUGAACUCUUUUGGUGAUAAUUGCUUAAAUAUUGAUUAAGGUUUCAAAAAUUGAUAAAUGAGUGAAUUAAUGCAUUAAUUUUGUGAAAUUGUGAAGGUAAUUGAUGUAUGAAAUUCAUGCACAUCCAGAGGACAAAGUAUACAAGAAAUUGGGAGCAAAAAUGUAGAAAAAAAGGAAGAAGUGAAAAACUGGAAAAAUGUUCAACACGGAUCCGAUCUCGGAUCCGUGUGAAUAAGAGGGAUCCGACCCCUCGUCUGUACUUCUGGCGGAGCGCAUCCGAGGUCAGGACGAUCCGACCUCGGAUCCAUUAUGAAAUCCCUCGGAUCCCUCGGAUCCGAGCUCGGAUCCAUUUUCACUCCUCGGAUCCGAGACUCGGAUCUGUCUCUCUCCUCAGCAAGUGUCACAGCUGUUUUUCUUUACCUUUUUCACAACUUUCCACCUAUUUUGAGGGCCAGAAAUCGGUGGCACAUUCUUCUGCAACAAAAGAGAAGACCAAAUGAGUAUGGACAAAAGGAAAUAUCAUAUCUUUGACUUCUUUUUACAAAAUCUGAGUGGAGGAAAUUAUGAAGUGAGAGGAAUGGAAUUUCUUCCACCUUUUAUGCAGAAACACAGAGGAGAAGCCUGGAAUACCAUACGUAGCUAGUUUUCUUUCUUGUAUCUAAUUUUCUCUCUAGAUAGGAGUUCUUGGAGAAGUACUUGGAGAGUUUCACUUAUAAUCAUAUUGUGCAAGAACAUAGCAGGAAUUGGAGAGUUUCACCUUCAAUUGGCUAAGCUUUCUUUUAUCUUUCUUAUACUUGUACUUUAUGAGGUUUUGCAUUAAUAAACUUGUGAGUUUGAUUGUUAAAUCAUUCAUGAGUAGCUAAACUCCUUCAUCUAGGGAGUAGAUGAAACUUAUGGCUAAAUAAUACUAAUUGAAUGUGAUCUACACUUGUUAUAUCUUGUAUUAAUUUGUCUACUUGUGUAGCUGUGAUUACUUGUUAUUGAUUGAUCACCAAUAGCAUGUUUAUAGUGUUAUUAUUCAAUGAGAAUUGGUAAUAACAAUUGAAACACAUGAGUAGAGCUUGAGUUGUAUGUUCAUGAAAAUAGAGAUACACUUAGGUGGAUUAGUGAGCAUUUCAUGAAAUAAAACGGAGUAGUAGUAGUAUUUCACCAUGAAAAUAGGGAAAUCUAUAUUGCUCUAGGCCAUUUCAUCAUGAAAAUGAGACUUGGUAAUCUUGGAAAUAAAUCUCUGGUUAAGCAAGAAUAAUAGCAAGAAGUAAAUCCAUUCAUUUGUGUAGUUUAUGCCAUAAGUGGAAUCUACAUCCCUAGAAUCUUCCUUAAGUGAAAUUUAUCUAUUCGCAUUCAGCAUUUGUUAAACUAGAUUUGUAUAUCAGAUUUGUAGAUUACAGCAUUAGAUUUUCUCUGCUCAAAUUAAUUGUAAGUCUAAAUAAUAGAGAGAACAAGGGCUUAGUAAUUGUUUAAAUUGCUCCUCGUGGGAUCGACCCGAUACACAUUUUGUACUACAAUUGCAACCUGUAUACUUGCAGUCCAACGGGUGUCAAAUCGGAAUUAAACUUGCAUUGAUACAAAAAUCCCGUCAAGUUUUUGGCGCCGUUGCCGGGGAGCGGCAAUAUUAGGGCCUAAUCAUCUCUAUUAAUUUAGAUAUUUUUUAGUGUUUUUUUUUAUUUGUUGAAUUAAAACUGAAAAAUUUCUCUUGUUUUUGUUUGUAGUGUAUGCACCGAUCAAAUCGAGAAGUUGCACAUUUCGAUCUUGAAAUUGAAAGAACAUUACACAGAAAAAGGAGGAGUACAUCACAUCAAGAGGAACAAGAGGUUUGGCAGCCAAUAGAAGAUAUUCUGAUAGAAUUACAAUUUGAAGAAGACAUGGCAGAAAAUGAAGCAAAUAGGCGAGUUCUACGAGAUUAUGCUCUACCGGGAACACAAGGAUCUCAAACGAGCAUAGCAAGGGCUACGGUAAAUGCUAACAAUUUUGAGAUUAAACCAUCACUUAUCCAAAUGGUUCAACAAUCUCAAUUUGGAGGUAAUGCAGUAGAAGAUCCUAAUACACACUUAGCUACAUUCUUGGAAAUUUGUGAUACAAUUAAAAUGAAUGGAGUUAGUGAUGAUGCUAUAAGGCUAAGAUUGUUCCCAUUUUCAUUGAGAGAUAAGGCCAAACUUUGGCUACACUCUCAUGCUCCUAAUACUUUCACCGGAUGGGAUGAUUUAUCAAGAGCAUUCUUAAAUAAGUAUUUUCCACCAGGUAAGACUGCUAAGCUAAGAAUAGAUAUCACUAGUUUUAGCCAAAUGGAAGGUGAAUCAUUAUAUGAGGCAUGGGAAAGGUUUAGAGAUUUGCUUCGGAAAUGUCCACAUCAUGGACUGCCGGAGUGGUUAAUCAUACAAACCUUUUAUAAUGGUUUAUCUUUCUCCACUAAAACUAUUAUUGAUGCAGCCGCAGGUGGAGCUUUAAUGGGUAAAUCACCCCAAGAAGCUCAGAAUUUGAUAGAAGAAAUGGCCGCAAAUAACUACCAAUGGGCCAAUGAAAGAGGUAAUACAAGACGUCACGCAGGUAUGAUAGAAAUGGACACUCUCAAUAUGCUGAGUGCUCAAAUGAAUAAUGUGAUGAAGUUGCUAAAUAAACAAGGUGGAGUUGGUCCAAGUUCAUCUAAUGCACAUGCAGCAUGUUGUUCUAUAUGUGGAGGUGAACAUGAUAUUAAUGAGUGUGUUGAUUCUGAGCAGGUACAAUUUGUCAAUAAUUACAACCGAAAUGCUCCAAAUAAUCCCUACUCGAAUACUUACAAUCCGGGGUGGAGAAAUCAUCCAAACUUUGGAUGGAAAGAUCAAGGCAAUCAACAAAGGCCAACCAAUCCGCCGGGAUUUCAACCAAGGCAACCACAGGCUGAAACUAAACCAAGUUGGGAGAUCGCGGUGGAAAAACUUGCUAAGGUGACUUCGGAUAGAUUCGAGCGAGUUGAGGGGCGGUUGGACCAAUUAGCUGGGAUGUACAGAAACUUGGAGGUUCAAAUUGGUCAAAUUGCCAAUGUGAUCAACAAUAGAAACCCUGGUGAAUUACCAAGUAAAACCGAAGUGAAUCCGAGAGAGCAUGUCAAUGCAAUCAUUCUUAGAAGCGGUAAAACGGUUGAGGGAUUCGAUUUUGAAAAUUCAGGUGGUGAAAAAGACAAGAAGCAAGCAAUUGAAGGGGAGCAAGAAAGUCAAAAUGAUCAUGUUAUCAUUGAUAUUGAUGCACUUCAUCCCAAAUUAAAUUCUAAUGUGAUACCUUUUCCUCACAGGUUGAAGAAAGAUGGACAGGAUCGGGAGUUUGAAAAGUUCUUCAAAAUGUUUAAACAAUUGCACAUUAACAUUCCUUUCAUUGAUGCUAUAACACAGAUUCCCUCUUAUGCACGUUUCUUGAAAGACAUCAUGUCAAAGAAGAGGAAAAUUGUAGAUAAUGAGAUGAUAGCAUUAACGGAAGAGUGUAGUGCAUUGAUUAAGAAUAAACUCCCUCCUAAAUUGAAAGAUCCGGGAAGUUUUUCUAUUCCUUGCACUAUUGGUCAAUUGCAUUUUUCUAAUGCUUUAUGUGAUUUAGGUGCAAGUGUGUCACUUAUGCCGUUAUCGGUUGCCCGGAGAUUGGGACUUCAAGAGCUAAAAGCUACCAAUAUUACAUUGCAAUUGGCGGAUCGGUCAAUCACACGUCCCAUGGGUAUUUUGGAAAAUGUGCUCAUAAAGGUAAGACAAUCUAUAAUACCUGUGGAUUUUGUUGUCUUAGAUAUUGAAGAAGAUGUGAGAAUGCCAAUUAUUCUAGGACGACCGUUUUAGCCACUGCACGAACUAUAAUUGAUGUAGAAAAUGGUAAGCUUAUAUUACGGGUUAAUGGUGAGGAAUUGGAAUUCAAUUUGGAUAAUAAAGAAGGGAAUAUAGAGCCUACUGCUCUUGUUUCUAAUAUGCCAUAUGAUGAAAAGGUUAACCAAGAAAGGACCGAAGAAGUUAAAUUUAUAAAUGUCCUUGGUACUAACUUUCAUGGUGUAGGAACAAAGGAGGAGAAGAUAAGGAUGGAAGUUGGCUUAAUAAAUUCGCCAUUCCAUGAAGAAAAUGGUGAAAAGUUGAGCCAAUUCAGAAAAGACAAGCAAAAUCCACUCCAAGGUGAAGUUGAGCCUCUCUAUGACAAGUCUAAUAUUUCUCCUUGGCAUUUGAGGAAAUUGGACUAUGAAGAUCAAUGCAUGGUUCACCACAUGGUGGAUUGGCUCGGGAGUUUCAACCCAUGGGGAGAAAAUCUCUCUCUAAUGCUCUAAAGUGAUUCAACUUUUUCAGUCGAGCCAACGACUAUAAACAAAAGCGCUAAUUGGGAGGCAACCCAAUAAUAAUUGUGUAUUUGUGUGUUUUUAUGUGUUUCUUACAUUUUGGUGGGAUUUAAUUAACUAAUUAGAUGUAUUUCACUUGUUUGUAGGAGAUACGGGAGUUUUAUCAUCCAUUUUGGAGGUGCACUUGAAGAACAUGUUGGCAGGGAGUUUUUCUUACCAGCUUGUGUUUUAAGUGCUUAAAAUUCCCAUGCAUAUACAUACAUUGUGCAUUUCAAGUAUAUUUAAGUGAGUUUUGGUGAUAUCAUGGUUAUAAAGGCUCAUGGACUCAUUUGAUAUACAUUUAAUGCCCAAAACUGCCAUUUUAGUGUAAAAAUGAUCAAAGAACCUCACCCCUCGAUUUUCAAUGUAGAUAUGUUUGUUGUGUUUUGAGAGGUUGGAUAUUAUGUUUAUGGUAUAUUACAUGUGCAUGGGACGUUGGAAUUGAGAAAAGGGAUGUCCAAUGUGUAAUUUGGAAUUGGCCGAAAAAGGGAGAAAAAGUUUAGAAAAAUUGCAGUUUCUGCAAUUAGUGCAGAGAAAUACAGAUCCGAGCUCGGAUCCUAAAAAGCCAGACAGAUCCGACCUCGGAUUUAUAGAUCCGAGCUCGGAUCGUUUCCAACCCAGAUAGAUCCGAGGGUUCGUCUGUGUUUCUGUUGAGACUGAUCCGAGCCCUGUCGGAUCCGAUGCCUUCCAGAACGGAUCCGACCUCGGAUCCUUUCGCGAUAAGAAUGGAAACGAGGCCUCGGUUCCUCAUUUUCCAGAUUUCUUUUUUCUCUCUAUCGGAAACCCUAUCCCCUUUCCUCCAAUCUUCCAUUUCAUCCAUAAAAUUCCCAAUUUUUCACAAUAAAAACCUUCCCUAACCUUUUGUGAGCAUUAACCCUCAACAAUUUGGAAUCGAAAACAUCAAAUUGAGGGGUUUUGAUCUUCAAGACGUGAAAUAGGGCCAAACUGAAAUCUUGCAAUUUGAGGACAAAUUUGGGCUUGUUUGUCUUCCAUUUUUGCAUCAUUAUCAUCCUCCAUCAUCACUCUACACAUUUGAGGUAACAAUUUGCAAUUUUCUUUGAGUUUACAUAAUCUCUAAUUUUGCAUUUUUCUAUUUCUUAGGUAUAUUGUGAUAAAUUUGUAUUUGUUAGAACUUCUUGAUACAAUUGUGCUACAUUGCACUUAAAUAAAUUGUUACAACUAGUUUUAUGUUUAUUUUUGAGAAAAAUUGUGGAUUUGGUGAUAAUUUUUGACAUUUCUUUCUCAAUUUUUGGGCUUGAGUAUUUUAUUGACUUAGAAUUGUGAAUUUUACUAUAUGAACUUAUUUCGAGAGGUAUAAGUCACUAACAUACCAAUUGAACAUGAUAUGCUCUCAUUAGAACAAUAGCCUAUGGGAUAAAAGAGUGUGUCCCUGAUCAAGUUGACCACAUUGAACCACUUUUACUUAAGAUAAUUAGCAUUUGUUUGGAUGAAUUGGAACUCAUAUGUAUGUACAUUGAGUGUUAUAAAUGGGAAUGGAGAUAUUCUCAAGUGUUUGUGUGUUUAUGGAUAUAAUUUUCAAUUAUUUGCACUUAAUAUGCAUGAAAUGGUUUCCUUAUUGGUAAUAUCCUCUUUACAUGUGGGAAUUGGAUUUGAGAAGUGUUAGGAAGUUUAUUUGUUUAAAUUUUGGUACAGUUUGGCAGGGAGUUUAGCCCUUUUUCAAGGGGAAACUCUGCCGAAAUUUUUUUAAAUUCCUAGUUAACAUGUAUGAGCAAGUUUCUAUCAUUUCUAAUACAUACUCAUCUUGUUUAUAGGUGUUAUGGCUCGUACAAGGAGGGAUCGUAUUCGUACUCCUACACCAUCGUCAAGUGAAGAACAUACACCUUCUGUGCAUGAGGAGUCGCCUGAGGAAGAAUCUCCUUCGCCUGAGUCACCACCUCGCUCUCGUCGAAAGACCGCAUCCACUAGCCGUGACGAGCCACUUCCUGACUAUGAUACCACUCGUUUCACCUCGCUCGAGAAUCAACAGUGGUACGAGGCUGGUUUGGACAAAGAGAUUAUCGUUGAAAAAUAUUUGGCACCGGAGGUGGAUGCACACUACCACAUCUCCACGGCAUUUAAACGACUCGGAUGGGAGACUAUACUAAAUUUGCCAAAACAUUACUAUCCCAAUCUGGUCCGGGAAUUCUACGCCAAUGUAGAAAAUAAACAAAGUCACAGUGGCAACCUCAUCGUCUCGUGGGUUCGAGGAAGAAGAGUGGCUCUCAAUCGCGAUACACUGAGACAAUUCGUCAAAUUCAAAGAUGAAGGCGAAGAUGUCAAAUUGACCAAGGAGUUCAAAGCUCGAGACCCUUGGGAAGUGGGAGAGGCCGUGGGACGACUAAAGGGUCAAUACCGUGAGCGAGGAAGUUCGAAAAAACUCACAGUAUAUGCUGACUCCUUCGAGCAUCGGUACCACCUGAUUUUCUACCUUUUUGCCUUCAAUGUGGUGCCGAAAAAGAGUGGCAAACGAGAGAUCCGAAAUAGCGAUCUCUAUUUUCUGGAUAAAAUGAUACAUGGAGUGGGUAGGCAGUUGACUGGUAUUCCUCUACCCAGCAUUAUCAUCAGCUAUAUGCGAACCACAGCUCGUAUGAGGGCCGGCGAGACUUGUUUUGGAUUUCCUCGGCUGCUAUCCCUCAUCUUUGAGAAGCUCAAGAUUCCCAUUGGAACCGAGAGAGCUGUGGUAACUAGGUCGGCCGAGGAGGUAAAUGAUUCGUUACUCAAAUCCUUGGAUAUUUCUACUGAUUUUGGAGCUACUUUGGUCCGGGACACAGGAGAAGCAUCGACUUCCACUCAGCCUCCGCCCCACACUGAACCACAAGCGGAAACUCAAGAGACGGAGGCACAGCAGCCUCUUCCUCCUCCGGUUCCACGACCACCUCCUCAACCACGCUCCAAGUGGCAAGAGCUUCUCAAUGCUAUUUGCUGUAUGGAGACCCGAGUCGUCGAGCGCAUUGACCAGACGGAACGGAUGAUGACUGAGCAACUCGACCGACAUGAUCGCCGCCUUCGUGCGAUCGAGGAUCAUUUCCAUAUCCGACGGUCCCCUACACCGACACCUCAUCAGGAGGAGGGCCAUAUUGGUACCUCACAGGGUCCUCAUGGAGCCGAGGAGGCAGUAGACCCUCGUUCCGAGCAGCCAUGACGCUACUUAGCGGAUUUGAUCUUUUAUGUCUUUAUUUAUUUUUCUUUUCUUUUGUUAAGACAACCUUGUAGAUUUUAUUUUUCUUUUAGUUGAAUCAUCUUGUGCUACUUAUGGUAUUUGGUACCUUUGUUGUCUCAUUUUGGACAGAAAAAGGAUGAUCGUGAUGAUUAAAGGCUUCAAAUUGCAUCACCACCUAUUUGAGGGAAGUUUCAGUUCUUUUACCUUCCUCUACAAUGAGGACAUUGUAGAUUUUAAGUGUGGGGGAGGGAUUACUUAUCUUAUGGGUGAUUGUGUGUUGAAAUGCAUGAUUUUAGUUGUUUAUGGCUUAAAAAUGUUGGAAUUAUACGUGGAGAUAGUCAUGAGGAUAAUUUUUGUGAAAAUUGAGGUUGUUGGCAGGGAGUUUCAUCCAUUUUUAUGGGGAAACUCUGUCAAAAUUUUUCUAAAAUAUUUUCCAGUAUUUCAUUGCAAUUCUUCCAUAAAAAUGGCCAAAAUGUUAAAAUUUUAAGUGUCUAAUUCUUCCAUUGGAUAAAAUGUUAUGUGUAUUUUGGAAAAGUUUAGUUCUUAUUUGGCCUGGAAUGAAUUAUUAUGCAAUUAGGAUAUUUACAUUUUAGAAAGUAUAUUUUGUUAAAUAAGAAAAAUUAUGCUUAGAAUUUUGCAAAAUUAAUGAGAUUUAUCAUUUUUACCUAAUUUUAUAAGUAAGUGAUUGAUAUAGUCAAAGACAAGGCCAAAUUCUUCCUUUAAUUAUAUUUAGAGGGAAAAAGAAAUUAUAUGUUAAAAAAAAAGAAUAAUAUUAUUAUUUUUCUACUCCAAUGAUUCACAUACUGAGUAACCGGGGGUUGGCAUUUACAAAUGUCGACAUUCGCGUAAAAAAGUAUUGGAAUUAAGAGUAUGCUUAGCAAUUUAAAUGAGUGAAAUGUUGAGUAACCGGGAAUUUUCACCUAAAAGUGUUGAUUUUCGCGUAAAAAGACAUUUUCAUUAUUUAAAUGAGAAGAAAUGUGAAUAAAUCCCUCUAAUUUGUUAAGUUUUGGGAUGAGGAAGGCCAUAAAUUUGACUAUGUGAUUUACUUAUUUGUGGAAUUAGGAUAGAAUGAGAGAAUUGAUUUGAAUUUAUCAAAAUAUAGGCAUAAUUAUUUUUAUUUAAUUGAAUAUUAUGGGUAUUUAGUGUAAUCUGAGAAAUGGCAUAAUAAUUGGUUUCUAGGUUUUUGAGGAAUUAAAUUUGACAAGAGUACGCAUAUUGUUUUCUCUAUCUCUAUUGAAUAUUUGAAGUAAGUUUUGUGUAAAUUUGCUUGAGGACAAGCAAUGAUUCAAGUGUGGGGGAAUUUGAUAAGUGAAUAUUUAACGUACAUUUUGUAUGAAUUUGGCAUUAAUUUUUGGUAUGAUCUGAGAAGAUUAAGCCAUAUUUGAACUCUUUUGGUGAUAAUUGAUUAAAUAUUGAUUAAGGUUUCAAAAAUUGAUAAAUGAAUGAAUUAAUGCGUUAAUUUUGUGAAAUUGUGAAGGUAAUUGAUGUAUGAAAUUCAUGCACAUCCAGAGGACAAAGUAUACAAGAAAUUGGGAGCAAAAAUGUAGAAAAAAAGGAAGAAGUGAAAAACUGGAAAAAUGUUCAACACGGAUCCGAGCUCGGAUCCGUGUGAAUAAGAGGGAUCCGACCCCUCGUCUGUACUUCUGGCGGAGCGCAUCCGAGGUCAGGACGAUCCGACCUCGGAUCCAUUAUGAAAUCCCUCGGAUCCAUUUUCACUCCUCGGAUCCGAGACUCGGAUCUGUCUCUCUCCUCAGCAAGUGCCACAGCUGUUUUUCUUUACCUUUUUCACAACUUUCCACCUAUUUUGAGGGCCAGAAAUCGGUGGCACAUGCUUCUGCAACAAAAGAGAAGACCAAAUGAGUAUGGACAAAAGGAAAUAUCAUAUCUUUGACUUCUUUUUACAAAAUCUGAGUGGAGGAAAUUAUGAAGUGAGAGGAAUGGAAUUUCUUCCACCUUUUAUGCAGAAACACAGAGGAGAAGCCUGGAAUACCAUACGUAGCUAGUUUUCUUUCUUGUAUCUAGUUUUCUCUCUAGAUAGGAGUUCUUGGAGAAGUACUUGGAGAGUUUCACUUAUAAUCAUAUUGUGCAAGAACAUAGCAGGAAUUGGAGAGUUUCACCUUCAAUUGGCUAAGCUUUCUUUUAUCUUUCUUAUACUUGUACUUUAUGAGGUUUUGCAUUAAUAAACUUGUGAGUUUGAUUGUUAAGUCAUUCAUGAGUAGCUAAACUCCUUCAUCUAGGGAGUAGAUGAAACUUAUGGCUAAAUAAUACUAAUUGAAUGUGAUCUACACUUGUUAUAUCUUGUAUUAACUUGUCUACUUAUGUAGCUGUGAUUACUUGUUAUUGAUUGAUCACCAAUAGCAUGUUUAUAGUGUUAUUAUUCAAUGAGAAUUGGUAAUAACAAUUGAAACACAUGAGUAGAGCUUGAAUUGUAUGUUCAUGAAAAUAGAGAUACACUUAGGUGGAUUAUUCAGCAUUUCAUGAAAUAAAACGGAGUAGUAGUAGUAUUUCACCAUGAAAAUAGGGAAAUCUAUAUUGCUCUAGGCCAUUUCAUCAUGAAAAUGAGACUUGGUAAUCUUGGAAAUAAAUCUCUGGUUAAGCAAGAAUAAUAGCAAGAAGUAAAUCCAUUCAUGUGUGUAGUUUAUGCCAUAAGUGGAAUCUACAUCCUUAGAAUCUUCCUUAAGUGAAAUUUCUCUAUUUGCAUUAAGCAUUUGUGAACUAGAUUUGUAUAUCAGAUUUGUAGAUUACAGCAUUAUACUUUCUAUGCUCAAAUUAUUUGUAAGUCUAAAUAAUAGAGAAAACAAGGGCUUAGUAAUUGUUUAAUUUGCUCCUCGUGGGAUCGACCCGAUACGCAUCUUGUACUACAAUUGCGACCUGUAUACUUGUAGUCCAACGGGUGUAAAAUCGGAAUUAAACUUGCAUUGAUACAAAAAUCCCGUCAAUGAUAAAGAGCCAGACGUGGCCACGCCAACCACCAAGAAGCCAGACGGCCCCGCACAGACGUGACUAUGCUAGAGAUGCCACACAACCUCUCAAAGAAUGCCCAUAUUGCUAUAGCAACCUCACCCGUGGCAAACACAUGCUCAAUGGCCUCAGCCGCCAGGGAAGGGCAACACACACAUUUUGACGGGACAUGAACCCCAAACGUGCAGAGCAUGUCAUCUAAGAGCAUCCGACCCAUUAACAGCCGAACCAUAAAAAAUGAUACCUUGACGGGGGUUAGACGCUGCCAAGCCCUAGAGAGCAUGAUUGAAGCAUUAUCGACAUGCUGUCCCUUCUGAUAGGUUGAAUCUAAUGAAAAUUUCCCAGACAUCUCCGGUAUCCAUACCACCUCAUCCGCAGAAUGUUCAGUCGGGACCGAUUUUCUCAACACAGAAGACAUCAUAUCCCGUGGUAGACACUGAGCUAGGAGCUGAGCAUCCCAGUGACCCUGAGCAAUAAAGUCUCGGAAGGAUAGAUGUGAGGCCACUGGAGUUUUGAGGAACAACGCUCAACUACCCAACCAAUUAUCAUACCAAAAAUGACAUGACCCGUCUUGUACUAACCACAACAUGGAUAGCUCAACCUGGCGGCCGACAUCCAGCAUCCAUCUCCAUGUCGCUGAGGCAAACACCUUACACUCUGCCUGGCAAGGAUAAAUGCCUCAACAAUACUUCGCCUGCAUGAAGGAAGCCCACAGGGACGUCCCAGUCCGGAACUGCCACCAAAGCUUGUAAGAGAAAGCCCUAUAUACAUCACUAAGCCAGCGAAACCCCACCCUCCCUCCUCAAGCGGGAGACAAAGCUUAGCCCAGCGAAUCCAAUGAUACCUUGAUCCUUCCUCCGAAGAUCCCCACAGAAAGUUGCACAAGCUCGCUCAAUAACCCGGAACACAGCCUUGGGAAUUACUGCCGCAGACAGCAAGUGAAUCGGAAUAGCGGAUAGAACAUGUUUUAUCAAAGUGAUCCUUCCCCCCGACGGUAAAAGCUUAGUUUUCUAGGACAGUAUUUUCCCAAGGAUCUUCAGACACACCUCCGCAAAGUAGGCCGUCUUACACCUGCCGACAUAUAGGGGAAAGCCUAAAUAGCGGGUAGGAAACGCCUAUCGCAAAAACCCUGUAAUAUGCUCGAUUGUCCUACCUCUUGCACUGGAUAGUGACGAGUGGACCAAAUAGCCACUCUUCUGAGCAUUGAGCAAUUGGCCUAAGGAACGUUGAUACAUAUCGAGCACCCGCAUAACCUGGCGCAAAGAUGCGUCAUCUGCAAAAGCCAAAUGGGUUACCGCAGGGCAAUCCUGGGGUACCUUAAACCCGUGGUAGGAUGGCCAGGUUACAAGAUCGUUCAGUCCCCGUGAUAGAACCUCCAUGGCUAGGAUGAACAAGGCAGGGGAGAGCGGGUCCCCUUGACGAAGACUCCUGCUCGACCUAAAAUAGCCGUAAGAUGCCCCAUUAAUCACAACCGAAAAUCAGACAUUAGACACCAACCGCCAGACCAUAUCAAUAAAGCGUUCUCCAAACCCAAACUUCCGCAAUACUCUAAUCAGAUAAAGCCAGGACAUCCGGUCAUAAGCCUUGGCCAUGUCAAGUUUGAGCACUACGUUCCCCCCUCUCGCUUUCUUUCCUAUGACUGCAACAAUUUCCUGAGCCAAUAAAUAGUUCUCCGUAAUAUUCCUGCCUCUAACAAACCCUGACUGCUGGGGAAAGACCAGCUUUGGCAACAAGACAGCCAGUCUAUCAGACAAAAUGCGCGACAAAAACUUUAUUUAUGAAAUUGCAGAGGCUUAUAGGCCGAAAGUUAGAGAAGUCUUGAGGGUUUGAGACCUUUGGGAUGAGGACAAUAGAAGUCGAAGUAAUGAAACGCGGAAGAUCAGCCCACAAAAGAAGCUUACCACAACAUUAUACACAUCUUGGGCGAUAACAUCCCAUACAAAGGUAAAGAACUUGCCCGUAACCCAUCCGGUCCCGCCACACUGUCCCCAUCCAUGGCAUGCACCACAUUUUUCUCUUCUUCCAUUGAAGGAAUGUCCUCUAGAGUCAGGUUCUCUUCCCUCGUGAGGACAUGAGAGAUGAGCAGAAGCAACUCAGUGCUAGGCACCACAGACUCAGAGUACAGUCUCGAGAAGAAACGAAUGGCCUCAGUGGCAAUUUCCCCAUCGCCCUCCACCCAAGUCCCCACUUGCGUUUUGAUCCGGUGGAUCGUAUUCUGGACUUUACGUUGCUUAACCACCGUAUGGAAGAACUUAGAAUUCUAGUCCCCACUUGAGAGCCACCUAACACGUGCCUUUUGGCUCCAAAAUUGCUCCUCGAUUGCCAAUGCAUUCCGAAACUCCGCCUUCGCCUCCUGUAGCAAAUGUGAGCGUCCUCCGAGUCCUCGCUUUCCGCCCCUGUCUCUACCAGAACCAUUUUCGCCUCUGCCACCUUGACAGCCUCAAAAACAUUUUCAAAGAAGCAUUUAUUCCAUUGUUGAAUGGCUCUCCUCACAGUCAAUAGCUUAGUACACUACACACGCCAGGGAGACCCAUCCGCUGGGAGAGCCCAAGCAUUGCGGAUCACCUCCAACAGGGAGGACAGUGAUAUCCAAACGUUGAGAAAAUGGAAUGGCCGCGGCUUAUCAUCCUAAUGGGUGGCAAACGUGAUCUUUAAAGGGGCGUGAUCGGAAGGGUGCCUAGUCAGAUGAACCAUUGAAAUAGAGGCGGACAGGUCCGUACAUUCGCCGUUAACAAGGAGCCGAUCCGACCGCUUCCACACCCGAGCUCAACCUCACCUAUUAUUACACCAAGUGAAACUGGGUCCAGAGAACCCGGCAUCAAAAACUUCAGCCUCCUCCAUAAAUGACAUGAACUCCAACCCCACCGCGGACACAAAGGAGCAGCCCCCUCGCUUCUCAGUCGGAGCCAAGAUCACGUUGAAAUCCCCCCUAUGCACCAGGGAUGCGACCGUGGCUUGUCAAGUAAGAGAUCCCUCCACAAGUCCUUGCGACACUUCACGGAACAUCUCGCAUGGGCCCAGGACAACAUUAAGGAGCCAGGCAAUAGUGGAUGAUGAGCAUCUAACGUGAUAUAUUGGUUAGAAGACCCAACCUGCGAGCAAACAAAUAGUGACUUAUAGAAUACCCAGAGAUCAGCCGAUGUAUUAACCAUGACAUAAUCAAACGAAAGCUGCAAUCGUGUAGACUCAAUCUUAGGUUCACAGAUGCAAAGAAAUUGAACAUCAUGCAUGCGAAUUAACCUGAUCAAUCUCCUAAGAUUGGGAGCUUUCGACACCCCCCGAAUAUUCCAAAAUAGAGCAUUAACCAUGGGAUGAGGCAUUGAAAGAAUUUUGAGACGAUGUUGAAGAACAAAGCUGCCUGUCUGAGGGAAACUUAGCACACAUACCUUUCACCUUCACCUGCGUAAAUCCCUGCUCCAACUCCGUGGCCUGAUCAAUGUUAAGCUCCAACAGUGAUAGGUCAAUCGCGGGCCCAUGCGACCUGCUCAAUCUUGGCGACAAAUUCCUUGUUGCCCACGGCAACUCCUUCUCAUGCGAAGCUGCUGGCGAACCAAGCUCAACCGAAACAAGCUCCUUGAACCCACCUUGCAUGCAUGUGUCCGCCCUUCCAGCAGCCUCUUCCUCGGUCACCCUUCCCUCAACCGCACUAAGCUCCUUGAACCCACAUUGCAUGUCUACGUCUUCCCCUCCAGCAGCCAUUUCCUCGGUCACUACCAUCUCCAACCCAGCUCCUCCCUCAGCCGCUUCUUAGGCCACCAUCCCAUUGGCCGUGGCUGCACACUCUACUUCCCCUCCCGUAACCAUCAUGCAUGCGGGUUCUUUUGCCUUGGACGCUACCCCCUCCAACCCAGCCCUCUCCUCUGCCACCCCUGCGUCCCCUAUCAAACUAGGCGCACACAUCCCCUCCCCACCAACAACCAAACCUACCACGUCGCUGCCCACUGCCUCCUUCGCUACACCCACACCCAGCCCCUCUGUUCCCUUGUUAUUCACCGCCACCCCUUCCUCCGCAGGUAGAAUAGUGCCUUCACAGUUAGCCAUACCAUCAGGACUCCGCACAGCCUGCACCCUAAUCCCUUUGCCACUCUCCUUGUUAGCAGGAAAGCGACCAGGCCGUAGCGGGCUUUGUUGCACUCAGCGGUCGAAUGGCCAAGCCGCCAGCAUGAAGAGCAGUAAGAGGGCAGAUGCUCCACCACAAUCUCUUGCUAGAAACCUCCUCUCCCUCGACAGCCAUCCACACUCGAGAGCAGGUUGGUUUCAACAGAUCAACUUCAACACAGGCUCUGGCAACGCCGGGCCUUGUACCAGAUGCAGUUGCCGAGUCCAAGAACAACGGUGUACCCACAAGAGACAGAAUAGAGAAUAGCGAAUGUUUAUCAAAAAAAUGAAUUGGGAGUGCCGGCAAUGCAACCUCGGUACAAGCGAGGAUUCCCUAUGGACAUGGAAUUCCCUAGUCCAAUGAAACACCCUCAUAGGGUACUUCCCUAUGUUCCACAGCCCUCUCGUCCAGAUACGAUUGAAGUCCGUCUCUGCCGAACAUCUCAGCAGCACAUGUCUAUAAUCCAGCAAGCCGAUUGAGAUGUCGUCCUUCAGAUUGAGCAUCGUAAAAAAUUUUCGCACUACCUCCAGUGAUGGCCGGCCAUGGGAGUAUUUGCCCACUAGAGACCAAUGAAAAGAAGUAGCCAGCUUGUUGGCCUCCUCCUUGGAGAAGACUAUUGCUGCCUCCUUUGUACAAAGUGGCUAGUCGCAGAUGGACAGGAGAAGGAGCCGGUUCCGAGAAGAGUUGUGAAGAAGAUUUCUUGGCCGUUGGAGAGGCCAUCUGACCCUCCACGGUCUGCCUGAGGGCGGCCAUGGGCUGCCGCCAACCCUAGCAACGUUCCGACUUUCUUGGAGCAAAGGGUUUCGGAGGUUGUUUUCUAUAUGUUGGCUUUUUAAAUUAUUCAUUCAACUAGAUUAGAUCAUUUGCUUGAUUAGAUAGGAAAUACCCCUCGAAUAUGGGAUAUGGACAAGUAUGGCUUUCUAACCUUAGGACGCUCGUAUUCCCUCUAUAAAAGAGAAAAUCUAAUUACGAAUCUUAGCCUCCAUACUCGUUAUGUUGCAUCCUUCUCUUUUAGGUCACGUAUAUUUGUAUAUUACAAUUUUUUUCUAUUUUUUCAAGUUUCAUUGUUGCAUAUUGUGACCUCUUCAAAGAAUCCUAUAUGGGCAUCACAAUUAAUGCGAUUUGCACCAACUAAAAUUCGAAGAGAUAUAUUGACCCUUCUAAUAGCCAUUAGGUCUAGGUUUGCAUUCAUAUAAUAACAUCCAAAUAUGAUAAGUUUUUAGGUUAAAUUAAGAAAAUUUUUGACUAAAUCACGCAACUAGUCUUGAUUAGGUUGAAAGGGUGUUUUGGAUUUUAUCUUUGCCUUCCCUUUCUUCAACCUUUGACUCCCGAACUUUUCUCUCUGAUUUUCAAAGUCUUGGAAUCGUUUUAAAAAGGGGAUUUUCUCUACUUUUAUUUAAAAUUUAUUUUAGGUGACUUGAUACAUGUUAACUCAAUACCAAGUGUUAACUCCUAUUAUUAAUUAAAAACUCUUUUUAAACUAUUAUUUUGGGCCAAAAUCGUCGCACUUUAAGCCCCAUUUUUAGACCAUUUUUCUUUAUUUAUUAUCUAUAAAUCAAAAACUCAUUUUUACUCAAAAUUAAUCAAAAAUUUAUUUUUAUAAACCCGUAAUUUUAUUUUUUCAAAAAUGGGGACGACAUGCAACUAAUUUUGCAUGCCUUUUGUUAUUGCAUUUUCAAAUAAAGGAUGGAAUAAAAUACAAUUGACACUUCACCAAAUCCAUGAUCCAUGAUAUACCCUUGCGAGAGCUGGUUGUCAAACAAGAAUUUCAGUAUUUUUACUCGUCCUUCACUCAAUUUUCUCCGAUAGAUGCCAGCCUAGUCUCCUGCUACCAUGAAAAUAUGUCAGCUUUCCUAGUCUAGAGUUCUUUUCUUUUGUAAUUAUGGAAUGCUGGAAUACUCACCCUUGCAAAUAAAAAUCCUUUGACACUCAUUUAUCCCACUACUACCCAUCUGUAUACAAAAGUUAUAUUUACACUUUAUUUUUGUAAUACUACUAAAUACUUUUGCAAUUAUUUCUCAUAUAUAUUUAUUCUUUUAUCUUGCCUUCUAUUUUGUUUGCCUUCCUAGGGAGGCUUCUCCGUAUUGUCCAUCUUUAGUCUCUUUCUGCAUCUCCAAUUCGUAAUUUUGGAUGCAGUCUUUUCACCGAUUAUUGCAGUAUUCGUAGUUACUCUGGCAUUUUCAAUCCUAUUUCUAGACCUAAUAUCUAGCUUUUUAGGACUAAAUUUAUUUACUUCAUAGCCUCUUCUAACACUGCCAGACCAAUCAUCCUUCUGCCCGCCUUCCAUACCAGAUGGCCAGUGUUUUUGCAUGGGCUCCUGCUUUCAUACAUCUCCUCAGUGUUUCAAACUGAGAUUCAAUCAUUGCUUCUAUUCUACCAAUAUUGUCCUUCACAUCGUUAUUACCACACUCAAUUUCAACUAGCCUUUUUAUCAAUGUCUUCGCUACAGCCUACGCUAUUGUAAAACUGCACAUUGCCCUGUCAAUACAACCCUUCAGUUUUCUAACACUAGUAACAUUACAAAAUGCAAUUGCAAAUUCAACAACAGUUCACACAAGUGCAUUUUACAUUACUUGUUCCUCCUCAAAUAUGCGAUUCCUCCUCAUUAUUCUCACACUUUCAUUAGUCUCAUACCUUCUCCAAAAUCUUAUCCUUGGCCCUCUUGGAAGGAACUUGUGAAACUCAUCCUCACCUUCGAUAUAGAAUCGUUCCAGAUAAUAAAUCUACAUGGAUAAAAUAUCCAUUAAUCAUUUAUAGUUCCUUUAUAUCAAAGGUAAUUGUUAUAGCAAUUUUUAGCGCUAUUUUAAAAGGUGUGUCUUCAUAUACCAUCAAGAAAAGUGCACAUCCCGCUAUUCUGUUGCCAUCUUCUUCACAGAUGCUCUUCACCAAGUUGUCUAGUAUGAAUUUUGACUAGUUCAGAUUUUCCAUAUUCUUUUCUUUGCCGACUACAGCCAUAGGCUCCCUGCUCACUGUGUCAUCCAAAGUUGGCGCUAACGCCCUACCAACAACAAACAGUACGAACUUCACUUUGAAUUCUAAGCCUUCAUUAUGCAAACUAUAUAGGUUGUCCCUCAAUUCCUCCGCUAUAAUUUUUCCUUAGCCGUGACGUGUAAACAUUAGCCAUGAACAUUCAAUGUCCUCCCAUCUAUAUCAAAGUUAUCCACUAGCCAGUUGAACAUCUCUUCAUCAACCUCAACUUCCUUCACAUUCAAAAUUGACCCAAACCCAAACUCUCCAAUAACCUGCCACUGCUCAUCCAAAACGUAGUCCAUCAUAUUCUUCAUUGGAUGAGUCGAGUUCUUUAAUAUUCUUUCCGUCGUUAGCCAGAACUGCUUCCUUUCACUACUACAACUAAAGUAAUUCAUUGCUAUUGCACUUUUAUGCAUUAGUGAGGGCCGAAUUUCGCUUUCUCCUUCACUAUCCCACUGCAUAUCUGAAACAUCUAUUUCGGCCACCAACUCCAUUAGGGAUACCAUUUUGCAUUCUUUGUGGGAAUUCCUAUUUGGUUUCGCGAACCUUCAUUUUAUAUGCGUAUAGUGUUCAUGUGACAACCCACCACCCCUAGGGCGUACCCAAAGGUUUGGCGGACCGUCUGCCUAACUCUUGCCAGGACUUACUUACUCACUCAAUCAACUCUCAAGAUUAAUCAUUCAAGCCUCCAAAAUAACAUUUAAGUUCUACAAUUCAACCAAAAUAAAACUUAUUUAUAAGCUAAAAGUCAAAUAUAUGAUACAACAUCAAAUGUCAAAAUACAUCCUAUCAACCGAGAGUACAAGUACAAGAGGGUUAUACACUCUAGGUCACACUUAAUUGCUCCAGACUUCUAUUCUUGUAAGGAAAAAAAAAACUAAAGGAAUGAGUUAAAAAUCUAGUGAGGUUCCUAAACAAGCAAUCAGGUAGGGAAACCAAGGAAACAUUAUAUUUAACAAUUUGCAUACUUUGCACAGUAAUAUCCAAACAUUCAAGAAAUAAACACUCAAUCAUUAGAAGGAUACGUACUCACUUGGAGUCAUUCAUUCAAGUCAUUCAUUCAUUCAUUCGCCAACCAUUUUCCUUAUCCCUCCGACAUUAGAAAACAUUUGCAAGUGAAAACUUCUUCAGUGAAUUUGUCAUUCAUUCAUUGAUAUCAUUGCAUUGAAUUCAUUGGCCAGUUCUCCACCAGAUUUCAUGGUAAUAUUCGAGUAUACCAAACAUUGUCCUAGAGUCACCAGUCACCCGACCGAGUCCGCUUCUGGCUCGAGUCGACUGGCAAUGAAGGGCAAGAGCCCAGUUCAGCCAAAAGGCUUACAUUCAUACACAAAUAAUAUUCAAUCAUUUAAUCAUUGAAAAUUUCACGUUCACUUAGAUCAAGUGCGAUAAAGUAUAUACUCGCCUGUCGAAAAUCUAUUUAACAAUCAUUUAAAAGCAUUUAACAUUCAAACAAUAACUCAUAGAUUUUCACAUAGUCAUUUAUUGCACAAACAUCAAAAGUACACACUCACCAGUUUAAGCAAAGUAACAUCAAAAGUUUCCUUCCAAAUUAUGCCCUUGAUCACCGACAAACCCUAAGAAUAACCAAGAGAAAAUAUUAUGGUUCAAUCAUCCAAAGUUUAGGUGAACUAAAGAAAAUCAGAGUAACUACUAGUACAAAGGUGCAAAUAUGAUUUUGGAGUGAAAAGAGAACAUUUAGACCCAAGGGACAUGAGUAACCAAGAAUUUCCUCAUUCCAAUUAUAAACUGAACUCAAAAUGGUUUAACAACUCCAACUUAAAGUUGGAAAUGAAAGUAAGGACAGUUUUAGAAAAAUAGAAUUUUUCCAGUUUUGUGCUAUUCUAUUUGAAAAAUCAUAUCUCAAGCUUCUUAAAUCCAAAAUUUAUAAACUUUAUACUAUUGAAAAAUAGAUUCAAAGGAUAAUUUCUCAGAAGACACCUUUGCAAGAUUCUAUCCACAAGUCAGUCAAAAUCCAAUCUCAAGUGGCUACUUUAUCUAGUAGAAAGACAGAACAGGAAUGAAAAUUCAGUAAAAUUUGAAAAAUCACAGAUAUUCAUAGGAAUUGAGAAAAAUUCUGAAAUUUUCAUGGUCAAAAGUACUCUGAAUCUAGUUUCAAAUGCCAUAAGCAGAACUUAAGUUAGAUUUUUCUACACCAAGAUAUGACAGAUUUCCCAAGACUGCUCAGAGUCUCCUGCGGGAAAAAUUUCAGCAGCACUUCCUUUGUAUUUACCAAUUUUUCCAGCCAUUUCAAGGCUACAUUUUCACCAGGAGACAGCUCCAAUCAAGUCCACAAGAUAUAGGAUACAUAGAAUACUUAUUUUAACCACAAAUAUAGCUAUAACCAACAUAUACCUAAGCUGGAAAUUAACCAAACCCUAGCAACAACUUCACCAAACCCUAGCAAAACCAUGAAAUUACCAUAAACGUACUUCCUCCAACUUCAAUCAUAACAUAUCUUGCAUAAAUCUCAACAAACAGGUAAAAAGAGAUGUUUUCUAGAAAUUUUACCUCAAAACCCCAAGAUAAUAAGCAACUCAAGAGCUUUCUUCUCCAAGUAACUCUACCAAAAGCUUCCCUCCAAGCUUAACUCAAGACUAAUCGAUAUGGAUUAGGGUUAGUGUUUGGAUUUUUCACAAAUCAAGCAAGGAAAUCAAGAUGGAAUUUGGAAGUUUUUUCUCUCUUCUUUCCUCUCUCAAUUUCGUCCAUGAGGAAGGAGAAAUGAAGGAAAAUUGUGGCUAGAGGAAAGAUAAGAAGAAAGAAAAUGUCUUGGUCAACAUUUGGUUUAAUGGUUGACAAGUGUCACCCAACUAUUUUGUCUUUCUUUUCCUUUUCCUUAGUCAAUAAUGGUGGCUGAUUUAAGGGUUAAUUUAGGAAAAAUUAAAUGAAAUAAAAACAAGGAUGUUAGGGUAAGAAAGUAUUGGUCAAGCAGUGUACUCAACCGGUAACAAAUGGCACACAUUGGUUCAAGCCUAUUUCCCUUAACUCUCUUGUACUAUUGUUUUAACUUAUGAUUACUAACUUAUUAUUAUCAUUUCUAGUCACACACUUCCUUUUACCUAAGACUCACUCUUAUUCACCAAAUUUAGUGUACACAUGUCACCAAUCGAUCACACUACCAAAAUGUACCAAAACCCUAACUUACUCUAACUUUAAAAGUAAAAGUAAAACGCUUUACUUAACUAAUGAAAUCACCAUGAAAUUUAGGGCUAGUAAAUAAUUAAAUAGUCAAAGUAAAGAAAUAUAGAGGGAAAUAUAAAUUAAUUUUUCAAAAAUGGGAGGAAAUUCUGAAGGAAUUUUUGGGUCCUCACAGAUCAACUUCUCUGGCAAGCUUCGUGCCUUUUCAAUGACCUUAAUUUCACUCAUGGCCCUCUGACUUUGGCAAUUGAUUAUUUUAGGCACUCCACCUUUUCCAUUUACACUUUUGAAUCCCUCAAGUUUUCCCGUGGCCCAUACAGUCAACUUCAACACCAACGGCUCUUCAAGUUGCGAGUCACAAAACACUUUUACACAUGGCCGUCCAAAACAUAUUCCCUAUGAUGUGUGGCUUCAAUCACUCAAUCCUUUUCCCCCACCUUUCGCUACCUCUUCUUUGACCAAUAAACAUACCUCAGCAACUUCCUUAGAUUUACUUGUUAGAAAGAGAUGAUACAAAGUGCUAACUCUAUAAAAGAUGAUUAUUUCAUCGUGAAAUAAAUAUUUGCAUUCAAAUAAAUGAGAAUUUUUAUUUUAAUCGAUUCAGUAUUUUCACAAAAUCACUGACUUGAGGGAGAAAAUAAGCUAAAUCAAAGACUUCGAGGAGAAUAAUAGCUUUGAAGAAGUAGUGUUAAAAUGACAAAAGCACAAAUCCACUUAAACGUGACAAGAAUUUUUUCUAAUAGUUGUUAUUUUAUGUUGCUCAACUUAUAAAUCUUUCAGUAUACAAGUAAAUUAGGUUUGGCCAUAAAAAGCCACACAUGACAAACUCAAAAUCUGCUAAAGGCGACAAAGAACUUUUCUCAACUUUAUUUCACACUAGGAAUGUAUGUAGAAAGGAUUCAUAUGUUACAAUUAAGAUGUAGGCAUAAAAAGUCAUCGCAGACUUAGAUUGAAAUUAAAUUUUAUGAACUUUUUUCUAAGAGAAGUAAAGUUAUUAUUUUAAGUGAAGGACAAAAAAAUUUAAAAUGUUGUGAGUGGAUUUAAAAUUAAUGUUAAUACUUUAUACAAGAUGGACUUUUUCUGUAGGUGUUCCUUAAUUUAUAUAUCCAGUAUAUUUAUAUAGUGUUCUUAGUUCAAAUGAAAUCAUAAUAUCUCAAGUGUUUAAGCUAUAAAGUAUAAACGUAAGGCACAGACGAAACAUUUAUUUCUUUGACUGUGUUUGAGCUCUAGACUGAUUUAUCUUAAUUAAAAUUGGCAGUUUCAUUAAUCAAAUUUAUGUCUUUCAGAAAAUAGUAUCUCAAGGAUUUGACACUUUAUAUAUUAUUGUUUAAAUAAAUAUAUACACUGAUAAUUCAUACACUAUCAUCAUUAGCUUCAUAAUACAUAAGCAAAAUUUGAACUUUAAAUUUAAAUUCAAAUUAGUUAUCAUGCAUUCAGUGGUGUGAUGAUGUUGUAUACACUAGUAGAGUAUAAAAGAUUAAUUAUUUUUUCCCCAAAAUAUUGACUUAUAGCGUGCAAAUGUUGAGCAUAAAUACACAGCUGCGCAUGGUUAUACAAUAUUCUAGGCCUAAAAGUACGCAAUUGCAAAGAAUUUCUUAGUCAAAUUAAACUCACUACUACUUACGUUCCAAUCAAAAUGUCAAUACUUUUUAUUUUGAAAAGUCGUAAAUUUUUUAUCCUCUCCUUUCACUAUAAUCCCCUUUAAUCAUAUAUAUGUUAUCAUUUAAUUUUAAACUUACUGGAGCAAGAUAAAAAAAAUACAAAUAUUACAAUCAAACUGCUUCUUAAAAAAUUAGACUUCCUUUGAUCGUAUGAGACGGAUGAAGUAUUAUAUUCCAAUUCCCGAGGCCUUUAUCCUCUCUUCCUCCUGGAUUUGUACAACCAAGGAGCUGAUAGACUAAUUUAGCUUUUUUUUUUUUUUUGGGAUAAGAAUAGACUAAUUUAACUAAAUCCAAACAAUAAAGCACCAUUUGUACAUAUUUUAUUCACUAAUGGCACAACUUUACAUAAUAAUCACGGAUUCCCAUCAAUUUUAAACAAAACCCUGUUGCAUUCACUAUACCUUAUACACUUUCACCGGUGGGAUUCCAUACACUGAAGACCCAAAGCACACUGGUUAUUGAACAACCCCACAAACCACCAAGAAAUGGCCGCCCAAACUCACCUGUUUCAUCCACUCCACUCGUUAUCUCUGCCACUGAAAACCCCAUCUAAAUCUCCUGAAUUUAAACCCAAGCUGAAACCCUCCACAUUCAUCAUCUCCAGCAAGCUCCGGGCAGCGGUGGUAGGAGGAGGUCCAGCUGGAUCCUCUGCAGCUGAAGCACUUGCUGCUGGUGGCAUAGAGACCUUCCUCUUCGAACGCAGCCCCUCUACUGCCAAACCCUGUGGUGGAGCAAUCCCACUUUGUAUGUUAGAUGAGUUCCCCAUCCCUCCUCACCUCAUUGACCGCAAAGUCACCCGCAUGAAGAUAAUAUCUCCGUCGAAUCUGGCUGUUGAUUUUGGUAAAACUCUGAAGCCCCAUGAGUUCAUCUCCAUGCUCCGCCGAGAAGUGCUUGAUGACUUUCUACGCCGCUGUGCUGAGUCUUGUGGCGCCACACUUAUCCAAGGACUUGUCACAAAUGUGGUGGUUCCCCUAACAAACAGCUCUUCAUAUGUUAUUCAAUAUAAUAAGAAUAAUUCACAGAAAUCUCUUGCUGUUGAUGUUGUUAUUGGCGCUGAAGGAGCCAGCAGUAAGGUGGCUAAGGCCAUAAAAGCAGGAGAUUACACUUGUGCUAUUGUUUUUCAAGAAAGGAUUAAGUUGCCUGAGGAGAAAAUGGAAUAUUAUGAAAAUUUGGCUGAAAUGUAUGUUGGAAAUGAUGUCUCACCUGAUUUUUAUGCGUGGGUUUUCCCCAAGUGCGAUCAUGUGGCAGUGGGAACGGGGCCACUAUGCUCAAAAAAGGAUAUCAAGAUGCUUCAGCAUGGCAUAAGAGCAAAAGUUACGCCAAAAACUCAUGGCGGUCAAGUAACUAAAGUUGAGGCUCAUCCAAUCCCUAGGCAUCCACGUCCAGUUAGAGUCAGGGGAAGAGUGACUCUGGUGGGGGAUGCAGCAGGAUAUGUGACGAAAUGUUCUGGUGAGGGAAUUUACUUUGCUGCCAAGAGUGGAAGGAUGUGCGGGGAAGCAAUUGUUACAGCAUCAGAGGGAGGUGAAAGAAUGGUUAGUGAAGAUGAUUUAAAGAGGGAGUAUUUGAAGAAGUGGGAUGAGAAGUAUUUAACUACAUUCAGGUUUUUGGAUUUGUUGUAAGGGGUGUUUUAUGGUACCAAUGCUGCUAGGGAGGCAUUAGUGGAGUUGAGUGGGGAUGAAUACGUACAGAGGAUGACAUUUGAGAGCUAUCUGUAUAAGAAGUUGGCCCAGGGAAAUAGAUGGGAUGACAUUAAGAUGGUCAUGAAUACAAUUGGGAGUCUAAUUAGGUGUGAUAUUGUAGGCAGAGGGAUUGAAAUGUUUGACAAACGAGUUCUUGCACGGUUGUAGUGUAUCAGGGAACUAGUUAAAAUGAAAGGGAAUGAAAUGAAACUUCAUCAGUACUUCCCAGAGAAGUACAGAUCCAGGAAGUUUUAGCUUUAAAUCACCUAAAAACCUUUUGGUAUGAACAAAUGGUUGUGCUAUUACUCUAUUUCAGUUCUUCGUUAAGCAGCUUCAAAUUGUUGUUUCCAAGAAAAUCUUAGCUGCUGUGGUAAAUUUAGCCUUUCAUCAUUGCCUUAAGUAUCAUCCUGUGAAGUAAUGAAUAAUUAAGAACUUGAUUGUAUUAUUAUAACUUCUGGGUGAAUAAAUACAGCUUUACAGAGGUGAAACCUUUAAGCAAGCUAUACCUUUUCAGCAAAGCUUCAAAUUUGAAUUAACAGUUUCCUACCAUACACACUAUUUACCUUGUUUCUAACAUUAUAGCCCAGUCGAGCUAAGAGUUUCUUACCCACUUUGUACCUCGAUUCUAACAUUAGCCAGCUCCUGUUUAUGCCUCUAUUGAUACCACAAUUUAUUUGUACAACUCAUUUGCUAUAUGCAUAGAGUUCAAGUGUAUCAAGAGAAAAUCAGAUCCCAUUUUCACACCAUUCUGUACCCAUCCUUUCUUGGCCCCUUGGCCACAACCAAUUUCUUUCUUCAUGUAGUGCACGUUGUGUUUGAAUCAUUUGCGACAAAGGUUUUGAAAAUAAAGAAAAUCCAAGUGCCUAGUGAUGAAUAGUAAUUAGAGCAGUACAAGGGUUAAAGCUUGAUAUAUUUCCACAUAUAAUAGGACCCAAAUAACAACCUAAUAGUUGAAUAGGUGGCCAAUCAUCCCUCUUGGUUAUAAGCAUAGAGGAUAUUGGCUCUGAUUUAACAGAUGUGGUUUGCAGAACUUGGAGGAAUAUGUGCUUUGCUGCUUGUGUUAUGCAGCAUUUCUGGGACAUCAUUUAGUCAAGGGAGAAGAUUUUGAAAGCAAUGCAAAGCAGAGAUAGAGUUGAGGAUUGAAAAGAAUGAACAGGAGAAGAACGUGCAUGAAAAACAUAGGCAGGGGGGAGGGGGACAAGCCAUGGUAAGCCCCUUAAUUAUGACGGAGAAAAGACAAAUAUGCAGAGAGGAAAUUACAGAAUAUUAAGGAAAAGAAUUCACCUUAUACUUGGAAUCUCUCCUGAUGAAGUGCAUAAGAUACUAUAUUAUAGGCCAAAGAAGUUAAUUCUUAAAAAUGCAGACAACCAAAGCUCCAAAAUAGAAUGAAAAAGUCAGGUUAUGAUGCUAAGUGCUAACUAGCCUCUUUGAUAGUAAUAACUAUUAAUAUAUUAGGAAUAGAACUAUGUAUGUUUACACAUACACAUACAAUACGGCCUUCAUCCCACACUUGUCUCUGAGACUCAUACCUGACUCCACCCAAAGUGCCCUUAGCUAAAGGUUUUCUCAAAAGAUUAAUGUUUCUUCUAAAUGUGUUUCAAUCUAAUAACUAACAUGGUCCUAAUUGAUUGGGCAGAAAACAAUCACAAGCAUAAAAUGUAAUUAUCCUACUCAUGUGAGGGUUAGCAUUUUUUUCUUUUCAGAGACCUUAUCCAACAUUACUCCCCCAAUUCAAAGAGUUUCAGACUCUCUUGCAAGUAUUCAUGCACUAUUAAGCUGCAUCUGUAUAUUAGCAUAACACCAGAGAAGCCUAAGCAGUAUGUCUCUCAUAAUCAUGGUUCGCCAACUCGGCCGAGUCCGAGACGACUCGGCCGAGUCAUAACCGGAACAGUCCCUACUGUUCCGAUACCGAUACCCGAAACGUCGAUUAUAUCAUAUCCGAUGUGAAUCGCUCCGAAUCAGUCGAUAUUGUCCGAGUUAGAACCGUGUAGAAAGAUAUCGGUCAAAUUCUCGGAUUCGACUCGGAUAUUGUCCAAUUUCUCACGCUUUCUUGUUUUCUUUUUCAGCCACAAAGACAAGAUUUAGGAGAAAGGGAAGAUAAGGGGAGAAACAUACCGUCAAUUUCUGGGUGCCUUUUGCAGAGAGGGAAUAUCUUCAGAUUAGCAGAGAGGGAAGGAAGGAGACAACAGAGGGUGACCAUGGUUAUUUGGAGAAGCGAGUUCUUUCUUCAUCGUCCUUCCAGUGAAGGAAGGAGAGGAGAAAAACAGAGGGUGAAGGCAGAGGGAAGGAGACAACAGAGGGAAAGGGAAAGCGAAAGAAAGAAUGAAGGUGACGGCUGGCUAAUCUGGAGCUGAAGCUUCAAUUUCUUCGUCAUUUGUACUGGGCGAAGGGGUCUUCAAUCUGGCUGUGAAAGGGAAAUUACCAAGCUAAGGGACGGCUAAAUCUGAGAGGAACAACACUAGUGAAGUCAGAUUGCUACUUUGAUGGUUUGAUUCCCAAUCUCACUCGGAGGAAUCGAGAGCAUCUCAAUUCUUUUGGCAGUAAGUUUACACGGAGUUGUUUCAGCAUAUGAAAGGAGCCUAAUGACAGAGCUUUGAGAGAGCGGCAACCAUUUAAUAAUCCCAAAGACACCAGGCUCCCACUUUGCCAGGUUUCACUCUCUAAUUCCACAUUGCGGCAACUGUCACAUAUUUGGUGGAGAAGCUGGGCUUUUGUACCAGACCCAGAGACAGGGAAAAAAAUAGAAGGAAAAAUUAGAAGCACUUAAAUUUCAAGUUUGGCCUAAGUUCAAGUCUGCAUCUUCUUUCAAAAUAACUUAUCAAUUUUAAUUUUUUUAAUUUAGUAUUCAGAUGUGAUAUUUAAAUAUUUGUAAAUUUAUGUAAUGCAUUUUGACAAUUUUUACAUAUUAUUAAGUAUAUGAUUAAUUUGUAUUAGUAGUCUCUUAUCUAAAUUUUAGUUAGAAAAUAUAUAGUGAUUAUUUGGAUACAUUUUAAUGAUCAUAAAUAUAAUUUAUUUAUUUUCAAGUAUCUCAAUUAUGUUGGUUAAAAUGAUUUUAGGUAAAUUAAUUAGAAAAAGGCAAAUUUGAUAAUUUUAGGUAAUAUAUAGUAGGUAUUUAGUAAAUUUAAUUUGAUAUUUGUGUUUUUAAUGGUAUUUUCUAUUUUUAGUAAUUUUUUCAGAUUUUUUGGAAAUUUUUAUAUACUAUAAUGUGUGUAUCACCCGAUAUUCAACCGAUAUGCCGCGACGGAUGUGGAACAACCGAGACCGCGACGCGGCCGCGAUCCGCGACGGCGAACCAUGCUCAUAAUAUAACAUAAAAACGUUUGCUGAUACACAACAAAGUCACUUAAUACCUGCAAUUUACUAAAACUUUUGCACAAAGAGUACUUUAAAGUAUCAAGAUGCCACUAAUUUCACCAAUGAUCCACUUAAGGUCCUCUUUAAACCAUAUGUUUCAAAUUCUUAUUUGGCUAGAAAAGACCAGAAAACUUGCACCUUAACUGCAAUAUCUCAUAUUAAAUCUCUAGCGCAAAGUAACUUCAUAUAACUACGUUUUGAUAGUACCAAAAAAAAAAAAAAUGCAGCAAUACAAGAAUGUCAAGAAACCAGAAGAACCAAACCAAAGGAAUCCUUUUAUUGUUCUGUUCUUAAAAAUAACAUGUGCAAAAAGUUUGCUGCACCAUAUUUAAUAAGCAUUGCAAUCAGACCAUCAAAAUGGAAGUGCAAAAGGUCGAAGUUGAAAGAAACUAGUAGACAUGAAUUACUAAAUGAUCUUAAUAAAAGCUACCAUAAAUUAAGGAAUCAAAACUGUGAGCAUAAGCGAAAAGAGUUCAUGGAAGAUAAAAAGAGCUAAAAAUGUUAAAAAGCGGAGGAUCUUACUUUUUUUUGGGAAAAAAAAAACUUUUGUCAUUGAGAUCAGAUAGAAGCCAGCAAUUAUAUUCUUGUAACAACAAACAUAGCCAAAACACAAACUUUAAAAUUUCCUCAAAUAACCAAGACGGAGUUUCCUUGCUUGUCAGCAAGUGUUAUGCGCACAAAUAUUUACCAUGGGCAUUUUAGUAUUUUCAUUCUGCGUUUGUUUUCUAUAUUUCAGAUUGCAUGUAACCAAUUAACAGAAACAGAAAGGCCAUGCAUGGAAAGUUUACGUACUGGUCACAUGCAUGGCACCAGAAAUAGAAAGUCAUGAAAAGGCAUGGCAAUGGAAGUUAGUUAUAACUAACUCUCCUUCCACCGUCUCCCUACUAGUAUAAAAGAUCAGUAGAGCAAGGAGAAUAUCAUCGAACAACUUUGUAACAAUUUCAUGUUCCCCAAAUGUCUACAUCUGAUCAUCAAUAAUAUCUACUCCCUCAUCAUCAAGAGGUGUUCUCCAUUUCUUCAUCUCUUCUGGUAGGGAGCUUUUGGUCUCUUCCUCCCUUUUGGAUCAGUGGUAUCAGAGCUAGGUUACUCUAGCUGAGUAGGAAAUUCCAGGAAGCAAUGGUAGAAGGCACAAGAGGUCAAGAAAAUAGGAAGUUCGAAGAAACUAUCAGAAAUCUCCUAAGGGUGCAGAGAGAGCAAUUCAAGCGAGAAUUGGAAGCAAUCAAAAGCUUGGUGUUGGAGGUUUGCAGCCAGAGGAGUCAAGGACAGCAAGGAUCUCCCCACACUUCUGAGAAUGAUAAUCAAGGAAGUCGUGGGGGUAGCUAUCAGCUCCAACCAGGUUUUCGCGCAUAGAAUUUCCCAAAUUUGGAGGUUUAGACUUCAAAAGCUGGUUAUAUAAGUGUGAUCAGUUUUUUGAAAUUGAUGAAACUCCAUCAGAAGCCAAGGUCAGAAUUGCCGCCAUGCAUUUGGAGGGCAAGGCUCUCCAAUGGCAUCAAGUUUUAUGAAGGCUAGGAUCUCCAGAGAUCCACCUUCAUGGGAAGAGUAUGUACGGGCCUUGGGAUCGAGAUUUGGAGACAGUCUUUAUGAUGAUCCCAUGGGGGAUUUAAAGAGCUUGAAACAGAUCAGGUCAGUAAAGGAGUACCAGGAAUUGUUUGAGAAAUUGUUAAAUAGAGUAGAUCUCCCUGAGCAGUACAUGGUAAGCUGUUUCAUUAGGGGAUUGAAGGAAGAAAUUCAAUUGGCGAAAAGAAUGUUCGUGCCACAUGAUCUACAGCAUGCUGUUGGUUUACCAAAAAUUGAGGAAGCCAGGAUUCUGAAUGCUUGGAAGCAAGGUAAAUUUUCUGGUCCAUCCCAAGGGAACACUUCUUAUGCCCCAAAUGCAGGUUCCAGCAGCAAUUAUCCCAGGCAAAAUAGCUCGUACAAUGCUUCUCUACUACUCAAGCCUGGGGAAAGAGGAGCAAGCAACAUGGAAGGACAGAAACGAAGCUCAAAAUUCAUGAGUACUACGGAGAUGGAUGAAAAGAGGGACAAGGGACUAUGCUACUGGUGUGAUGAAAGGUAUACUCCUGGCCAUCAGUGCAAAAGAAGGAAGUUAUACAGGAUUGACUAUGUGGAAGAGGCUCUGGACGAACAGGAACUAGAACUCCUUGAGGAUGAUGAGCAAGCGCUGUUAACUGAAGGUAAUUUAGCACAAAUCUCUACAAAUGCUAUGUGUAGCCUAAUGGUUCCCAACUACAGAACUAUGAGAAUACAUGCUUAGAUCAGCAAAAAGGCUUUCAUCAUUCUGAUAGACUGUGGGAGUUCUCACAAUUUUUUGCACCCCAAUAUGGUAAGGAAGUUUGGUUUGAGAACAGUGCAGGUUGCUCCUGUAAGGGUAGUAGUAGCUGACGGAAAUUCCCUCACUACAACUACCUUAUGUCCCGAGUUCCAAUGGAAAAUGCAAGGGCAAGAGUUUGAAGAAGAUGUAUUAGUCUUGCCUAUAGGUGGUUGUGAAGUAGUGUUGGGAAUGCAAUGGCUAUCAACUCUAGGGGAAGUCAAGUGGAAUUUUGCAGAAUUGAGAAUGGAGUUUUUGCAAAAGGGGAAGAAGAUGGUGCUGAGAGGGUCCAAGCAACAACCAGUUUAGGUGAUUUCAAAGAAGCAAAUGCAGAAACUCCUGACCAAACAUGAACAAAUUGAAUCUGCUCAAUUGUGUUUGGUAACUACUGAGGGUGAUCAUAGAGAUUUGACAACAGAUGAGGCCCCAAAGAUUGACAGCUUCUGUGCCACUAUGAACUCGGAUGAGCAGGUAAACACUUACCAACACCAACUAGAGUCACUUCUAUCAAAAUAUAGUGAGGUGUUCGAAGAACCUGUGGAGUUACCUCCUGUUAGGAUGCAUGGUCAUAGGAUUUAUCUUAAGGAGGGUACCCAGCCCAUUAAUGUUAGACCAUACAGAUAUCCUGCCUUCCAAAAGGGUGAAACUGAGAGACUAGUGACUGAAAUGUUGACUAAUGGCAUUAUUAGACCCAGUAAUAGUCCAUUUUCAUCUCCUGUGGUGUUGGUAAAAAAAAAGAUGGUACCUGGCGCAGGUGUGUAGAUUACAGGGAGCUUAACAAAGCCACGGUGAAGGAUAAAUUUCCUAUACCACUGGUUGAUGAGCUCUUUGAUGAACUCUUUGGAGCUAUCAUUUUUACCAAACUAGAUCUGAGGUCUGGAUAUCACCAGAUCAGGAUGUGUUUUGAUGAUAUUGCCAAAACUGCAUUUCGAACUCAUGAUGGGCACUAUGAGUUUAUGGUUAUGCCAUUUGGUCUAACCAACGCACCCUCAACAUCCCAGAGCUUAAUGAAUGACUUAUUCAGGCCCUUUUCAAGGAAAUUUUUACUGGUCUUCUUUGAUGAUAUCUUAAUAUACAGCAAAUCUGGGGAGGAGCAUCUACAACAUUUGACAAAAGUGCUUGAGAUAUUGCUCAAACACCAGCUCAAGGUGAAGAAGAGCAAGUGCUCUUUUGCUGUUAACUAGAUCAAAUAUUUGGGACAUGUCAUUUCGCCAGAAGGUGUUAAUGCAGAUCCUCAGAAAAUUGCAUGCAUACAACAGUGGCCUACACCUAUUACAAUUAAGGAGUUGAGGUUGAUAGGUUAUUAUCGUAGAUUUAUCAAAGGAUAUGGAUAGAUUGUGUGACCCUUGACUGAUCUUCUCAAAAAGAAUGCUUUUAUAUGGCAUGAUGGAGCAACUGCAGCAUUCGAUCAACUAAAAACGGCUAUGACAUCUCCUUCUGUAUUAACUUUGCCAGAUUAUUCUCAAGAGUUUGUGGUGGAAACUGAUGCUUCCAACUCAGGUAUUGGAGCUGUUUUGUUGCAGCGUGGGAAACCACUAGCUUUUUUCAGCAAGGCUUUAGCACCCAAGCAUCAAGGCUUGUCAGUUUAUGAGAAGCUAUUAUUAAUGCAGUUCAGAAGUGGAAACCGUGUCUAUUAGGGGGCCAUUUUGUCAUCAAAACUGACCACCAAAGCCUUAAAUAUUUGAUGGAUCAAAAAAUCUCAACACCAAGUCAACAGAAGUGGCUGUCAAAUUUAAUGGGAUAUGACUAUGAAGUUCAGUUCAAAAAAGGUACUGAAAACAUCACUGCUGAUGCUUUAUCCAGGCAACCUCAUAUGCCACUAGCAGAAAUCCAACAAUCAUUGCAGACAGAUCCUAAGAUGCAGGAAAUUAUCCAAUAGUUACUCUCAAAUGACAUCUUUAGAGUCAAGCACUAUAGUUGGGACAAUCAAAUGCUAAGAAGGAAAGGAAAAUUGGUGGUUGGAGCUGACAUUGUGCUCAAGAACAAAUUAAUCAAGUUUUGGCAUACUAGCUCUUUUAGAGGACAAUCUGGGGUUCAGGUGACUUAUCACAAACUAAAAUGGACCUUCUAUUGGAAACACAUGCGCGAGGAUGUUUACACUUUCGUUGCUGCUUGCGACGUUUGUCAACACAAGGCUAAUUUGGCAGCUUACCCGAGUCUGUUGCAGCCUCUGCCUAUACCUGAUAAAAUUUGGACAGAUGUCUCAAUGGAUUUCAUCAAAUGCCUCCCAAAAUCUCAAGGCAAACAAGUCAUCAUUGUGGUAGUAGAUCAGCUGAGUAAAUAUGCAGAUUUCUAUGCACUAUCUCAUCCCUAUUUAGCACUGGAGGUUGCUCAAUCUUUUAUGGAUCACAUCUUCAAAUUACAUGGUCUUCCUUAGACCAUUGUGAGUGACAGGGACUCCAUAUUCCUUAGCAAUUUCUGGAAGGAACUGUUCAAACUAUUAAAGAUCCAACUGCAGUUUUCUAGCUCCUAUCAUCCCCAAUCUGAUGGGCAAACAAAAAUUGUGAAAAGGUGUUUGGAAGGGUAUUUGUGUUGCAUGGCUAGUGAGCAGCCACGAUCAUGGUACUUCUGGCUACCCUUGGCAGAAUUUUGGUACAACACUAAUUUCCAUUCAACCACCAAGAUCACCCCAUUCCAGGUGGUCUACGGGCAGCCACCUCCCAUUCACAUCCCUUAUCUACAUGGUUCUACUGUAGUUGAGGUCAUAGAUAGAAGCUUGGCUGCCAGGGAAAAGGUACUCCAUCUCCUCAAGCAUAACCUUCGAAGGGCUCAACAUCGCAUGAAACAGAUAGCUGAUGCACAUAGAACUGAUAGAGAGUUUGCAAUUGGAGACUUGGUUUAUGUCAAGCUGCACCCUUAUAAACAACACUCCAUCAAAUCCUCUAGCUGUCAGAAACUAGAUCCAAGGUACUUUAGCCCUUUUCCGGUCAUCGAACGAAUAGGGAAGAUGGCCUACAAACUCCAACUUCCUGACCAUGCACGUAUCCACCCAACCUUUCAUGUCUCCUUGUUAAAAAAGAAGGUGGGAUCUCAUCUAGUCGCACCACAAUUACCAUCUGCCAUCACUGAUCAUGGCCAUUUAUUGCUCGAACCAGUAGCCAUUCUGGACAGGCGCAUUGCAACCGAGGAAAUCAAGCAGCAACUCACGUGUUGGUCCAAUGGAGUAACUCAUUUCCAGAGGAUGCAACGUAGGAAUUCUUGCAUGACUUAAAGCAGAAGUUCCCUACCUUUAGUACUUGAGGACAAGGACUUUCUCAGGAGGAGGCAUCUGUUACGCGCAUAAAUAUUUACCAUGGGCAUUUUAGUAUUUUCUUUUUGCGUUUGUUUCUUCUGUUCAGAUUGCAUGAACCCAAUUAACAGAAAUAGAAAGGCUAUGCAUGGAAAGUUCACGUACAGGUCACAUGCAUGGCAUCAGAAAUAGAAAGUCAGGAAAAGGCAUGGCAAUGGAAGUUAGUUAUAACUAACUCUCCUCCCACCGCCUCUCUACUAGUAUAAAAGAUCAGUAGAGCAAGGAGAAUAUCAUUGAAAAACUUUGUAACAAUUUCAUGUUCCCCAAAUCUUUUGUCUACAUCUGAUCAUCAAUAAUAUCCACUCCCUCAUCAUCAAGAGGUGUUCUCCAUUUCUUCAUCUCUUCUGGUAGGGAGCUUUUGGUGUCUUCCUACCUUUUGUAUCAGCAAGUGGACAGAAAACAAGAAACACCUACAAUAAAGGGGAAAAAAGCUAAAAUGGAACAAAAAAGUAAACCCGAUACUCCGGUAUUUGAUGCUGGAGAUGGAUAGUUUGCAUCCACCUGUUGAUUUUGCUGGAGAUGAAUAGGUUUACUUGGGGCUGAUACCGCUAAAAAUAUAAGGUUGGAAUUGAAGGAAGUUUGUGAUGGUUGAAGAUGAUACAAACAUUCAAUUGGAAAUUCCCUCCGAGAAAGAGAUGAAAUUGACGAAGAAUGAGGUGGAGAAGGAGUUUUGCGGGUUGGAUUUUUUGGAGAAGAUGGAAUCCGGCGUUCAUGAAGUAGUGGCAGCUCAGGAGUAGAACUGCAAUUGCAAACGAGCCGAGUCGAGUCGAGUUUUGGGCUAAUCAAAUCGAGCCUCAACUAAAUUUUAUCAAGUUCGAACUCGAGCUCGAGCUCGACGAGCUGGCAAUUUAAAGCUCAAGCUCGAGCUCGAAAGAAAUAAAAAAUAAUUAUUUUAUUUUUUAAAAAAUAAAUAAAAUAAUAUUUUUUUCUCAAUAAAUAAUAAAAUAAAGGAUAUAUAUGUAAUUUUACUAUUAAAAUAAGAAAAUAAAAAUAUAUAUACUUAAAAUAAAAAAAAAUAUAUACUUAAAAUAAAAAAAAUAAAAAAUAUUAUAUAUAUAUAUAUAUAUAUAUAUACUCGAACUCACGAGCCGGCUCGUGAGCUAACGAGGUUACUAUUUUGACCUCGAGUUUGAGAUUGAUUUCGACUCGAGCUCGAUAUUGAUCGAACUCGACUCGAGCUUGAUUCGAGCCACUCGCGAGCGGCUCAAUUCGUUUGCAACCUUACCCAGGAGGACGACGCCUGGAGGGAGGAGAAGGAGGAGAACCACCCAUGCUAAAGGAUUGGACGGCGCUCUUUGUCUGACGAGGACAACACGUGGCAGAUACGUAAUGUCCGGCUUAGUGACGUGUCAAUACAGUCAUUCAUACACGUAAGCAUAUUUAAUGACAUGGCAUCCAUGCCAUCAUCACAUGGUUUACCUGACUCACUAUACGUGGUCUGCAAUUUCCUUCACCUUCUUUAUAGUUAGGUCAUUGAAUUUGAAUUUUCUAAGUCUUAAAAAGUUAGGGUUCGGUUUUUAUUUCUGGCAAGGUUUUUUUGUAAUUAAUUUGUUAGUUCAAUUUAUAGAUUCACUCUUUAAUUCAUGUAGAACACAUAUUGCUUUUUUGGUUAGUGAUUUAAAAGUGGCCUUUUAAACUAUGUGUUUUCACACGAUUUUUUAAUUGCCUUUAACAAUUUAUUAAUUGUCUUCGACAAUGUAUUAAUUUUUUUUUUAAUUUUCUAGGUUUCUGGGAUUAGAAAAUUUUUAUGCAGUUUUCAAUGUUUUUCUUUUAGACUUUGGUAGAAAGCAAUACACAUCAGACUAUUUAGAUUUUUUUACGUUUUUGACUUAAGAGCAAAAUACAUCUGUUCGCCAAAUGAAAUUAUGUUUUCGUUUUGGUUUCUAUUAGUUGUGAAUAGGUUUAGAAGGUUGCUGCGUUACUAUGAGUUGAUUGAUUCUGAAUUCUAAAUCUUUUGUUAAUGCUUCAUUCAAAGUAAUGGAUUAGAAUGGUAUGUAACAUUCUUUUGUUAACAUUCCUAUAACCUAAUCUAUCCUAAUCUAGGAGGAGGGGAAGCCAUUGAAAGCAUAUAGUCUUGAAAGCAGUCACAUAUAGUGGCAAUUUGAUGGGAGGCAAGUGUUGGACCAUUAACUUCCUAACACCACCAGAACUUAAAUGCUUGACAGUAACCACCAGGCCAAAGGGCCAGUGGUGCGUGAUAAUGUUUAGUGGCAAGGUGAUAACUUGGGAUAUCAGUAGGUCCUAUAUAAGUAGGUCCUAUAUUUACCCUUAUAUAUAUAAUUAAAAAUAAAAAAGUUGGAAUGAUUAUUCUUCUUUUUUUUCACUUUAAGAGAUCCAAAAAUAUAAAAUAAAAGAGUUUUUUCAAAUUUCUUUUUUCACACUUAUUAAUACUAGGAAAAGAAAAAGAGAUAGGAAAGAAGGAGACAGAAAAUUAGGUUUUGCAAAGAAAAAAAUAAAAGAAAGUGUAACAUUAUCAUAUUAAUUUAAGAUUGUUAGGAUUAGGAUUGAAAUCUGGUGGUAAACAAUAAAGCAAAAUAAUAAAAGUAUUUAAUUCUUUCUUAUUUAUAUUUUUUAAAAAAGAAUUGAGUUCUCUCUCUCUCUCUCUCCCCUUCUCCCCCUUCUAAUCUUUCUAUUUUUUUUAAUAUUAAUAAGAUUGUCAAGAAAAAAGAGAUUAAUACUUUGAUUUUUUUUUCUUGAUAAUAAAGAGGAGAAGAGCCAUUCUAAAUUUUUUUAUUAUUUUUAUUAUAUAAAAAGGAGGGUAUUUUCUUCUAAAGUUCUUUAACUUGCUAAAUUGAUUUACUGGUGGGAUAAAUUGCCAAAAAAAUAACUCUAUAGGGUAAAUUAAUAAUGAGGCUAUAAUUUAUAGGGGUAAAAUGAUAAUAACUUUAAGGGCUGGACUUGUUUUUUUACUUUAAUUAAUAAAUUUCAUUAAAUUUGACUAUUAAUUUUGGAGGUAAAGUGACUAAAGAAUAACGUUAAGGGAGAAAUUGAUAGUGGCAUCGAAUGUUAAGGGAGUAAAGUGAUAAUAAUCCUUCAAGAUGAAACAUUAAACUAAAUUCAAUCACUAAAUUUUGUUUCUUUCUGUUGCUUAAAUUAUAAGUUUGUGCCAACAUUUAUCUAUACACGACUACGCCAUGAAACAAAAUGUUAGGAUUGGGCCGACAAGCAAUGGAUGCAGAAUAAUUGCAUCCAAAAGCUGUACAAAAGGGAGACUUUUAUAGUUCUAUGAGAUGUAAUCAGUUCACGCCACCUUGGGGAUGAUUUUUUUUGUUUUUUUUUGCCCUUCUUCCAAAAUUUUUUUUUUAAAGACCCUUCUUCCAAUUUUCAAGGUAGUGUUGGUUUUAUCCUUUAAAGAUGCAAACCUGUCCAAAUUAAAAUGCAACAACUUUUGACCACGCUGAGAAUAAGACAUGCAUUCUAAAGAGUGAGUUUCAAUUGUGCAUUAAUUGUCCAUUCAACUACUUACCGUAAAGGAUGGAUUUAAUUCAUUAACUAAGUUUGACGUUAUUUACGAUCUUGGUUAGAAUUUAAAAUUCCACAUCGACUUUAUUUUGUGCAAAAUUAAGACUUAAACUAGUAGGUAGUGAUAUAUAAGAGAUAGAAUUGGAAACAAUGUCGAAACUAAGAGAGACAAAGGGUGCGUUUGAUAAAACUGAAAUCUGAAAUUUGAAAUCUGAAUACAUUAAGUUGAAUAGUGCUAUGGUACUGAUGCUAUUGAGUGAUUAAAUAUAAAAUAAUAGCAGUUGACCAGAACAUCCGAUUUUCUUUCCUUUUGUGAUAGUUUACAACCAUUUGCGUCCUUUUUUUGUGAAUUAAAUAAUUCAUCCAAAGGUACAUGUAAAUUUUCCACCUAAAUCGGUAAGAUUGUCUUAUAAAAUGAUCAGUUUUAAGUGCUUAACAAAAUUUAAUUUUUUACUAUUGAAUUUUAAUGAAAUUUACUAUAUUUUUUGUCAAACUUACUCAAUUUAGCAAUAGGUAAGUUUUGAGGUAAAUUAGUAAGUUUGUCCAAUAAAGUAGCAAAAUUCAAAAGUUACCUUUUUAUUAGUAAAAUUUACUAUUUAUCUAACAAAACUUACUAUUAUUUAAACUUACUAGUCUACCUGUAUGUUAGUUUUUCAAGUAAAAUAAUAAGUUUGUGCAAUAAAAAAGUAAACUAAUAAAUUUGUGCAGAAACUUACUAUUACCUUUUUAUUAGCCAAAUUUACCAUUUAUCUGACAAAAACUUACUAUCGACCUCAUUAAACUUACUAAUCUAGCUGUAUAUAAGUUUUUCAACUAAAAUGGUAAAUUUGGACAAUAAAGUAGUAAGUUUUAGCCAUCCAUAUAAGUUAUCUUUUCAAUGCACAAACUUUUUGUUUAUCUUCCAAAACUUACUAUAAUUGAAAAGAAUUUACUAACCUAGCUUUAAGUAAGUUUCACAAAUAUAUUGGGAAGUUUUGGCAAUGAAGUAGUAUAUUUUAUAAAAACUACCUUUUAUCAAUAAGACUUACCAUUUGUCUUUCAAAACCUACUAUUAUUUUAAUUAAAUUUCCUAAACCAAAUUUGCAUAAGUUCUACGUAUAAACUAGUAAGUUUGUGCUAUUAAGUAGUAAAUUUGUCAAAACUAAUGCUUAACAAAUCAGUAUUCAAACUUACUAUUUUCAUAACAUAAUUUACCUUAUAAUCAAAUUACCUUACUACUUUCUCAUCUAAUUUUAUUGUUAUCAAGUAGAUCUUAGAUGGCCUGGGUCUCAUAUGAUUAAUUGAGAAUUAAAGAUGAGAACUGGGCCUUUUUGGACGGGUAAAAGAGUCAGGUCGUGGACUAAGAUUGAGAAUUACCUGGAGAAAACCUUGAUAGGUUUAUUAGGGGUUUUGCUCUAACUAGCCUGACAACAUAUAGCUGCUAAUUUGCUUUGAUCGUCCCUCCCUUUUCCUUUCGCCAGCUCUUGCACUAUCCUUCUAACUAACCAUUCCCUCUAAAUUCAAAAAGGGCGAAGCGGGCUGCUUAGCCAAUAUCCAAGUAAAUCAUGGCCUUGUUUGACAGGCAAGUUUUUUGUCAAGUUUAUUUGUUACAAGUUUUUUAAAAACUUUAGCUACAGUAAUCUCAAAAAAUUUCUCAAAGUUUUUAAAUUAUAAACUUCAAAAUAUUCAAAAAUUUACAAACUUUAAAAAUUUUUUAAAAAACUUCUCCAGAAAGUUACAGUAAAGUUUUAGACAAAUACCUAAAAAACUUACUUGCCAAACGGGUUUUAGGGUAAAUAUUUCUAUCUUAUUUCUGACAAUUCGUUGUUUUGAGUUUUCUUGGUUAUGUCCUGGGGCUCUUGCCAUCUCAUUUUGCAUCUCAUGUUUUGUCUUUAUCUAAGCCUGAGCCUUUAGCUAAGAGUUUUUAACGUUUUUCUAAUAUGGAAAUUUAAAAUUCACUCUUUGGGAUAAAAAUCUAGUCCUUUUCUUUUUCUUUUGCAACCUUUGAUUUGUUUUCUCUUGCAGCAAUUUCUUGGUUAUUGUGUCUUGAAUUUUUCUUAGAUAUGCCUAUCAAGGUUAAUUUUUGGUCUCUGUGUAUGCUUUUCAGUUGUAGUAAGUCCAAUUUUACUUGUCUAUUAAGUUGCAUUUGAUUUGGGAUUUUGGGUUGUGGAAGUUGUACACAUCUAAUUUUUUUGUAGAAGUUAGUCAAUCAAUGGUAUGCAAAUAGACAAAAACCAAUAGUGGUGUAGUAAAUUUGAUUGUUUAUUUAUUGCAUGAGGUUUUGAUAAUCUUUUACGUAUAUUAAGUUCAUAAAAUGAAGAAAAGAAUCCUUAAUUUAGGUUCUUGUAACAUGCCGUUUUACAUUGUUGACAUUUAGCAUGAUUUUCACUACUUAGAUGUGUCAAUUGUGCAUCGUGUAGUAAUAAAAGAAACCACGACUAUCUUUUUCAUUGAUGGCAUUCACAUUUAUCUCUGAUUAGAACACUUCCCAUGGAUAGAUGCAGUUGAGGCUGGAUUAAAAACUUAAAAUGACAAGUAUUCCUUGUUUUUGUUGCUGAAGUGAUGAAUGUAGGUUCUAGCAUCAUGCUGGACAACAAAAAGAGGACAAUUGAUGUAGAUGAUAGGCCUAUGAGGUCAUCUGAGAAAUCAUUGAUCUCUAAGUUGGUAUUAAUUGGAAAGCUACUGUUGAUCGGCUUGAAAACUUAUCCUUUGAGGACUAAGACUGUUAAGAUUUGAUUCCAUUGACGAUGCCACAAAACUUUACUCAAGUUAUAGUAAAAUGGUAAACUUCAGUACUAGAGACCGUGAUCAAUGGAAGGAUAAGCAUGGUAUAUUAGCGGUUCAAAGAAAAUUUUGCUAAGUCCAAUUAGAUGUUAAAGUGCUAGUAAUAGCGGUGAUAAUGAAUUGGCUCAAUAAGUAUUUAUAUUUGUUUGUAUGGUGGAUUAUUUGCAUGAAUUUAUCUUAUCAUUAAUGUUUUCGAAUUUAUGUACCAAACAUUUUGUGUGGUUCCUAGCUAGUCUCACACCUGAGAAAUACAGAUACAUAAUAAUGACAACCAAGUACUCUUGGUCGGCACAACAGCAGGUUUCUAUGGAUGGGUCUUGUAUUGAAAAGUGACCUCAAUUGAAAGAAUCGUCUACGUAUCCAUAACUGCUGCUGGCUAAUACUUCACACCAACAUACUCCAAUUUUAUACACAAGUGUGCAUAUGGAAAAUACACAAUAUUGAAGGUAAAUUCUAUAUUGUAUUCAACUAAUAAAAGACAGGUGUGGAAAGGUCAACAAUAAUGGCGAAGAAGCAAGCACGUUGCAAGUUCAUAUGUACGAAGGAUGAAGGUAAUAUUUCUAAAAAAGCAAGUGUUGACCUAUAACAGGCGCGGAUGGUUUGAAAAUGUUGAUGGGCCCAACGAUCGUGAGGCAGACUGUGGAAGGUGGAAAUGCAUUGGGGUGUGAGGGAAUUCACAUAAAUAUAAUGGGUCUAGAAAUAAAAUACCGAAGAUGAUAAGUAGCGUAAGCAGCACUAAACGGCCAUGGGGGGGCCAGCAAUAGAUGUGUGUUUGAAAACAAGUAGUGCGCUCGGAAGUGAAGAAAUGAUGUGUUAAAGAAGAAGGCAAAGCGAAAUACAAAGAAGAAGGCGGGGGUGGCGGCAGGCGUAAGUUCAGGCGCAGGUGGUGACGGUGGAUAUAGCUGAGCAAGGGCGUUCCGUUGUUGUGCUGACUGAAUGCAGUGAUGUAGUACAAAAGUAGAGAAAUCAAACGUAAGUUCUUUCGUCCAUAACUUUGAAAUAGUAAAAGGGAAGGGUUUAAUAAUAGGAGAUUGAUUAAAAUAAAGGGCAAAACACACAGCGUCUAGUAUGGUGAAGGUUAGAUUGUUGUAAGACCUUCUGUUGGAGCACAUAAACAUAGCAAUGAUAGAGAAAUAAAGAUUACAAAAUACUGCGACUAAGACCCAGCGGCUUUGAGCAAAGAGGAAAUGAUACAGGAAAAUCAUCCCUGUUAAUUUGUUCACCUAGCAUUGUGUGCAUAAGAUUACCACUGAACUGCUGGUCCACUAAUUUUUAUAAUUUUUUUAAAGGAAAAUUUUCAGAAAUGAUCAAACACGUGAAGAAGACAUUGUAACGGGACAAAAGACAGAGUGAUUUGGAUGGCUAUGUGGACUUGCUGCUUUACUUUCUAAAUUGGCUCCCUGACUAUAUUGCAACAGCUUUUGCGAAGACAAUUCAAAAAACUCACAGUAAAGGUUCAGCUUGGCGCUAUAAAUGAAUGUGCAUGGACGAUAGUAGCAUUUUGUCCUAAAGGUUGACAUAAUUGCUUCAGCCCCACUUCUAAUUAUAGACACAUAAAUCUUAGAGUAACCUUUUUUGUCUGCUUUUUCUCAAAGUUGUGAGCUACAGAAUCGUCUCUUAACUUCAAUGAUCAUACAUAUAUAUAUAUGUUUUUUUCAUAAAUAGUCAUGGGCUUAAUUUUGAUGUUACAAACGAAAGCAUAUGGAUAUGUUUAAAAAAAUGUUCAGCGACCAUGGUUAGAAAUAACAAUGAACCACACACGUCUUGUAAUUAUUUGGCAAGAUUGUUUUUUAAGCUUGUGACAUGGUGGAGGAAACACAGGAUGGAAGGCUGAGGAUGGAUGGUGGUGGCAAAAAAAGGUCAUUUGACCUUAACCUGGAACCUGAGUGUGAUAGAGAUUCAGACACCCAAAAAAGUGGUGGUUCAAGUGAAGGACAUCAAGAUGAUGAGAUGGAUGAAUUGGUGGGUGCAAUAGGCAUGGAUGAUGUAAUGAAAUUAACAUUUGACACGGAAGAAGAAGUUGGGAAAUUCCACAAUUUGUAUGCAAAACUAAACGGAUUUGGAUUUCGCAAAAGUAAUGGCAAAUAAGAUGCAGAUGGCAUUUCAAGGUUUCGAAAAUGGGUAUGUUGUUGUGAAGGAUACAGGGAUGAAAAGUGGUUAAAAUAUGAAGGCCAGAAAAAUGAAACAAAACCAAUCACAAGAACCGGGUGUGGGGCUUGCAUUCGCAUGAAAUGUGACAUAAAAUCGCUAAAGUAUGUGGUGACAUUGUUCAUUAUGGAGCAUAAUCAUAAGAACCGGGUGUAGGGCUUGUUUUCGCAUGAAAUAUGACAUAGAAUCGCUAAAGUGUGUAGUGACAUCGUUCAUUAUGGAGCACAAUCACCUGCUAGCAUCAGAAGCAAGUGUGCAACACAUUAGGUCACAUCGAAAAGUCAGUGAUGCAGAGUAUGCGCACGCCAAAAGUUUGAAGAUGGUUGGGGUUAGAAUCUGUCAGAUAAUGAAACAUUUUGUUAUCAAAGCCAGAGGGUAUAGUAACGUGGGAUUUUGCAUUAAGAAUCUGUAUAACCGAAUAGAUGAGGAACGUAGAAAAGAUAUUUUUAAUGGUGAUGCAAAAGGGACACUUGGGUUCUUGGCAGCGAAAAAGGAUGUUGAUGACGUGUUCUUUUAUAAAACACAAUCAUAAGAACCGGGUGUGGGGCUUGCUUUCGCGCUAAAUAUGACAUAGAAUUGCUAAAGUAUGUGGUAACAUCGUUCAUUAUGGAGCACAAUCACCCGUUGGCAUCAGAGGCAAGUGUGCAACACAUUGGGUCACAUCAAAAAGUCAGUGAUGCAGAGUAUGUGCAGGCCAAAAGUUUGAAGAUGAUUGGGGCUAGAAUCUGUCAGAUAAUAAACAUUUUGUUAUCAAAGUCGGAGGGUACAGUAACGUGGGAUUUUGCAUUAAGGAUCUGUAUAACCGAAUGGAUGAGGAACUUAGAAAAGAUAUUUUUAAGGGUAAAAUACAUAAAACCCCCUGUGGUUAAGGAAGUUGACACGAAACUUCCUUAUUGUUUAGAAACACUCACUUAACAUCCCUGUGCUUUGCACUUCUUAGGAUUUUACCUGCUAACCGGCUGGAAAGCUAGUGAGUGAUAUUGACGCGACCUAAUGGUCACUUUUGACUAGAAGACACUCGUUUUCAUUCCAAUUUUGCUCAAACCUCCUCUGCCUCUGUCUCCCUGCCAUCAGGAUGCUCUUCACCGCCACUAACGAUAAUAAGGUCGGGAUCAAGCACGGCGAUUCCAAUAUCGGGGGAUCUCUUUGGGAUGGGGCACUGUUCCUGGGUUCUACCAGCCCGCCCAUAGCGUCCGCCAAGUUCAGACCACCAUUAUGGUGGACUAGGUCAACUUGCUCCAGACCGAUGCUGCCUAUUUAUUGAGGGACGGCACCAUCAAUGAUCGGGUUGAGCUGCGGGUGGUAGGGGAUGUUGGAGCUAAGAUCCGGAUUCUUGGCUUUAAUCCACCUAGGGUCCCGUCUAGUAGAUUAAUUUAGGGUUAAAUACCAAAAACCCCCCUGUGGUUUGUCUAAUGUUCACUUUGCCUCCCUAUGAUUUGGAAACCUACAAUUUGACUCCUUGUCAUUUCAACUAAAGUAAAAGUCUAACGGAAAACAUUUAAACUAACGUCUGAAAGAAAAAUGUCAAAAUUGCCCCUCUAUAAGGGCUUUGGGUUAAGUACCAAAAACCUCCCUGUGGUUUGUCAAAUAUACACUUUACCUCCCUAUGAUUUGAAAACAUAUAAUUUAACUCCUUCUCGUUUCACCUAAAGUGAAAAUCUAACAGAAAUUCCGUUAAAUACACUUUAGUUGAAACGACAGGGAGUCAAAUUGUAGGUUUCCAAACCAUAGGGAGGUAAAGUGAACAUUAGGCAAACCACAGGGGGGUUUUUGGUAUUUAACCCAUUAAUUUAUUGGUAGUAAUUUCUACUUCCCAUUGUCACUGCGAACAGUACUCCACUACCAAAAUUUACCAUCCUACAAUUAAUUAUUGUAAUUGUUUUCGCAGCCCAUUAUCACUCGAAGCCCCCCACAACACACCAAAAAGAAAAAAAACCAGUGGUAUAGUUGUUUUAUGGAUUCUUUCUGUUAGACAAAUUGCCAAAUGCUCUUUCCAGUGGUUAGGAUUUUACCUUCUUCUUGGCUAUAGGUUUAGGAUUUCUCUCUCAAAACAUGAAGUACCGCUCAAGCCCGACCGAUCUUCACCAUAACUCACACCACUCUGCACAGAAACACCUUCUUCUUGGUUAUAGGUUUAGGGUUUCUCUCUUAUUUUCAGAAGUCUGCUCCAUAUUUACUAAUUGCAUCUGUAACUUUUCACAUAUUAUAUAUGAGGGUAUUUUGGUAUUUUAUAUUAUUACCAGCUUCCCAGCCAAUUAGCAGGUAAAAUCCUAAGAAGUCCAAAGCACAAGGAGGCUAAGUGGGUGUUUCUAAACAAUGAGGAAGUUUCGUGUCAAUUUCCUUAACCACAGGGGAGUUUUAUGUAUUUUACCUUAUUUUUAAUGGCGAUGCAAAAGGGACACUUGGGUUCUUGGCAGCGAAAAAGAAUGUUGAUGAUAUGUUCUUUUAUAAAUAUCAUGUAGAUAACGAAAGAAGAUUGGCAAGGUUGUUUUGGAUAGAUUCUAAAUCCUAGCUAGACUUCAGUACAUUUGGAGAUGUAUUGGUGUUUGAUACGAUAUACAAAACAAAUAAAUAUCGCAAGCCACCGGUUGUACUUGCAGGAGUAAACAACCAUUUGAAACAUACGAGGAUUGAAAGAGGAUUGAACAACUAUAAGAAAAUUGAACAAAAAUACGAGUAAACAACUAUUUUCGGAUAUUCACUGCUAUCAGAUAAGAGGAUUGAAACAUACGAAUGGGUCCUAAGUACAUUUAUAGAGGCUAUGGAUGGUAGAAAACCAGUAGCAGUGAUAACAUAUGGGGAUAGUACAAUGCGAAAAGCCAUAAAUAAUAUUCUCCCCGAUGCUUGUCAUAGGCUAUGUUCGUGGCACUUGCAUAGAAAUGCAUCGAGUAAUAUUCGGUAUGAAGAUUUCAAUGACAGGUUGUAUAACCUGAUGGCGAAAAAGUGUAGCAUACAGGAGUUUGAGGAUUGGUGGCUAGCUUAGUUAAUGAAUGUGGGGUGAGAGAGAAUGACUGGGUAAAAAAGUUGUACCACAGGAGAAGGUUAUGGGCAGAGGCCUAUUUACGCAGGUAGUUUUUUGCAGGAAUAAGAAGUACUCAAAGGUGUGAGAAAAUAAAUACUUUUUUGAACGAGUACUUGAACGAUAAAAUGCGACUAUAUGAAUUCGUUCGAAAUUUUGAUUUGGCAAUAGCAUGGUUUUGACAUACUAAGAGCAAAGCAGUUCACACAAGCGAAAACACAAAAUCAAUGUUAACCAAAAUUCUGCCCGAACUAGAAAACAGUGCAACAGAGGUGUUUACAAGGAAUGUGUUCUUCGUGGUGAGAAAGCAUUUGAACAAACAAGGGCGUCUAAUUUCUGAGGGUUGGAAUAAGAAGAGAGAGAGUCGCACAUAUUAUUACUCAAAAUAUUGUGGACAUAAAAUAAGUUGGAGGGUGGAUUAUCAUAGGUCACGGAGAAGCUAAUCUGCUCUUGCAUAAAAUUCAAGUCAAAGGGAAUUCCUUGUGCUCAUAUGUUUCGUGAUGGUGGUUGAAGGAAUGAACAUGAUCCCAGAAUCAUGUAUUUCAAAGUGGUGGACAAAGAGAGUGAGAAAUAAUAAUAGGAUGAUAGCAUUUGUUGUACCCGAACAGAUGACACAAAUGGCCAUAUAUGGCACUUUAAAGUCCAGUUAUAAUAGUAUGUGUUACUAUGCCUCCUACAUGGAUGAUGAGUUUAAUAAACUGCAGCAGAUGUUUGACAAGCAUUCAGUACAGCUGAAGGAGAAAUGCAUUGAUAGAGAAUAUGGGGGAGACAGAUUUGUAAUGGAUUCAAGAGUGAUGACCGAUAGAAGUAGAAGAACAUUCGAAGUGUUAGACCCGAAGGAAUCUCGGGCUAAAGGUGAUCACAAGCAAGCAGAAGCAAAGAAGAAAAGAAAGUGUGGACAUUGCAAGUACAAACCAAAAAGUACGUAGUUAUACAGUUGUUAUUAUUAAACAUGAACCGGACAUUGAAUGUAAUAAAGAAAAAGUAGGUAGUUUUUGACAUGUUAUUAUGUGCAUUAAAACAUAAACUUAAAUCCAAAGUCCAUACAAAGUAAACUAAGUUAAUGCCAAUGCAAGAAAGUUGAAGUGGUGUAAUGUUAGCGUUCUGAUAGCUUAGUUGAUGUGAUUACUUGCAGUCACAAAUGAUUUAACAUGUAAUGAAUUGGUUGAAGACUGCAGGUAGGCCAUAACCAAUGAACAUGCCUAUACAAUAAAAUUUGCCACAAUACAGCGGUGCAUCGUGAUUGGAUGAAAAAUUGUUUGGAUAAAUCAAUGAAAAUUCAUUUAAAAUUGGUAUGGGCGGGAGCGAGUCUGGCGAAUGGAGACUACAAGCAUUUGUGGCUGAUCAACGAUGCGGUAGCAGUGGAAAUGACACAGGUGACCAAUAAAAAAGUCCAGUUGAAAGAGAAAUGAUGAGCUGUGAUGCUGAGGUUUGAAAAAGUUGUUAAUUCGUCGUGAAUUAAAUGGUUCAUUGAUAUUGGUAUCACUGAUAACCUCUCCACCGUGUGUGCAGGAUGAACUUGAGAGGGGAAACGAAUUCGUCAAUACAAUUAGGGUACUUGACCAAAAUGGAACGGUCCAUGUUUAAAAACAGGGAUGCGGGUAUAGGGCGGUCGGCGUGAAAUUUAUACUGAUAUUUCAAUUGGUGUAUGCCUCGCCAAAAUGGAAGGUCAAUUCAUAAAAUAUCAGUUGUUCACACAAGAAUUUGGGCAUGAAUCUAUAUGGUACUUUUGUUACUUGUUUUUAUGGUUGAGUUCAACUCUGCUAUGAGUCAUGUUUAACUUGCAUGCUACUCGAAAUGCCAGUCUUUAAUGCAACGCUAAAUUUCUAGUUAGUGAUGGCUUAUUGCGGUGACUAUUGUUCUCUCUGUCUUUGCAGAAGGUUCAAAUCCAUUGCACUCCUGAAGUCACAAGGGUGUGCUAAUUGGUCAAAUUGCAAGUGCUGCUCUUUGGAAAAAGGUAAAUGGGUUAUAUGACUUCUGAAAUUAUUCGACACAUAGUUUUUCCUUGAAUUUUUUGAUCCUUGGCUCCAAAAAAGAAAGUUCACUAGUUGAAGCUUUGGUUUUGAGAUGAAGCGGAUGGACAUGCUGGAUAAUUAUUGGUUGGGAUAAGAGAGUAGGAUACUGUGUUCUCUGGCAUCCUGUGGCCCGAAUUUUAGAUAUAUGAAUUAUGACCCCAGCAUCGCAUGGCUUGCUGGACUAUUUGAUCCUAAUAUUUAGUCACCAUUAAGCUUUCAUAUUUUGCAAUGACUCGAGCAUUCAGCAGAAUCAAAUGCCCAUGCUGGCUAUAGCCAUCAAAUUCAAAAGUUCUUUUUCAAGUAUUUUCGACAAAAACAGAUGCUGUAUCAAUGAAACAGCAGUUAUGCAAUAGCAUUUGGACUAGAUUUAAUUCCAGUUAGGAAAAUUCUUAGUAUCAUUAAACCAUGCAGCGGACUUUUAUUCCAGUUUUCCACUUUUUUGUAGUAAGUUUUGCCUAAAAAUUUAUGAUAAAAAAUUUAUAAUAAUAAAUUAGUUUAAAUGUCAGGCCCCAUCAGAGGUACUCGACAAUAGGAGACGAUACGUGCAUAAAAAAUAGUUGACAAUUUGUUGUUUACAGUUACCAAAUUUGUUUCCAAAGCUUUUUACAAAUGAAAAUUAAAGAGUACGAAACAUUGCAUAUUUUGUGGCUCCAUAACAAGCUUAUAUAAUUAUUGCGUACACGCUGAGAUUUUAAUUUGCAUAGUACUGAAUUCGAUUUUACAUAUAAUUGAAUUAAUUUUAAAUAGGUAGUCCAAAUCAGAUAGCCACAAUUUUAUUGGCUUUAUUCAGUUACUCAUUUGAACUUAAUAACAUCGCAUACCCAUUUGGAAGUGCUGCAUGAACAGAGAACUUAGAAUGGAAGGUUAAUAAUGGUUCCAUUUGCUAAGAAAUUAUAAUUAUAUUAAAGGUAAAUUAUAUUACUAUUAUAAUUACAUUAAAGGUAAAUCUGCCAACCGAACACAUAAAUUAUGUAUAUUUGCAAUAUCUUAUAAAUAGGUUUAUGCAGGCAAAAUAUAGUCCAACUACACACAAAAGUUAAUUCAUUAUUACAUCAAAAUUAUCUCUAUUAUUUUACAAAUUCAACCCACAUACGUGCAUAAGGGAUAUUUAUCGAAUUAACAUUACAGUUAUAUUUAUAUACUCCCAUUUUUCGCUUCAUGCCCCCAUGUAAAGUAAUCUUUUUAAUGUUUAUUAUUUCCAUGGACUUAAAUUUGUAAUACAACCCUCUUUCUCUUUGAAGGUUUGUAUUACAAUAAAAAUGUUAGGGAAGGCUGUAUGAAAAUGUCAGAAACGUAUACGAGGUUUCUACAAUUAGUAUAAUUUGUUAAUUAGCCAAAAUUCUAGCAAAAGGCAAGCAAAUGCCCCUUAUUUUUCCAUUCUGAUGCAUGGAAAAAUAAGGGAGCAUUGUGCAAAUAAAUAAAAAAAAUUCACUUUAUAUAGUUCGUUGUGACAGCCAGGCUUAUCCCCGCCUUUGUAUGAGUUUGAUUACAAUGGACAUAACCUAUUCCCUCCGAACCCCAAAUUUUGAAUUAUAACAUUCAACCAAAACUUCUCAAACUCCUAGGCUCCGUCAUACAAAUACACAUUGAGUAUUAGAUUUUUUUUCGCCCUUCAAGCAUCGAACGCUAAGAUAUAUAGUUUAUUCUUCCACCUUCUAACAUGAAUUUUUAGCUAUAUGAAUUGAAAUUGUGCAAACAUAAUUUCAUUAUUUUUAUGUGUUAAAAAUUUAGAAAAAUAAAUUGAUGAGUAGUACAAAAGAUUAUUUUAUCCCCUCCUUUGUUUGAGUUCUGAUUACAAAAGACAAACUGUAUUCCCUCCAAACCCCAAAUUUUAUUUAAAGCAGUCCUCCCUUCACAGUUACUGAGCAUUGUGUCUGCUGUGUUUGAGACAAAUAAAGUGAGGCGGUGUAGCGGAGGAGAUUAAAAUUUUGAGAAUGGCUUCAUCCUCGUCUGCAGGCUCCGUCAAUAGUACGCUAUGGCUGACAUUAUUUUACCAUUGUGGUCGUAGCUGUGCAGUUCGUGUUGUUUGGAAUUCUGAAGCAAAUAGGGGCUGCCACUACUAUCGGUGCGUUAACGCCUAGGUAAGUGAAUCGCUAUAACUGUUGCGUAGAUAAAAUUUCGAUUUUUCAGAUACUUCUUGUCGCGCCCCAUUUUUGGAAAUAAAGAAAAAUAAAUUAAUAGUUUAAAAAGUGAAUUUUAAUUCAAUUUUCGAUUGAAAAAAUGAUUUUUGAUUUAAAAAGAAAAUGAAGAACAUGGGUCUAAAUGGGACUUCAAAAUGCGACGAUUUGACCCAAAAUAAUAGUUUAAAAAGGGUUUUUGAAUAAAAAAUCAGAGUCACCACUUGGUAUUGAGUUGAGAUGUACCAAGUCACCUAAAAAUGAAUUUUCAAAGAAAAAAUAGAAAAACCCUUUUUAAACGACCCCAAGUCUACGAAAAUCAGAGAAAAAGAUUUGGGAGUCACAUUUGAAGAAAGGGAAGGCAAGGAUAAGAAUCCAAGGCACCCUUUCAACCUAGCCAAGGCUAGUUGCGCGAUUUAGUCAAAAAUUUUCUUAUUUUAACCUAAAGAUUUAUCAUAUUUGGAUACACUAUAUGAAUACAAACCCUAGACCUAAGAGGGUAUCGGGGGGUCAAAAUAUCUCUACAAAACUUAAUAGGUGCAACGGUGGAAUUGGAGUUGGGGCCAUGGAAGGGAUGGUGCAGUCUCAUGGCCAGUCAAAUGGAUGACUUUGACUUGAUCCUUGGCAAGGACUUCAUGGUUGCGAACAGGAUCUAUCCAAUUCCCCACUUGGAUGGCGUCAUGGUGGACGAUGACGAAAACAAUCACAUUAAUUGUGACGCCUAAUAAAGACUCUUCGAAGAAGUCACGAAUAAUGCUAAAACAUAAAACUCUAAAAAAAGGGAAGGAAAAUAAUAAAAAUAAUCAUAAUUAUACAAAUAUACAUGUCCUAAAGGAAUGCAUCAUGUCGGGUACGGGGAACUAAUGUUCAUGGCUCAAUUUUCGCUUUAACAGAGGGAAUAUGAGCGUGUUAAGGUAGAAAGCCAAACUCGUCCAUAUACCAUACUCAAGGGGUGUUUCCCUAUCUAAUCAAGCAAAUGCACUACCCUAAUUCUAUUUCUUAAAUGAAAUGCAAGUCUAAUGUUAUGUUUUCUUACAAAGGGGUAAGGAAUAUACAUAAAAGGGAAAAUACGGAAUAGGGGAUAUAAAUAGAAGGGAAUUUGGGACAAAGGAUGUACAUAUAUAAGAAAGUGUCAUGCAACAUGGUAAAAACCCUAAAAGGUGAAAAACAUGCAUAAAAUGUAGUGAUUCACACAAACAUGAUCUAACGCGUAAACGGUCUCUAAAGGUCUAGCGUUGGACCAGCCCAUGUCUAUGAAUUCCUACUAGCAUUGGACUAGUGGAAAAUCGAGAAAAAGGUCUCAACUAGCGUUGGACUAGCAAGAAAUCGUAAAAAGGGACCACGACUAGCGUUGGACUAAUGUGGUGACGACAUGUAUUUAUUAUAGUCUAAUAAACCAGAUAAAGCAUAAUAAAGCAAAUAAACACAUAAAUCACAUAAAGCACAUAGGCAUGAUAUCUAGAUGCAAGACCCUAAGAAAGCGAGUAACACAUAACACACAAGCAUGCAAAACAUAUAAAGCAAAUAAAGCCCUAACUAUUACACUUGGAGUGGCCUACUACAAUCUAAAAGGGGAUAAAAUGAAGUAAAGCAAGCCUAACUAUUACAACUUGGCAUUUAAAUGCCUUCUAAAUGAUUAAAAUUAAACUAAGAUAAAAAAUUGGAAUAAAUAAAACAUAUAAAGAAAUGAAAUAAAACAUUCAAAAGGCAUGCAAUUAGACACAUAAAGUCACAUAAGUGCAUAUAGAGUCAAAUAAAGUCAAAAUAAGGGAUAGGGUGUACCUCCCUGGAGUUGGAGCCCUAAUGAAGUGAAAUUACUCAUUUACCCUCCAAAAUAAUAAAAGGGUCAAGACAUCAUUUUAAUGAACAAAUGAUCACAAAAAAUGGAAAUAAGUACAAAAUUGAAUCACUAAAAGCAUUUAAAUAAGCUAAACAACCCAUAUUUAACAAAUAAAGACCCAAUUGCUACGCUUAAGCCACAAAACGCCAAAAAUUCCACAUAAAAUCAAAUUAACACCAUAAAUCUAGAAAAAAAGUUACUAAACCUUCAAAUUCAUCCUAAAACUCAUGCAUAUUCUGUUCAAUAAUCGCAAUGAAGGCACAUAAAAGCGAGAAAAUAUUUUAAAGGACAAAAUUGAUGAACUUUUACGAUUUUAUGGGCCAUAGUGGCAUGAGGAGAAACAUGUGGGGUUGAUUUGCAAUUCUUGGAAACUCUUUUCAUGCAAAGCAUGCAAACACUAUGAUAUAUUUCUGCAACAAGAAAGUUGAAGCCUCUGAUGAGGGCUUUCUACAAUCCAAAACAACACAGCCACAACUUCAUGCACACAGAUUUCGACAAACAUCUCAAAUCUAAACCCAACGUCGAGUUCUUACUCUAGGGAACAAACUCCUAGCAGAAUCACUAAAAUGUCAACAAGACUCUCCCAUUUUAAUUGAAGACAACAGAUUUCGGGAAACAUAAGAAAGAAGCAACAACAAAUUUUGGGAAACACAAGAAAGAUGCAAUGCUGCAAGAAAAUUUCGGGAAACAAGACUCUCCCAGUUUUUGAACAACAAAUGCUUUCUGCAAUUCUUAUGCAGAAAUCUCACACGGAAAUUCAGACAAGACCAACUGACCUAUCAUCCAAAUAUUCCUUGACAACACUGAGCACUUCAAUUAACAAGUGAACUCAGGGUUAUUGCCUAGAAACACAAGCUUCAACAAAACAUACCUUGCGGCCAAACAAUGACAACCAAAUAGAAACUGAAGUAAAUAAAGUUUCAAAGCUGCAACUCUAAACCAACAAACCAGAAGUUCAUGCAAAGUAACAUAAAACUGGAUAGAUUUAACUUAAGUAUUUCCAUAAGAUGCAACAAAACAACACAACCAAGUGCCAUGAAUACUUGCCGAAAUCUUAAACCCUAGCCCUUAAAGACAUCAGACCCAAACCUGAAAAUGAAUACCAAAUGCAUGGUUAAUAUUCAGGUCCCUUCCAGUUUCAAAAUGCAUUCACAAGAAAGCAAUCUUCGUCACUGAUUUGUUUUUACAAUUUUUGCAGGUGAACUGAUAGCAUGCGAUAAUCUUAACCUGGAAAACAAUCCCAAAUAUUCAUCAAACUUCCUAAACCUAUCACCGAAUUCUGAUAUGGUAUGAAAUAGGUAAUGAGAUUAUGAAUUUGGUACCAACCGAUUUCGCAUUCAAAUUCGGUAAUUGAAAUAAGGUACCGCAUUACCGCAUUCGAAUACCAAAUUGGUAUAUAAAAUUAUAUAAUAUAUAGAUAAAUGUUAUUUAAUAUUAGUAUAUACUACUAAUAUAUUAUUAUAUUAUAUAGGUAAAUGCUAUUAAUAAUAAUCACUACAAAAAAAAAUAUUUUUAGUGACAACAAUCUUUGUCAAGAAAAGUUGCGUAUGUUGUCAGGAAAAGUUUUCGUGACGCUCAUGUCGUCAGAGAAAAUUGGUCACCUAUACGCCGUCGGCAAAAGGUUUUCCUGACAACUAGUGGAAUUCUCGUCAGGAAAAGUUCCAUUUUCUGUGACGUGUCAUCAAGAAAGGUAAUCGUGACGAUUCGGUUGUCAGGAAAAGUCCUCAUAUUCUUGACGAACCUUUGUCAGGAAAGACCCUGAACUUUGUCACUAAAUUUUCGAUUGUCAAGAAAAGUCAUGCAUUGAAACUUGCUGGACGUACUUUAAUGACAAUUCAAUGUCAUUUUUCCUGACGACAGCUGCAUCACUAUAAUAUAUUAGUUUCUAAUUUCACCAUGUAGCAUUUUUAAGCCUAGCAAUUUUAGUGACAACAAAGUAAUAAUAUCAUCUACUAAAACACUCCACCCAAUCAAAAUAUAAAAGUAUGCAAGCAAAAUAUCAACCAAAACUUUACAAAUUUCAUUAGUAGGCAACCAUAAUAUGUCAAACCACAAAAGUUAACCAUGUCAAACAUUGACAUAUCAUUACAUUCCAUGAUUUGAAACCAAUAUAAAUAUUGCUAUUUCUCCCUAGAUAACUGCUAUAUACCUAACAUGUGCUAAAAUCAAAAGAUGGACUUCAAUUCCAUGGUCAACAAAAUACUAGAGAUGGAUGAUAUCAAAAUAGAGGAAUUCUUCAGUAUGAGCUAAAAGCAGUCCAAAAGCCAAAAGCAGUCCAUAAUGUUGAGUUUAUCCCAAACUCAAAAGCCAAAAGCCAAAAGUAGUCCCAAACGUUCAUCCCAAACCUGUACAAUAAAACCAAGAAAAAUCUGAAAUCAGAGAAACAAUAGAAUGGCAUGGAAAAGAUGUAUUUUUGUUAUGAUGCAUGGAUGAUCACUACAAAUUGCUUAGGGACCACCUAAUCAUGAGGACAAGCAAUACAAGAAUAAUUACUAUGCUGAAGUAACCAAGUUGUUCCACAAUAGUAAGUAACUGCACAUAAAUGCAUUUGUUUCGAAUAAAGAUCUACAAACUCACCAUUACUAGGAAGAACCUCCACACUGCUUCUGUUUCCAAAUGAGGAAUUCUUGCAGCAUUUCUUGUAUCCCUUGCUGGCUUUGUACAAGAUUUUGGAUUUGGGUAUCUUGUGCUUGAAUUCGCUCCUCAUAGCAUUGAAUCUUCUCCUUGCACUGUUUUAGUUCUUCAAGUAGUGCUCUAUUAGCUGAAGAUUCGGGUUUGCGAGAAGAUUGGGGUGGUAUGACCCCCAUACCCAACCCUUUGGCACGACCAGCCCUCUUUCCUAGGACAUUUUCCAUAAUUUUAACUUCAUUGACAAUUUCUCCAUUCUCGAUGCAUUGCCUUCUCUCUUCUUUUAACUCAUCCUGUACAUAUUAGAUUCACAUAACUCAAAGAGUCAUUAAAUGUAUAAUAUAUAUGUAAAUGUCAUGUUACUAAUAAAAAACAAAGUUACUAGAAUCAGCCGACUAUAGUGAAAAUUACAUCGAGAGAUUUUGCAGUAUUAUUCACAAAUUGGCCAUCCUUUUUUAUGUGAGCAGCAGUCCAGGCAUCAAUUGCACUUGGUGGAACCUAUUUUAUAGCAUAAAAGAUCACGAGUUAGCUCUAGUUUUCUUCCUAGUAUAAAUAUAAGCCAAAAUGGAAAUAAAAAAUCAGUAAUAUACCAUCUCUUGUGCUCGAACAUGAUUUGAUUUUGAACCGCCAGUGUGCGGAUAGGGUAACAUGGCACGGUUCUUUGUAUUGGCUUCUGAUUUUUUCUAUUAAAUACCAAAAAGAUAGUUAGACAAAACAUAAAAGGCAACAAAAGAAUUAAGAUCAUGCAAGUAAACAAAACUAGAACCAAUCACCUUGAAUAUAGGAUCUUCGAACCAAUCACACGUACUUUUCCACUCAUCUUGCUCAAUCCAGUCAUAAGGACAUGAGGUAAGUGGAUCUUUUCCAGCUACCUUCAACAUCUUAUAAUCUAUGUGCAUAGUAUUCCUCCACUGCCUAUAGCUAUUCUGAAGCAUGUCAUCCACAUACAUUUCCACAUUAGGAUCAGUUUCCCAAUCUUUGAAGUCAAACCAUCCCUAUAAAUUACCAUUAAGAAAUAGAUCAUUUUUAGAAUUGGUCAAGUCAGCAAAAUAAAUAUUAACACACUAAAUGUCAUUAUAAAAGACAACGGUGUAAUCUGGUACCAUCAAGCCACCAUAUAGGUUCUGUUUUUUCUCAUUUGGUAUGUCAUCAUAUGUGCGUAUGUCCUUCAGUGAAGAGAGGUGCCUUACAACAUAACCUAUACCACUAGCAAGUUGAGCAGCAUACUUGAUUGGUUUGCAACAUCCUUCAGGAAAGACAAUUUCCAAUGGCUUGCCUCCCUAAUAUUAACAAAUGAAGCAUCAUUCAGGUAUACCCCAAUUGAAAUUCUAGGAAACUGAUUAUACAAAAAAAAUCUUGAAUAGACAGUAAUAUUAUAUAUGUACACAUCCAAUUACUGAAUGGCAUUUACAUUAGCUCGUAUCAUCUUCUCGAUAACUUUUCCCGUGGUUGGGCCCCGGCCUUUUUUUUGCUUUCUUUGUUCUGAGAACAAUUGUUAAACAUUGUAGUUGAUGCUUAUUAUGAAUUAUCACAAAUGCAUACAUUGAAUGGUAAUAAGUAAAUCAUUAUUUAGCAUUUUCACUUACCAUUCGCCAAUGCUUGAGUAGGAUUACUAUUAUUUGAAUUAAUCUGGAUAUCAUCACCUGUGGUAGCUGAUUGAUGCUCCAAAGUUGAGUUUGAAGUUGGUGGUUGUUCAGAGUGCAAGUUGGUAUUGGGUGGGCAGCUUCUCUUCAACCGUUUCCCGGAAGGUGCCAUCUGCAAUAACACAGUAUAUGAUAAAAAAGGAGUCAAAUUAGUAAAAUUUUGAUGUCAAAUUAUAAACAGAGAUCAAAAUUUAAGUUAUACCAAAAACUUAACAAAGAGUUAAAACCAUGAAAAACAUAUCAGAAGUAAAACCAAUUUGAUCAAUAUUGGGUAAAACCACAAAAAGUAACACUUUCUUCUACAAUGCCAAAAACCUUUUCACUUGACACUUCUAUGCUAUUUCUUAAGCACUAUCUAAAUCUAUAUCCAUGUCAAUGGUUUCAUCACUAUCAGAAGAUUCAAUAAGCAUGCCAUCUUCUUUAAAAACAUUGUCUUCUUCACCAUACUCUUCUUCACCAGUGAAAGUAUGCAAAGGAUUCUCCAGAACAACUUCAAUUUCAACACCUUGUCUGCUUAAGAGGCCUAGUUCAUCAUCUUCGACAAUAGGCAGAACAGUUCUUGUUUCAUUUUGCUGCAAUAAUUCAUCUAAAAAACUUGUAUCUGCAUUGAGCACAUCUCCAUCGUUCUCUUCCAAAUCUGGUAGGUUCCACAAAUGCCUAUGUUGAACACGUUGUACAAUUCGCCAAUGUCUCCCCAACUUUGUAUCACCAAUAUAGAAGACUUGCUGGACUUGAUUUGGUAAAACAAAUGGAUCAUUUUGAUACCAACGUGAUCUAAUAUCGAUGGUCACAAAGUGCCUAUCACUCUUUAUUGUGUUUGUGCUACCUGUGUUAUACCAUUCACAUUGAAGCAAGACUACCUUGUAUGCAUGAAAAAAGGUCAGCUCAACCACAGCCUUAACAAAGCCAUAAAAGUCAAUGUGUUUUCCUUUAUGGUCACCCUUAACAACUAAGCCACUAUUCUGUGUUGUACGGCAAUCAUCCCGAUCUCUUGUGUGGAAACGAACUUCAUUUACAAUGCAUCCUGAGUAAUGCUUUGUCAUGAAAGGUAUAGGACCAUUUGCUAAUGCCCACAGCUCUUCAGAAACAUCCAAUGAUUUAUCAAUGUGUAAUUGAUUUAUCUAUAAAAUAGAAAACGAGUCUCUAUUAGUCAGUUUUCAAUAACUAAUAAACUUAUUUUUAUAAUAUGUAUAACUUACAUGAUCUUUGAACCACUCUGUGAAUUGAUCUUCAUGUCUGCUAUCAACAUUUUCAGGAUGAAUCCUUUGCAGCAUCUCUUUAUGCUUACUGAAAUUCAGAUUGUAUUACCAAUAUAAAGUAAAAUAAACCACAAGAAGUAAUAUCGAAAAUAUAAAAUUGAAAUACAUAUUGCACUCACAUUCUGUACUCUUCUAUUUCAUCACAGUUAUUCAAUAUAAAUUUAUGAGCCACAUCUAGUUCAACUUGAGAUAAUUUAGUAGGAGGUGUAACAAGUCCAAAUGGGCGAACACUUAGUGAGAAAACCACCAGCUCCUCUGCCUUAUCCUGAUUAUAGUCAUAGUUGCGUCUCUUGCGGGUGAAUUUUGUUUCAAUGCCAUGGAGAUAUUUGGACAUGAAUGUUAGGCACUCAUUUGCAAUAUAUCCUUCUGCAAUCGAGCCUUCAGGACGAGCACGAUUACGGACAUACUUUUUAAGGGAUCCAAGAUACCUUUUCAAAAGCAUGAGUUAAUUUUCUAUCCAAAACAGAAUGUUAAGUAAAAUAACAAAAUUUGUAGUCAAACAAAUAAGGAAGAAGUACCUUUCAAAUGGAAACAUCCACCUAGGAUGUACUGGCCCACCAAGUUUUGCUUCCUUUGGCAAGUGAACAAUCAAAUGGAUCAUAAUGUCAAAGAAGGCAGGAGGAAAGAUUUUUUCCAACUUACAUAAUAUUAAUGGAGCAUUUUUCUCCAACCUUUCCAAGUCAUCCAUCUUAAGGGUUUUAGAACACAAAUCUCGAAAAAACUCACUUAACUCAAAAAUUGCCUCAUUGACUUCUUUGCACAAAUACCCACGAAUGCCGGCUGGAAUAAGUCGUUGCAAGAGGGCAUGGUAGUCAUGUGUUUUAAGUCCCAUCAGUUUACCAUCUUUAACACACUUGGAAAUGUUGGCAGCAUACCCAUCAGGAAACUUAAUUGAACUCAAAAAAUCACAAAAUCCUUUUCUCUCACUUGAAGACAUCACAUACAAGGCUGGAGGCUUUGUUUUCCUUGUACCAUCAUCAUGUAAGUGUAGUUCGUGCCUUAUUCCCAUGUCAAGUAGAUCAUCACGAGCUUUAUUAGUAUCUUUUGUCUUAUCAGGAAUGUUCAACAAUGUUGCUACUAAACUUUCACAUGUAUUUUUAAGGAUAUGCAUCACAUCCAGACAAUGUCUCAUGGAGAGUUUUUCCCAAUAUGGUAACUCAAAAAAUAUACUUUUUUUCCUCCAAUUACCCUGAAUUUUAUCAACUCCUUUUUUUCCGAGUAACUGGGUUCUUACCAAACUCACCAAAGACACCAGCCAAGGAAUUUAAAUGUCUUAAAACCUGUUCUCCAGAAAAUUCCUUUGGCCUGGAGCGUGUUUCAAUAGUUCCAUCAAAAUGAGCUUUUUGCUUUCGCCAACGGUGGUCAUGGUUCAAAAAGCGACGAUGUCCCAUGAAACAUAUUUUGCCUCUUAGUCUUUGUGAAGCAGUAUCAUCAAGACAACAUGGACAUGCUUUAUACCCACUGGUGCUCCAUCCAGACAAAUAGCCAUAUGCAGGGAAAUCUGAUAUAGUCCAUAAAAUUGCUGCACGCAUUUGAAAGUUUUGUCCACUAUAUGCAUCAUAAGUGCUGAUUCCAUGAAAUAAAUCUUUCAAAUCAUCUAUUGCUGGCCUUAAGAACACAUCUAACUCCUUUCCAGGGGCACGUGGACCAGGAAUAAGAAGUGAUAGUAUAAGAAAUUCCUUUCUCAUAAACUUAUAUGCAGGCAAAUUGUAAGGUACAAGAAUAACUGGCCACAUGCUAUAUGAGUUGCUCAUGUUACCAAAUGGAUUGAAUCCGUCCGUGGCCAAUCCAAGUCUUACAUUUCGAGAAUCUUUAGCAAAAUCAGGAUAUUGCUUAUCAAAAUCCUUCCAAGCAAUAGAAUCAGCCGGAUGUCUCAUGAUACCUUCCUCUUUAACCCGUUUCUCCUCAUGCCAUCUCAUGUCUUCAGCAGUUUUAGAAGACAUAAAAAGUCUUUGCAACCUAGCUUUUAAUGGAAAGUACCACAUCACCUUCUGUGGAACUUUUUUUUUCUUGCCAUUAUUGACUUUCCAUCGUGAUUCUUUACAAAUAGGACACUUGUCCAUCUUUUCAUUUUCUUUCCAAAACAAUGCACAAUCAAAUUUGCAAACAUCAAUUUUUUGAUACCCCAAACCAAUACCAGAUAGAAUUUUCAUGGCCCCAUAAAAACUAGAUGGAAGUAUUUCUCCUUCUGGUAACACAUCUUUUAAAAAUUCUAGCAUCAUGUCAAAUGCCUUGUUAGUCAUAUGGUUCAUCACUUUGAUAUGGAGAAAGGAAACAAUGAAACGCAGCAGGGAGUAUUUUUUGCAUCCCGGGUAAAGUUCUCUUUGUGCAUCAUUUAACAAUUUGUCAAAAUUUUUUGAAUCCCAUUCACUCGAUGUCCCUGAUUCAUGUGCAUUUCUCAUCUCAUCCAAUAAAUCAGGUAACUCAUCAGAUUCACCAUUUUCAUUCAUAUCAAAGUCAUUAUAUACUGUUUCAUUGAUGAAAUCUGUCUCACCUCCAACACCAUUCUCAUCAAGGUUAUUGUUCUUUCCACUUGACAUAUAAGAGUGUGCAGAAAAUGGUUCCCCAUGGAAGACCCAAUUUUUAUAAUACAUACAAAAGCCUUUUUCCGAUAAAUCUGAUUCAACUUGAGAAAUGCUUUUUCUCUUUGAAUUCCUACAUCUCCUACAGGGACAAAAUAAUUUUCCAUCCAAUCCCAUACCAUUGGUCUUAGCAAAUUCAAUAAAAUCCUUAAGACCAAACUUAUAAUGACUUGACAAAAUAUUUGGAUCAUUUAUCCAGCUCUUAUCCAUUUCCGAUACCUAGACUAAGAAAAGUCUUAACUUACUAAACUCAAGGCAUUGUUAAGAUGAAUAACUCAAAAAGGAGGAAAGACAAUUUCUAGCUAUAAAAAGAUAAAGGAGGCAAAAAGACAUAGAAUUAUUCACAAUUUACCUACUUUUUAUGGCUUAGUUAUGAAUUCCAAGCUACUUAGAUUAUUCACUGAUUACAUCAAAUGCAAUACUACUCAAUAAAACUGAAAACACAUUAGAUUAUUCACUGAUUACACCAAAUGGUAUACUACUCAAUAAAACUAAAAACACAUUCCUGAUUGUACUAUUCUCCUAUUGUCUAAUUGUAUAUGCUCUUGUAUAGUAUAUAGAAAACAUUAAACAUCAUAACCCAUAACUUGAUUUACGCAAAUAAGGAUGUAAACCAUAACAUAAUUUGCAAGAAACUAGCAGUCAUGAUAAACACUUUUCAUUCUUUAUGGUAAGCUACCAAAUAACCACAUACCUCAAAUUAUGCAAUCUUUUCUCUGGUUGUUCCUUAUCUUCUCUAUCAAGGUAGUGAGAAUGCAGGUCUGUUCUGCUGAAUAUGAAGAAAUACGAAAUUAGAUAUUUCUCUGCUGAGGUAGACUGAAAACUAUUUUAUUGUGAACAGGAUUGACUUUGGAUAAGGAUCCAUAUUAAAUCAUCAAGAUUUCUUCUGAAACUUAGAACAUUCAAAGAUCCAUUCCAACUAGCUAGCUAGGUUACUUGGGUUCAGUAAUUGAUGGCGGGCUAGUUUUUUUUGGAACAUGUCAAGUUAUGGAUUAGGAACUAUAGCAAGGAAGACAAACAGUAGUGGUUCAGCCACAUUCUAUCACUUUUUGUCCAAUAGGAGUAAUAAUCAAGUUGUCCAAUAGAUAAAGAAUUUACAAGUGCUGCACUUCUUUACGUUUCCCUUCUUUUUCCUGCCUACUAAUGCUAACUGAAAACUGGCAUAAAAAACCUAUGGUAUAAAACUUGCAAGGAUAUUAUAGUACUUUAGAAAACCAGAAAGAGCCAAUGAUUGUGAAACUGUUUUUUUUUUUGGAUGUUACUCCCUACAUUUCUUGCAUGGAUUUAGUUGGACAUGAUGGAUGUAUAGCCGUCCUCUUAACAAAAAGAACCAAAACCUCCCAUUCCAACCAAACCUCUAAAACCAGAUGGUCCAUUUUCACCAUAGACUCCAAAUACCCAAACCAAUAGAUAAAAGCCCCUAACAAUAUAGGCCAGUUGCUGAUGCAUUUUUCGUCUGGUACAAAUUUUUAAUGCUCCCCAUGACAUAAUAUCAAACUAGCCAACUUCACCAUAAAUAUUUAUCCUUGAGAUCAGCUCCAAAUUUAUAAGUAGGGGCCCUUAGCCAAAAAAUCUAAAAUACACUUGACUGUGUCGCAUUAUUGCGUGAAUUGCUCCCACGUCCUAUAUUAAAUUAGACCUGUGCCAAUCUGUCAAUGUGACUAUUCCCAUAUUAAAACCCAAACCUCCCAAAUUCUGCGAAUCUUGAACUAAAAACUGAAUUUCAAGUGUAUCUGUAUCAGAGAAAACAAUUUCACUUUUAAUCCAAGUUUCCCCUUUUAAUCCAAUCAGAUAAUGAUGAAUAGAAGGCACUGUAAAAAUCAAGCCAACGGCUGGAAAAUGCUCUUGAUAUGGGAACUUACAGUCAUAGUUAGCCCAUCCAAUCCUUUGGCCAGCCAAAUCAUAAACAACAAUCUUGUCUUUCAGAACAAGGUCUGCAUGAAAGGAAACAAAUAAUGAAGAAAAAUAGGAAACAAAUUCCAGUUUCAUUCAGACACUUUCAUGACAAAACAAGAGGACAAACCAGAAACACUGAACAGGUAUCUCUGCCAUCACAUUGAAGACUCAUACUAAAUCAUCAAUCAGAGAUGAAUCCUUAACAAGGUUUCAGACAUUGAAAAAUGAAAGAAAAUUGUAGUAGAUAAAAUUGUUGAAAGCCGGUUGCCCAUCACAUGUAUGACAAAAAACUGAAAGACAAAUAACAAGGAUAAAUCAGGAAAAAUGUUCGACACAAGACAAGCAUCUAGCACACCUAGAUGUGAACAUUGCACCGUAAGUUUGGAUCUACUCUGGAGUUAAUCCAACAAAUGGCCUGCAGUAUAAAGUUCAGCUAAUAAUAAUAUCAAGAACGAAGAUAACUGGUAAAAGAGACACAUUUCGAGGAAGAUUUUUGCCAAAAUUUUCUGAUUUUUUAAUGGGCGUUCAUCAUAUAAACCCAACACUUGUUAACAAUCACAGAAAUUCAGUGCUUUCUUAAGAACGAAAAUAUCCCUAUUCUUGGAUGACCAGCGGAAGAGAAAAACCCCAUAUGGAUAUUGGUCUCAAAUUCAACACGCUUAAAAGUAGAGAGUAUCUGGGAAUCGUUUGCCGACCUUUCCAUCGUUCCCACCCCCAACCUUAUAGAUUUGUGCAUCUGGGGUUGUAAAAAACCAUCAUUUUGCAAUUUACAAGUCAUAUCUGCCCAAUGGGAACUGAACCUGUCAAGGACUCACCUCCAAGAAUAGUCAAUCCUUGACCCUGAAUUUUCCGAAAGCUGAUGCACCAGACUGCUGCACCAUUCUGCCAAAAACGAGCUAGCAAAUCAAUUUUAUAUGUACAUGUGCAGAAUUCUCAACUCUUCACACGCAAGAACAAGUUUUCCAAGAACCGUUCCUUUGUGAACAUCAGGGAGAUGGGAGCCUAUCAAAUUUGCGCUAAAUUCCUCAUUCUCAACCAAAAUAAUGAAAAUAAUCAAAUUUGAAACUUUAAGGGGCCAAAUGAGGUUCUCCAAACAAUUUCUGAAAACUUAGAUCACAAAUGAGUCAAUUUUUAUGCAGAGAAAAUAUUUGACACCGAACUUGAACUGAUGAUCUGUAGGACCGUCAUUUCACAGUCAAUUAAGGACAAAAUUGAAGGGGGAUUCGGAGAAAGGGAGCUGAUUCAAGACAAAAUUGAAGGAUUAUUUGAUUUUUACAUCACCUUAGACCAUCGUGUUGUCUCUCUUGUUGAAAGAGAUGAAGCCAAGUUCAGAGGAGUUCGUUGUUGUUCUCUGUUGUUGGAGAUGAAGACAAGCUGAAGAUUUGGAGAAAGUGUACUUUGUUGUUGUUGUUCCAAAAGUAGAGAUUUGGGAAAAGUGCUUCUUGAAUUUCCCGGUGUCUAUGUCAUAAGGACAAGAUGUCCUUCUAAAUUCCUUUUCGGUCCAAGAGGGGAAAAAAAUUGGUGGGAAAGAAAUGGAGGGAGAAUGAAAACUUUUCCUGACGAAUUGAUGUGGGGAAAGUAACUUUAGACAAUGAAAUAAAUAGAAAAACACGUUUAAAGUAGCAGCACCUUUUGAUGGAUAUUUACUUGACGGGUUGUCAUAAAAAGCAUGGUUUUCCUAACGAAAAGGUUUCUUGUCAUGAAAAAUUUGUCACGAAAAAAAUAAUUUUUUGUAGUGAAUUAAUAUAUGGUAUUAUCAUUAUAUCAUGUACUUAUAAUAAUAAUAAUAUAUAAUAAUGUACAAUAUAUUAUUUUAGUAUUUGUUAAUUGUUAUAUGACUAUAAUAAUACAAAUAUAUAGUAAUACAUAACAAUAUAAGAUAUACCAAUUUGAGCAGAGGAGGAAUUCGUUAGACCCCAGAUUCGUUCAUCAGUUUCAAAGCUAAUGACUUUUCCAAACACAGCUUUAAUAUCAGAUGUUAUUCAUGGCAUUCUAAUCAAGUAGAGAACAAAAACAAGCCUGCCAAUCGAGCCACAGCUUCAGCAAACAAAGAAAAAAGGAAACUGAUAUGCCCGAGCUUCUGCAACAAGUCGAAAGAUUCAAUCUUGUUGCAGCAAAAUCUCAAUCUAAGGAUUCUAGCAGGCGACUUACUUAUUACCAUGGAUCUAGGAACAAGAACAAGAGGCCAUACUCACAAGAGAAACAUCACAUCAGCCAUCAAGAACACCGAACAAACUCAUGAUUCUCAUAGUCCCAUCAUUUAUUAAUGGAAACUAUCUAUAAGAAAAGGCGAAAAGAAAGGCUUAUAGUGCCGUUUCCGGUAAAGCUCUCGGCAACAAUGGUGGCAAUGAGUUCCUCUUCCGUGGUUGCCACCAGUUCCAACUCUCUUUUAGCUCUCAGCCUUUUCUUUAUUUAGUUUCCUCCUCCCUAUUUCCUUGCUUUGGUUCUUUUCUUCGCAGCUUCUCCUUCCCAGAUUUCCUGGUUCCCUCGGUCUCUCCUCCGUUACUCUCCAGUCUCUUUUCCCUCUGAUUCUCUCCUUUCUUUUGCUUCUGUGUUUAGCCGCCAACAGGUUCUUGGUCUCUCUAAAACCUCCCUUUUGCCGUCAUCAGAUCCUCCUAAAAUUUUCAGCCGUCACACCCUAUCUUCUUGUUGCCUUUUUCUCUACCCUAGCCGCCACAUCUCCUUCCCUUUUUGUUAUUUUCUUUUUAUCUUUUCUUUUCCUUCAAAUCUUAAGCCUCCAAGUGUCUCAACACCUCACUUUCUAGGUGUUGUGUUGUCAAAUACAUAAAGGGACACUUGUCUCUAUUGCAUGUCCCCCACUUGUCAUUUUUCAUUUUUCUUUUUCUGAACUUUAGUGUUAAAAAAAAUGCUUUUAAAAGAAAAGAAAAUGAUGAAUCUUAAUGUACCAAAAAUAAGAAUAAACGCCAGUCACUAUUUGCAAUAUUAAAUCAAUAAAAUAAUAAAUAUGAAACCAAAAUAAAUAAUAAUAAUAAUAAAAUAAAAUUGAAUUAAAUAAACAAAUAAAGUCAAAAUUGAAUGAAUAAAGCUAAGUAAAUAAAGUUUAAAUUUGAAUUAAUGAAAUUUUGGUGUCUACUCUUCUAUUGCAGAGGUCUUGUCGUACGUUCAUUGCCUGGUGUGAUGAGUUUGCACGAUCAAUGGGGUUUCAAGUUCUCGAUCUCAACCCCUCAAGUACGAACUCCGUCACCAAUACACCUGCACUAGAGGUGUCUAGCAUCAUAGCAGAACUGAAAAGCAUGCAAACCAAUGUGAUGAUCCUUAACAUUGUUGUGGUUGCUGUCGUGGCGGUACUCGUAGUUCUAGUUUUGAAAUUGUGAAGUGCUAUGUUCGUUCUGAUUCCAUUCCCCCCUCCUAUACAUUACUCAAAUAUGGUGUCCUCAUGCUGAAUGGGCAUUUAGCCUAAUUUAUAGCUUGUUGGCUUUUGUUUGCUAGUAUUCUGUCAUUGGCUUUUGUCCAUCCUUCGUCUGCCGGAUAGUGGCGCAUGUGUGUUUGCUCACCAACGAACGGAGUGUGUCUGUGUUAAUGGUGAUAUUGCUUGAAAUUACACAAGGGAAUGGGUUUUUAUCACCAGUUUACAUUGUGCAUUAUAUUUCCGAUCUAAAAUUCCUGUUGCCUUUUGCCCCUCAAUUGUGUGUGAUUAUCAGUUAAUUCGUAACGUUGAAGUUUGCUUUACUUCAUUUAAAUAAGUGUGAUUCAGCGCUGAAAUUCAUUAUUAAGGCUGUGGCAGUGCUAUUAAUUGUCAACUUCUACUUAGCCAUACAAGUAAACAGCGUCAUCUUGUAAAACCAGUUCUCAUAUACAACAACAUUAGUAGGCUUUCAACUUUGAAAUCUAAUGAGUUCAAUUACGAAGUAAGUGCUUACUUCUUAAUUUGUUCUCCCAGUUGAUCCCCUUACAAUAUUACCAAAUGGUGCACUUAUAAUUUUUCAGCAUUACAUAUUAUUAGCCCUUAACCCCUACCUUUUGUACUGUAACAAGCACAACCAAUGAUGGUUUGGCCAUUGACAUAAAGUGUCAGGAACAAAAAACAAUCCAUCAUCAAAAUAUUUCAUAAAAAAAUUAAAGCACACUGUUUUAGUUGUGAACGUUCACUCAGACCACUCCACAAUAAGACCAAACAGAGGGUUAAUGGCGGCAACCGUGAUAGCCACCCUAAGAAAGCUGCAGUAUUUUUUGCGCCUUACAGUCACCACGAGACUAUCAGUUACAUCUUUGUGUUCAAAGGUUGUCUCCACAACUGAUGGAUUCCAGCAAAUAGUGGCGGUAUGAACGCUGUCUGCAAUGGCUACGUUGCAGGUCAUAUUGGUGUGGUAUCCCUGUUCAGCCAUAAAGCGAGUUACUGACCAAUCUUCAAAGUUGGCUCCGAAGAGCAUCCACACGUUGGUAUGAAGCAGUGGUUUCAGACCCAGGUAACGUGCAACAAAUUCCUCCUUCCCUACAAAUCAGGCAUUGUAAGUCAUAAUAUAAAAUGCCUUAAGGUUGUGCAUAAUGGAGAGUGGACGACGGCGCCACUUCACUAGUGACUAGAACACUUUCUCGUUGGCAAUGGGGUUGCGAACGGGGAUGCAAGAGACCAACAUGGUUUGUGAAAACUCUUGUCCGGGAAACCUAUCCAACCGCACAAGUGCUUCGUUAACAACCCACUUCACUCCUAUGUGGUGAAGUGGUAAGUGCUCAUCUUGAAAGUAGCCUACCAUUCCGCCAUUGUUGAGGACAUGCAUUUUAGGAAUUCAUCCCAGUGCCAUGCCAGGGUCUGCUGGCUGAUUAAAAGUGCAAGACAAGGGUUUGCUUCACAGGUUACAAAAUACACAAGGAAAGGAAGUUGCGGUCAAGUUAGAGAUUUCAGGUGCUAAAGUUCAAUCCCCAAGCAUAUGGAAUUGAACGUGUGGUUCAACGGGCAUGCAAGAGAGAAGGUUCUUGUGUGAAAUUCUUAUAGAAGAGGCUACGGUGCAUGGACAUACAACAAAUGGAGGAGGUGACGGUGCAAGGAUUGAGAAAUUUGAGUCAGCUGCUGCUGGGUCAAAUCACUCAGGUUAACAAACUCAAUGAUUUAGUCCGUCUAACUUAGGUUAGUGGGAAAAUGGGUCACAGUUGGUUGGAAUAGUUUUUAAUAAAAAUAAACCCGUUUUCAAUAAAACACCAACUCUUUAUGACUUUCCUCCAUUAUAAGAACAAAAUACCUAUUUUUCCAUAAACAAUUUUUCUGAUCCGAUAAAAUAAAAAUAUUGCCGUUUUUCAAUAAACCACCAACUCUUUAUGGCUUUCCUCCAUAAAUUAUUCAAAAAAAAUUUAUGGUUCAACUAAUGCUUGCAAGAGUAUACCCAUUGUGCCUCCAUUAAAACACCAGCUGUUUAUGACUUUCCUCCAUUAUAAGGACCCAUUUUCUCAUAACCCAAUUGUUUUAUCGGAUAAAAUAAAAAUAAAUCCAUUUUCCAAUAAAACACCGGUUAUUUAUGACUUUCCUCUGUUUUAAGAAAAAAAACGGUUCAACUAAUGCUUGCAAGAGAGAAGGUUCUUGUGUGACGUUCUUAUAGGAGAGGCUACGGUGCAUGGACAUACAACAAAUGGAAAAAUUUUUGGUGCAAGGAUUGAGUGAUUUGAGUCAGCUGCUGUUGGGUUAAUUUUGACUAUGGUUAACAAACUCAAUGCUUUAGUCCGUCUAACUUAGGUUAGUGGGAAAAUGGGUCACAAUUGGAAGGUGUUCCGAUAAUGAUAAGUUUAGCGCCAGUGAUUCUUGUUGGAGAAGAUGCAUCACUUGUACCUGUCUGUUCAGUCGGACGGUACUUCCACAGGUUAUGAACAGUGUUGCUUGGCUGGUGGCCCACCUCUCAAUGUGAUUUCCAAUCGGAUAAGAUUUGCACGGUGCAUGCAGCAAAUUGUCAUGGCCCUUGCACCUUCACAUGUGUGUAGGGGCUGCAGCGCUGGAGGUUUUCAACGCUAGUCGAAAGGAGGCUUACGCCUGAAGAUAUAUCGAUCGAUGCCUCAACAUGCAUCCAAACUCCAGUUAAUGUCUCCAGUUAUCCAAAGAUGCCAGUUAAUGUCUUUAACUUGCAGUUAAUGUCUUUAAGCCGAAUGUAUUAAUUACUAUAUUAUCCAAAAUUUAAAAAAUAGUAAAAAUAUAUUAAAAUACCUACAUAAUUUCGCUAGUACCAAUUGAUUUCAUAAAUAAGACCUUGAAAUUAUGUUAUCUAACAUUGUUAAUGUAGCAUUAAUCAGUAGGUGUUGACUAAAAUUAGGUACAAUUAUAAGGCAUGGUUAUCUAACUAUUAUAAUGUAGCAUUAAUGACUAAAUAAUGCCACAAAUUAGGUAAAACCAAACGGCAUAUGGCUAUACAUGUAAUGUGUAGCCUUGGUUAUUAGUCAUGUUACUUCUCUAAGAUAAGCAAUUUGACAAUUUUCAUUUUUAUUGACAAUUUUAUUUGCUAGUACUUCACAUUUGACAGUUGAUAGAAGAAAGAAAGAAAGAAAGAAAGACAAUUAUAAAAUGGGUUCUUCAUUUUGUUUUGUUUGCAAGACUAGAAUGAGCUUUCAUUUCAUUUUAUUUUGUUAUGGUCCCAAACGAAGUGAUUGUGUAAUUUUUAAUUUACAAAUUGGGGCUCCUAAAUUAGCAAAAGCUUUCAUUAUGCUCGUUAAUGAUUUAAAAAUUAAUACUGAUUUUUUCCCAAAUUUAUUCAUAAUUUAACACAUUACAUAUGUUCUAAUCAUUUUGUGGUUUAAUUGGCAUUUAUUUAAUCAUUUAUACCUCGAAUCGAAUCCUUAGUCUAUGAUUUAAGGAACACAUAAACUUAUUAGUUAUGAAGUUAAAUUAGAACAAACCUUAGACUGUACAAUAAUUAGUGAUAAUUUAUGAACUUAUAUUUUACAAUGAUUAAUAAUAAGUAAUUUUAGUUACAAAUUACUUAUUAUUAGUGAUAAGUUAUAUUAGUUAUAAACUUAUAAUUCAUUUGAAAUCAAAAUAAAUCUUAUUUACUUACAUAUGUUAUUGUAAAAGUCAAUACACUAAUACAUUGCUUUCCAAUUCAUAUGCAUUCACUUACACUGCUAUCUUCUUGUCUUGUCUAUACUUAAAAUUUCAGGAUUAGUGAAAAAUGAGUGGGGCUCCUAAAUUACCAAAAGCUAAAUUGUAAUUACUAAUAAUGUAUAUUGUUUAAUAUUUGGUAUUAUACAUAUAUGUAUUAAUUAUUAUGUAAUUGUAGUCAUUUUACCCAUAUAUAACAUAUUAGAAUUAACCAAAUACUAAAAUCCUUUGUUGUACAUUAUUAUAUAAUAUUAUUAUUAUAAGUACAUGAUAAUACCAUAUACUAACUAUUAUUUACAACAAUAUAUUAGUAGUAUGUACUAACACUAAAUAGCAUUUAUCUAUAUAAUAUAUAAUUUUAUAAACUAAUUUCAAUUCGGAAUUGAAUUAGGCCUAAACCCGGAUUUCAAAUUACCAAAUUGAAUUUCAAUUCGGUUAUGAAUUAGGCCUAAACCUGAAUUUCAAAUUAUCAAAGUGACUUUCAAUCGGUUAUGAAGGGAGCAACAACGGUUUCUUUGGACUAGGGAUGUGCAUUCGGUGCAAAAUCGGUAAUUUGGUGCAAUGAAUUCGGUGAAUUCGGUUAUUCGACCUAUAGAUAUCUAAACCGUUUUCAAUUUCGAAUUGGCCAUAACCGAAUUCAUUCCGCAACCGAUUUCAAAUUCGAAAACGGUAACGAAUUCGGUCUAACCGAAUUCAUCUAUUAAAAAAAAGGUUUAAAAAUUAUGCUCCUAAAUUAUACUACAUUCAUUAUGCUCCUCAAUGAUUUAAAAAUUAUUACUGAUUUGAUCCCCAAAUUUAUUCAUAAUUUAACACAUUACUUAUGUUCUAAUCAUUUUGUGGUUUAAUUGGCAUUUAUUUGAUCACUUAUACCUAGAAUCCUUAGUCUAUGAUUUAAGGAACACAUAAAAAGUAAUUAAUUUAAACUAGCAUGAACCUUAGACUGUACAAUGAUUAGUGAUAAUUUAUGAAUUUAUAAUUUACAAUGAUUAAUAAUAAGUAGUAUUAGUUAGUAGUUACAAUGAAUUUAUAAUUUACAAUGAUUAAUAAUAAGUAAUAUUAGUUACAAACUUACAAAUUACAAUAAUUAGUGAUAAGUUAUAUUAGUUACAAACUUAUAAUUUAUUUCAAAUCAAAAUAAAACUUAUUUACUUACAUAUGUUAUUGUGCAAGUCAAUACACUAAUACAUUGAUUUGCAAUUCAUAUGCAUUCGCUUACACUGCUUAGUUGUCUUAUCUAUACUUAAAGCCUUAAGAUUAGUGAAUAGAUAAUAUGAAUUUUUAUGUUAAAUAUGUAAUGUAAAUUUAGAGCACACUAAUACUUGCAAGUUACAAAUUACGCAUUCAAAUAUUCAAUAAUUCAAACAUGAAUGAUAUAUCAAAUUAUCAAUAUCUAAAUUCUAAUUACUAAUUAUGUUUAUUGUUUAAUAUUUAGUAUUUUACAUAUAUGUAUUAAUUAUUAUCUAAUUCUAGUCAUGUUACUCAUGUAUAAAAUAAUAAAUAUUAUAGUUAUCUUAUAUUGUUAUGUAUUACUAUAUAUUUGUAUUAUUAUAGUCAUAUAACAAUUAACAAAUACUAAAAUAAUAUAUUGUACAUUAUUAUGUAUUAUUAUUAUUAUUAUAAGUACGUGAUAUAAUGAUAAUACCAUAUACUAAUUAUUAUUAAUAGCAUUUACCUAUAUAAUAUAAUAAUAUAUUAGUAGUAUAUACUAAUACUAAAUAGCAUUUAUCUAUAUAUUAUAUAAUUUUAUAUACCAAUUUGGUAUUCGAAUGCGGUAAUACGGCACCCUAUUUCAAUUACCGAAUUUGAAUGCGAAAUCGGUUGUUACCAAAUUCAUAAUCUCAUUACCUAUUUCAUACCAUAUUAGAAUUCGAUGAAUUCGGUAUGUACCGAAUUUGUACCAAAUUACCAAAUACCCGAUUUCAAAUUACCGAAUUGAAUUUGAAUUCGGUUAUGAAUUCGGUAUGUACCGAAUUUGCUCACCCCUACUUUGGACAACAUAUCAUCUAUUGAAAAUGAGCCUCAGACUCUCGAUAAUGAGCGACUUCAACUUGCAAGGGUAAAUAUACAUAUUUUCUUAUUUUUUUCUUUAUUCCCUUUUUUUGCCUGUCAAUUCUUUGUUUAUAUAUGCUUUCUUAUUUUUAUUUCUUUCUUCCCUUAAAUCAUGUGGAAAAAUAGGUGAGUUUCUCUGUUUAUUUUUUUUAAUAAAACUGGUUAUGAAAAUGAAGAGGUUGUUGGAAUCUUUAAAUGGCGAAUUCCAAAUCGACUUAUGUUUAAGGAUACGUUGAAAUAAAAUGCUAAGAAAUAAAGGGUGCAUACAUUUACAAAUGGAGUGACAAACUCAUGUUUAAAAUUUGAAAAUAAAUUUACUAACCAUUAAUUGUUUAUUUUUUUCCAUAGCCGCUCAUGAGAUCAGUGGCAACAUGACGGUUUUUUAAUUUUUUAUUAUUUUAUUUUUUUUGCAUCACCACUUUAUAUAUUUCAUUUGCCAAAGAGGCCAAACAAAAGAUUAUGGGCCUGUUUAGGAAUGGGACUUCCAAGGUGACAUCAAACACAUGCUGUCCCGCAUAAUGAUGUAAAAAAAAUAAAUGUUAUAUCUUGUUUUUCUAUUCGCUUAAACUAUAUAUCUGUUCACUUAAAUAUAUAAUACCUCGACAGAAAAUAAAAGGAAUUUGAAGCAAUCCAGAAUAACUGAAAAUUAAGAUUAUUUUUGCUGGAAGCCUUGCAUUGGGGUUGCGACAACCCCUAAUUAUGAACCUUCCAUCAAACAGCACCAAUUUUGUGACGAUUUUCAAUUUUAGCAAUAUUAUGAGAAAUUCCCCCAAUUUCAGGUUUGUCAAAGUACCCUUGAUAAAUCUUUUGUUUUCCAAUUUCCCCUUGAUAGAUUGGAAUCCUUUGUACAUACAUUAAAACUUGGAAUUGUUUAGGCUGAGCAGAUUGGCCAUAAUAUGGUCGCGCAAGACAUAAAAUACAAUGUGAGUUGGCUAUGUAUGUCAACGCUACUGCGAACACUGAUUUCACAUGCCUUAUUUCCCAAAUUGCAGCCCUAAUUCCAGGAAUUCAGCUACAACGAAAUUGCUCACCUCAACAGCCGACUGCCGUCCAAUUUCUUUCAUAUAAAAAUUCCCUUUCACUUCACUCCCUAGGAACUUACCUGGACUCAACACUUAACGGCAAAGCGGUUUAUAAUCGCGGAUGGGACCAAAGGGAUUUGCCGAAAGCACGCGUCGUAACAGUAAUAGUUCAACCUCCAAACCCCACA